rnacentral:lncRNA from 1 species
AAGAAGGAACAGGCAGGGCAACAGAUCAAAAAUAGACGAUAAUAUUUCUUAAGCCAAAUAUCCAGCCUUGGAAGGAAAGCAUAUAAUUAUCCUCAUGUUACAAGGGUUGGCAUCCCCCAAAUAUCACAACAACCCAGACAUAUCAGGAACCAAAAGACCCUAUCAUCCCAACAGACUGGUGCAGUGAUACAAGGUUAAGCUUUCUCCUCGUUCACCUACUUGGAUCGCUGCCUCAUCUUUCGGCGCUUCCUCUUGAGCCUCCUCAUCCUCUUCUUCUUCCACUGCAAAGUAAAGUAGCCGCACAGUUCAUUAACACUAGAAAUAUUCCAGGAAAUGCUUAGGAACACAACAAUAAUUCCAAUAUGAAAACUGAGAUAUAGUACUAUGUGACUUGGAAUCAGAAGAUUGAGUGUUUCAUUGGAUAUCAUCACAUGAUUUUCAGAAACACGGACCAAUUGUUCUUCAUCAUAUCCCAAACUGAAGUCAAUUUCAAAGGCAAAUAGGAAAAAACUAUGAUAAGAUAUCUGAAGAACCAGCUAAGCAAAGUAUAGAAUCACAGUCGGUUUGACAUUCAGAAUGAGUAGGAGGAUUUUAUCAUCAAAUAGAUCAGACGCCAAUUGUCUUCCUCAUCAUGCCAACCGACGCAAUUGUUUAUACAAAAAAAAGUAGGGAGAAUGAGCACUCUAGGAGAUGCAUAGGAACAUAACAACAAUUCAAUCAUGAAAAUGGAAAGAUAGUUCAUGUGAUUUAGAAUCAGAAGAUUUGAGUGUUUCAUUGGUUAUCAUCACAUGAUUUUCAGAAACACGGACCAAUUGUUCUUCAUCAUAUCCCAAACUAAAGCUGAUUUCAAAGGCAAAUAGGAAACAACUAUGCUAAGAUAUCUAAAGAACUACUUAAGCAAAGCAGAGAUCUGCAUUCGGUUUGACAUUCAGAAUGAGUAGGAGGAUUUUAUCAUCAAAUAGAUCAGACAGCAAUUGUCUUCCUCAUCAUGCCAACCACACAAUUAUACACAAAACAAACAGCGGGAGAAAACGAGCUAAGCAAUCAGCGUUCUCUCAGACAAAUGCCUCGAUUGUCCACAUGGUGUAAUAGAAUGGAUUACAUCAGACUCGUCAUCUGUUUUAAUCAUCACAGAGAACAAACACAACACUAACAACAUUGUACCGAACACCAGCAGUCAAGCAAAUCUAAUGAAGACACAUGCAGAAAUUGCGUCAAAGAAAGAAGAAGACAAAGUUAGGGGGCAUUGACAAGUAUUCUCUCAGACAAAUGCCUCGAUUGUCCACACGGUGUAAUAGAAUGGAUUACAUCAGACUCGUCAUCUGUUUUCAUCAUCAUAGAGAACAAUAGCCCAGUUGACUUGAGUGACACAGGCGGCCAAACAAAUCUAACCUUAUCCUACAUCUACACAGCAGCAAUCACAAAAUUAAAAGCUUGAAAAAAACCAGAGUUCUCUCAGACAAAUGCCUCGUGUUGUCCCCACGGUUGAAUGGAAUGGAUUGUAUCGGACAUCUAAUCAGUGUUGAUCAUCACGGAGAACCACAAACAAAAAAAAUCCCAUCAAUGCAAAACGCAUCUAGACUCAAAACGAACAAGCUGCAUCUACAAAAUCCAAUGUUCUCUCAGACAAAUGCCUCGAUUGUCCACAUGGUUUAUAGAAUGGAUUGCAUCGGACUCGUCAUCUGUUUUCAUCAUCACAGAGAACCGCAAACACGCAACUACAACUACCGAGCGCGCGCGCUACCGAGAGAACCACUAGAUCACAUCGAGCAGUCGGUUCAAAAGGUAGAGAUGAAUCGGGAACGAACCUUGGCCCUCAUCGCGGAGGUGGCGGCGGCGGCGCAGCAGGCGGACUGGGUCUCGGUAUCUGCUUGCUGCGGCGGCGGCGGAGGUGUACGAGGAUGGCUCUCGCGUGGUACUUAUAGAGGUCGGAAAGGAACCCUAACCCAGGAGGGAUGGACGGCUCAGAUCGAGAUGCGCUGAGUUGGGCCUUGACUCUUUGGCCCAUAUGUAUUUGUAAGAGAUGAUGAUUAGAAUUUUUGGGAGCAACUUUCCUUGGGCCACAGGAGCCUGUUUGGGACUACUUCGCUCCUUAAAAUUUAGUUUCGCUCUAGAAAAUGCAAGCCAAAUGAGGUAGCUCCACGAUAUACCGCUUCGUAAAAAAACUAGAAUCUGAGAGUGUGUCGUGCAUCCAGCCGUCGCCAUGUGUCGCGUGUUGUGCGCAUCUUUGGGAUUUUAUUUUUUAUUUUUACACAUGUUUUUGGAUUUUAUAUGGUUUUUUGUGCUUUUGCUUGGCUUCCUCUUUAUUUUGGCAUAUUUUUUUUCAGAAAGCAACACAUUUGGGCGAGGAGCACAACAUGUGCUUCUCCGAGAAGCACAGUUGUGCUUCCUAGAAAAUAAACACGGUCAUGAAAAGUACAACCUUGCUUUCAUGAGAAAUACAACCUUGCUUCCAGAGAAGAAUAUUUGUGCUUCCCAAAAAUGAAAAAUAGAGCAAUGCUUCCUUGAAAAAGGGAAAAGCACAGUUUGUGCUUCUGCGUGAGAACUACACAUUAUGCUUCCCCGAAUAAAGGGAAAAUCACAGCUUGUCCUUCUGCGUGAGAAGCACACAUUGCCCUUCUCCGAAAAAAGGGAAAAGAAAAGCCUGUGCUUCCUAAAAAAGACUAAAAUGAAACUAUGCUUCCGGGCUUCGGUUUUUAUUCCUUUGGGGGGCUUUAUUACCGUUUUUCUUUCAGUUUCCUUCUUUUUCUUGCUUUUCUUUUUUCGUACAAAAAUUCAUUGAAACAUUGACCUGGGAUCUAGUUUUGAAUCUCAACAUGAGAAAUUCAACGGUGAAAACGGUUCGGGAUUUGGACCCAUGGUUCAAAAGAUGAACUAUUUUGAAGAAACAAAUCUAUUAAAAAAACUCCUAGAUUGCGAGAAGUGACGUAUUGGGUCUCCGUAUCUGCUUGGUGCAGCGGCGGAGGUGUACGAGGAUGGCUCCCGUGUGGUACUUAUUAGAGGUCGUAAAGGAACCCUAACCAAGAGGGGUGGACGGCUCAGAUCGAGAUGCGCUGAGUUGGGCCUUAACUCUUUGGCCCAUAUGUAUUUGUAAGAGAUGAUGACCAGAAUACUUGGGAGCAACUUUCCUUGGGCCACAGGGGCCUGUAUGGGACUACUUCGCUCCUUAAAAUUUAGCCCCGCUUUCGAAAACGCAAGCCAAAUGGAUAGCUCCAUGAUAUACCGCUCCGUAAAAAAAACUAGAAUUUGAGAGUGUGUCGUGCAUCCAACCGCCGCCACGUGUCGCGUGUUGUGCGCAUAUUUGGGAUUUUAUUUUUUAUUUUUGCACAUGUUUUUGGAUUUUAUAUGGUUUUUUGGGCUUUUGCUUGGCUUCCUCUUUAUUUUGGCAUUUUUUUCCAGAAAGCAACGCAUUUGGGCGAGGAGCACAACAUGUGCUUCUCCGAGAAGCGCAGUUGUGCUUCCUAGAAAAUAAACACGGUCAUGAAAAGUGCAGCCUUGCUUCCGCGAGAAGAAUAUUUAUGCUUCCAAAAAAUGAAAAUUAGAGUAAUGCUUCCUUGAAAAAGGGAAAAGCACAGUUUGUGCUUCUGUGUGAGAACCACACAUUAUGCUUCUCCGAAAAAAGGGAAAAGCACAGAUUGUCCUUUUGCGUGAGAAGCACACAUUGCGCUUCUCCGAAAAAAGGGAAAAGAAAAGCCCGUGCUUCCUAAAAAAGGCUAAACUGAAACUAUGCUUCUGGGCUUCGGUUUUUAUUCCUUUUUGGGUUUUUAUUACCGUUUUUCUUUCAGUUUCCUACUUUUUCUUGGUUUUCUUUUUUUCGAAAAAAAGGUUUGUUGAAACAUUGACAUGGGAUCUAGUUUUGAAUCUGGAGGCAAGAAAUUCAACGGUGAAAACGGUUUGGGUUUGGAUGCAUGGUUCAAAAGAUGAACUAUUUUGAAAAAACAAAUCUAUAAAAAAAACUCCUAGAUUGUGAGAAGUGACAUACAUGGACUGCGGCUCUAGUUAGCAUCAUAGAAGGUAGAGAAUGACCUUUGAAAUGGGUACCUUUUAAUUAGUGAUUUUGAGAAUUUUGUAUCCUAUUGUUCAUACCUUCGUUUUGUUUACCCUGCAUUUGGUCCAUGUUCAUUUUAUAAGUCGUAUUUUGGCUUAUCAUAGAAAUUGUUUUUAAGAUACUUUUUUGAGUUUUUUUCAAGAUAUUAGUGAUCAUGCAAUUACGGGUGGACAUAUUAGAGCACCUAUAACCAUAACGCCACUUCCCCCUGAUGUCCAGACGAACAACUUGGACAUUGCCCGGAUCCAAAAACGCUACCCGACCGGGCCCCCCAAAGCCAACUUGUACGUUCGGGCUGUCUGGCAUCCCUCAUAUCCAACCUAUGUGUGACGGAUUUGAGCCUGCCUAGACGCACUCGCAUGUUGGACCAACAUGCAGGACCCCGUGCAGAAAUGCGUCGGUCUGCCCCGAGGCUUAAUAGUUUGUUGUUCGCAUUCAUGGCACCACUUCGGCGUGUCGUGUGAGAGGUCAAGCUCUGUCUAUUAAGUGAGACAAACCCUAGGCACCCUCACACCACCUCCCCCGGUCUGGGUAUUCACACCGUGUGCACGGCCACAUCCCGUCCGUGCCCGAGCUUGUCAUGUGAAAGGGUGUGCACAAAGAUCACAUACUACAAGCUUUUGCCGUCAGAUCGUCGCCCUCAGAUCGUGGCAGUGGUUCGUCUGCAUUGGCCAGGCAUGUAGCCUGCAUAGCGGACGCCCUUUCUCUGACCUCGGAUGAGGACGGGGAUUUAUGCUCGAAUGUGGCUAGGUGAUACAUCACCGUCGUAUCUAUAAUUUUUUAUUGUUUCAUGACAAUGUUUUACAACUUUCAUAUACUUUUGGCAACAUUUUAUAUCAUUUUUUGGAACUAACAUACUGAUCCAAUGCCAGUUCCUAUUUGUUGCAUGUUUUUUGUUUCGCAGAAAAUCCAUAUCAAACGGAGUCCAAACGCGAUAAAAAUUUAUGGAGAUUUUUUUUCGAAUAUAUGUGAUUUUUAGGAAGCGGAAUCAAAGCAAGACGAUGCCAGAGGGGCCCACAAGCCCUUGAGGCGCGCCCCCCUAACCAGGGCGCGGCCAAUGGACUUGUGGCCACCCCGAAGGUCGGUUGGAGGUGUCCUUUGGUCGCAUGGAAGCUUAUAUCCGGAUAAAAAAAACGUGUUAAUAUUUCAGCCCAAUCGGAGUUACGGAUCUCUGGAUAUUUAAGAAACGGUGAAAGGCCAGAAUCUGGGUCACGAAACAGAAGGGAGAGAGAGAGAGAGAGAGAGAGAGAGAGAGAGAGAGAUCCAAUUUCGGAGGGGCUCUCGCCCCUCCACCGCCCGCCGCCAUGGAGGCCAUGAACCAGAGGGGAAACCCUCCUCCCAUCUAGGGGAGAGGUCAAGGAAGAAGAAGGAGGAGGGGGCUCUCUCCCCUCACUCCCGGUGGCACCGGAACGCCGUCGGGGCAAUCAUCGUGUGACGGCAAUCUACACCAACACAUGUGUCAUCUUCCCCAACAUCUUCAUCACCUUCCCCCAUCUAUACAUUCAGCGGUCUAAUACGUCUCCAACGUAUCUAUAAUUUUUUACUGUUUCAUGCUAUUAUAUUAUCUGUUUUGGAUGUUUUAUAUGCAUUAAUAUGUUAUUUCAUAUUAUUUUUGGGACUAACCUAUUAACCUGGACCCCAAUGCCAGUUUCUGUUUUUUCCUUGUUUUCGAGCUUCGCACAAAAGGAAUACUAAACGGAGUCCAAACGGAAGAAAACUUCACGAUGAUUUUUCUUGGACUAGAAGACACCCAGGAAGACCCACGAGGCGACGACAAGGGUGGAGGGCGCGCCCAGGGGGUAGGGCGCGCCCCCUACCUUGUGGGACCCUCGGUGAUCCCCUGACCUAGAUCUUCCUUCUAUAUAUUUGUAAAUAUUCCCAAACCACCAGAAGCAUCCAUGAAAACACUUUUUCACCGCCACAACCUUUGAAGGAAAUAUGCCCUAGAGGCAAUAAUAAAGUUAUCAUUUAUUUCCUUAUUUCAUGAUAAUGUCUAUUAUUCAUGCUAGAAUUGUAUUAACCGGAAACAUAAUACAUGUGUGAAUACAUAGACAAACUGAGUGUCACUAGUAUGCCUCUACUUGACUAGCUCAUUAAUCAAAGAUGGUUAUGUUUCCUAGCCAUGGACAAAGAGUUGUCAUUUGAUUAACGGGAUCACAUCAUUGGAGAAUGAUGUGAUUGACUUGACCCAUUCCGUUAGCUUAGCCCUUGAUCAUUUAGUAUGUUGCUAUUGCUUUCUUCAUGACUUAUGCAUGUUCCUAUGACUAUGAGAUUAUGCAACUCCCGUUUACCGGAGGAACACUUUGUGUGCUACCAAACAUCACAACAUAACUGGGUGAUUAUAAAGGUGCUCUACAGGUGUCUCCAAAGGUACUUGUUGGGUUGGCGUAUUUCGAGAUUAGGAUUUGUCACUCCGAUUGUCGGAGAGGUAUCUCUGGGCCCACUCGGUAAUGCACAUCACUAUAAGCCUUGCAAGCAUUGUAACUAAUGAGUUAGUUGUGGGAUGGUGUAUUACGGAACGAGUAAAGAGACUUGCCGGUAACGAGAUUGAACUAGGUAUUAAGAUAUCGACGAUCGAAUCUCGGGCAAGUAACAUACCGAUGAUAAAGGGAACAACGUAUGUUGUUAUGUGGUUUGACCGAUAAAGAUCUUCGUAGAAUAUGUGGGAGCCAAUAUGAGCAUCCAGAUUCCGCUAUUGGUUAUUGACCAGAGACGUGUCUCGGUCAUGUCUACAUAGUUCUCGAACCCGUAGGGUCCGCACGCUUAAAGUUCGAUGACGGUUAUAUUAUGAGUUUAUGCGUUUUGAUGUACAGAAGGUAGUCCAGAGUCGCGGAUGAGAUCGGGGACAUGACUAGGAGUCUCGAAAUGGUCGAUAGGUAAAGAUCGCUAUAUUGGACGACUAUAUUCGGACUUCGGAAAGGUUCCGAGUGAUUCGGGUAUUUUGCGGAGUACCGUAGAGUUACGGGAAUUCGUAGUGGGCCUUAAUGGGCCAUACGGGAAAGGAGAGAAAGGCAUCAAAGGGUGGCCGCACCCCUCCCCAUGGACUGGUCCGAAUUGGACUAGGGAGGGGGCACCCCCUUCCUUCCUUCUCCUUCUCCCUUCCCUUUCUCCUACUCCAACUUGGAAGGGGGGAAUCCUACUCCCGGUGGGAGUAGGACUCCCCUAUGGCGCGCCCAAGAGAGGGCCGGCCCUCCCCUCCUCUACUCCUUUAUAUACGGGGGAGGGAGCACCCCAUGGAGACACAAAAAUCGAUCCCUUGGAUCUCUUAGCCGUGUGCGGUGCCCCCUCCACCAUAAUCCACCUCGAUAAUAUCGUAGCGGUGCUUAGGCGAAGCCCUGCAUCGGUAGAACAUCAUCAUCGUCACCAUGCCGUCGUGCUGACGGAACUCUCCCUCAAAGCUCGGCUGGAUCAGAGUUCGAGGGACGUCAUCGAGUUGAACGUGUGCUGAACUCGGAGGUGCCGUGCGUUCGGUACUUGAUCGGUCAGAUCAUGAAGACGUACGACUACAUCAAACGCGUUGUGCUAAUGCUUCCGCUUUCGGUCUACAAGGGUACGUGGACACACUCUCCCCUCUCGUUGCUAUGCAUCACCAUGAUCCUGUGUGUGCGUAGGAUUUUUUUUUGAAAUUACUACGUUACCCAACAGUGGCAUCAGAGCCUGGUUUUAUGCGUAGAUGUUAUAUGCAUGAGUAGAACACAAGUGAGUUGUGGGCGAUACAAGUCAUACUGCUUACCAUCAUGUCAUACUUUGGUUCGGCGGUAUUGUUGGAUGAAGCGGUCCGGACCGACCUUACGCGUACGCUUACGCGAGACUGGUUCUACCAACGUGCUUUGCGCAUAGGUGGCUGGCGGGUGUCAGUUUCUCCAAACUUUAGUUGAACUGAGUGUGGCUACGCCUGGUCCUUGAGAAGGUUAAAACAUCACUAACUUGACAAACUAUCGUCGUGGUUUUGAUGCGUAGGUAAGAACGAUUCUUGCUCAGCCCAUAGCAGCCACGUAAAACUUGCAACAACAAAGUAGAGGACGUCUAACUUGUUUUUGCAGGGCAUGUUGUGAUGUGAUAUGGUCAAGACGUGAUGCUAUAUUUUAUUGUAUGAGAUGAUCAUGUUUUGUAACCAAGUUAUCGGCAACUGGCAGGAGCCAUAUGGUUGUCGCUUUAUUGUAUGCAAUGCAAUCGCCCUGUAAUUGCUUUACUUUAUCACUGAGCGGUAGCGAUAGUCGUAGAAGCAAUAGUCGGCAAGACAGCAACGAUGCUACGAUGGAGAUAAGGGUGUCGCACCGGUGACAAUGGUGGUCAUGACGAUGCUUCGGAGAUGGAGAUCACAAGCACAAGAUGAUGAUGGCCAUAUCAUAUCACUUAUAUUGAUUGCAUGUGAUGCUUAUCCUUUAUGCAUCUUAUUUUGCUUGAUUGACGGUAGCAUUAUAAGAUGAUCUCUCACUAAAUUUCAAGGUAUAAGUGUUCUCCCUGAGUAUGCACCGUUGCCAAAGUUCGUCGUGCCCAGACACCAUGUGAUGAUCGAGUGUGAUAAGCUCUACGUCCAUCUACAACGGGUGCAAGCCAGUUUUGCACACGCAGAAUACUCAGGUUAAACUUGACGAGCCUAGCAUAUGCAGAUAUGGCCUCGGAACACUGAGACCGAAAGGUCGAGCGUGAAUCAUAUAGUAGAUAUGAUCAACAUUGUGAUGUUCACCAUUGAAAACUAAUCCAUUUCACGUGAUGAUCGGUUAUGGUUUAGUUGAUUUGGAUCACGUGAUCACUUAGAUGAUUAGAGGGAUGUCUAUCUAAGUGGGAGUUCUUAAAGUAAUAUGAUUAAUUGAACUUUAAUUUAUCAUGAACUUAGUCCUGAUAGUAUUUUGCAUGUCUAUGUUGUUGUAGAUCAAUAGCUUGCAUUAUUGCUUCCCUAUAUUUUUAUAUAUGUUCCUAGAGAAAACUAUGUUGAAAAAUGAUAGUGGCAAUGAUACAGACUAGGUCCAUGAUCUGAGGUGUAUCCUCAUUGCUGCACAGAAGAAUUAUGUCCUUGAUGCACCGCUAGGUGACAGACCUAUUGCAGGAGCAGAUGCAGACGUUAUGAAUGUUUGGCUAGCUCAAUAUGAUGACUACCUGAUAGUUUAGUGCACCAUGCUUAACGGCUUAGAAUAGGGACUUCAAAGACGUUUUGAACGUCAUGGACCAUAUGAGAUGUUCCAGGAGUUGAAGUUAAUAUUUCAAGCAAAUACCCGAGUUGGGAGAUAUGAAGUCUCCAACAAGUUCUAUAGCUAAAAGAUGGAGUAGAGUUGCUCAACUAGUGAGCAAGUGCUUAGAUUGUCUAAGUACUACAAUCGCUUGAAUCAUGUGGGCGUUAAUCUUCCAGAUAAGAUAGUGAUUGGUAGAGUUCUCUAGUCACCAUCACCAAGUUACUGGAACUUCAUGAUGAACUAUAAUGCAAGGGAUGACAAAAAUGAUUCCCGAGCUCUUCGUGAUGCUGAAAUCGACGAUGGUAGAAAUCAAGAAAAGAGCAUCAAGUGUUGAUGAUUGAUAAGACCACUAGUUUCAAGAAAAGGGCAAAGGAAAAGAAAGGGAACUUCAAGUAGAAUGGCAAGCAAGUUGUCACUCCCGUGAAGAAGCCCAAAGCUGGACCAAAGCCUGAAACUAAGUGCUUCUACUGCAAAGGAAAUGGUCACUGGAAGCAGAAAUGCCCUGAAUAUUUGGUGGAUAAGAAGGAUGGCAAAGUGAACAAGGGUAUAUUUGAUAUACAAGUUAUUUAUGUGUACCUUACUAGUGUUUAUAGUAGGCCCUGAGUAUUUGAUACUUGUUCGGUUGCUAAGAUUAGUAACUCGAAAUAGGAGUUAUAGAAUAAACAGAGACUAGUUGAGGGUGAAGUAACGAUGUGUGUUGGAAGUGGUUCCAAGAUUGAUAUGAUCAUCAUCGUACACUCCCUAUAAUUUCGAGAUUAGUGUUGAACCUAAAUAAAUGUUAUUUGGUGUUUGCGUUGAGCAUAAAUAUGAUUAGAUCAUGUUUAUUGCGACACGAUUAUUCAUCUAAGACAGAGAAUAAAUUUUUAUUUUGUUUACACGAAUAAAACCUUCUAUGGUCAUACACCCAAUGUUGAUGGUUUAUUGAAUCUUGAUCAUGGUGAUACACAUAUAAUAUUGAUGCCAAAAGAUGCAAAGUUGAUAAUGAUAGUGCAACAUAUUUGUGGCACUGCCGUUUGGGUCAUAUCAGUGUAAAGCGCAUGAAGAAACUCCAUAAAGAUGGAUUCUUUGAAUCAUUUGAUUAUGAAUCAUUUGAUGCUUGCGAACCGUGCCUUAUGGGCAAGAUGACUAAAACUCCGUUCUCCGGAACAAUGGAACAAGCUAGUGACUUAUCAGAAAUAAUACAUAUUGAUGUAUGCGAUCCAAUGAGUAUUGAUGCUCGUGGCGGGUAUCGUUAUUUUCUGACCUUCACAAGAUGAUUUGAGCAGAUAUGAGUAUAUCUACUUAAUGAAACACAAGUCUGAAACAUUUGAAAAGUUCAAAGAAUUUCAGAGUGAAGUGGAGAAUCAUCGUAACAAGGAAAUAAAGUUUCUACGAUCUGAUCAUGGAGGAGAAUAUUUGAGUUACGAGUUUGGCCUUCAUAUAAAACAAUGCGGAAUAGUUUCACAGUUCACACCACCUGGAACACCACAACAUUAUGGUGUGUCCGAAUGUCAUAACCGCACUUUAUUGGAUAUUGUGCGACGUAUGAUGUCUCUUAUCGGUUUACCACUAUCGUUCUGGGGUUAUGCAUUAGAGACAGUUGCAUUCACUUUAAAUAGGGCACCAUCGAAAUCCAUUGAGAUGACGGCUUAUGAACUAUGGUCUGGCAAGAAACUAAAGUUGUCGUUUCUUAAGGUUUGGGGCUGCGAUGCUUAUGUGAAAAAGUUUCAACCUGAUAAGCUCGAACCUAAAUCGGAGAAGUGCGUCUUCAUAGAAUACCCAAAGGAAACUGUUGGGUAGACCUAUUCGAAGGCAAGAUAUUCGUUGCUAAGAUGGAUCCUUUCUAGAGAAGGAGUUUCUAUUGAAAGAAGUGAGUGGGAGGAAAGUAGAACUUGAUGAGGUAAUUGUACCUUCUCCCUUAUUGGAAAGUAGUUCAUCACAGAAGACAGUUCCAGUGAUUCCUACACCAAUUAGUGAGGAAGUUAAUGAUGAUGAUCAUGAAACUUCAGAUCAAGUUGCUACCGAACCUCGUAGGUCUUCCAGAAUAAGAUCCGCACCAGAGUGGUACGGUAAUCUUGUUCUGGAAGUCAUGUUACUAGACCAUGAUGAACCUACGAACUAUGAGGAAGCGAUGAUGAGCCUAGAUUCCGCGAAAUGGCUUGAGGCCAUGAAAUCUGAGAUGGGAUCCAUGUAUGAGAACAAAGUGUGGAAUUUGGUUGACUUGCUCGAUGAUCAGCAAGCCAAGUUAAAUAAAUGGAUCUUCAAGAGGAAGAUGGACACUGAUAGUAGUGUUACUAUCUACAAAGCUCGACUUGUUGCGAAAGGAUUUUGACAAGUUCAAAGUGUUGAAUACGAUGAGAUUUUCUCACUCGUAAUGAUGCUUAAGUCUGUCUGAAUCAUGUUAGCAAUUGCCACAUUUUAUGAAAUCUGGCAAAUGGAUGUCAAAAUUGCAUUCCUUAAAUAGAUAUUUCUUAAAGAAGUGUUGUAUAUGAUACAACCAAAAGGUUUUGUCAAUCCUAAAGGUGCUAACAAAAUGUGCAAGCUCCAGCGAUCCAUCAAUGGACUGGUGCAAGCAUCUCGGAGUUGGAAUAUACGCUUUGAUGAAUUGAUCAAAGCAUAUGGUUUUAUACAGACUUUUGGAAAGACCUGUAUUUACAAGAAAGUGAGUGGGAGCACUACAGCCUUUCUGAUAAGUAUAUGUGAAUGACAUAUUGUUGAUCAGAAAUAAUGUAGAACUUUCUAGAAAGCAUAAAGGAGUGUUUGAAAGGAGUUUUUUAAAAGAAAGACCUCGGUGAAGCUGCUUGCAUAUUGAGCAUCAAGAUCUAUUGAGAUAGAUCAAGACGCUUGAUAAGAUUUUUCAAUGAGUACAUACCUUGAUAAGAUUUUGAAGUAGUUCAAAAUGGAACAGUCAAAGAAAGAGUUCUUGCCUGUGAUGCAAAGGUGUGAAGUUGAGUAAGACUUAAAACCCAACCAAGGCAGAAAAUAGAAAGAGAAUGAAAAGGUCAUUCUCUAUGCCUCAGUCAUAGGUUCUAUAAAGUAUGCUAUGUUGUGUACCAAAAUUGUUGUAUACCUUGCUCUGAGUUUGGCAAAGGAAUACAAUUUUGAUCUAAGAGUAGAUCACUGGACAGCGGUCAUGAAUAUCCUUAGUAAGGACCAAGGAGAUGUUUCUCGAUUAUGGAGGUGAUAAAAGAGUUCGUCGUAAAGAGUUACAUCGAUGCAAGCUUUUACACCGAUCCAGAUGACUCUAAGUCUCAAUCUGGAUACAUAUUGAAAGUGGGAGCAAUUAGCUAGAGUAGCUCCGUGCAGAGCAUUAUAGACAUAGAAUAUUUGCAAAAUACAUACGACUCUGAAUGUGACAGACCCGUUGACUAAACUUCUCUCACAAGCAAAACAUGAUCAUACCUUAGUACUCUUUGGGUGUUAAUCACAUAGCGAUGUGAACUAGAUUAUUGACUCUAGUGAACCCUUCGAGUGUUGGUCACAUGACGAUGUGAACUAUGGGUGUUAAUCACAUACUGAUGUGAAUAUUGGUGUUGAAUCACAUGAUGAUGUGAACUAGAUUAUUGACUCUAGUGCAAGUGGGAGACUGAAGGAAAUAUGCCCUAGAGGCAAUAAUAAAGUUAUUAUUUAUUUCCUUAUUUCAUGAUAAAUGUUUAUUAUUCAUGCUAGAAUUGUAUUAACCGGAAACAUGAUACAUGUGUGAAUACAUAGACAAACUGAGUGUCACUAGUAUGCCUCUACUUGACUAGCUCAUUAAUCAGAUAUGGUUAUGUUUCCUAGCCAUGGACAAAGAGUUGUCAUUUGAUUAAGGGAUCACUUCAUUGGAGAAUGAUGUGAUUGACUUGACCCAUUCCGUUAGCUUACCACUUGAUCGCUUAGUAUGUUGAUAUUGCUUCCUUCAUGACUUAUACAUGUUCCUAUGACUAUGAGAUUAUGCAACUCCCGUUUACCAGAGGAACACUUUGUGUGCUACCAAAUGUCACAACGUAACUGGGUGAUUAUAAAGGUGCUCUACAGGUGUCUCUGAAGGUACUUGUUGGGUUGGCGUAUUUCGAGAUUAGGAUUUGUCACUCCGAUUGUCAGAGAGGUAUCUCUGGGCAAACUCGGUAAUGCACAUCACUAUAAGACUUACAAGCAUUGUAACUAAUGAGUUAGUUGUGGGAUGGUGUAUUACGGAACGAGUAAAGAGACUUGCCGGUAACAAGAUUGAACUAGGUAUUGAGAUACCGACGAUCGAAUCUCGGGCAAGUAACAUACCGAUGACAAAGGGAACAACGUAUGUUGUUAUGUGGUUUGACCGAUAAAGAUCUUCGUAGAAUAUGUGGGAGCCAAUAUGAGCAUCCAGAUUCCGCUAUUGGUUAUUGACUAGAGACGUGUCUCGGUCAUGUCUACAUAGUUCUCGAACCCAUAGGGUCUGCACGCUUAAAGUUCGAUGAUGGUUAUAUUAUGAGUUUAUGUGUUUUGAUGUACCGAAGGUAGUCCAGAGUCCCGAAUGAGAUCGGGGACAUGACUAGGAGUCUCGAAAUGGUCAAAACGUAAAGAUCGAUAUAUUGUACGACUAUAUUCGGACUUCGGAAAGGUUCCGAGUGAUUCGGGUAUUUUGCGGAGUACCAGAGAGUUACGGGAAUUCGUAGUGGGCCUUAAUGGGCCAUACGAGAAAGGAGAAAAAGGCCUCAAAAGGUGGCCGCACCCCUCCCCAUGGACUGGUCCGAAUUGGACUAGGGAGGGGGGCGUCCCCUUCCUUCCUUCUCCUUCUGCCUUCCCUUUCUCCUACUCCAACUUGGAAGGGGGGGGGGAAUCCUACUCCCGGUGGGAGUAGGACUCACCUAUGGUGCGCCCAAGAGAGGGCCGUCCCUCCCCUCCUCUACUCCUUUAUAUACGGGGGAGGGGGCACCCCAUGGAGACACAACAAUUGAUCCCUUGGGUCUCUUAGCCGUGUGCGGUGCCCCCUCCACCAUAAUCCACCUCGAUAAUAUCGUAGCAGUGCUUAUGUGAAGCCCUGCGAUGGUAAAACAUCAUCAUCGUCACCACACCGUCGUGCUAACGGAACUCUCCCUCAAAGCUCGGCUGGAUCGGAGUUCGAGGGACGUCAUCGAGUUGAACGUGUGCUGAACUCAGAGGUGUCGUGCGUUCGGUACUUGAUCAGUCAGAUCGUGAAGACGUACGACUACAUCAACCGCGGUGUGCUAAUGCUUCUGCUUUCGGUCUACGAGGAUACGUGGACACACUCUCCCCUCUCAUUGCUAUGCAUCACCAUGAUCCUGUGUGUGCGUAGGAUUUUUUUUGAAAUUACUAUGUUACCCAACAACCUUCUGUUCCCGUGAGAUCCCAUCUUGGGGCCUUUUCCAGCACCCUGCUAGAGGGGUUUUGAUCAUGGAGGGCAUCUACAUUAACUGUAUUGCCCUUCCGAUGAAGCGUGAGUAGUCCACCACAGACCUAUGGGUCCAUAGCUAGUACCUAGAUGGCUUCUUCUAUCUCUUUAAUUCUCAAUACCAUGUUCUCCUCGAUGUUCUUGAAGAUCUCUCUGAUGUAAUCUUAUUUUGUAGUGUGUUUGUCGAGAUCUGAUGGAUUGCGGAUUUAUGAUCAGCGUAUCUAUGAAUAUUAUUUGAAUCUCCUCUGAAUUCUUAUAUGCAUGAUUUGGUAUAUUUGUAUUUCUCUUCAAAUUAUCGAUUUGGUUUGGCCAACUAGAUUGGUUUUUCUUGCAAUGGGAGAGGUGCUUAGCUUUGGGUUCAAUCUUGUGUGAUUUCACCCAGUGACAAAGUAGGGGUAGCGAGACACGUAUUGCAUUGUUGCCAUCGAGGAUAAAAGCAUGGGGUUUACAUUAUUGCUUGAGUUUAUUCCUCUACAUCAUGUCAUCUUACUUAAUGUGUUACUCUGUUAUUUAUGAACUUAAUACUCUAGAUGCAUGCAGGAGUCGGUCGAUGUGUGGAAUAAUAGUAGUAGAUGCAGGCAGGAGUCGGUCUACUUGAUACGGGCGUGAUGUCUAUAUUGCAUAAUCAUUGCCUUGGAUAUCAUCAUAACUUUUCCCUUUUCUAUCGAUUGCUCGACAGUAAUUUGUUCACCCACCAUAUUAUUUGCCUUCAAGAGAGCAGCCUCUAGUGAAACCUAUGGGCCCCGGGUCUAUUUUCCAUCAUAUUAGUUUCCGAUCUACUAUUUUGCAAUCUUUUACUUUCAGAUCUAUAAAUCAAAAACCCAAAAAUAUUUUAUCUUUUGUUUAUCUAUCUCUAUGAGAUCUCGCUUUUGCAAGUGACCGUGAAGGGAUUGACACCCCAUUUCUCGCGUUGGGUCCAAGUGUUUGAUUGUUUGUGCAGGUAUUGGUGAUUUGCGCGUUCUUCUCCUACUGGAUUGAUACCUUGGUUCUCAAACUGAGGGAAAUACUUAUCUCUACCUUGCUGCAUCACCCUUUCCUCUUCAAGGGAAAAACAACGGAAGCUCAAGAAUUAGCACGACCCACUCUCCUGUAGCCCGUUGUACUCUCUACCUGAUCAUGGUGCUUUAUGCUUCAUACUAUUAUCCAAUGAUAUGUUGCCAUCCUAUCAUGCUUGAGUAGAUUUUUGUUGUCCUAUCAGUGAUUGGUGAAUUGCCAUGAUUGGUUUAAUUUGCUUGUGGUUAUUAUGAUGUACUUUAGUGCCCAUCAUACGAGCGCGCGUGUGGAUCACACCAUAGGGUUAAUUCUAUGUUGAUAGGACUAUGUAUUCGAGGGCAAGGGUGACAGCAGCUUCAGCCUAGCAUAGAAAUUGAUGCAUACGAGAUUGAAGGGGGACCAAUAUAUCUUAAUGAUAUGGUUGGGUUUUACCUUAAUGAACAUUAUUAGUUGCGGAUGCUUGCUAAUAAUUCCAAUCAUAAGUGCAUAGAAUUCCAUGUAAAGGAUGACAUGCUAGCAGUGGCCUCUCCCACAUAAAAACUUGCUAUCGGUCUAGUAACAUAGUCAAUUGCUUAGGGACAAUUCCGCAACUCCUACCACCACUUUUCCAGACUUGCUAUACUAACUUAAUUGUUUAUUUAUCUAAAUAGUCCCUAGUUCUUACCUACAUGCUCUUUAUUAUCUUGCAAAACUAUCCCACAACACCUACAAAGUACUUCUAGUUUCAUACUUGUUCUAGGUAAAGCGAACGUCAAACGUGUGUAGAGUUGUAUCAGUGGUUGAUAAAACUUGAGGGAAUAUUUGUUCUACCUUUUAGCUUCUCAUUGGGUUUGACACUCUUACUUAUCGAAAGAGGCUACAACUGAUCCCCUAUACUUAAGGGUUAUCACUAGGCUAUCUCGUUGGUCCCAAUGGUUGACCACACCUGCCCUAGGUUUGCGGUAGUCGUUCCGCCUCAUCAUGGAUGAGAAGCACCUCAUGGUAGAGGUGGAGCUUGAGGCAGAACGAGCAGGCACUAUCGCUCUCACCAAGCUCUGCGUCGACCCGGUCUUCAUUGCUGAAAAUCGCGCCAUCUCGAGUCCAUUAAGGAUGAACAGGUGGUGUCAGGCUAUCAAUGAACCGUUGCACGAUCUUCAUCCAUGAUGGAGAGCAAUAAGAGACCUUUGUGGAUGAGGAUGAGGACGAUGAGGGCGAGCAGGUGCCUCCCACCACUGAGAAAUUAUGUAGGGCCUACUUUCUCUGCAUGUUCCAUAGUCCCUAUCCUCCCCCACUGCCCAAGUACAACAUGCUAGCCCAUGAAUCUUGUUUGACGCCUUACAUGUUUCAAAAAAAGAUUGUCAUGGCAUGCACAAUGAGUGAAUAAUGUCAAUAAACAUGAUGACAUGCCCCAUCUCUUGCCAAGUUGUUGUUGUGCCAAUGGUAGCAUCAAUAAAUGCAUCAAAAGAAAAAGGCAGUUGCCCCCGCUUUGCCCCCAGGGGCGACACGGGCGGAUCCUCAGUCUCGCCGCCACUAAUACCACUCCAACGUAUCUAUAAUUUUUAAUUGUUCCAUGCUAUUAUAUUAUCCAUAUUGGAUGUUUUAUAUGCAUUUAUAUGCUAUUUUAUAUUAUUUUUGGGACUAACCUAUUAACCUAGAGCCCAGUACCAGUUUCUGUUUUCCCCUUGUUUUUGAGUUUUGCAGAAAAGGAAUAUCAAACGGAGUCCAAAGGAGCUAAAAAUUUAUGGUGAUUUUUUAUGGACCAAAAGAAGCCCCCGAAGCAAAAUAGUUGGGCCAGAAGAGUCCCGAGUCAACGACAAGGGUGGAGGGCGCGCCCACCUCCCUAGGGCACCCCCUGCCUUGUCGCUGACUCAUGGACCCCCCUAACGUGAAACCGGCGCAAAAAAUUCCUAUAAAUCCAUAAACCCCCAGAAAGAAAACUAGUUUGGGAGUUCCGCCUCCGCAAGCCUCUGUAGCCACGGAAAACCAAUCAGGCGCCCGUUCCGGCACCCUGCCGGAGGGGGAAUCCAUCACCGGCGGCCAUCUUCAUCAUCCUAGUGCUCUCCGUGACGAGGAGGGAGUAGUUCACCCUCAGGGCUGAGUGUAUGUACCAGUAGAUAUGUGUUUGAUCUCUCUCUCUCUCUCUCUCUCUCUCUCUCUCGUGUUCUUGAUUUGGCACGAUCUUGACGUACCGCGAGCUUUGUUAUUAUAGUUGGAUCUUAUGGUGUUCUUCCCUCUCUACCUUGUGAUGAAUUGAAUCUCUUCCUUUGAGGUUUUGUUAUGUCGGAUUGAAUCUUUGGAUGUGAGAGCACUUGGUGUAUGUCUUGCGAUGGGAUAUCCGUGUUGACAAUGGGAUGUUCUAUUGAUCCACUUCAUGUAUAUUUUGGUUAUCAAAUUGCGGAUUCCUGUGGUGACAUUGGGGUAAUAUAUGCAUAGGGGUUGGUACACGUUUUCAUAUUCCUUUCUCCGAUAGAAAUCUUGGGAUACUUUUGAAGUUCUUUGUGUUGGAUUGAAUAUUAUGAAUCUGAAGUUGUUUGAUGCAUAUCAUAUAAUUGACCCACGAAUACGUGUGGUGACAUUGGAGUAUCUAGAUGACAUUAGGGUUGAUUGAUGUGUGUCAUGUGGUGUUAUUUUAGUAUGAACUCUAGGGCUGUUUGUGGCACUUAUAAGAAUAGCCCAAAGAUCGACCAGAAAGAAUAACUUUGAGGUGGUUUCGUACCCUACAAGCAAUUUCAUCUUAUGUUCUCCGUGAUAGGAGCUUUGGAGUGAUUCUUCGUUGCACGUUGAGGGAUUGUCAUAUGAUCUAAUUAUGUUAUCAUUGUUGAGAGAACUUGCACUAGUGAAAGUAUGAACCCUAGGCCUUGUUUCCAAGCAUUGCAAUACCGUUUUUGCUCACUUUUAUUACUAACCUUGCGGUUUUUUAUUUUCAUAUUACAAAGACCUAUAUCUACCAUCCAUAUUGCACUAGUAUCACCAUCUCUUCUCCGAACUAGUGCACAUAUACAAUUUACCAUUGUAUUGGGUGUGUUGGGACACAAGAGACUCUCUGUUAUUUGAUUGCAGGGUUGUUUGAGAGAGACCAUAUUCAUAAUAUGCCUCCCACGGAUUGAUAAACCUUAGGUAAUCCUCUUGAGGGAAAUUUGCUACUGUCCUACAAAACUCUGUGCUUGGAGGCCCAACACGAGUCUACAAGAAGUAGGUUGCGUAGUACUCCCUCCGUUCCUAAAUAUAAGUCUUUGGAGAGAUUCCACUAUGAACCACAUACGAAUGUAUAUAGAUGCAUUUUAGAGUGUAGAUUCACUCAUUUUGCUUCGUAUGUAGUCCAUAGUGAAAUCUCUACAAAGACUUAUAUUUAGGAACGGAGGGAAUAGACACCAAGCUCUUUUCUAGCGCCAUUGCUAGGGAGGUGAGUGCUUGAAGGUAUAUCUUGAGAUCUUGUAAUCGAAUCUUUUCGUUUCUUGUUUUAUCACUAGUUUAAUCUAUAAAAGAAAACUAAAAAAUUGAAUUAAGGUUGCCUCACAUGCUUCAUCUUUUUAAUGUCUUUCAUGAAAAUGAUGGAAUGGAAAAUUGUGCUCAAGUGUUAGAGGAAGAAGUCAAUAGAUUGUUUGGCACUAAAUCUUUGUAUGAUGAGCAUGAUUGCAAUGUUGUUAGUAUGAGUUCCUUGAAUAUCCAUGAUGCUAACGAUAUGCAAAGCUACAAGCUUGGGGAUGCUAUGUUUGAUGAAUAUGAUAUUUUUAGUCCCCCAAGUUUUGAUGAGAAUAUUUAUUAUGAUGAAAGCAUGACUCCUAUUUAUGAUGAUUAUAUUGAUGAAAGUGGGUUUGGAAGAGUGUCAACUUUAGUAAGUAAUGAUCCCACUAUUUUGGAGGGUGUUGAAUCUUAUUAUAAUGAUAAAAGUGGAUUUGGAGAGGCCAUGACUUUAUUUAGUGAUGAAUCCACUAUUUCGGAAGAGGUUCCAAUUGAUUAUGAGAACAAAAGUUGCUAUAUAUGAUGAUUAUUGUGAUGACAUGUAUGCUAUAAAGAAUGAUGAUAAUCAUGAAACUUGUCAUCUUGAUUUUAAUUUUCAAUUGGAUUAUGCCUCACAUGAUAGUUAUUUUGUUGAGUUUGCUCCCACUACUAUUGAUGAGAAGAAAUUUGCUUAUGUGGAGAGUAAUAAAAUAUCUAUGCUUGUAGAUCAUGAAAAGAAUGAUCUGUGUGGUGGUUAUAUUGUUGAGUUCAUUCAUGAUGCCACUAAAAAUUAUUAUGAGGGAGGAAUAUAUGCUUGUAAGAAUUGCGGUAAUAUCAACUUUCCUCUCUAUGUGUUGAAAUUCUUAAAGUUAUGCUUGUUUUGCCUUCCUAUGCUAGUUGAUUCUUGCUCCCAUAAAUUGUUUGCUCACAAAAUCCCUAUGCAUAGGAAGUGGGUGGGACUUAAAUGUGCUAGUCAUAUGCUUCACGAUGCUCCUGUUAUGUUUCAAUUCUUAUCUUUCAUGUGAGCAUCAUUGAAAUAAUCAUGCCUAGCUAGAAAGGCAUUAACAAAAAGCGCUUGUUGGGAGGCAACCCAAUAUUUACCCCUACUGUUUUUGUGUGUUCGUAUGAUUAUGUUACUGUAUUAAUCAUGUUUUAUAGCUUUUGUUUCAAUAAAGGGCCAAGUAAAGCCUUUGGGAUAGUGUGGAUGAUAGUUGACUUGAUUCUGUGCAAAAACAGAAACUUUUGCUCUCAGUCCAGGAAUUUUGAAAAUUCACUAGAAUGUGCUUUUGAUAUGAAUUUUCUACACAUUAAUGAUAUACAAAUUUUCUAUGUUGUUCUAAUUUUUCAGAAUCUUUGGAGAUACAGAAGUAUACGAAGUUUCCUGAUUACUACAGACUGUUCUGUUUUAAACAGAUUCUGUUUUCUAUGUGUUGUUUGCUUAUUUUGAUGAAUCUAUGAGUAGUAUCAGAGGGUAUGAACCAUGGAUAAGUUGGAAUACAGUAUAUAUAACACCAAUACGAAUUUAGAAUGAGUUCACAACAGUACCUAAGUGGUGAUUUAUUUUCUUAUACUAACGGAGCUCAUAAGAUUUUCUGUUGAGUUUUGUGUUGUGAAGUUUUCAAGUUUUGGGUAAAGUUUCAAUGGACUACGGAAUAAGGAGUGGCAAGAGCCUAAGCUUGGGGAUGUCCAAGGCACCCCAAGGUAAUAUUCAAGGAAGAUCCAAGCAACUAAGCUUGGGGAUGCCCCGGAUGGCAUCCCCUCUUUCGUCUUCGUUCAUCGGUAACCUUACUUGAGGCUAUAUUUUUAUCCACCACAUGAUAUGUGUUUUGCUUGGAGCAUCAUUUUCUUUUGUUUAUUUGCUUGUUGUUAUUCAGAGACAUGUUUUAUAUCUUUUAGUUCAAUAAAAAGGUCAAGUAUAGCCUUUACCAUGCUUAUUUUACAAGUCUAUAUGUUGCUGUUUGAAAAUAGAAAGUUUGAUGUUAUGUUUUGAAUAUUGGUGAAUAGUCAGAACAUGAUAAAAUCUUGAAAUUUUUACACAAUAAGGUACAACAAAUUUUCUAAAUUGUGGUAAUUUUUCAGAAUUUUUUGGAGUUCGGGAAGUAUGAUUCCUCUUGCAUUAUUUAUAGACUGUUCUGUUUAGACAGAUUGAUGUUAUGUUUGCAUUGUUUGCAUAUGUUUGCUUGUUAAUUAUUCUAUUUGAGGAUAGGAGUGUUGAAUAUGACGAGGCAUUUAGUAUGCAAUGUCAAAUUAUAAUUUUAGUGAUUCUCUACAGUAGAAAAUGAUAAGGUUUUGCAUUGAUUUAUACUAACUUAUCUCACGAGUUCUUGUUGAGUUUUGUGUGUAUGAAGUUUUUAAGAUUUAGGAAAACCGUGAUACAAGAGGAAUUAAGGAGGCACAAGAGCUCAAGCUUGGGGAUGCCCAAGGAAUCCCUAGUUAAUAUUUCAAGAAGUCUCAAGCAUCUAAGCUUGGGGAUGCCCCGGUUGGCAUCCCACCUUUCUUCUUCAACAAUGAUCGGUCAGUUUUGGUUGAGCCUAAGUUUUUGCUUCUUCACAUGAUAUGUGCUAUCCUUGCAAUGUCAUUUUAUUUUGUUUUGCUUGAUUUUUAAAUAAAAUACUUAAGAUCUAAAUUUUCUAAAUGGGAGAGAGUCUUCACAUAGCUAAAUAAUUGUUUGACUACUCAUUGAUCUUCACUUAUAUCUUUUUGGAGUAGUUUGUCAUUUACUCUUGUGCUUCACCUAUAUCCUAUGAGUAAAUGGUUGAAUGAAUUAGAUACCAUAAAUCUUAAUUUAUAUAUGUUUCAUAUGCUUAUACCGUGGGGAGUAAUGACUUCACUUAUAAGAAGUAGAGGUGGUAAAUUUAUUGAAAGUUAGCAAACAUAGUAUUGGUCAAUUGAACAAUUCAUCAAAGAAUAUUGAAGGAAGAGAGAUUUCACAUAUAAAUAUACUAUCUUGGACAUCUUCUAUGAUUGUGAGCCCCAUUAAUUAUUUUCAAACUUGAUCAAAUUAGUUGAAGUUGGACAAGGAAGACAACUUAAUGAGUUAUGUUUGGGUAUUUUUGUAUAGAAGUUAUAUUGCUAUGGAUCCUCCAACACGUGGUGCUUGAUUUUUAGAAUCUUUUGCUAGCCAAAUUUUUUGUACUAAGUAGAGUUACUACUUGUGCAUCCAAAAACCCUUAAACCAAGUUUCUUCCAUGAGUGUCCACCAUAUCUACUUAUAUGCGGUAUUUACCUACCGUUCCAAGUAAAUUUGCAUGUGCCAAUCUCUAAACCUUCAAAUAAUAAUAUGUUUUGUAUGCCCGAAUUGCUCAUGUAUCGACUAGGGGCUGUCAGUAUCUUCCAUGAUAGGUGGGUUAUUCUCACGAUGAGUGGACUCCGCUCAUCAUUCACAAGAAAAUGGUUGGUAACUGGGAUGCCCAGUUCCAUGCUCAAAUCAAAUCAAAUAUAAUUGCAAACAAAACUCCCCCAGUAUUGUUGAUAGUUGGACGAUACCCAUUGUUUUGGACCAGCCGUGGAAUGUGCUUGUUGGUGGUGGGGGAGUAAAAACUUUACCAUUCUGUUUGGGAACCGCCUAUAAUGUGUCUAGCAUGGAAGAUAACUCUUGGUCGUUAUGUUGACAAUGAAAGCAUACCUCUCAAAAUUGUUUUCAUCUCUGUUUUAAAAGCUUCAAGCUCUGGCACCUCUACAAGUUCAUGCUUCCCUCUAUGAAGGGCCUAUCUUUUACUUUUAUGCAAGAGUUAGUGGUAUUCCUUCUCAUUCCAACCUACUCUUUAGUUGGCAAGCACCAUGUGAUGGGGAAAGAUCUAAGCAUAUAUGGCCAUUCAAAUAUAUUUGAUCAUGAAUUAUUAUUGUUGACAAUUAUCUAUAUGAUAAAUAAGUUGGGAGGCGAAACAUUAAGCCCCUAUCUUUCUCUAUGUUCAAUGGAUGCUAUUUGUUCUAAAAAUAUGCUUUGAGUGGUAGCAACCAUGGAAGACUAUAUAGUUGAGUAUGUGGGAUUUGCUAAAUCAAAGCUCUUACAUAGACCCUUCCUGAAAAUAAGAUGAAUUGCAAUUGUUUGAUGACUGAGAGCAUAAUUUGUUAGUUUUCAAGAAAGUUUAUGGUCUAUGCUUUAACAUGUGAAUAGCUUGUUACUUGAUCAUGGGAAGCUUUAUGCUAUGAGCUACUGUUACGAUAUACAAUGAUGCUAGAAAAAGUGAUUAAAAUUAUCUUUGAUCAAACUUGUGCACUUGCUAGCAUUCCAUAUGAAAAAUUCUUUUUUUACCAUUUACCUACUCGAGGACGAGCAGGAAUUAAGCUUGGGGAUGCUUGAUACGUCUCCAACGUAUCUAUAAUUUUUUAUUGUUCCAUGCUAUUAUAUUAUCCAUCUUGGAUGUUUUAUAUGCAUUUAUAUGCUAUUUUAUAUUAUUUUCAAGACUAACCUAUUAACCUAGAGCCUUGUGCCAGUUUAUAUUUUUUCCUUAUUUUUGAGUUUUGCAGAAAAGGAAUAUCAAACGGAGUCCAAACGAGCUGAAAAUUUAUGGUAAUUUUUUAUGGACCAGAAGAAGCCCCCGAAGCAAAAGAGUUCGACCAGAAGUGUCCCGAGUCAAUGACAAGGGUGGAGGGCAUGCCCACCCCCCCCCUAGGGCACGCCCCCUUCCUUGUCGCUGACUCGUGGAGCCCCCCNNNNNNNNNNNNNNNNNNNNNNNNNNNNNNNNNNNNNNNNNNNNNNNNNNNNNNNNNNNNNNNNNNNNNNNNNNNNNNNNNNNNNNNNNNNNNNNNNNNNNNNNNNNNNNNNNNNNNNNNNNNNNNNNNNNNNNNNNNNNNNNNNNNNNNNNNNNNNNNNNNNNNNNNNNNNNNNNNNNNNNNNNNNNNNNNNNNNNNNNNNNNNNNNNNNNNNNNNNNNNNNNNNNNNNNNNNNNNNNNNNNNNNNNNNNNNNNNNNNNNNNNNNNNNNNNNNNNNNNNNNNNNNNNNNNNNNNNNNNNNNNNNNNNNNNNNNNNNNNNNNNNNGGGGGGGGAUCCAGCACCGAUGGCCAUCUUCAUCAUCCCGGUGCUCUCCAUGACAAGGAGGGAGUAGCUCACCCUCGGGGCUGAGGGUAUGUGCCAAUAGCUAUGUGUUUGAUCUCUCUCUCUCUCUCGUGUUCUUGAUUUGGCACGAUCUUGAUGUACCGCGAGCUUUGUUAUUAUAGUUGGAUCUUAUGGUGUUCUUCCCUCUCUACCUUGUGAUGAAUUGAAUCUUUUCCUUUGAGGUUUUUUUAUGUCGGAUUGAAUCUUUGGAUGUGAGAGCACUUGAUGUAUGUCUUGCGAUGGGAUAUCUGUGGUGACAAUGGGAUGUUCUGUUGAUCCACUUGAUGAAUGUUUGGGUUAGCAACUUGUGGAUUCCGAUGGUGACAUUGGGGUAAUCUAUGCAUAGGGGUUGGUGAUAUGUCUCCAAUGUAUCUAUAGUUUUUGAUUGUUCCAUGUUGUUAUAUUAUCAUUCUUGGAUGUUUUACAAUCAUUUUAUAGUAAUUUUAUAUCUUUUUUUGGGUACUAACCCAUUGACAUAGUGCCCAGUGCCAGUUGAUGUUUUCUUCUUGUUUUUACAUCGCAGGAAAUCAAUACCAAAGGGAGUCCAAACACAGCGAAAUUUUUGUGGAUUUUUUCUGGACCAGAAGACACCGCAUGGGCCAAGAAAGUACCUGAGGGGAGCUAUGAGGGGAGCACAACCCACUAGGGCACGCCUGGGGUCCAGGCGCGCCCAGGUGGGUUGUGCCCACCUCGGUGGCCUCCCGCACCGCCUCUUUGCUCUAUAAAUACCCCAAUAUUCCAGAAACCCUAGGGGAGUCGAUGAAAGUAAAUUCCAGCCGCCGCAAGUUCUAGAAACACCAGAUCCAAUCUAAACACCAUCAUGGAGGGGUUCAUCAUGUCCAUUGGUGCCUCUCCAAUGAUGCGUGAGUAGUUUUUUUGUAGACCUACGGGUCCGUAGUUAUUAGCUAGAUGGCUUCCUCUCUCUCUCUCCCUCUCUCUCUCUCUCUCUCUCUCUCUUGAUUCUCAAUAUAAUGGUCUCUUGGAGAUCCAUAUGAUGUAAGUCUUUUUGCGGUGUGUUUGUUGGGAUCCGAUGAACUUUGAGUUUAUGAUCAGAUCUAUGUUUUUAUCCAUGAAAGUUAUUUCAGUCUUCUUUGAUCUCUUAUAUGCAUGAUUGAUUAUAGCCUCAUAUUCCUUCUCUGAUAUUUGGGUUUUGUUUGGCAAACUUGAUCUAUUUAUCUUGCAAUGGGAAGAGGUGCUUUGUGAUGGGUUCGAUCUUACGGUGCUUGAUCCCAGUGACAGAAGGGGAAACGACACGGAUGUAUCGUUGUUAUUAAGGAUAACAAGAUGGGGUCUAUUUCUACAUAAAUAGAUCUUGUCUACAUCAUGUCAUCAUUCUUAUUGCAUUACUCUGUUUUUCCAUGAACCUAAUACAUUAGAUGCAUGUUGGAUAGUGGUCGAUGUGUGGAGCAAUAGUAGUAGAUGCAGGUCGGUCUACUAAUCUUGGACAUGAUGCCUAUAUAAUGAUCAUUGCCUGGAUAUCGUCAUGAUUAUUUGAAGUUCUACCAAUUUCUCAAUAGUAAUUGUUUUCCCAACGUUUGCUAUUUUUCUUGAGAGAAGCCAAUAGUGAAACCUACGGCCCCCGGAUCUCUUCUUUAUCAUGAUUGCCUUUGCGAUCUAUUUUCCUUUGCUUUUAUUUUCAGAUCUAUUAAACCAAAAAUACAAAAAUAACUUGAUGCACUUUAUUUUAUCUGCGAUCUAUUUAUCCUAUCUAUCACAACUUUAUCACGUCUUCUCGCCAAUUUAUGGCACCGUUACCCGAAAGGGAUUGACAACCCCUUUAACACGUCGGGUUGUGAGUAUUUAUUAUUUGUGUGCAGGGGCUGUUUACGUUGUGUUGCUUGGUUCUCCUACUGGUUCAAUAACUUUGGUCUCAUCACUGAGGGAAAUACCUACCAUCAUUGUGCUGCAUCAUCCCUUCCUCUUUGGGGAAAGAUCGACGUAGUUCAAGCAGGCAUCAAAAGGAAUUUCUGGCGCCGUUGUCGGGGAGGAUCAUCAACAUCAACCAGGUUCCUAAUCAAAAAAUCUCAUCUCCUCACAAUUUACAUUAUUUGCCAUUUGCCUCUCGUUUUUCUCUCCCCCACUUCACAAAAAUUUACCGUUUUAUUCUCCCUCUUUUUCGUUCGCCGUUUUCUCCUCAUAUCUGUUUUUGUGUGCAAUCUUGUUAACCACUUUUUGUCAUUAAGGAUAGUUCUUCCUCUAUUGCAUACACUCCCGAGAACGAGGUUCUUAACUUUAAACAAAGAGGAGGGGAGAAUUUAAAAGAUGCUUGGUAUAGGAUUUGCAAUGCUCAUAAUAUAUCUAUCCGUAAGCAAUCUACCGUUGUUCUUCUUCGUUGUUUUUAUGUGGGCGUCACCACUUGGUAUAGAUUCUUCCUUGAUACGAUUACCGGUGGAAAUUUCUUGACGUGUCCUUCUCUUGGUGCUUUUAAUGCUUUGGGAAAUUUAGUGGGUUCACCACCUCUCAUGAUCAAUGAAACAAUUGUGACCCUCGAGCAUGUUAUGGAAAGACUAGAUGCUAUUGAAAAGAAAAUGCUUACCAAAGAACAUAUUGAAAACUUGGAUAGAAAAAUGCAAAACUACGCUACUAAAAUUGGGUCAAAAGCGUGAGAAAUUUUAAAGUUGUUAGAAGAAAAGGGGACUGUAAUUCAUGAAAGAAUUGAAGAAAGCCCGUCUAGGAUUGAUAAGUUGGAAGAAAUCUUUAGUAAUCUAAUGAAUUCCUCAACUUUAUGCCGAGAAGUUUCGCUAUUUUACUUGCCAAUUCUCCAAAUAAAUCUGGUUGUGUGCUUGAAGAGUUGGGAACUAAAGAUGACAAAACUUAGAUCCUACGCAUUAUGCCUAGCUAGGGGCGUAAAAUGAUAGCGCUCGUUGGAAGGCAACCCAACUUGUAUCUUUUUGAUUUUUGGUUUUCUUGCUGUUCUAAAUAAAAUUCCAAUUAUGCCUCUCAUUAAAUGUCCUUUUGUGGUUUAAAUAAGUGUUUCUGCCAAGCACGGCCUUUGGGAUGAUUUGGGUGUGAGUUGAUUUGAUCUUGCUGAAAAACAGAAACUUUUGCGCUCACAAAAUUAUUUUUCAUUUUUAUCAGAAGAGUUAUUUUGGGUUGUUUCUUUUUGCAAAAGAUUAAUAAACAAAUUAUUCACGUCUUCCUAAUUUUUUAGAACUUUUGGAGUUACAGAAGUAUUCGAAAUAGUCUAAUUGCUACAGACUGUUCUGUUUUUGACAGAUUCUGUUUUCCUUGCAUUGUGUGCUUGUUUUGAUGAUUCGAUGGUUUUCUUUGAAGAGUUUUUGCCAUAGAAAAGUUGGAAUAUAGUAGAUAUAAUGCAAAAAUAAAAUAUGAAUGGGUUGCAACAGUACUUAUAGUAGUGGUUUGCUUUCUUAUACUAACGGAUCUCAUGAAGGUUUUGUUGAGUUUUGUGUGAUUGAAGUUUUCAAGUUUUGCGUGAUCUUGCUGAAGGAAAUAUUCCCUAGAGGCAAUAAUAAAGUUAUUAUUUAUUUCCUUAAUUCAUGAUGAAUGUUUAUUAUUCAUGCUAUAAUUGUAUUAACCGGAAACUUAGUACAUGUGUGAAUACAUAGACAAAACAUAUAGUCCCCAGUAUGACUCUACUUGACUAGCUCGUUAAUCAAAGAUGGUUAUGUUUCCUAAGCAUAGACAUGUGUUGUAAUUUGAUGAACGGGGUCACAUCAUUAGGAGAAUGAUGUGAUGGAUAUGACCCAUCCGUUAGCUUAGCAUUAUGAUUAUGUUAGUUUCAUUGCUACUGCUUUCUUCAUGACUUCAAGUUCCUCAGACUGUGAGAUUAUGCAACUCCUGAAUACCGGAGGAACACUUUGUGUGCUACCAAAUGUCACAACGUAAAUGGGUGAUUAUAAAGGUGCUCUACAGGUGUCUCCGAAGGUGUUUGUUGGGUUGGCAUAGAUCGUUGGCAUAGAUCGAUAUUAGGAUUUGUCACUCCGUGUUUCAGAGAGGUAUCUCUGGGCCCACUCGGUAAUACUCAUCACUAUAAGCCUUGCAAGCAUUGUGACUAGUGAGUUAAUUGCGAAAACCUUUCAGGAUGACGUUACUUAUGUCCAACGGAAACCUUUCAGGAUACCGUUCACACUAGGACACAAUGUACAACCCCAGAAUCUAUUUGUGGAAGCAGUGCGCCAUCCAUGUUACUAGAUGGUAGCAGUUCAGAGGCAACACCACCGGAGAGCAGUCUGGGCACAUAUAUUAUAGUGCUUGAGGCUCUACUAGAGGCAGAAAGAGAUGGUGUGGCUGCCAUGAAUGAGGUAAUCUUUAUCUUGACGCUGGAAAUUACGGAAUUAGCGGCACGCAUUAUGCAAGCAACCCAAGAAUUGGAGGAAGUAAGAAUGUUGCAUUUGAGAACGGAGGAGGUCCUGCUGUUUCUACUAUUUGAAGCCCAAGGUAAUCCCGGUUCUUAUUUAGAUACUAGUUGAAAUUGUCAUUAGAUUAUUGUACUUGCAUGUUGUGUCAUGUCUCCGAAUGGAUUAUGUUGCAAGACCCCCUAUGUUGUCCAUGUGUUGUAAUGAUCCGGAUUUUUUAGGUGAGGUAAUCCUCAAUACUUGUAUGAUUGAAAUAAGGUGAACUGUUUUUCGUGUGAGCAUAUUGUAUUGGAUGAAAUAAUUGUUUGACUCAGAGUGUAUCCAACCUACUGAAUUCGAAGAUCACGGCAUUUCUAAAUCAUAAUCAUAUAUAAAGGUGGAAUAAAUCUUUGUUGUGGUUUUGAAUAAAUAAAUACAAAACGUAUAAUUAUCUAUGGAUAUACGUAAUCGAAUACAAAUUGGAUUUGAAUUUAGUUUGCCAGGGCCCAGGGCAAAUGUGAAUGCUAAUUCUCCCAAGUUUUUAACGAAGCGGCUAAACACCCACUAUAACUUGUGGGCUGCCCGAAGCAAGUGUUUGCGAGAUGGAAAUUACUGUCUACCCCUGACACCUGACAUCCUUAUCGACCGGAUUUACACUACUGUCGAUAGGGGUAGACUAGUAACUUCAAUCAGACGCGACAUGACGGCCUCUGAGCCCAUUCAGACAUGGUGGGCGCCAAACGUGGGCGGCAAAACACAUUUGAUUCAAGCUCGUCUGAAAGACAUGUGUCUCUUCCUCCAUUUCCCCAUUCAUACACGGUGGGCGGCAAAACAAACUCUCCUCGUCCGAAAUUGAUGUAGGCUAAUAUUUUAAAUAGGGGCAGAUGUGUAACUAACAUCAGACGUGACACAACCGCCCUACCUGUCAGCCCCAUUCAUACACCGUGGGCGCCAACCGUGGGUGGCAAAACACCCUCUCCUCGCUCGAAAUAGUUACCGGAAAACAUUUGGGAGAUGCGAGAUUACCGUCCUAUCCCCAACCGACGCGAUGUCCGAAAUUUUAAAUGGGGGAUAAGCUCGUAACUUUCCCCCAUUUCAGAGAAGCGCGUCCCAAAGUUUGAGAUCCCCCCUCCCCCCAUUUCCCCAUUCAUACACCGUCGGAGGCACGACAACCUCCACACUGCGACCAACCUCCUCCGUCCACCACCCCAUCCUCCACCUUGCCGGAGCCGCUACCCCUACCCCGUCGUCCACUGCAAGAGAUGGACGUCUCUCAUCCAUGGCGCUGGACCAGGAUCCUUUCAUCGCCUCCUCUCGCUUCAUCAGCGCCGUCGUCCACCUUGCCGUUGGCGCUCCUACGACCGCCUCGUCCACGGCAACAGGAUAUAUCCCCCGACCCGGCUGUCUGCCGUCUAAAGUCUUCUUCCCCGCCACCGACAGCCAUCGCACCCGCAACACCCUCAACGUAUCAGCAUAGGCCUACACAACAUCGCAAGAGAGGUGGUACUCUUCCAUAUGUGCUUAAGUUAUUGAUCUCACCUGCAAAAUAGAUCGUAAUUUGUUUACUGUACUUUCCUUGUCCGUAUCAAAUCGUAGUGGCUAGUUGAAAGCAAACAUUGGUUGCGAAGUAGCUUUGCCCGGUUUGCACCUUUAGAUCCGCCAUAGCACGGGCACUAUACUCGUAAAGCUUAUGGUUUCCCCCCUUUAUAUUCACUACCAUCAUCGUAGGUGAUUCGUGUCGUGCUAGCACGGCUCCUCAAGACCUCAACCCAAAGCUUACGUGUUGAAAUACGAAUCUGAUAUGAUGCUCAUAUCACUAAAACAGAGAACGUUUAAUUGGUCACCUAAUGUUCCUAUAUUCGUUUCGAAAAGCAUGUGCGCCACCCACUGGUCCAGCUAGUUCCACUUUCCUGAUUUUCUCUUGAUGCUUAGGGUUUUCCCCUUUUAUCUACUAUACUAUGAUCUGCGUAGGUGCUUUCUGUCAUACUAGCAUUACUCCACCCUUCAAGCUAAACAACACGCACUCAGAAUUCGAAAGCUUAGUUGUUCAAAUAUGAUUGUGAUAUGAUACUGAUAUUAGUUAACCAACACAUUUAAUUGGUUAGCUAAAGGUCCCACUUGAGUUUCCAAAUGCAUGUCACGACAUAUAGAGAGACAACAUAAUUGCAUUUCUGUCACUUGUUGACCGUACUUUCUUGUCCAUACCAAAUCUUAGUUGUUAUUUCAAAGCAAACAUUGGUUGCUAACUACCCUUUGCGCGGUUUGCAGCUUCAGAUCUGCCAUCCCACUGCCACGGUCAACACUGUACUCAUCAUGCUUAUGUUUUCCCCAUUUUAUGAUGACCACAAUCAGCCUACGUGGUUCGUGUCGUAAUAGCACUGCUCCACCCAUCGAGCUAAACAAGCUUAGUUGUACAAAUUCAUAUAUGAUAUUAUUGCUGAUAUUAGUAAAACUGAGAGAUGUUUAAUUGGUUAGAUAAAUGUUCCUACUUUAGUUUCUAAAUGCAUGUGAGCCACAUAUGGAGAGACCGGAAAGAAUAGUAUUUCUCUGUGCGCUCUGGUUCAUCAUGGGUGGCCAACCGACAUUGUAUUGAAAGACUUGUAAUAUCUUCAAUCUGCUUGCUCUUCUACUCUUCUUUAAGAUGAUACUCUUCUCUUGCGGUCUACUGGUCAGGUCGAGUUGUUCUCCCUUAGUAUAUUUUGAAUCUUUCAGGUCAGGUCGACUUGUUCUUCUUUACUAUAUGUUGAAGCUGUCAUCUGCGAAGUGUCAUCAUUUCUGGAGCUCUGAUAUUUUGAGUAGUAGGCCACAUUAUAUUAAUGCACACAACAAAUUACAGCAUGCAUGUCAUCUUUUAAAAGAAUUGCAGAGAUAGCAGAAAGGGGUUUACAGGGAGGCAGUAUUGGAUUAGAAUCACUUCUGCAUUACAAAGAAAACCUCACUUGUUUUUAUGUUUUCAUGCAUGUCAGAUAUUGAACAUUAUCAAAAUGAAUAUGAGAAUGGGCGCAUGAGAGGAAUAUUGCGGAACAAUCCAUUGGCUAACAAACUUGGCAUGGUGGAGGAUGGCCUAUCUUAUUCACCCAUCAAGGUGCUUGCUCUAACUUUGCAAAGUUGUAUUGGUCGCACAUAUUUUGCAUCUGACCUCUUGCAUUACUUCCACUUUGUUACACCAUCUGCUUAGUUUAAGCAUCAUAUAUGAGUAUAUGCCAUACCUAUCCAUUUUCUGUACCUUUUCCAUGUGUCGUCACGCUAUGUUUUUCCAGUCAAAUCUUGUUCUUUCGUAAUAGAUGUCCAAAAGGAAGAGGGUGAGUGUAGAUCCUCAAGGAGUACAAACUAGGUAUUUGGAGAAGGUAGUGAUACCUGGUAAAUCAGAUAGAUCAGCAGCCACAGAAAACACAGGCCCAACUGUACCACACUUUACCCCUACUCCAGUGGCCAAACCCCUAUUAGAACUGCUGGGAGCCCAGCGUCAGGUACUGUCUAUGAUAUCAAUUCAAAAUUUGUACUCUUAAAUUUUUGCUUGUGCCUUACCUUCUCUCUUGUAUGAAAACUAAUUUCAGAUGAAUCUCCUUGCUCAAAGGAUCAUACAAUCUCAAAACAAUAAUGGGCUCUGCAUUGCUCUUGUGAGUACCUCUCUCCCUUUUGCCUUGUAAUGUUGUACUUAAUUAAUUGCUAUUUGAUUACGUAUCAUCAGUCUGCACCUGAGCCUCAUUAUCCUCUGUUUCUUCCAAUAUUAUUUGAUCUAUAUUUACUCUUUGCAAAAUGUAGAAUAAUGGCAACGCUUAUAAAGAAUUUUCUUUGGGGAAUUUAUUGAAUUAUCCUUCCACCAACAUGGAGAAGGGCUUUGUCCAGCCCGUGUUAACAUGUAAUGUAAGUUCAUCCUUCUCAGGCCUUCAAACUUUGUUCUAGUAUAUAUUUGGAUAGGCAUCAUUUCCUCCACUGCUGUUUGCUUUGUUGUUUACAUCUGGUUGGAUGUUUGCAACAACUACCAGUUUCAAAUUGUAGUUGUAAAAACAUGUUCCUUAUGCAGAACAGAUCCAUUUAUUUGCUUAUAUAAUUGUGAAACCUGUUACGUGUCUCCUUGUUUCUCUUUUAGAUUCGUAUCUCUUACGCCAGGCAGAAAUUUAGGGAAGAUAGUGAGCCAAACCAUCUUGAGGACAGCGAGAUGACCCCAAGGUCCUGUCUUGAUGAAGACAGUGAGUUGAAGCUACUCACCAGCAGGUGUGAGACAACCUCUGUGCAGUUGCUGCCUCAAUCAGUUCGACUUUUUCAGUCUCAACUUAAAGCGGAAAGGCUUGCUUCAACUCAGCUCCGACUUGAAGUCAAAGAUGCAAUGAAGAUGUCAGAGGACUGCCAUGCACACCAUCAUGCCUUAAAUCUAGUGUUGAUGCAUCUAUCGUUGACACAACUGAGGUCUACUCAGCUUCUUCAGCUGUUUGGGGGGGCCGACCUGGCCAGGCCUAGUGCCUUCUGAAGUGCUCUCAGUUUUGUAUAUUCUUUUGUCGGCGCAUUUAUUUGCACUGGUGGUGAAUUUUGAUGCCCAGUGGAUGUAAUAUGUGUGAUAGCCGUGAUAGCCUAGCAUAAGUUGCUUGCUUAUUUAUUUCCUUGUUGUCUUGUUUAUUUGUUUGCUUGUAGUCAUAGCAGUUCUUUUUCUGCGGUUUGCUAGUGGCUGCAAUAACAGUGGGCCUUCUACAGGCCAUAGAAACAGUGGGCCUUCUACGGGGCAUAGAAAUAAUGGGCCUUCUAUGGGCCAUAGAAACAAUGGGCCUUCUACGGGUCGUAUCAUCAAUGGGCCUUCUACGGGCCGUAUGAUCGGUUGGCCAAACAUGGGCCAAUAACAGGCCGCAAUAUGUUCGUAAACGGGCUAGAGUUGGAAUCAUCCGUUCAUGGGCCGACCAUAACGGGCCAUCGUUAAUAGGCCGUAUUUGAUGACGAUAUGAAAACGGCCCAACAUAUUAACGGACCACAAACGGGCCGAUUGUAACCACGGGCUGAAUUUGGCCCACAAGCAGAAAUUGAUAGUAACGGGCCGUAAGUAAACGAAUGCUGGAAAUGAGCCCAAGAAUAAAUGGGCUCUAAGAAGGCCGAAAGAUAACAUGGACUAGAAACGACCCAAUGGAAUAAUGGGCCGUUAAUGGGUAUAAAGUGAUACAUUGUUCAUUACGGGCCAGUUUCACCAUGGGCCGUUAAUGGGUGUAAAGUGAUACACUAUUCAUUACGGGCCAGUUUCACCACGGGCCGUUAAUAGGUCAAGAGUUACAUAGGGCCUCAUAUGGGCCGAAAGACGUCAUGGGCCAUACAUGGGCCAUAAGUGAAAACGGGCUGGAAUCAUAUUGGAUGGCCCAGAUGACGCUACUGGGCCUAAUUCGAAUAGGGCGUAACGGGCCUUGGGUUAGCGGGCUGUAAAUGGGCUAUAUGCGAACAUGCCGUUAACAGGCUUUACAUGGGCUGGCCCGCCAUCUUUUGACCAAGUCAAAUGGGCCGGCCUUUUCAUAGGAAUGGGCCUCUGUUGGGCCGUGCCACUUGUCGAUGUAUCAUAGGCGCCUUUUGUCCAAUGAGUGGAUGACAUCUGUCCCGAUGAUGAGCCGACACGUGUUUCCUCCAGCCAAUGAUGAUUUUACAUGUGGAAAAUCCCCAUUGGUCGGGGCUAUUAACGGGUUAUCGGAUCCAAAACCCAACCCGAUAGCUUAACAGUGUUCCAUUACGGUGGAUGCCACGUGUCGGUCACCCUUGACGAAAGCACUUCUGUGACGCGUGAUUUAUCGUCAUGGAAGUGGACACUUCCGUGAUGAUAAUUUUGGUAAUGUCAUGGAACACUUCUACGACAGCACAGGUAUGACUAUCUUGAUUCUGUCAUAAAUUUGUCAUGGAUGUACAUGCAUGACAAAGAACCCGACCUACUGUGACAAACACGUAUCAUCACGGAAGUGUAUUUUUUUGUAGUGUCUCCCUCUUCCUUCUUCUCCUACUCCAACUAGGGAAGGGGGAGACCUACUCCUACUGGGAGUAGGACUCCCCCCCUUGGGGGCGCCAUAGAGGGCCGGCCCUCCCCCUCCUCCACUCCUUUAUAUACGGGGGAGGGGGCACCCCAAAGGACACACAAGUUGACAAUUGUUUUAGCCAUGUGCGGUGCCCCCUCCAUAGAUUUCCACCUCGGUCAUAUCGUCGUAGUGCUUAGGCGAAGCCCUGCGCCGGUAACUUCACCAUCACCGUCACCACGUCGUCGUGCUAACGAAACUAUCCCUCGACCUCAGCUGGAUCUAGAGUUCAUGGGACGUCAUCAAGCUGAACGUGUGCAGAUCACGGAGGUGCCGUACCUUCAGUGGUAGGAUCGGUCGGAUCAUGAAGACGUACGACUACAUCAACCGCGUUGUCAUAACGCUUCCGCUUUCGAUCUACGAGAGUACGUAGACAACACUCUUCCCUCUCAUUGCUAUGCAUCACCUAGAGAUAGAUCUUGCGUGAUCAUAGGAUUUUUUUUGAAAUUACCGUGUUCCCCAAUAGUGGCAUCCGAGCCAGGUCUAUGCGUAGAUGUUAUAUUUACGAGUAGAACACAAAGAAUUGUGGGCGAUAAUAGUCAUACUGCUUACUAGCAUGUCAUACUUUGAUUCGGCGGUAUUGUUGGAUGAACCGGCUCAGACCGACAUUACGCGUACGCUUACGUGAGACUGGUUCUACCGACGUGCUUUGCACAUAGGUGGUUGGUGAGUGUCUGUUUCUCCAACUUUAGUUGAAUCGAGUGUGGCUACGCCUGGUCCUUGUUGAAGGUUAAGACGACACACUUGACGAAAAAUCAUUGUGGUUUUGAUGCGUAGGUAAGAACCGUUCUUGCUAGAAUCCCGUAGCAGCCACGUAAAACUUGCAACAACAAAGUAGAGGACGCCUAACUUGUUUUUGCAGGGCUUGCUGUGAUGUGAUAUGGUCAAGGCAUGAUGUGAUAUAAAUUGGUGUAUGAGAUGAUCAUGUUUUGUAACAAAGUUAUCGGCAACUGGCAGGAAUCAUAUGGUUGUUGCUUUAUUGUAUGCAAUGCAAUCGCCAUGUAAUUGUUUUACUUUAUCACUAAGCGGUAGCGAUAGUCGUAGUAACAAUAGUUGCCGAGACGACAACGGUGCUACGAUGGAGAUCAAGGUGUCGCGUGAUACGUCUCCAAUGUAUCUAUAAUUUUUGAUUGUUCCAUGCUAUUAUAUUACCCAUUUUGGAUGUUUAUGGGCUUUACUAUACACUUUUAUAUCAUUUUUGGGACUAACCUACUAAUCGGAGGCCCAACCCGAAUUGCUGUUUUUUUGCCUAUUUCAGUGUUUCGCAGAAAAGGAAUAUCAAAUGGAGUCCAAACGGAAUGAAACCUUCGGGAGUGAUCUUUUUGGAACAAACGCAAUCCAGGAGACUUGGAGUGGACGUCAAGUAGCAAACGAGGCGGCCACGAGGGUGCCCGGCGCACCCUAGAGGGGUGGGCACGCCCCCAACCCUCGUGGGCCCUUCAUGGCUCAACCGACCUACUUCUUCCUCCUAUAUAUAUCCACAUACCCUGAAACCAUCCGGGAGCACCACGAAAAACUAUUUCCACCGCCGCAACCUUCUGUAUCCGCGAGAUCCCAUCUUGGAGCCUUCGCCGGCGCUCCGCUGGAGGGGAAAUCGACCAUAGAGGGCCUCUCCAUCAUCACCAAGGCCUCUCCAAUGAGUUGCGAGUAGUUUACCACACACCUUCUCCAUAGUUAUUAGCUAGAUGGCUUCUUCUCUCUCUUUGAAUCUCAAUACAAAGUUCUCCUCGAUCUUCUUGGAGAUCUAUCUGAUGUAACUCUUUUUGCGGUGUGUUUGUCGAGAUCCGAUGAAUUGUGUGUUUAUGAUCAAGUUUAUCUAUGAGAAAUAUUUGAAUCUCCUCUGAAUUCUUUUAUGUAUGAUUGGUUAUCUUUGCAAGUCUCUUUGAAUUAUCAGUUUGGUUUACCUACUAGAUUGAUCUUUCUUGCAAUGGGAGAAGUGCUUAGCUUUGGGUUCAACCUUGCGGUGUCCUUUCCUAAUGACAACAGGGGCAGCAAGGCACGUAUUGUAUUGUUGCCAUCGAGGAUAAAAAGAUGGGGUUUAUAUUACAUUGCUUGAGUUUAUCCCUCUACAUCAUGUCAUCUUUCUUAAUGCAUUACUCUAUUCUUAUGAACUUAAUACUCUAGAUGCAGGCAGGAGUCGGUCGAUGUGUGGAGUAAUAGUAGUAGAUGCAGGCAGGAGUCGGUCUACUUGUUGCGGACGUGAUGCAUAUAUACAUGGUCAUGCCUAGAUAUUCUCAUAACUAAGCACUUUUCUAUCAAUUGCUCGACAGUAAUUUGUUCACCCACCGUAAUACUUAUGCUAUCUUGAGAGAAGCCACUAGUGAAACCUAUGGCCCCCGGAUCUAUUCUCUAUCAUAUAAGUUUCGAAUCUACUUUAUUUUGCAAUCUUUACUUUUCAAUCUAUAUCAUAAAAAUACCAAAAAUAUUUAUCUUAUCAUAUUAUCUCUAUCAGAUCUCACUUUUGCAAAUGGCCGUGAAUGGAUUGACAACCCCUUUAUCGCGUUGGUUGCGAGGUUCUUGUUUGUUUGUGUAGGUACGAGGGACUUGCAUGGAGUCUCCUACUGGAUUGAUACCUUGGUUCUCAAAAACUGAGGGAAAUACUUAUGCUACUUUGCUGCAUCACCCUUUCCUCUUCAAGGGAAAAACCAACGCAUGCUCAAGAGGUAGCAAGAAGGAUUUAUGGCGCCAUUGCCGGGGAGAUCUUCGCUCAAGUCAAGAGAUACCAAGUACCCAUCACAAACUCAUCUCCCUCGCAUUACAAUUUUUGUCAUUUGCCUCUCGUUUUCCUCUCCCCACUUCACCCUUACCGGUUUAUUCGCCCUCUCUUUUCCAUUAGCCUCUUUUUCGCUUGCCUCUUGUGUGCUUGUGUGUUGGAUUGCUUGUCACGGUGGCUCAAGAUAAUACUAAAUUGUGUGAUUUUUCUAAUACCAAUAAUAAUGAUUUCCUUAGCACUCUGAUUGCUCCUCUUAAUGAUGUUGAAUCUUGUGAAAUCAAUGCUGCCUUGUUGAAUCUUGUUAUGAAAGAUCAAUUCUCUGGCCUUCCUAGUGAAGAUGCCGCUACUCAUCUAAACAAUUUUGUCUAGUUGUGCGAUAUGCAAAAGAAGAAAGACAUGGAUAAUGAUAUUGUUAAAUUGAAGUUAUUUCCAUUUUUGCUUAGAGAUCAUGCUAAAACUUGGUUUUCUUCUUUGCCUAAAAAUAGUAUUGACUCAUGGAAUAAGUGUAAAGAUGCUUUUCUCUCUAAGUAUUUUCCUCCCGCUAAAAUCAUCUCUCUUAGAAACGAUAUUAUGAAUUUUAAGCAACCUGAGCAUGAGCAUGUUGCACAAUCUUGGGAGAGGAUGAAAUUAAUUAUUCGUAAUUGCCCUACACAUGGUUUGAAUUUAUGGAUGAUUAUACAAAAAAUUUAUGCCGGAUUGAAUUUUGCUUCUAGAAAUCUUUUAGAUUCGACCGCGGGAGGCACUUUUAUGGAAAUCACUUUAGGAGAAUCUACUAAAAUCCUAGAUAAUAUUAUGGUUAAUUAUUCUCAAUGGCAUACCGAAAGAUCUACUAGUAAAAAGUGCAUGCGAUAGAAGAGAUUAAUGUUUUGGGUGGAAAGAUGGAUGAACUUAUGAAGUUUUUUGCUACUAAGAGUGCUCCCAUUGAUCCUAAUGAUAUGCCUUUGUCUACUUUGAUUGAGAAUACUAAUGAAUCUAUGGAUGUGAAUUUUGUUGGUAGGAAUAAAUUUGGUAACAAUGCUUAUAGAGGAAGCUUUAAUCCUAGGCCAUUUCCUAGUAAUUCCUCUAAUAAUUAUGGUAAUUCCUACAACAAUUCUUAUGGAAAUUUUAAUAAGAUGCCCUCUAAUUUUGAGAAUAGUGUUAAAGAAUUUAUGAUCUCUCAAAAGAAUUUUAAUGCUUUGCUUGAAGAAAAAUUGCUUAAAGUUGAUGAAUUGGCUAGGAACAUGGAUAGAAUUUUUCUUGAUGUUGAUUCUUUGAAACUUAGAUCUAUUCCACUUAAGCAUGAUAUCAAUGAGUCUCUCAAAGCCAUGAGAAUUUCCAUUGAUGAGUGCAAAGAAAGAACCGCUAGAAUGCGUGCUAAGAAAGAUUGCUUUGUAAGAGUGUGUUCUUCUAAUUUUCAUGAUAAUAACGAUGAAGAUCUAAAAGUUAUUGAUGUGUCUCCUAUUAAAUCCUUGUUUUGCAAUAUGAACCUUAAUAAUGAUGGGAUUGGAGAUGAGUCAACUUUAGUUAAAAAGCGUCCCAAUGAUUUGGAGUCUUUUGAUCUUGAUGCUAAAAUUGGUAAAAGUGGGAUUGGAGAGAUUAAAACUUUACAUAGCAAUGAACCUACUACUUUGGAUUUCAAGGAAUUUAAUUAUUAUAAUUGUUCUUUAAUAGAUUGUAUUUCCUUGUUGCAAUCCGUGUUGAAUUCUCCUCAUGCUUAUAGUCAAAAUAAAGCUUUUACUAAACAUAUCGUUGAUGCUUUAAUGAAAUCUUAUGAGGGAAAACUUGAAUUAGAGGUUUCUAUCCCUAGAAUACUUUAUGAUGAGUGGGAACCUACUACUAAAAUUAAAAUAAAAUAUCAUGAAUGCUAUGCUUUGUGUGAUUUGGGUGCUAGUGUUUCUACGAUUCCAAAAAUUUAUGUGAUGUGCUAGGUUUCCGUAAAUUUGAUGAUUGCUCAUUCAACUUGCACCUUGCGGAUUCCACUAUUAAGAAACCUAUGGGAAGGAUUAAUUAUGUUCUUAUUGUUGCAAAUAGGAAUUAUGUGCCCGUGGAUUUUAUCGUUCUUGAUAUAGAUUGCAAUCUUUCUUGUCCUAUUAUUCUUGGUAGACCUUUCCUUAGAAUGAUUGGUGCAAUUAUUGAUAUGAAGGAAGGAGAUAUUAGAUUCCAAUUUCCAUUAAGGAAAGGCAUGGAACACUUUCCUAGAAAGAAAAUUAAAUUACCUUAUGAAUCUAUUGUGAGAGCCACUUAUGAAUUGAAUGCCAAAAUGGCAACACUUAGAUCUAUCUUUGCUUUUAUGCCUAGCUAAGGGCGUUAAACGAUAGCGCUUGUUGGGAGGCAACCCAAUUUUAUUUUUGUUCCUUGCUUUUUGCUCCUGUUUAGUAAUAAAUAAUUCAUAUAACCUCUGGUUAGAUGUGGUUUUAUGUUUUAAUUAGUGUUUGUGCCAAGUAAAACCUAUAGGAUCAUCUUGGGUGAAAGUUAAUUUGAUUCUGCUGAAAAACAGAAAGUUUUGCGCUCACGAGAAAAAAUCUAAUAAAUCACGGAAACACGAUUUUGAGUUGAUUAUUUUUUCAAUAGAUCAAUAUACAAAUUACCUAGGACUUCCUAUUUUGGUAGGAUUUUUAGGGUUCCAGAAGUAUUCGAAAGUUACAGAUUGCUAUAGACUGUUCUGUUUUUGACAUAUUCUGUUUUUCGUGUGUUGUUUGCUUAUUUUGAUGCAUCUAUGGUUAGUAUCAGGAGGUAUGAAGCAUAGAGAAGUUGGAAUACAGUAGGUUUAACACCAAUAUAAAUAAAUAAUGAGUUCAUUACAGUACCUUAAGUGGUGGUUUUUCUUUCUUGCACUAACGGAGCUCAUGAGAUCUCAUGUUGAGUUUUGUGUUGUGAAGUUUUCAAGUUUUGGGUAAAGAUUUGAUGGACUAUGGAAUAAGAAGUGGCAAGAACCUAAUCUUGGGGAUGCCCAUGGCACCCCAAGAUAAUUCAAGUACAACAAAAAGCCUAACCUUGGGGAUGCCCCGAAGGCAUCCCCUCUUUCGUCUUCGUCUAUCGAUAACUUUACUUGGAGCUAUAUUUUUAUUUACCGCAUGAUAUGUGUUCUGCUGGGAGCGUAUUGUAUGAUAUGAGUCUUUGCCUUUUAGUUUACGACAAUCAUACUUGCUGUACACACCUUUUGGGAGAGACACACAUGAUUCGGAAUUUAUUAGAAUACUCUAUGUGCUUCACUUAUAUCUUUUGAGCUAGACAGUUUUGCUCUAGUGCUUCACUUAUACCUUUUUAGAGCACGGCGGUGGUUUUAUUUUGUAGAAACUAUUGAUCUCUCAUGAUUCACUUGUAUUAUUUUGAGAGUCUUUUAAGAACAGCAUGGUAUUUGCUAUGGCUAAAAAUUGGUCCUAAUGUGACGAGCAUCCAAGUUGGGAAUAAUAAAAACUAUCAUAGGAAGUGAAUUGGAUGCUAUGAUCAAUUUAAUGCUUGAUAAUUGUUUUGAGAUAUAAAGGUGGUAAUAUUAGAGUCAUGCUGGUUGGGUAAUUAUGAAAUUGAGGAAUACUUGUGUUGAAGUUGGCAAAUCCCGUAGCAUGCAUGUAUGGUAAAAGUUGUGUAACAAAUUUAUUGCAUGGGGUGCUCUUUUGAUUGCCUUCCUUAUGUGUGGAGGUCGGGGGUGCGCGGUGGUUAACUCCUACCAACCUCCCCCCCUAGGAUCAUGCGUAGUAGUACUUUGCUUCGAGGGCUAAGAAAACUUUUGCAAUAAGUAUAUGAGUUCUUUAUGACUAAUGUGAGUCCAUGGAUUAUACGCACUCUUACCCUUCCAUCAUUGCUAGCCUCUUCAAUACCGUGCAUUGCCCUUUCUCACCUUGAGAUUUGGUGCAAACUUCACUGGUGCAUCCAAACCCUGUGAUAUGAUACGCUCUAUCACACAUAAACCUCUUUAUAUCUUCCUCAAAACAGCCACCAUACCUACCUAUUAUGGCAUUUCCAUAGCCAUUCCGAGAUAUAUUGCCAUGCAACUUUCCACCGUUCCAUUUAUCAUGACACGUAUCAUCAUUGUCAUAUUGCCUUGCAUGAUCAUGUAGUUGACAUCGUAUUUGUGGCAAAACCACCGUGCAUAAUUUUUCAUACAUGUCACUCUUGAGUCAUUGCCCAUCCCGGUACACCGCCGAAGGCAUUCAUAUAGAGUCAUAUCUUGUUCUAGUUUCGAGUUGUAAUUCAUGUGUUGUAAAUAAAUAGAAGUGUGAUGAUCAUCAUUAUUAGAGCAUUGUCCCUUACAAAAAAGAAAAAAAAGAAGGGCCAAAAAAGGAAAAAAAAGGGGGACAAUGUUACUAUCCUUUUCCACACUGGUGCUUCAAAGUAGCACCAUGUUCUUCAUAUAGAGAGUCUCUUAUGUUGUCACUUUCAUAUACUAGUGGGAAUUUUUCAUUAUAGAACUUUUGGCUUGUAUAUUCCAACGAUGGGCUUCCUCAAAAUGCCCUAGGUCUUCAUGAGCAAGCAAGUUGGAUGCACACCCACUUAGUUUCUUUUGUUGAGCUUUCAUACAUUUAUAGCUCUAGUGCAUCUGUUGCAUGGCAAUCUCUACUCCUCAUGUUGACAUCAAUUGAUGGACAUCUCCAUAGCCCAUUGAUUAGCCUCGUCAAUGUGAGACUUUCUCUUUUUUGUCUUCUCCACACAACCUCCAUCAUCAUAUUCCAUUCCACCCAUAGUGCUAUAUCCAUGGCUCACGCUCAUGUAUUGCGUGAGAGUUGAAAAAGGCUGAAGCGCGUUAAAAAGUAUGAACCAAUUGCUUGGCUGAAAUCGGGGUUGUUCUUGAUGGGAGUAUUUUGUGUGAUGAAAAUGAAACAUAGCCUAACGAUAUGAUUUUGUAGGGAUGAACUUUCUUUAGCCAUGUUAUUUCGAGAAGACAUGAUUGCUUAGUUAGUAUGCUUGAAGUAUUACUAUUUCUUAUGUCAAUACGAACUGUUAUUUUGAAUCAUUUGGAUCUGAACAUUCAUGCCACAAUUAAGAAAAUUACAUUAAGAAAUGUGCUAGGUAGCAUUCCACAUCAAAAAUUCUGUUUUGAUCAUUUACCUACUCAAGGAGGAGUAGGAAUUAAGCUUGGGGAUGCUUGAUACGUCUCCAACGUAUCUAUAAUUUUUGAUUGUUCCAUGCUAUUAUAUUACCUAUUUUGGAUGUUUAUGAUACACUUUUAUAUCAUUUUUGGGACUAACCUACUAACCGGAGGCCCAGCCCGAAUUGCUGUUUUUUUGCCUAUUUCAGUGUUUCGUAGAAAAGGAAUAUCAAUCGGAGUCCAAACAGAAUGAAACUUUCGGGAGUGAUCUUUUUGGAACAAACACAAUCCAGGAGACUUGGAGUGGACGUCAAGCAGCAAACGAGGCAGACACGAGGGUGCCCGGUGCGCCUUAGGGGGGUGGGCGUGCCCCCACCCUCGUGGGCCCCUCGUGGCUCAGCCGACCUACUUCUUCCUCCUAUAUAUAUCCACGUACCCUGAAACCAUCCGGGAGCACCACGAAAAACUAUUUCCACCACCACAACCUUCUAUAUCCGCGAGAUCCCAUCUUGGAGCUUUCGACGGUGUUCCGUCGGAGGGGGAAUCAACCACAGAGGGCCUCUCCAUCAUCACCAAGGCCUCUCCGAUGAGUUGUGAGUAGUUUACCAUAGACCUUCGGGUCCAUAGUUAUUAGCUAGAUGGCUUCUUCUCUCUAUUUGAAUCUCAAUACAAAUUUCUCCUCGACCUUCUUAGAGAUCUAUUCGAUGUAACUCUUUUUGCGGUGUAUUUGUCGAGAUCCGAUAAAUUGUGGGUUUACUAUCAAGUUUAUCUAUGAGAAAUAUUUGAAUCUCCUCUGAAUUCUUUUAUGCAUGAUUGGUUAUCUUUGCAAGUCUCUUCGAAUUAUCAGUUUGGUUUACCUACUAGAUUGAUCUUUCUUGCAACGGGAGAAGUGCUUAGCUUUGGGUUCAAUCUUGCGGUGUCUGAGGGAGUCCCGGAUUAGGGGGUGUCUGGAUUGUCGGACUAUGACCUUUGGCUAGACUCCUGGACUAUGAAGAUACAAGAUUGAAGACUUCGUCCCGUGUCCGGAUGGGACUUUCCUUGGCGUGGAAGGCAAGCUUGGCGAUACGGAUAUGUAGAUAUCCUCCCAUUGUAACCGACUCUGUGUAACCCUAGCCCUCUCCGGUGUCUAUAUAAACCGGAGGGUUUUAGUCCGUGGGACGAACAACAAUCAUACCAUAGGCUAGCUUCUAGGGUUUAGCCUCUCUGAUCUCGUAGUAGAUCUACUCUUGUACUACCCAUAUCAUCAAUAUUAAUCAAGCAGGAGUAGGGUUUUACCUCCACCGAGCGGGCCCGAACCUGGGUAAAAACAUCAUGUCCCUUGUCUCCUGUUACCAUCCGCCUAGACGCAUAGUUCGGGACCCCCUACCCGAGAUCCGCCGGUUUUGACAUCGACAUUGGUGCUUUCAUUGAGAGUUCUGUUGUGCCGUCUCCAUCAGGAAGGAUGCCUCAUCCCGUCUUUAAAGACGGCGCUGUCGCUAAAGGAGCUUUGGCUAUCGGCCAAACUCUCCGGCUAGGCGGUUUUCUUAUGACCGCCUGUUCGGCCGCCGCGCCGACAUGACUUCUCGGGUCAUCGAAAGCAAUCUCCACGUCAACUCGGAACUCGCCGAGCAGUUAGAUCCGAUGGAGCUCUUUUCCUUAAACGAGCUCUUGGAUCGCAUCGCCGCCCUGGGAGUCGCUACAGACUACGAUCAGAUUGGGCUUAAACCCGAUCUAAGAGAGAUUAACUCUCCCCAGGUCACCCACCAUGUCGCAGUGGUGGAGGAACAACGCGUCAAGUCUUCAUCUAUCUUAAGGACUAGUUAUGUCCGGAUUCCCGACCCCUCCAAGCCGGAUACCCGCGGAGGGGAGGACGUCACUCAAGCCCUGAACCUAAAGUCAGGCAGCGGGCUAGAUUCAUUGGACAACAUCCAAGAACCCAAGCUUCCGAGUUCGGAAACUCCUUGGCCCCUGAGUCUCAGAUUGGGCGAGGUUCCGGAUUUAAUUCCACCCGCCCACCCAAAUAUAAGGGAUCUAUCCCAAAUUCGGCAAGCGCCCGCAGAAAUAGUACACCAUUACUGGGCCAGAUUCCUCCUGGUUAUGAACAUGAUAAAGGACUUCCGCGAGGAGGAUGCAAUUUCAUUCUUCUGCAAUAAUUGCACGGACAACGGAAUCCUCAACGCCGUAAGUCGCCGUGAAAUUACACGCUUCGCCGACUUGGCAUCCAUAGUAUGAAAGUACUGUGCGAUGGAAAGCGCCUGGAAAACCGAAAUAAAAUUUUGGGACAAUCCGGCCCUGAAUACAACCCCAGUCCGAAAUAAAAGGGUGCAUUAUCACCAGGCACCUGGGUUAAACACCAAAAAGCAAAAACCCUCUAUAGGGCAUGGAACCGUACUGGAGGGAUGGCUCAAUGGACCUUGUAAAAUUCAUAGUACAUAGGGCACCACACAAACUCAUAGCCUUAGAGCAUGUUGGAUACUCCGGCAGGUGGCCAGGAGUGGCGAGGAGCUUCUAACUCCAAAAUUCACAGAGCACCGGCCCAGGGAUACCAGUACAGUAUUAACAGUCUUUGAGACUUUCGCAUCAAAUAAUAUGCGGAAACGAACACUCCGCAACCUUGCCGAAGUCUACCAAGUAGCAAUAAUAAACCCAUGGAGUGACACAGAUAUUACCUUUAAUGCCAGUGAUGAACCUAAAUUCCGAACAGCCCGAGCACCACGCAUUGGUCCUCAGUCCAAUAGUGGACGGCUUUCGCCUUACCAAGGUACUCAUGGACGGUGGCAGCGGAUUGAACCUCAUUUAUGAGGAAACCCUUCAAAAAAUGGAAAUAGACUGGAGCCGCAUUGAGCGAAGCAACACAACCUUUAGAGGAAUAAUCCCCGGUCGGGAAGCGUGCUGUACAGGAAAAAAUCACACUGGAUGUGGUGUUCGGCAUGCCGGAUAAUUACCGGUCCGAGGAGGUCACGUUUCAAGUGGCCCCGUUCAGCAGCGGGUACCACGCUCUAUUAGGGCGAGAGGUUCACAAUUUUUCAAGCUAUACCCCAUUACGGGUACAUGAAACUCAAAAUGCCCGGACCCAACGGAAUCAUCACUCUUGCUAGCGACCCGGACAUAGCACUCCACGUCAAAAAUAAGACAGCCGCACUGGCCCUUGAGGCACUAUCCGAAGCCCUGGCGGCCGAGGAACUGACUGCGCUGCGCUCCAUGGUGAACAGGGAUGAUGUGAUACUCGAUAAGAGAUCCAAGUCCACCUUCUUUAAACCGGCGGACGAAAUAGUAAAAUUCCAAGUCCAUCCAAUGGACCCUACAAAAACGGCCUCCAUCGGGGCACACUUAAACCCUGAUGUAGACACCGCACUACGAGAAUUCCUACGCGAAAAUUGGGACAUUUUUGCAGGCUCUUCGGCGUUUCUCCGAACCUAAGAGACAAGCCAUGGGAGAGGAGCUAGACAAACUACUGGAGGCCAGAUUCAUCAGAGAUAUAAAACAUCCGGACUAGCUAGCAAACCUGGUGAUGGUACCAAAGAAGGACAAAUCCUGGCGCCUCUGCGUCGAUUUCAAGGACCUCAACAAGACUUGCCCAAAGGAUCCCUUCACCCUCCCCCGCAUCGAUCAAAUUAUCAACGCUACCGCAGGACAGAUUCAUUGUUUCCUCGACGCAUACUCCGGCUACCAUCAAAUUAAGAUGGCAGAGCCAGACCAAGCCGCAACGGCAUUCAUCACCCCAUACGGCCCAUUCUACUUCAACAAAAUGCCCUUCGGGCUCAAAAACACCGGCGCAACAUAUCAGCGCAUGAUUCAGACAUGUCUGGCAAACCAGAUCGGCAAAAUAGUAGAAGCGUACAUAGACGACGUGGUCAUCAAAACCAAGCAUGUCGAAACUCUAGUAGAUGACUUGAGGCUCACAUUCGAUAACCUCCGAACAUAUGACAUCAAGCUCAACCCGGAAAAAUACGUUUUCGGCGUACCAGCCAGAAAGCUCUUGGGCUUCAUUGUAUCCGGUAGAGGAAUUGAAGCAAACCCAGCCAAGAUCCGAGCUCUGUCACAAUUGGAUAUUCCAAAGGACCUCAAACAAAUACAAAAAUUGACUGGAUGCGUGGCGGCUCUAAGCCGCUUUAUCUCCCGCUUGGGAGAAAAGGCAUUACCCCUUUAUUGCCUCCUCUGGUGCACCGAACACGACGGAUGCCGCCACGGUCGGACUCGAAGAAAUAAAAGCCACAUUGGAAACAAACCCGGUCCUGGCCGCGCCCAACAUCGGCGAUCCAAUGCUAUUAUACAUUGCGGCAACUUAUCAAGUUGUAAGCGCAGUACUCGUCGUCGAACGAGAAACGGACGGACACAAAUUCCCCCUUCAAAAACCAGUUUACUACGUGUCCACUGUCCUCACUCCAUGCAAUUCACGGUACCCACAUUAUAAGAAGAUAGCGUACGCGGUGUUUAUGGCAUCCUGGAAGCUGCGACUACUUUCAAGAGUGUUUGAUAACAGUAGCCUCCGAAGUACCUCUUAACGAUAUUAUAAACAACCGUGAAGCGACGAGCCGGAUUGCCAAAUGGGCCAUUGAGCUCCUCCCGUUCGACAUAACCUAUAAGCCACGGCGAGCUAUCAAGUCGCAAGGUUUGGCCGACUUCAUCGCCGAAUGGACUGAAGCCGAACUCCCUAAAGAGUACGACACAUAUUCCAACUAGAUCAUGCACUUCGACGGCUCCAAAAUCUUAGCUGGUUUGGGGGCUGGCGUCGUUCUGACGUCCCCAAUAGGAGAUACAGUUCAAUAUGUACUCCAGAUAAUGUAUAUGGACUCCAACAACGCAGCCGAAUACGAGGCCCUUCUACAUGGUCUCCGGAUGGCAGUCUCCAUGGGCAUCCAACGCCUAGAGGUGCGUGGGGAUUUGAACCUCCGAAAAUGGUAGCUUAUCGCAAACAUUUUCUUGGAAAGGCUAUUCAAGCCAUCCGUACUAUGGGAAGGGGAAUCCGGAAAUAACAGCCCAGACCCAACCGCACCGCCCGACACCGAACAUUCUGACACAACGGGAGGCUAUGCCAACGAAGUAACAUCCUUAGCCCAUGUAAUAAUGGCAGUCAUUGCCCCGUGGAUAGAACCAUUCCUAGCGUACCUAACUAGGCAGGAACUUCCCGAGGACCAAAACGAGGCACGCUGCAUAGUGCGACGAUCUAAAGCCUAUAAAGUCCAUGAAGGAAAGCUUUAUAAGAAAAGCACUACCGGAGUCCUUCAAAGGUGUAUCUCCGAAGAGGAAGGGCGGAAUCUUCUGGCUGAAAUUCAUGCUGGGCUCGGCGGGCACCACGCCGUAGCCCGGGCCCUUGUAAGCAAGGCCUUUCGUACAAGAUUUUAUUAGCCGACGGCCCGGGCAGAUGCUCAGGACUUAGUCCAACGAUGCGUCGGUUGCCAACUCUUUGCUAACCAAAGCCAUAUGCCACCCACCGCCCUCGAAACUAUACCCAUCACCUGGCCCUUUGUGGUCUGGGGGCUUGACAUGGUUGGACCCCUUAAAGGAGGAACCCACAAACAAAAAUACCUACUGGUCAUGGUGGACAAAUUCACCAAAUGGAUAGAGGCCAAGCCUGUUAAGAUGGCCAAAUCCGGACCAGUGAUAGACUUCAUAUCAGGGGUCGUACACUGUUACGGUGUCCCCAACAGCAUCAUCACUGAUAAUGGCACGAACUUUACGACCGACGAGGUCAAACUCUGGUGCAAAAACAUGGGCAUCAAGCUCGACUACGCUUCAGUCUAUCACCCACAAACUAACGGUCAAGUCGAGCAAGCAAAUGGUCUAAUAAUGAGUGGCAUCAAACCUAGAUUAGUGCGGUCCCUCAAGGAAUCUAACACGCACUGGGUAGAGGAGCUCGACUCCGUACUCUGGGGGCUGUGGACCACUCUGAAUCGCACAACCGGAUUCACACCAUUCUUUAUGGUAUACGAUACAGAGGCAGUUCUGCCCUGCGACAUAAUUCAUGACUCACCUCACGUGCGCAUGUACGAAGAAAGAGAAGCCGAACUCGAUCGGCAGGACAACUUGGACGCCUUGGAGGAGGAGCGUGACAUGGCAAAAGCCUGUUCAGCAUUCUAUCAACAGCAGGCUCGAAGAUAUCAAAGCAGAGAAGUACGGGCCAAAACUUAUAAUGUUGGUGAGUUAGUUAUAUGCCUGCUGGACAAGAAAAAGGACAAACUCAAGCCCAAAUGGGAAGGUCCCUUCAUUAUUGACCAAGUCCUCACUUGUGGAGCGUACUGUCUGCGAGAUGCAUCGGAUAACCGACUCGAGCCGAGCCCAUGGAACGCAGCCCGUCUCCGAAGAUUCUACGCCUAGCCCCGGACUCUGUGUUCGUCUCCUUCCUCUGUCCAUUUAUUAUACAUUAGUUGUCUUAUAUUUCUCUACUUCUCCCUCCUUUUCUCUUACAGCCUUUAAGGGCUUGUUCGUGCCUUGUUCGCACACAAUUGACGCGCUAUCCGCGCUCAUCAUACCUGGGGGCUUCUUUAACAAAAGCUUGUUUAUACAGGGCCUCAUGCCCAACACAUGUGUCACACUUCCGCAUGUACCUUUUUUCUCACCAUUAUAUGCAUCCAUAUGACUUAAGUUUUGGCCAAGCUGGGUUGCCUGGCUCAUGUGCUUACCCCUACGUUCCCGAUUGUUCGGCUAGGCGGUAAAGGGAGCACCUCUGCGAUUGUUACUGCCGGGUCAGCCGGAUGUGUACCUCAGACUGGGUGAAGUCGAAAGCUAGUGUUCUUAAGGGAAUAUUCGGUCGGUGAACUAAAGAUGAUUUCCAACUCGUUUAUCUAUCCGCCCCCAGAUGCUUUUCUUCUCUUUUCGCAGUCCGGACAUGCACUUUAGGGCAUGCCUCCCCAGGGAAAGGAACCCCUAACGGAACUAUUCUCCCUGGAAGAUGUUUCUUACUAACCAUGUAAUAUAACAUAACUAGUUGGGCACUUGUCUGUUCAAGCACUAAUGACCCCUACGCCUGGUCUCCACGCAUGCCCUAGUUCUUACAUAACCGAGAGGGUAUUCGGACACACUCCGGACUAUCGGGUCCCGAGGUUGAAGCGAGAAGGUCCGCCAUGACAAACGAUCUACAAUCCGGCUAGAAGGCAUUUUAUAUGUCAUUUUAAAUUACAUAGUCAAUUUGACUAGGUAUAUUCCUCUUCAAUACCAUCCAACAGGUUGUCUAGUUUACAGUCCUGUUGGGAAUAUUUGGCGGCCAACUCUACCUGGCUGUACACUAAACUCACAGGGAUCUCCUUCCCAUCGGGCCCCACAGGUCCGACCUCGGCCAUGUGGUUUGGGUCGGACUUCGUGUACCGCGUCUUCACCAUGGCCCAGGCUUCCCUGGCGCCUUGACGGCAGGCCGAUAUCUUCCAUAAUCGGAAGCGCCGCCACGCUCCCUUCAGCUUCUUUGCAAGCUCUCCAAGGCCUUCGGGCAUGGAGACGGAUGGCCACAAGGCCUGGAUGACACCUUGCAUUACCUGCCGAACUCGUUCGUGCAGUUGUAAGAGCUCAGGAAGAAGGUCACCCAUAGAACCGGGCAUUUCCUCGGCACGCCGACCUGUCAGCAUACCUACAGACAUAACUCUGUCAAUCGACUUCCUCGCCGAACUCUUUUUCGAAGUUCGUUCAAGCACUUACUAAAAAUGUCACGUCGAAGCCGCCGAUUCUCCUUCACGGAGUCCGACAGCUGAGCACGAACAUCCUUUAGUUCCUCGCCCAGCUGGGUGUUGGCAUCUUGGAGCUUAUUCUUCUCUUGCCUCACCCUUGUAAGCUAUCUCGCCGGCCUUUAACCGGCGCAAGAGUUGUUGCUUGUCCGGAUCCACUCCGGCGCCAUCUGCAAUGUUAUCGUCAAAUUUGCACACAUGCCGCCCUUCACAACAUACUUAUCUUUCGAAGCAUAUAUUACCAGAGGGGGUCUCCUUGGUCUCCCCCGCUGCGGCUAGUGUGGCCUCAAGUUGGGCUUUGCACUUUUCCAGCUCCUGGGACAGUUGGGUAUUCUUUUCUGUAAGAUCCUGCAUAACAAAUGAUCCUUAAAUCAGUUAUUCUAACUGUUUCAAGUCUUGGGGGCUACUGACAUAUAUAACCAUCAAUUUUUCUCACCCGUAUGUCUUUUACAUACUACUCUGUGGCUCCGGCUAGACCAUUUUGAGCGGCACGGAGGUAUGCAUAUCCCGUAUUAAAGGCAUCCAAUGCCUCCUGGGAUAAACAAGCGUCACGAAGAACUGUCCGGCGACGCCUGUGGUUCAUGGCACUCUCCACCUCGGAAUUGGUGGCAGACAGCCCGUCCGCAUCCUCUGUCGGAGGAGCGCCCGAUGCGCGCCUCGUGUUCGCCUCCGCUUCCGGACCCGGCCUUGGAGCCUGGCCGGUGGAGGCGCGAUUGGCAACCUCUCCGGAUAUAGUCCGGCGAGUGCUCUUUUUCCUGAAGAGAGCACGAGCGUUAGUAUACCUUGAGGGAAUAAAACCUGGGAAUAAAAUCGCGCGCCAUACCACUGCACCGGCGUCUCAAUCCGGACCGCACUUCUUUUCAGCCUGCCAGGCCUUGAUGCCCCUUGUUGGCUAGCCACCGCAGGCUCGGCCCUCCGCCUCAAGGACUUCCCCUGCAAAAACACCAUUGGUAUACGGUGGUCAAAAAUAAGCACGGGUGCAUCAUCUUAAAAGUACGGGGACUUCAGUCUCGGUUACUUGUGAGGCUAGAAGUAGUCCGGGAUAAUCGGUCGUAAUGGCCACUAAGGUGUUGUCCUUGCUCAAUUGAUGAAACACCCCAUCGAUCAGCUCCACAGAUAAGUCCGGGUCCUCUUGGGAGUCUGGAUUGAAGGACCGUUCCGGGUCCUCGGGUUGUGUAGGAGGGCUGUUUAUCUCCUUUACAGCCUAGCGUAGCUCCUGCAUUGAAAUUGCUAGGCUGAAUACUUAACUAUGGGAAUAUGAAACAGAUGGGCGAGUGAAAGUGCCUGCUUACCCAGCUUGGAGGAUUUUACAUAGAAAAUCCGCCCGUGGGUUGGCACGGAGGAAUUCCUCCUCUUCUCCCUUGUACAAAGUGGACAAGAUCUUUAUUAGAGCGGCAGCCGAUUCCGGCCCCUUACGGCCGCACCGGGUGUCGUCGUCCUCCCCGUUGAAAUCCCACAUGGGGUGGCCUCUAUACUGAAGCGGCUGCACCCCCCGCAUAGUGCAUGUGGCCAUGACCUCGAUCAUGGUCAGUCCGGAAUGAGCUAACAACCUUAUCCAGCUCAUCAGGUAAAGGACGUCCUUGUCAUUUUCCUUCUGAGGGCUCCGUGGACGCCAGCUUAGGCGCUUCUUCAAAGGAGCAUUAUUAAACUCAGGGAGGCCGAUCCGAAUAGGGUCCGGCAGGGGGACAUCUUCUAUAUAAAAUCAUUCUGAGGGACAGUCUUCGGACGCCUUCUUUGGGGUUCCGGAUAGAUAUCCGGUCCAGGCGAUGCGCCAUAGUUUGGCUCCGCCCACUUGAUAUAUCGACCCCUCCUGAGAAUGGGGCACAAGGCAGAACAACUUCUUCCACAGCGCGAAAUGGGCCUCGACGCCCAGAAACAGCUCGCAAAGGGCUAUGAAGCCCGCAAUAUGCAAUAUGGAGGCAGGCGUAAGGUUGUGCAACUGGAGGCCGUAGAACUCCAGGAGCCCCCGGAGAAACAGAUGAAUUGGAAAUCCGAGCCCUCUUAUCAAAUAAGAGACAAGGCAUACCCGCUCUCCUUUGGAGGGAUUGGGGACGCUCUCCGCUUGCUCUCCACCAUUAUAGGUGGCAAGCCCGGCUCGAACCGGGACCAUGUAGGCUGGGGGGAGAAACCCCUUGGUUUGGAGCACCACUAGCUCAUUGUGCGGGACGGAGCAUCUCUCCCAAUCUCCAGGCUGAGGGAUGUGGGGGCGAGAGGAGGAGCUGCAUCGACUGGCCAUGAUGGAAUGGAUCUCUGUCGAAUGCACUCCGAUGAAUGCUCGCGGAGGGAAGAUGGUGUGAUUCUGAUCUAAAUCCCCGUCUCUUUUAUAGGCGGCUCAUUUGCACAGCUAGGGGGGUAAAUGAAAAAACACCCUAGCUUUUCGCAUUCUCUUCACACGUGGAAGAUGGCCAUUAUUGGGCGCAGAAGCCAAGGAGCGCAACAUUCAUCAUAAGCUGGACACUAUUCAACAGGUAUAUGGAAUUUGGAGAAGAACCCGCCUUGCAAUGCCGAAGACAAAUCUGCGCGCCGGACUCAUCGUCAUUGAAGCCCUGUUCGGGGGCUACUGAGGGAGUCCCGGAUUAGGGGGUGUCCGGAUUGCCGGACUAUGACCUUUGGCCGGACUCCUGGACUAUGAAGAUACAAGAUUGAAGACUUCGUCCCGUGUCCGGAUGGGACUUUCCUUGGCGUGGAAGGCAAGCUUGGCGAUAUGGAUAUGUAGAUCUCCUCCCAUUGUAACCGACUCUAUGUAACCCUAACCCUCUCCGGUGUCUAUAUAAACCGGAGGGUUUUAGUCCGUGGGAUGAACAACAAUCAUACCAUAGGCUAGCUUCUAGGGUUUAGCCUCUCCGAUCUCGUGGUAGAUCUACUCUUGUACUACCCAUAUCAUCAAUAUUAAUCAAGCAGGAGUAGGGUUUUACCUCCACCGAGAGUGCCCAAACCUGGGUAAAAACAUCGUGUCCCUUGUCUCCUGUUACCAUCCACCUAGACGCACAGUUCGGGACCCCCUACCCGAGAUCCGCCGGUUUUGACACCGACAGUGUCCUUUCCCAGUGACAGCAGGGGCAGCAAGGCACGUAUUGUAUUGUUGCCAUCGAGGAUAAAAAGAUGGGGUUUAUAUCAUAUUGCUUGAGUUUAUCCCUCUACAUCAUGUCAUCUUGCUUAAUGUGUUACUCUGUUCUUAUGAACUUAAUACUCUAGAUGCAGGCAGGAGUCGGUCGAUGUGUGGAGUAACAGUAGUAGAUGCAACAGGAGUCGAUCUACUUGUUGCGGAUGUGAUGGAUGCCUAUAUACAUGAUAAUGCCUAGAUAUUCUAAUAACUAUGCACUUUUCUAUCAAUUGCUCAACAGUAAUUUGUUCAUGCACCAUAAUACUUAUGCUAUCUUGAGAGAAGCCACUAGUGAAACCUAUGGCCCCCGGGUCUAUUCUCUAUCAUAUAAGUUUCCAAUCGACUUUAUUUUGCAAUCUUUAAUUUUCAAUCUAUAUCAUAAAAAUACCAAAAAUAUUUAUCUUAUCAUAUUAUCUCUAUCAGAUCUCACUUUCGCAAGUGGCCGUGAAUGGAUUGACAACCCCUUUAUCGCGUUGGUGGCGAGGUUCUUGUUUGUUUUUAUAGGUAUGAGGGACUUGCGUGGAGUCUCCUACUGGAUUGAUACCUUGGUUCUCAAAACCUGAGGGAAAUACUUACCCUACUUUGCUGCAUCACCCUUUCCUCUUCAAGGGAAAAACCAACACAUGCUCAAGAGGUAGCAUCGCGCCGGUGAUGAUGGAGAUCAUGACGAUGCUUUGGUGAUGGAGAUCAUGAGCGCAAGAUGAUGAUGGCCAUAUCAUGUCACAUAUUUUGAUUGCAUGUGAUGUUUAUCCUUUAUGCAUCUUAUUUUUCUUAGAACGUCAGUAGCAUUAUAAGAUGAUCCCUUACUAAAAAUUUCAAGGUACAAGUGUUCUCCCCGAGUAUGCACCAUUGCUAUAGUUCGUUGUGCGGAGACACCAUGUGAUGAUCUAGUGUGAUAAGCUCUACGUUCACAUACAACGGGUGCAAGCCAGUUUUGCACACACAGAAUACUCAGGUUAAACUUGAUGAGCCUAGUAUAUGCAGAUAUGGCCUCGGAACAUUAAGACCGAAAGGUCGAGCAUGAAUCAUAUAGUAGAUAUGAUCAACAUAGUGAUGUUCACCAUUGAAAACUACUCCAUCUCACAUGAUGAUUGGACAUGGUUUAGUUGAUUUGGAUCACGUGAUCACUUGGAUAAUUAGAGGGAUGUCUAUCUAAGUGGGAGUUCUUAAGUAAUAUGAUUAAUUGAACUUUAAUUUAUCAUGAACUUAGUACCUGAUAGUAUUUUGCAUGUCUAUGUUGUAGUUGAUCAAUGGCUCGUGCUACUGUUCCAUUGAAUUUUAAUGCGUUCCUAGAGAAAGCUAAGUUGAAAGAUGAUGGCAGCAACUACACAGACUGGGUCCAUAACUUGAGGAUUAUCCUCAUUGCUGCACAAAAGAAUUACGUCCUGGAAGCACCGUUAGGUGUACCACCCGCGCCCGCAACUGCAGACAUUGUGAAUGCCUGGCAGGCGCGUGUUGAUGACUACUUGAUAGUUCAGUGUGCCAUGCUUUACGGCUUAGAAUCGGGACUUUAACGACGUUUUGAACGUCAUGGAGCAUAUGAGAAAUUCCAGGAGUUGAAGUUAAUAUUCCAAGCAAAUGCUCGAAUUGAGAGAUUUGAAGUCCCCAAUAAGUUCUACAGCUGUAAAAUGGAGGAGAAUAGUUCCGUCAAUGAACACAUACUCAGAAUGUCUGGGUACCACAACCACUUGACUCAACUGGGAAUUAAUCUUCCUGAUGAUAGUGUCAUUGAUAGAGUUCUUCAAUCACUGCCACCAAGCUACAAAAGCUGCGUAAUGAACUAUAAUAUGCAAGGGAUGAACAAGACUAUUCCCGAGCUCUUCUCAAUGCUAAAGGCUGUGGAGGUAGAAAUCAAAAAGGAGCAUCAAGUGUUGAUGGUCAACAAGACCACUAGUUUCAAGAAAAAGGGCAAAUGGAAGAAGGGGAACUUCAAGAAGAAUGGCAAAAAGGUUGUUGCUCAAGAGAAGAAACCCAAGUCUGGACCUAAGCCUAAAACUGAGUGCUUCUACUGCAAAGGGACUGGUCACUGGAAGCGGAACUGCCCCAAGUAUUUGGCGGAUAAGAAGGAUGGCAAAGUGAAAGGUAUAUUUGAUAUACAUGUUAUUGAUGUGUACUUAACUAAUGCUCGCAGUAGCGCCUGGGUAUUCGAUACUGGUUUUGUUUCUCAUAUUUGCAAGUCGAAACAGGGGCUACGGAUUAAGCGAAGAUUGACUAAGGAUGAGGUGACGAUGCGCGUGGGAAAUGGUUCCAAAGUCGAUGUGAUCGCGGUCGGCACACUACCUCUACAUCUACCAUCAGGAUUAGUUUUAGACCUGAAUAAUUGUUAUUUGGUGCCAGCGUUGAGCAUGGACAUUAUAUCUGAAUCUUGUAUAAUGUGAGACGGUUGUUCAUUUAAAUCAGAGAAUAAUGGUUGUUCUAUUUAUAUGAGUAAUAUCUUUUAUGGUCAUGCACCCCUACUGAGUGGUCUAUUUUUGUUGAAUCUCGAUAGUAGUGAUACACAUAUUCAUAGUGUUGAAGCCAAAAGAUAUAAGUUUAAUAAUGAUAGUGCAACUUAUUUAUGGCACUGCCGUUUGGGUCAUAUUGGUGUAAAGCGCAUGAAGAAACUCCAUGCUGAUGGAAUUUUGGAAUCACUUGAUUAUGAAUCACUUGGUGCUUGCGAACCGUUCCUUAUGGGUAAGAUGACUAAAACUCCGUUCUCCGGAACAAUGGAACGAGCUACUGACUUAUUGGAAAUAAUACAUACUGAUGUAUGCGGUCCAAUGAGUAUUGAAGCUCAUGGCGGGUAUCGUUAUUUUCUUACCUUCACAAAUGAUUUAAGCAGAUAUGGUUAUGUCUACUUAAUGAAGCAUAAGUCUGAAACAUUUGAAAAGUUCAAAGAAUUUCAGAGUGAAGUGGAAAAUCAUCGUAACAAGAAAAUAAAGUUUCUACGAUCUGAUCGUGGAGGAGAAUAUUUGAGUUAUGAGUUUGGUCUUCAUUUGAAACAACAUGGGAUAGUUUCACAAUUAACGCCACCUAGAACACCAUAGUGAAAUGGUGUGUCCGAACGUCGUAACCGUACUUUAUUAUAUAUGGUGCGAUCUAUGAUGUCUCUUACUGAUUUAUCGAUAUCAUUUUGGGGUUAUGCUUUAGAGACGGCUGCAUUCACUUUAAAUAGGGCACCACAAAAUCCGUUGAGACGACGCCUUAUGAACUGUGGUUUGGUAAGAAACCAAAGUUAUCGUUUCUUAAAGUUUGGGGCUGCGAUGCUUAUGUGAAAAAGCUUCAACCUGAUAAGCUCGAACCCAAAUCGGAGAAGUGUGUCUUCAUAGGAUACCCAAAGGAAACUGUUGGGUACACCUUCUAUCACAGAUCCGAAGGCAAAAUCUUUGUUGCUAAGAAUGGAUCCUUUUUAGAGAAGGAUUUUCUCUCGAAAGAAGUGAGUGGGAGGAAAGUAGAACUUGAUGAGGUAGUUGUGCCUUCUCCCUUAUUGGAAAGUAAUUCAUCACAGAAAUCAGUUUCUGUGAUUCCUACACAAUUAGUGAGGAAGCUAAUGAUGAUGAUCAUGAAGCUUCAGAUCAAGUUACUACCGAACCUCAUAGGUCUUCUAGAGUGAGAUCCGCACCAGAGUGGUGCAGUAAUCCUGUUCUGGAAGUCAUGUUACUAGAUCAUGAUGAACCUACGAACUAUGAGGAAGCGAUGAUGAGCCCAGAUUCCGCAAAAUGGAUUGAAGCCAUGAAAUCUGAGAUGGGAUCCAUGUAUGAGAACAAAGUGUGGACUUUGGUGGACUUGCCCGAUGAUCGGCAAGCCAUAGAAAAUAAAUGGAUCUUUAAGAAGAAGACCAACGUAGACGGUAAUGUUACUGUUUAAAAAGCUCAACUUGUUGCGAAAGGUUUUCGACAAGUUCAAGGAGUUGACUAUGAUGAGACUUUCUCACCCGUAGCGGUGCUUAAGUCUGUCUGAAUCAUGUUAGCAAUUGCUGCAUUUUAUGAUUAUGAAAUUUGGCAAAUGGAUGUCAAAACUGCAUUCCUGAAUGAUUUCUGGAAGAAGAAUUGUAUAUGAUGCAACCAGAAGGUUUUGUCGAUCCAAAGGGUUCUAACAAAGUGUGCAAGCUCCAUCGAUCCAUUUAUAGACUGGUGCAAGCCUCUCGGAGUUGGAAUAAACGCUUUGAUAGUGUGAUCAAAGCAUAUGGUUUUAUACAGACUUUUGGAGAAGCCUGUAUUUACAAGAAAGUGAGUGGGAGCUCUGUAGCAUUUCUGAUACUAUAUGUGGAUGACAUAUUGUUGAUUGGAAAUGAUAUAGAAUUUCUGGAUAGCAUAAAGGGAUACCUGAAUAAGAGUUUUUCCAUGAAAGUCCUCGGUGAAGCUGCUUACAUGUUGGGCAUCAAGAUCUAUAGAGAUAGAUCAAGACGCCUAAUUGGACUUUCACAAAGCACAUACCUUGAUAAAGUUUUAAAGAAGUUUAAAAUGGAUCAGUCAAAGAGAGGGUUCUUGCCUGUGUUACAAGGUGUGAAGUUGAGUCAUACUCAAUGCCCGACCACUACCGAAGAUAGAGAGAAAAUGAAAGUCAUUCCCUAUGCUUCAGCCAUAGGUUCUAUCAUGUAUGCAAUGUUGUGUACCAUACCUGAUGUAUGUCUUGCUAUAAGCAUAGCAGGGAGGUACCAAAGUAAUCUCGGAGUGGAGCACUGAACAACGGUCAAGAACAUCCUGAAAUACCUGAAAAGGGACUAAGGAUAUGUUUCUGGUUUAUGGAGGUGAAAAAGAGCUCGUCGUAAACGGUUACGUCGAUGCAAGCUUUGACACUAAUCCGGAUGACUCUAAGUCGCAAAUUGGAUAUGUAUUUUUAUUGAAUGGAGGAGCUGUCAGUUGGUCCAGUUCCAAAGAGAGCGUCGUGGUAGGAUCUACGUGUGAAGUGGAGUACAUUGCUGCUUCGGAAGCAGCGAAUGAAGGAGUUUGGAUGAAGGAGUUCAUAUCCGAUCUAGGUGUCAUACCUAGUGCAUCGGGUCCAAUGAAAAUCUUCUGUGACAAUACUGGUGCAAUUGCCUUGGCAAAGGAAUCCAGAUUUCACAAGAGAACCAAGCACAUCAAGAGACACUUCAAUUCCACCCGUCAUCAAGUGUCGGAGGGGGGCAUAGAGAUUUGCAAGAUACACAUGGAUCUGAAUAUUGCAGACCCGUUGACUAAGCCUCUUCCACGAGCAAAACAUGAUCAGCACCAAAGCUCCAAGGGUGUUAGAAUCAUUACAAUGUAAUCUAGAUUAUUGACUCUAGUGCAAGGUGGGAGACUGAAGGAAAUAUGCCCUAGAGGCAAUAAUAAAAAUAUUAUUUAUUUCCUGAAUUCAUGAAGAAUGUUUAUUAUUCAUGCUAUAAUUGUAUUAACCGGAAACUUAGUACAUGUAUGAAUACAUACACAAAACAUAUAGUCCCUAGUAUGCCUCUACUUGACUAGCUCGUUAAUCAAAGAUGGUUAUGUUUCCUAACCAUAGACAUGUGUUGUCAUUUGAUGAACGGGAUCACAUCAUUAGGAGAAUGAUGUGAUGGACAUGACCCAUCCGUUAGCUUAGCAUUAUGAUCGUGUUAGUUUCAUUGCUACUGCUUUCUUCAUGACUUAUACAAGUUCCUCAGACUAUGAGAUUAUGAAACUCCCUAAUACCGGAGGAACAGUUUGUGUGCUACCAAACAUCACAACGUAAAUGGGUGAUUAUAAAUAUGCUCUACAGGUGUCUCCGAAGGUGUUUGUUGGGUUGGCAUAGAUCGAGAUUAGGAUUUUUCACUCUGUGUUUCGGAGAGGUAUCUCUGGGCCCAUUCGGUAAUACUCAUCACUAUAAGCCUUGCAAACAUUGUGUCUAAUGAGUUAGUUGCAGGAUGAAGUAUUAUGUAAUGAGUAAAGAGACUUGCCGGUAACGAUAUUGAACUAGGUAUUGAGAUACCAACGAUCAAAUCUCGGGCAAGUAACAUAUCGAUGACAAAGGGAACAAUGUAUGUUGUUAUGCGGCUUGACCGAUAAAGAUCUUCAUAGAAUAUGUAGGAACCAAUAUGAGCAUCCAGGUUCCACUAUUGGUUAUUGACCGGAGAUGUGUCUCGGUCAUGUCUACAUAGUUCUCGAACCCGUAGGGUCCGCACGCUUAACGUUUGAUGACGAUUGGUAUUAUGAGUUUAUGUGUUUUGAUGUACCGAAGGUAGUUCGGAGUCCUGGAUGUGAUCACGGACAUGACGAGGAGUCUCGAAAUGGUUGAGACAUAAAGAUCGAUAUAUUGGAAGGCUAUGUUUGGACACCGGAAAGGUUCCUAGAGGUUCGGGCAUUUUUCCGGAGUAUCGGGACAUUACCGGAACCCCCCGGGGAGUCAAUGGGCCUUAAUGGGCCAUAGUGGAAGAGAGGAGGAGGCGGCCAAGGUGGGGCGCCCUCCCCCAAGCCCAAUCCGAAUUGAGAGGGGGGCCGGCCCCCCUUUCGUUCUCUUCCUAUCCCUCUUCCUUCUUCUCCUACUCCAACUAGGGAAGGGGGAGACCUACUCCUACUGGGAGUAGGACUCCCCCUCUUGGGCACGCCAUAGAGGUCCAGCCCUCCCCCUCCUCCACUCCUUUAUAUACGGGGGAGGGGGCACCCCAAAGAAACACAAGUUGACAAUUGUUUUAGCCGCGUGCGGUGCCCCCUCCACAGAUUUUCACCUUGGUCAUAUUAUCGUAGUGCUUAGGCGAAGCCCUGCGCCGGUAACUUCAUCAUCACCGUCACCACGCCAUCGUGCUGACGAAACUCUCCCUCGACCUCAGCUGGAUCUAGAGUUUGUGGGACGUCACCGAGCUGAACGUGUGCAAAUCGUGGAGGUGCCGUACCUUCAGUGCUAGGAUCGGUCGGAUCAUGAAGACGUACGACUACAUCAACUGCGUUGUCAUAACGCUUCCGCUUUUGGUCUACGAGGGUGCGUGAUACGUCUCCAACGUAUCUAUAAUUUUUGAUUGUUCCAUGCUAUUAUAUUACCCCUUUUGGAUGAUUAUGGGCUUUAUUUUACACAUUUAUAUCAUUUUUGGGACUAACCUACUAACUGGAGGCCCAGCCCGUAUUGCUGUUUUUUUGCCUAUUUCAGUAUUUCGAAGAAAAGGAAUAUCAAACGGAGUCCAAACGGAAUGAAACCUUUGGGAGCGUGAUUUUUGGAACGAAGGUGAUUCGGAGAACUUGGAGUGCAAGCCAAGAAGCAGCCGAGGCGGCCACGAGGGUGGAGGGCGCGCCCACCCCUCCUGGGCGCGCCCCCUGUCUCGUGGGCCCCUCAAGCGGCCACCGACGUACUUCUUCCUCCUAUAUAGGCCUACAUACCCCGAAAACAUCCAGGGAGGCAUCGAAGAAAUAUUUCUACCACCGUAACCUUCUGUAUCCACGAGAUCCCAUCUUGGAGCCGUCGCCGGCGUUCUGCCGGAGGGCGAAUCCACCAUGGAGGGCUUCUACAUCAACACCAUAGCCCUUCCGAUGAGUUGUGAGUAGUUUACCACAGACCUUCGGGUCCAUAGUUAUUAGCUAGAUGGCUUCUUCUCUCUUUUUGGAUCUCAAUACAAUGUUCUCCCCCUCUCUUGUGGAGAUCUAUUCGAUGUAAACUCUUUUUGCGGUGUGUUUGUCGAGAUCCGAUGAAUUGUGGGUUUAUGAUCAAGUUUAUCUAUGAAUAAUAUUUGAAUCUUCUCUGAAUUCUUUUAUGUAUGAUUGAGUUAUCUUUGCAAGUCUCUUCGAAUUAUCGGUUUGGUUUGGCCUACUAGAUUGAUCUUUCUUGCCAUGGGAUAAGUGCUUAGCUUUGGGUUCAAUCUUGCGGUGUCCUUACCCAGUGACAGAAAGGGUUGCAAGGCACGUAUUGUAUUGUUGCCAUCAAGGAUAAAAAGAUGGGGUUUAUAUCAUAUUGCAUGAGUUUAUCCCUCUACAUCAUGUCAUCUUUCUUAAUGCGUUACUCUGUUCUUAUGAACUUAAUACUCCAGAUGCAUGCUGGAUAGCGGUCGAUGUGUGGAGUAAUAGUAGUAGAUGCAGGCAGGAGUCGGUCUACUUGUCACGGAUGUGAUGUCUAUAUACAUGAUCAUGCCUAGAUAAUCUCAUAAUUAUUCGCUUUUCUAUCAAUUGCUCGACAGUAAUUUGUUCACGCACCAUAAUACUUAUGCUAUCUUGAGAGAAGCCUCUAGUGAAACCUAUGGCCCCCGGGUCUAUACUUUAUCAUAUAAGCUUUCAAUCUACUUAUAUUUUCAUCUUUAUUUUCUGCAUCUAUAUUAUAAAAUACCAAAAAUAUAUUUAUCUUAUCAUAUUAUCUCUAUCAGAUAUCACGUUCGCAAGUGGCCGUGAAGGGAUUGACAACCCCUUUAUCGCGUUGGUUGCGAGUUCUUUGUUUGUUUGUGUAGGUUCGUGGGACUUGUGAGGAGCCUCCUACUGGAUUGAUACCUUGGUUCUCAAAAACUAAGGGAAAUACUUACGCUACUGUGUUGCAUCAUCCUUUCUCUUCAAGGAAAACCAACGCAAGCUCAAGACGUAGAAGUACAUAGACAACACUCUCCCUCUCAUUGCUAUGCAUCACCUAGAGAUAGAUCUUGCGUGAUCGUAGGAUUUUUUUGAAAUUACCGCGUUCCCCAACACUUAUGAUGGAUGAAGGAAUAAGGAUUAACAAAAGGCUAAGCUUGGGGAUGCCUGAGGCACCCCAAGAUAAUAUUCAAUAAGUAGAAAGCAACUAAGCUUGGGGAUGCCCCCGAGUGGCAUCCCCUCUUUCUUUUAACAACCAUCGGUAUUUUACUUGGAGCUAUAUUUUUAUUUGUCACAUAUUAUGAGUUUUUCUUGCACCAUCUUAUAUGAUAUGAGUCUUUGCUUGUUUUGCUUUGUGUUUCAAGUCCUUAAUCCUUGCUGGACACACCUUUUUGAGAGAACAAAAAAUUAUGCUAUGCUUGCUCCUAUGCUUCACUCAAAUGUUUAGUGCCAUGUAACUUCUCUAUUGCUUCAAUUAUAUUUUUUAGCACGGUGUGCUUUGUUAUUUUGAAUAAAUGCUCUCAUGCUUCACUUAGAUUUAUUUGGGAGUUAGUAAAAAAAUUAAAAAAUUCUCUCUUGCUUCACUUAGAUUAUUUUGAGAGAAAGAAAAAUUAUGCUCAUGUUCUUCACUUAAAUCUGUUUGAGCUUAUUAAAAGCAACAUAUGAAAAUAGUCCCAAAGUGAUAGAUAUCCAAGGAGGAUAUAAUAAAAACUUUCAUGAAGAUCAUUGGACAAAAUAAACUUGGUUCUUAGUAAUGGUUUUGAGAUAUGACGAUGUGAUAUCUGAGUCAUGUUGAUGAGUAAUUAUGCAUUAGUAAGAAUAUUCGUGUUAAGGCUUGUGAUUCCCUAUGGAAGCACGAAAAUGAAGGAAAUAUGCCCUAAAGGCAAUAAUAAAGUUAUUAUUUAUUUCCUUAUUUCGUGAUAAAUGUUUAUUAUGUUGGGAACGCGGUAAUUUCAAAAAAAGUCCUACGAUCACGCAAGAUCUAUCUAGGUCAUGCAUAGCAACGAGGGGGAGAGUGUGUCCACGUACCCUUGUAGACCGAUAGCGGAAGCGUUAAGUAACACGGUUGAUGUAGUCGAACGUCUUCGUGACCCAACCGAUCAAGUACCGAAUGCAAGGCACCUCCAUGAUCUGCACACGUUCAGCUCGGUGACGUCCCUCGAACUCUAGAUCCAGCUGAGGUCGAGGGAGAGUUCCGGCAGCACGAUGGUGUGGUGACAGUGAUGAUGAAGUUACUGGCGUAGGGCUUCGCCUAAGCACUACGACGAUAUGACCGAGGUGGAGAACUAUGGAGGGGGCACCGCACACGGCUAAAGAUCAACUUGCGUGUCUAUGGGGUGCCCCCUGGCCACCUAUAUAAAGGAGGGGAGGGAAGAGGUGGCCGGCCCAAGGGGGGCGUGCCUGAUGUGGGAAUCCUACAAGGACUCCCCAGUCCAAGUAGGAUUCCCCUCCUCUUUCCUAUUCCUAGUAGGAGAAGGAGGGAAGGAGGAAGAGGGGAGAAGGAAGGAGGGGGGCCCCGCCCCCUCCUAGUCCAAUUCGGACCAGCCCAUGGGGGGGGCGGCCACCCCUUGAGGCCCUUCUCUCCUUUCCCGUACGGCCCAUUAAGGCCCAUUACUUCCCCCGGCGAAUUCCCGUAACUCUCCGGUACUCCAAAAAAUACCCGAAUCACUCGAAAUCUUUCCGAUGUCCGAAUAUAGCCUUCCAAUUUAUCAAUUUUUACGUCUCGACCAUUUCGAGACUCCUCGUCACGUCCGUGAUCUCAUCCGGGACUCCGAAUAAACUUUGGUCAUCAAAUCACAUAACACAUAAUACAAAUCGUUAUCAAACGUUAAGCGUGCGGACCCUACGGGUUCGAGAACUAUGUAGACAUGACCGAGACACAUCUCCAGUCAAUAAGCAAUAGCGGAUCCUGGAUGCUCAUAUUGGCUCCUACAUAUUCUACGAAGAUCUUUAUCGGACAAACCACAUAACAACAUACGUUGUUCCCUUUGUCAUUGGUAUGUUACUUGCCCGAGAUUCGAUCGUCGAUAUCAUCAUAACUAGUUCAAUAUCGUUACCGGCAAGUCUCUUUACUCGUUCCGUAAUGCUUCAUCCUAUAACUAACUCACUAGUCACAAUGCUUGCCAGGCCUAUAGUGAUGAGUAGUACCGAGAGGGCCCAGGGAUACCUCUCCAAAACACGGAGUGACAAAUCCUAAUCUCGAUCUAUGCCAACCCAACAAACACCUUUGGAGACACAUGUAGAGCACCUUUAUAAUCACCCAUUUACGUUGUGACGUUUGGUAGCACACAAAGUGUUCCUCCGGUAUUCGGGAGUUGCAUAAUCUCAUAGUCUGAGGAACAUGUAUAAGUCAUGAAGAGAGCAGUAGCAAUGAAACUGUAACGAUCAUAAUACUAAGCUAUUAGAUGGGUCAUGUCCAUCACAUAAUUCUCCUAAUGAUGUGAUCCCGUUCAUAAAAUGACAACACAUGUCUAUGGUUAGGAAACAUAACCUUCUUUGAUUAACAAGCUAUUCAAGUAGAGGCAUACUAGGGACACUAUGUUUUAUAUAUGUAUUCACACAUGUACUAAGUUUCCGGUUAAUACAAUUCUAGCAUGAAUAAUAAACAUUUAUCAUGAAAUAAGGAAAUAAAUAAUAACUUUAUUAUUGCCUCUAGGGCAUAUUUCCUUCAGCCUCCCACUUGCACUAGAGUCAAUAAUCUAGUUCACAUCACCAUGUGAUUUAACAUCAAUAGUUCACAUCUGUAUGUGAUUAACACCCAUAAUUCACAUCGCCAUGUGACCAACAACCGAAGGGUUUACUAGAUUCAAUAAUCUAGUUCACAUUGCUAUGUGAUUAACACCCAAAGAUUACUAAGGUGUGAUCAAGUUUUGCUUAUGAGAGAAGUUUAGUCAACGGGUCUGUCCAUUCAGAGCCAUAUGUAUUUUGCAAAUAUUCUAUGUCUACAUUGCUAUAUGUGGAGCUACUCUAGCUAAUUGCUCCCAGUUUUAAUAUGUAUCCAGAUUGAGAGUUAGAGUCAUCUGGAUUGGUGUAAAAGCUUGCAUCGACAUAACUCUUUUAUACGACGAACUCUUUAUCACCCCCGUCACCGAGAAACAUUCCCUUAGUCCUUACUAAGGAUAGUUUUGACCGUUGUCCAGUGAUCUACUCUUAGAUCACUAUUGUACCCCCUUGCCAAACUCAUGGCAAGGUACACAAUAGGUCUGGUACACAACAUACUUUAUAGAACCUAUGACUGUGGCAUAGGGAAUGACUGUCAUUAUCUUUCUAUCUUCUGCCGUGGUCGGGCUUUGAGUCUUACUCAACUUUACACCUUGUAAUAUAGACAAGAAAUCCUUGUUUGACUGAUCCAUUUUGAACUCUUUCAAAAACUUGUCAAGGUAUUUACUCAGUGAAAAAUCUUAUCAAGCGUCGUGAUCUAUCUAUAGAUCUUGAUGCCCAAUAUGUAAGCAGCUUCACCGAGGUCUUUCAUUGAAAAACUCUUAUUCAAGUAUCCCUUUAUGCUAUCCAAAAAAUCAAUAUCAUUUCCAAUCAACAAUAUGUCAUCCACAUAUAAUAUUAGAAAUGCUAUAGAGCUCCCACUCACUUUCUUGUAAAUACAGGCUUCACCGCAGGUUUGUAUAAAACUAUAUGCUUUGAUCAACUCAUCAAAGCGUAUAUUCCAACUCCGAGAUGCUUGCACCAGUCCAUAGAUGGAUCACUGGAGCUUGCACACCUUGUUAGUACCUUUAGGAUUGACAAAACCUUCUGGUUCCAUCAUAUACAACUUCCAGAAAUCCAUUCAGGAAUGCUGUUUUUACAUCCAUCUGCCAAAUUUCAUAAUCAUAAAAUGCAGCAAUUUCUAACAUGAUUCGGACAGACUUGAGCAUCCCUACGGGUGAGAAAGUCUCAUCAUAGUCAACUCCUUGAACUUGUCGAAAACCUUUUUGCGACAAGUCAAGCUUUGUAGAUAGUAACACUAUUAUCAAUGUCCAUCUUCCUCUUGAAGAUCCAUUUAUUCUUAAUGACUUGCCGAUCAUCGGACAAGUCCACCAAAGUCCACACUUUGUCCUCAUACAUGGAUCCCAUCUCAGAUUUCAUGGCCUUAAGCCACUUCGCGGAAUUUGGGCUCAUCAUCGCUUCCUCAUAGUCCGUAGGUUCAUCAUGGUCUAAUAACAUGACUUCUAGAAUAGGAUUACGAUACCACUCUGGUGCAGAUCGUACUCUGGUUGACCUACGAGGUUCGGUAGUAACUUGAUCUGAAGUUUCAAGAUCAUCAUCAUUAGCUUCCUCACUAAUUGGUGUUGGAAUCACUAGAACUGAUUUAUGUGAUGAAUUACUUUCCAAUUCGGGAGAAGAUACAAUUACCUCAUCAAGCUCUACUUUCCUCCCACUCACUUCUUUUGAGAGAAACUCCUUUUCUAGAAAGGAUCCAUUCUUAGCAACGAAUAUCUUGCCUUCGGAUCUGUGAUAGAAGGUGCACCCAAUAGUUUCCUUUGGGUAUCCUAUGAAGAUGCACUUCUCCGAUUUGAGUUCGAGCUUAUCAGGUUGAAGGUUUUUCACAUAAGCAUCGCAACCCUAAACUUUAAGAAACGACAACUUUGGUUUCUUGCCAAACCACAGUUCAUAAGGCGUCGUCUCAACGGAUUUUGAUGGUGCCCUGUUUAAUGUGAAUGCUACUGUCUCUAUUGCAUAACCCCAAAAUGAUAGUGGUAAAUCGGUAAGAGACAUCAUAGAUCGCACCAUAUCUAAUAAAGUGUGGUUAUGACGUUCGGAGACACCAUUACACUGUGGUGUUCCAGGUGGCGUGAGCUGUGAAACUAUUCCACAUUGUUUUAAUGAAGGCCAAACUCGUAACUCAAAUAUUCGCCUCUGCGAUCAAGUAAUAGAAACUUUAUUUUCUUGUUACGAUGAUUCUCCACUUCUCUCUGAAAUUCUUUGAACUUUUCAAAUGUUUCAGACUUGUGUUUCAUUUAAGUAGAUAUACCCAUAUCUGCUCAAAUCAUCUGUGAAGGUCAGAAAAUAACUAUACUCGCCACAAGCAUCUACACUCAUUGGACUGGAUACAUCAGUAUGUAUUAUUUCCAGUAAGUCAGUAACUCGUUCCAUUGUUCGGAUAACAUAGUUUUAGUCAUCAUGCCUAUAAGGCAUGGUUCACAAGUUUCAAAGGAUUCAUAAUCAAGUGAUUCCAAAAGUCCAUCUUUAUGGAGUUUCUUCAUGCGCUUUACACCAAUAUGACCCAAACGACAGUUCCACAAAUAAGUUGCACUAUCAUUAUCAACUUUGCAUCUUUUGGCAUCAAUAUUAUGAAUAUGUGUAUCACUACGAUUGAGAUCCAACAAACUAUUUUCAUUGGGUGUAUGACCAUCAGAGGUUUUAUUCAUGUAAACAAAACAAUAAUUACUCUCUGACUUUAAAUGAAUAACCUUAUUGCAAUAAACAUGAUCAAAUCAUAUUCAUGCUCAACUCAAAUGCCAAAUAACAUUUAUUUAGGUUCAACACUAAUCUCGGAAGUAUAGGGAGUGUGCGAUGAUGAUCAUAUCAAUCUUGGAACCACUUCCAACACACAUCGUCACUUCACCCUUAACUAGUCUCUGUUCAUUCUGCAACUCCCGUUUCGAGUUACUAAUUUUAGCAACUGAACCGGUAUCAAAUACCCAUGGGUUGCUAUGAACACUAGUAAAGUACACAUCAAUAAUCUAUAUAUGAAAUAUACCUUUGUUCACUUUGCCAUCCUUCUUAUCCGCCAAAUAUUUGGGGUAGUACCACUUCCAGUGACCAUUUCCUUUGCAGUAGAAGCACUUAGUUUCAGGCUUAGGUCCAGCUUUGGGCUUCUUCACGGGAGUGACAACUUGCUUGCCAUUCUACUUGAAGUUCCCUUUCUUUCCCUUUGCCCUUUUCUUUAAACUAGUGGUCUUGUCAAUCAUCAACACUCGAUGCUCUUUCUUUAUUUCUACCUUCAUCGAUUUUCAGCAUCACGAAGAGCUCAGGAAUUUCUUUCGUCAUCCCUUGCAUACUAUAGUUCAUCACAAAGUUCCAGUAACUUGGUGGUGGUGACUAGAGAACUCUGUUAAUCACUAUCUUAUCGGGAAGAUUAACUCCCAUUUGAUUCAAGCGAUUGUAGUACCCAGACAAUCUAAGCAUAUGCUCCCUACUUGAGCUAUUCUCCUUCAUCUUUUAGCUAUAGAACUUGUUAUAGACUUCAUAUCUCUCAACUCGGGUAUUCGCUUGAAAUAUUAACUUCAAAUCCUGGAACAUCUCAUAUAUUCCAUGACGUUCAAAACGUAUUUGAAGUCCUGAUUCUAAGCCGUAAAGCAUGGUAGACUAAACUAUCAAGUAGUCAUCUUACUGAGCUAGCCAAACGUUCAUAACAUCUGCAUCUGCUCCUGCAAUAGGUCUGUCACCUAGCGGUGCAUCAAGGACAUAAUUCUUCUAUGCAGCAAUGAGGAUAAACCUCAGAUCACAGACCCAGUCCACAUCAUUGCUACUAUCAUCUUUCAACUUAGUUUUCUCUAGGAACAUAUAAGAAACAUAGGGAAGCUACAAUGUGAGGUAUUGAUCUACAACAUAAUUUGCAAAAUACUACCAGGACUAAGUUCAUGAUAAAUUAAAGUUCAAUUAAUCAUAUUAAUUAAGGACUCCCACUUAGAUAGACAUCCCUCUAGUCAUCUAAAUGAUCACGUGAUCCAUAUCAACUAAACCAUGUCCGAUCAUCACGUGAGAUGGAGUAAUUUUCAAUGGUGAACAUCACUAUGUUGAUCAUAUCUACUAUAUGAUUCACGCUCGACCUUUAGGUCUUAGUGUUCCGAGGCCAUAUCUGCAUAUGCUAGGCUCAUCAAGUUUAACCCGAGUAUUCUGUGUGUGCAAAAAAUGGAUUGCACCCGUUGUAUUUGAACAUAGAGCUUAUCACACCCGAUCAUCACGUGGUGUCUCGGUAUGACGAACUGUCGCAACGGUGCAUGCUCAAGGAGAACACUUGUACCUUGAAAUUUAGUAAGGGAUCAUCUUAUAAUGCUACCGACGUUCUAAGAAAAAUAAGAUGCAUAAAGGAUGAACAUCACAUGCAAUCAAAAUAUGUGACAUGAUAUGACCAUCAUCAUCUUGCGCUCAUGAUCUCCAUCACCGAAGCAUCGUCAUGAUCUCCAUCAUCACCGGCGCGACACCUUGAUCUCCAUCGUAGCAUUGUUCUCGUCUCGCCAACUAUUGUUACUACGACUAUCACUACCACUUAGUGAUAAAGUAAAACAAUUACAUGGCGAUUGCAUUGCAUACAAUAAAGCGACAACCAUAUGGCUCCUGCCAGUUGCCGAUAACUUUGUUAUAGAACAUGAUCAUUUCAUACAAUAAAUUAUAUCACAUCAUGUCUUGACCAUGUCACAUCACAGCAAGCCCUGCAAAAACAAGUUAUACGUCCUCUACUUUGUUGUUGCAAGUUUUACGUGGCUGCUACGGGCUUCUAGCAAGAACCGUUCUUACCUACGCAUCAAAAACACAACGAUUUUUCGUCAAGUGUGUUGUUUUAACUUUCAACAAGGACCGGGCGUCACCACACUCGAUUCAACUAAAGUUGGAGAAACAGACACCCGCUAGCCACCUAUGUGCAUAAGCACGUCGGUAGAACCAGUCUCAUGAACGCGUUCAUGUAAUGUCGGUUCGCGCCGCUUCAUCCAACAAUACCAUCGAAUCAAAGUAUGACCCGUCGGUAAGCAGUAUGACUAUUAUCACCCACAACUCUUUGUGUUCUACUCAUGCAUAUAACAUCUACGCAUAGACCUGGCUCAGAUGCCACUGUUGGGGAACGCGGUAAUUUCAAAAAAAAUCCUACGAUCACGCAAGAUCUAUCUAGGUGAUGCAUAGCAACGAGGGAGAGAGUGUGUCCACUUACCCUCAUAGACCGAAACAGAAGCAUUAUGUAACGUGGUUGAUGUAGUCAAACGUCUUCGAGACCCAACUGAUCAAGUACCGAACACACAGAACCUCCGUGAUCUGCACACAUUCAGAUCGGUGAUGUCCCUCGAACUCUAGAUCCAGCUGAGGCUGAGGGAGAGUUCCAUCAGCAUGACGGUGUGGUGACGGUGAUGAAGUUACCAGCGCAGGGCUUCCCCUAAGCACUACGACGAUAUGACCGAGGUGGAAAACUGUGGAGGGGGCACCGCACACGGCUAAAGAUCAACUUGUGUGUCUAUGGGGUGCCCCCUGGCCACAUAUAUAAAGGAGGGGAGGUGAAAGGACAUGUGGUGCCCCCAUGUGUGGUUUUGGUAAUUGAUGACACUCUCUAUGGACUAAUGGUUGCAUUGAGUUAUAUUUGAAGGAUUUGUCCAUAGGCUCUUCUUGAAGUCCAUGUGUUGCUUUCAAGGAGUUUAUGUGUUGACCAAGGUGCUAUUAAGGAAGUAUCCAAAGAUUGGUUAUGUGAGUGUUGUGCUUAUUGCAAGCAUGUCUUGAAGAAGAAGAUUGUGUGAUCAUUCAUGCUUACCUUCAAGACAUCAUCCAAAUGAAGAGAGUUGGAAAGAUUCAAGGUUGAUCAAUACUAAGUCAAGAGUGAAUCAAGUUGAUCAACUCACAUAGCGUAGAAGAUGUACCGAGAGGGAUCAGUGAUCCCAUGGUAUGGUAAGCAUUGUCCACUGUGCUUUGUGUACUAGCCCAUGGUCUAUGUGAGAGUUCUAUGUGGGGUUAGGUAUGUGUUCAUGGGCUUGCGUCAAGAGGAAGAUAUCACUCAACCCAUGGAGAAGAAACAUCAAGUGGUGAUCAUCAUCAAGAUUGCCGUGUGAAAGUUUAAGUGGAGCAUCACGAAGAGACCAAAUGCUUGAAGCUUGCCAUCCAUUUUGGUGUCAAUGGACUUGUGAAGAUGUGCCGAAGAGUGGCUCGCCCAUAGUGGAGUAUGGGGGGGCAAUCAUCUAGUCUUCAUCGACCCAACGCAAUCAAGAAAGGUUGUAUUAACAGGAAACUUAGUACAUGUGUGAACACACAGACAAAACAUAGUGUCCCUAGUAUGCCUCUACUUGACUAGAUCAUUAAUCAAAGAUGGUUAUGUUUCCUAACCAUAGACAUGUGUUGUCAUUUGAUGAAUGAGUUCACAUCAUUAGGAGAAUGAUGUGAUGGACAUGACCCAUCUGUUAGCUUAGCAUUAUGAUCGUAUCAGUUUCAUUGCUACUGCUUUCUUCAUGACUUAUACAUGUACCUCAGACUAUGAGAUUAUGCAACUCCCGAAUACCGAAGGAACACAGUGUGUUCUAUCAAACAUGACAACGUAAAUGGGUGAUUAUAAAGAUGCUCUACACGUGUCUCUGAAGGUGUUUGUUGGGUUGGCAUAGAUCGAGAUUAGGAUUUGUCACUCCGUGUUUCAGAGAGGUAGGGCCCUCUCGGUAAUGCUUAUCACUAUAAGCCUUGCAAGCAAUGUGAUUAAUGAGUUAGUUGCAGGAUGAAGCAUUACGGAACGGGUAAAGAGACUUGCCAGUAAUGAGAUUGAGCUAGGUAUGAUGAUACUGACGAUCUAAUCUCGGGAAAGUAACAUACCGAUGACAAAGGGAACAAAGUAUGUUGUUAUGCGGUUUGACUGAUAAAGAUCUUCGAAGAAUAUGUGGGAACCAAUAUGAGCAUCCAGGUUCCGCUAUUGGUUAUUUAACGGAGAUGUGUCUCGGUCAUGUCUACAUAGUUCUCGAACCCGUAGGGUCCGCAGGCUUAAUGUUCGAUGACGAUUUGUAUUAUGAGUUAUGUGAUUUGAUGAACUGAAGUUUGUUUGGAGUCCCGGAUGAGAUCAUGGAUAUGACAAGGAGUCUCAAAAUGGUCGAGACAUAAAGAUUGAUAUAUUGGAAGGCUAUAUUCGGAGAUCGGAAUGGUUCCGGAGAAGUUCGGGUAUUUUCCGGAGUACCAGGAGGUUACCGGAACCACCCCGGGAGAAGUUAUGGACCUUAUGGGCCAUAAGAGGUAAGCACACUAGCCCACAAGGGGCUGGUGCACCCCCCCCCUUGGGCAGGAGGCCGAUUAGGACUAGGAGAAGGGGACGACCCCCCUUCCUUCUCCUUCUCCCUUCCCCCUUUCCUACUCCAUGUGGGAGGUGGAAUCCUACUAGGACUAGGGAGUCCUAGUAGGACUCCACACCUUGGCGCGCCCCCCUAGGGUCGGCUGCCUCUCCCUCUCCCUCCUUUAUAUAUGGGGACAGGGGGCACCCUAGAACACACAAGUUGAUCUUUUAGCCGUGUGCGGUGCCCCCGUCCACAGUUACACACCUCGGUCAUAUCGUCGUAGUGCUUAGGCGAAGCCCUGCGCUGGUAACUUUAUCAUCACUGUCGCCACGCCGGCGUGCUAAAGAAACUCUCCCUUGGCCUCAACUGGAUCAAGAGUACGAGGGACGUCAUCGAUCUGAACGUGUGCUGAACACGGAGGUGCCGUAUGUUCGGUACUUGGACCGGUUGGAUCACGAAGAAGUUCGACUACAUCAACCGCAUUAACUAACGCUUUUGCUUUCGGUCUACGAGGGUACGUGGACACACUCUCCCCUCACAUAGAUAGAUCUUGCGUGAUCGUAGGAAAAAUUGAAAUUACCACGUUCCCCAACAGUGGCAUCCGAGCCAGGUCUAUGUGUAGAUGUUAUAUGCAUGAGUAGAACACAAAGAGUUGUGGGCGAUAAUAGUCAUACUGCUUACCACCAACACCUUACUUUGAUUCAGCGGUAUUGUUGGAUGAAGCGGCCCGAACCGACAUUACAUGACCAGGUUCAUGAGACUGGUUCUACCAACAUGCUUUUGCACAUAGGUGGUUGGCGGGUGUCUGUUUCUCCAACUUUAGUUGAAUCGAGUUUGAAUAGGGCCGGUCCUUGUUGAAGGUUAAAAAAGCACACUUGACGAAAAAUCAUUGUGGUUUUGAUGUGUAGGUAAGAAUGAUUUUUGCUAGAAGCCCGUAGCAGCCAAGUAAAAUUUGCAACAACAAAGUAGAGGACGUCUAACUGGUUUUUGCAGGGCUUGCUGUGAUGUGAUAUGGUCAAGACAUGAUGUGAUAUAAUUUGUUGUAUGAGAUGAUCAUGUUUUGUAACAGAAUUAUCGGCAACUGGCAGGAGCCAUAUGGUUGUCGCUUUAUUGUAUGCAAUGCAAUCGCCAUGUAAUUGUUUUACUUUAUCACUAAGCGUUAGCGAUAGUCGUAGUAACAAUAGUUGGCGAGACGACAAUGAUGCUACGAUGGAGAUCAAGGUGUCACGCUGGUGACAUGGAGAUCAUGACGAUGCUUCGGUGAUGGAGAUCAUGAGCACAAGAUGAUGAUGGCCAUAUCACAUAUUAUGAUUGCAUGUGAUGUUUAUCUUUUAUGCAUCUUAUUUUGCUUAGUACGGCGGUAGCAUUGUAAGCUGACCCCGUACUAAAUUUCAAGGUAUAAGUGUUCUCCCUGAGUAUGCAACAUUGCUACAGUUCGUCGUGUCGAGACACCACGUGAUGAUCGGGUGUGAUAAGCUCUACAUUCACAUACAACAGGUGCAAGCCAGUUUUCCACACGUAGAAUACUCGGGUUAAACUUGACGAGCCUAGCAUAUGCAGAUAUGGCCUCGGAACACUGAGACCGAAAGGUCGAGCGUGAAUCAUAUAGUAGAUAUGAUGAACAUAGUGAUGUUCACCAUUGGAAACUACUUCAUCUCACGUGAUGAUCGGACAUGGUUUAGUUGAUUUGGAUCACGUGAUCAUUUAGAUGACUAGAGGGAUGUCUAUCUAAGUGGGAGUUCUUAAGUAAUAUGAUUAAUUGAACUUUAAUUUAUCAUGAACUUGGUCAUGAUAGUAUUUCGCAAAUUAUGUUGUAGAUCAAUAGCUUGCGUUGUUGCUUCCCUAUGUUUUUAUAUGUGUUCCUAGAUAAAACUAAGUUGAAAGAUGAUAGUAGUAAUGAUGUGGUCUGGGUCCGUGAUCUGAGGUUUAUUCUCAUUGCUGCACAGAAGAAUUAUGUCCUUGAUGCACCUCUAGGUGACAGACCUAUUAAGGGAGUCCUGGAUUAGGGGGUAUCCGGACAGCCGGACUGUAUACAUCGUCCGGACUAUUGAAGCGUGAAGAUACAAGACUCAAGACUUCGGCCCGUGUCCGGAUGGGACUCUCCUUUGCGUGGAAGGCAAGCUUGGCGAUCCGGAUAUUGUGUUUCCUUCCUUGUAACCGACUCCGUGUAAACCCUAGCCCUCUUCGGUGUCUAUAUAAACCGGAGAGGUUGGUCCUUAGAAGGCCGAUCACGAUUACAAUCAUACCAUCAUAGGCUAGCUCUUAGGGUUUCGCCUCUACGAUCUCGUGGUAGAUCUACUCUUGUACUACUCAUAUCUUCGAUAUUAAUCAAGAAGGAAGUAGGGUUUUACCUCCAUCGAGAGGGCUCGAACCUGGGUAAACAUUGUGUCCCUCGCUUCCUGUUACUAUCAGCCUAAGACGCACAGAUCGGGACCCCCUACCCGAGAUCCGCCGGUUUUGACACCGACAUUGGUGCUUUCAUUGAGAGUUCCUCUGUGUCGUCGCUGCAGGGUCUGAUGGCGCCUUCAAUUGUCAACAACACGUUCCAGGGGGAGACUUUUUCCCGGAUAGAUCUUCGUGUUUGGCGGCUUUGCACUGCGGGCCAAUUCGCUUGGCCAUCUGGAGCAGAUCGAUAGCUACGCCCCUGGCCACCAGGUCAGGUUCGGAAACUUGAACUACACAGUGGAUAUUCACGGAGACUUGAUCUUCGACGGAUUUGGGCCUGCGCCAGGAGCACCGAAUAGUCACGAUGAGCACGGCUUAGACCUGCUGUCGGACGAAGCUCGGGAUAUCACCCCCGCAGUAGCCUCGGAUCUAAAUCUGGAGCAGGUUGCAUUGCCUAAGGACGGAGGGGUGGACCCCACCCCGCAGGACGCACACUCAUCGGCGGAGGAGCCGAACACAGGUCCCACCUCUGUGGAGGCCUGUAACCCUGGGCCCCCGAACUCGUAUCCGGUUGUUGGUUCCGGUCCGCACAUCCUCGAACCAGUCGAGCCAGGUUGGGCUCUGGUAAUGGAGUUUACCGCUGUGGACAUCUUCCAUCACUCGCCCUUUGGCGACAUGCUGAACUCAUUAAAGUCUCUCUCUUUGUCAGGAGGCUCUGGGCCGAACUAUGUCCAGCUUGAGUGGGAAGCAAGCGACGAAGGAAUUCGCUGCCCACCCAUCACCCACUUCAUUGCCACGAUCAAUGAUUUAACUGACGUGCUUGACUUCGACUCCGAAGACAUCGACGGUAUGGACGACGAUGCAGGAGAAGUACAGGAGCCACCGCUCGUUGGGCGGUGGACGGCCACCUCGUCACACGAUAUAUACAUGGUGGAUACGCCCAAGGAGGACGACGGCGGCAAUUCGGAAGAUAAAACCCCCGGGCAAAAGCCAAAACGGCAGCACAGACGCCGCUCAAAGUCCAGCAACAGUAAAAAUAGCGACAAGAGCGCAAGAAGGAUCGACAUACCAGCAAACUCCGAAGGCAAUAAUGACCACAUGGACCCAGCGAUGGAGCAGGAUAAGCCAUGUCACGCCGAACUGAGUUUGGAGCAGACGCCCGACCACAGUGAUCCAGAGGGACGAGUCCAUCAAACCGCCGCAGGACAAGAACACAGUUCGGACGAUGAUGCAUUCAUCAUUCUGGAAGAACACGUGGAACGAGAUAACCUCCACAGAAAGCUUAUGGCCAUAGCGAGAAGUCUAAAGAAGCAGAAGCAACGGCUCAAAGCCGCACAGGAAACGCUCAAUCGCAGAUGGAAUAAAGUGCUAGACACCGAAGAAAGAUAUGGCGAUGAUCGCCAUACAAAGAGCUAUCCCAAACGCAAGCUACUGCCAGAAUUCGACGACGAGGCCGUUCCACCAAAGAAUAAUACGACCAGGAGACCAGACGUACCACUUCACAACCGCAACAGAACGGCUACUGACGUCGCACACGAUCUACAUGAGCAUCUGGAUAAGCAAGCCGGUGCGGCCAGGUCCAUCUACGGAUCUAAAGGACAAAAGGCGGCGUCGGACUAUGGUCACCAGAAUGAUCAUACAAACCAAAUACCAAUUCGAAAUAAGCUCCGAGCACAUCAACAGCCAGCUGCAUGCCACAGCGCGUCCAGAUACAGAGGGGCUGCUCACCCCCUGUGCUUCACCGAAGAAGUACUGGACCAUGAAUUCCCACAAGGUUUCAAACCUGUGAACAUAGAGGCAUACGACGGAACGACAGACCCAGGGGUCUGGAUCGAGGAUUUUAUCCUGCAUAUUCACAUGGCUCGUGCGGAUGACCUCCACGCCAUCAAAUACCUUCCCCUCAAGUUGAAGGGACCAGCUCGACACUGGUUGAAAAGCCUCCCCGAAAAUCCAAUUGGGAGUUGGGAGGAACUCGAGGACGCUUUCAGGGCCAAUUUUCAAGGGACUUAUGUCUGGCCUCCGGAUGCGGACAAUCUAAGUCACAUAAUCCAACAGCCUGGAGAGUCCGCCCGCAAGCUUUGGAACAGAUUCCUCACUAAGAAGAAUCAAAUUGUCGAUUGUCCGGAUGCCGAAGCCUUAGCGGCAUUCAAACACAGCAUCCGCGACGAAUGGCUCGCCAGACGCCUCAGCCAAGAAAAGCCAAGGACAAUGGCAACCUUAACAAGCCUUAUGACCCGCUUUUGCGCGGGUGAAGAUAGCUGGCUAGCCCGUAAAGGCACCAGCGACCCCAGCACAUCCGAAAUAAGGGAUGGCAAUGGGAAGCCACGGCGUAAUAAACACAGACGCCAAAACAAGGAAGAGAGCAUGGACAAUACAACGGUCAAUGCCAGAUUUAGGGGCUCUCGACCUGAUCAGCAAAAUAAGUCAUUUAAAGGCAGUAGAGAGGGACCGUUCGGUCUGAACAGAGUCCUGGACAGACUGUGCCAAAUUCAUGGCACCCCGGAGAAACCUGCGAACCACACGCAUAGAGAAUUUUGGGUCUUCAAGCAGGCCGGCAAAUUAAAAGCCAAACACAAGGGGAGGGAAACUCCAAGUGAAGACGAGGAUGAACCUCGCCAGCCGAACACUGGGGGACGGAAAAAAUUCCCGCCAGAGGUUAAAACAGUAAACAUGAUCCACGCGACUCACAAAUCCACGAUAGGGCACGAACGCGCGCUCGGAGACGCGCACGAUAUAGAGCUCAUUGUACCCACAUCUAACUACUGGACGUCUUAUCCGAUCACCUUCGAUCACACGGACGGUUGAACUAGUAUUCGGCGCGGAGGAUCAGAGGCCUUGGUGCUUGACCCAAUAAUCGAUGGAUACCGUCUCACCUGUGUCCUCAUGGACGGCGGAAGUAGUCUCAAUCUAAUAUACGAGGACACUGUCUGCAGGAUGAGGAUAAACCCAUCCAGGAUUAGCCAAAGCAACACCACCUUUGAAGGGGUGAUACCAGGCAUUGAAGCCUACGGCAGGGGCUCCGUCGUACUGGAGGUAACAUUUGGCUCCUCAGGCAACUCCAGAAGCAAAGAACUACUCUUCACCAUUGCACCCUUCCAAAGCGGCUAUCAUGCACUGCUUGGAAGAACGACCUUCGCCCGCUUCAACGCAUUGCCGCACUAUGGCUACCUUACACUCAAGAUGCCUGGUCCACGUGGCGUCAUCACCAUUAGCGGAAUCAUAGAGUGCUCUUCACGCGCAGAGGAACACAAGACGGCCCUGGCGGCCGGACUAUAAGCGGCCUCCAAUAUCAGAAAACAUGACUGGUCAUUAAGACCACAGACACGGUUAGACGACUCCGAUAGCCCGGAUAAAAUUAAACCAGGGCACCGUAUAUGUAAUCCCAUAGCGGACACCAGGGGCUAUAAAUAUUUAAUACAGCCCCAUACUUGGCUCAACCUUAUUGGCAGGCCAACAUCUUACACUUUUACUAUCCAUCGCAUAUUUACGUUGUACUCUCCUACGAGUUUUCCUUUUUCCACAGACAACGUUCGCGCGAUACCCUUCUAGGAUACGGCACAACAGAGACAAAGGCGCAGACGUGCAGCAGGGCCCCGUUCAACAGGUUUCUUUUUAGAUUAAGCCCCUGUGUAAACCUUUUCUAUUGCCUCUUGUUGUUUAACCAUCCCAUGGGUUCCAUACCCACAGAGGAUACUACCAUUAUUGGCAUUUCGCCACGACAGAUUACCGCACGUACCUGGAACACAGGGUUCAUAAUGAAUGGGCAUUCUUGAGCCCAUCUUCUGUUAUAAAGCCCGAAUACCUUCGGGAGUGUUCGGCGUCACGAGUUUGGCCUUAUAUGCAUCAGCUCCGAAUCAUAUCUUUGGUCAAAUAUUGGGUUUGCCCGACUCCUGGGUUUGCCGCCUUACGUUCCGUUAUUAUCAGCUAAGGCGGCCAAAGGAGAACUACUGCGAUUGUGCCCUGGUUAUUCUGGAUGAGCACCUCAGUAGAGAAAACCGAAAACUGACUGUCAUGAUGCAGCGAGAGACUGUUUAACCACUCGAAGACUCACCGGAAUCUUUAGGAUUCCUCCGCAUUAACGAAGGGCCGUUUCCGGGCCAUGUACAUACGUGCCCGUAUUCGGAUGCACGCGAAGGUACGAGGGGCUACAUAGUAGCCCCACCUUUAGACUUCCACGGCUAAGCGAAAGUGUUACAGCUAUAUAGUCCGGUUGCCUAGUUCGACGUGCGAUCACCUCCUUAAUGGACCAAGACGUUGGAUCAAGUGUGAUUAAGCAUAUUUUUCACGAACACCCCCGCAUUGUAUGCGUGGGGGCUGAAGCCAACGACUGCUAACUUUCGGAUUACUUAUAUACAUAUAUAAAAACGGACGCACAGGGGACACAAUCAUCUUUUCAGGAAAAAAGUAUAAAUAUAGCCUCAUAGUCAAAAUAAACAUUGUUUUACAAUGAUUCGAUUUAUCACUCGAACAAGACAUUCUUCGAGCACUGCGCCUCUAUUAGCCGGGCACCUUCCGUGACCUGCGCCAAGUAGUGCUCGGCCGGAUAUUGGCCUCCCGCCGGAUCCUGGGUCGCUACAAUGGUGGCCUUCAUAUCCGUCCAAUAGGCUUUAACACGGGCAAGAGCCAUUCGUGCACCCUCUAUGCACGCCGACCUCCUCAUGGCAUUGAUCCGAGGCACGACCCCAAGGAAUUGUUGCACCAAACCAAAGUAGUUGUCCGGCUUAGGCCCCUUCGACCAAAGAUGGUCUAUUACAGACCGCAUUGCAAGCCCGGACAGCCUGUGAAGCUCCGCCACAGCAGCCAUCUUCUCAUUUAACGGUAGAGGGCGAGUGGGAGCAUUGAAUUGCGAACAUAAAAGCUUCUCCACUUCCUUAUCACCUUGAUCCUUGAAGAACUUGGCAGCGUCAGCCGUGCUAUUCGCCAAGUCCGCAUAUGCGUCGGCCGGACUCCAGCGUCCAUCCAGGGGAGCAUCCUUCGGAUCCAAAAACUUCGUUCGUAGUAAGUAGGAGCCCCCAGCCACGAUUUUGUUGGCCUGUUGGAGCUCCUCCCGCAUACCCCGGAUCUCAGUCCGCAUCUCCUUGGUGGCAUUAAGUGCCUUGUCCAGCUCGGCCGAGCUAGCCUUAUUCUCCUUUUCAAGGAGUACAUACCGGUCGGCGGCAUUUUUUUAACUCCACAGCCAUUUCGGCUAUCUUUUCCUCGCUUCGGCGAUGAGCAGCCUGUUCGGCUCUCAAUUCUUCGGCCGCCUUUAGGGCAGCCGCAUUGCUAGCCCGAGCUUGUUCCUUGGCCUGAGCAAGUUCCUCCCCCAGGGCCUCCACAGCAGCAGCAGCAUCUGCAGUACAAACACAUUGCAUUAAUAUUAUGCCCCUCUCACAUUUUCCUAUACAACAUAAUAAGGGAAGCAGAGCGCAUACCCUGUGACUCGUCCAGCCGUUUGUUCACCAGCAUGAUAUCGGCAUCGAUAGAUCUGAUCUGCCUUCUUAGUUCGGCAACUUCAACAGACUGGUCGGCUGCCGGAUCAUUAGAUACCUGCGCACAUGUACAACACAGCCAUUACUAUAUGAUCCCCCGUUUGCCGCCUAUGGUGGGCAACCAGAGUCUCAGGGGCUACUAUCCAUAUGGAGCACACCUAGCGCAUGCCACACAGCCAAAAAAUAGUGCAUUUUUACUAAAUACCUCAAAGCCUCUGAGCAGGCUCGUAAAUGCCUCAUUCAAACCGCUUGUAGAGGAUGAAAUCUUCUUAAGCACCGCACUCAUUAAUGAGCGGUGCUCCGCCGAGAGCGCAGCUCGCUCCAGAAGACCUGUCAGUACGUCCGGCCGGGCAUCGAACUGUGUCGGACCCUUCUCAUCGCCCCCCGUGGGAGCCAAACGCUCCGGGCUCAGGGCGACUGACGUAAUGGCCUCCGGCUUCGGUAGAUCCGAACUCCUCCGUGACGACACCUCAGUGUCGCCCGCUUCAUGAGGCGGAGAGGUGGGUGGGGUCUCGCUCUCCAUCAUCUCCGGAGGAAGAUCCCCCGAAGACGAAUUCUGUUGAGGAGAGCUGCUAGCCGGACUGCAAAAGACGAAUCCUGGUUAUUGAUCUUGGAGAAACGCAGUACCCUCGGAAUAGUGAUUAACUUACAGCUUGGUCGAGGGCUGGCCCGUUGGCGGGCGUGACAUGGUGAGAACGCCCAUCGAGAUAGAGCCCCCCGGGGACACUUUCUUCCCCUGUUUGGGCAUCUCCGUCUCCAAGUCUUCGGAGGCGGCCCUUUUCUUCCCGCGCGGGGAGGUGGCCUCAGAUUCCCCUCCCCGACUAUCCUCCUUUGGGGAGAAAUCAAUUCCCUCGGUCUGAAUGCGUAGUGUGUGAAGUCCGGCUUCGCUGCCCUUUCCUUUGCCUUUCCCUGAGGGAAUUUUGCUAAGCACCCGGCCAAGCAUCUUGGCAACGGUUGGACUCGGCGAGCCUUCAGGAAGUGGCGCCGGACACCUGAUUCUCUUCGCCUUGUUGAGCCAUUCCUGGCCACGGAGGGUUUUUCAGAACAAUGGUUAUGGCAAAUAUAAACAGAGUGUUCGGCUUUAAGGUUACUUACUUGGGUAUCUAGGCGAUUGCAGCUUAGGCCUGCAUCCUCGGUGGUGUCCAGACACUUUACUUGUGGUCCAAAGAAUAAUUUACACAUCCCUUUGAGCUUCAGGCCGAAGAAGUGCUUAAUAGUCUGUGGACCCUCCAGAUUGAACUCCCACAUCCGGAGAGGCCGACGUUUGCACGGCAACAUCCGUCGGAUUAGAAUUACUUGAAUUAUGCUGACAAGAUUUAUGCCCCUCUCGAUAAGCUCCCGGAUAUGGCUCUGCAGUAUUGGAACAUCACUGGCGGGCCCCCAAUUCCGUCCUACGUCGGUCCAUGACGCCAACUGUGACGGAGGGCCCGAACGGAACUCGUGGGCGGCUACCCACUUUGUGCCUCUGGGAGCUAUAACAUACAACCACCUCCGUUGCCACACAUCAGAUACUUCCGGGAAAGAACCCUCCGGCCAUGGGGCAUCGGCGUUCCUGCUUAUUAUGGCCCCUCCGCACUCUGCAUGUCGCCCCUCGAUCAUCUUCGGCUUCACAUUGAAGGUCUUGAGCCAUAAGCCAAAGUGUGGGGUGACGUGGAGAAAAGCCUCGCACACAAUAAUGAACUACGAGAUAUGGAGGAUAGCGUCCGGAGCCAGAUCAUGAAAAUCCAACCCAUAGUAGAACACGAGCCCCCUCACAAAGGGGUCGAGGGUGAGGCCCAGGCCGCGGAGGAAGUGAGGGACAAACACAACGCUCUCUUUGGGCUCCGGUGUAGGGAUAACCUGCCCUGGAACAGGAAGCCUGUGCUGGAUAUCGACGGUCAGGUAUCCGACCUCCCUAAGCCUCGUAAUGUCCUCCUCUUGGAUCGAGGAGGCCACCCAUUGGCCUUUAGGGUUGGAUCCAGACAUAUUGGAGGAUCUGGGGUGUUGGAGCUUAGGUCUUGGGUGUUGAGCUUGAGGUGCGAGAAGGUGCAGGGGAGGUGGAAAAGAGGCAUAGGCCUUGAUCCCUUUAUAAAGGGGGUGAAUAUCAAGAGUCCUCAGCGUGACCACUUGAGACUUAUCCAAAAAUACACAGAGUCAUACCAACGGUCGUCGUGGGGUCACGCACGCCCAUAUUGAUGGAAAAUCCCGUAAUAAGAGGAACACAAUCUCUGCUUUGGCAGGACGUGCCAAUAAAACCGCCUCGCUGCGCGAGUCGAGGUGGGGAGAGAAAUGCCGGUUCGUGUUGGACCAGGCCAUGAUGCAAGGGCACGGUGUACGAAGAUCGCCAGUAGAUCAGAUUUACGCUAUGUUCCCUACAAUGAAAUGUGAAAAUCAUCUUGUGGAUCCGGACACGGUCUACGUGUUCGAUAAUUACUUUGGAGUAUUCGGAGAAGGAACCCGCCUUGCAAUGCUGAAGACAAGACUGCGUGCCGGACUCAUCGUCAUUGAAGCCUGGUUCAGGGGCUACUGAGGGAGUCCUGGAUUAGGGGGUAUCCAGACAGCCGGACUAUAUACAUCGUCCGGACUAUUUAAGCGUGAAGAUACAAGACUCAAGACCUCGUCCCGUGUCCGGAUGGGACUCUCCUUUGCGUGGAAGGCAAGCUUGGCGAUCCGGAUAUUGUGUUUCCUUCCUUGUAACCGACUCCGCGUAAACCCUAGCCCUCUCCCGUGUCUAUAUAAACCGGAGAGGUUGGUCCUUAGAAGGCCGAUCACGAUUACAAUCAUACCAUCAUAGGCUAGCUCUUAGGGUUUAGCCUCUACGAUCUCGUGGUAGAUCUACUCUUGUACUACUCAUAUCUUCGAUAUUAAUCAAGCAGGAAGUAGGGUUUUACCUCCAUCGAGAGGGCCCGAACCUGGGUAAACAUUGUGUCCCUUGCUUCCUGUUACCAUCAGCCUAAGAUGCACAGAUCGGGACCCCCUACCCGAGAUCCGCCGGUUUUGAUACCAACACCUAUUGCAGGAGCAGAUGCAGACGUUAUGAACGUUUGGCUAGCUCAAUAUGAUGACUACUUGAUAGUUUAGUGCACCAUGCUUUACGGCUUAGAACCAGGACUUCAAAAAUGUUUUGAACGCUGCGGAGCAUAUGAGAUGUUCCAAAAGCUGAAAUUGGUAUUUCAGACUCAUGCCCGUGUCAAGAGGUAUGAGACCUCUGACAAAUACUUCGCCUAAAAGAUGGAGGAGAAUUGCUCAGCUAGUGAGCAUGUGCUCAUAAUGUCUGGGUACUACAAUUGCUUGAAUCAAGUGGGAGUUAAUCUUCCAGAGAAGAUAGUGAUUGACAAAGUUCUCUAGUCACCAUCACCAAGUUACUGGAACUUCAUGAUGAACUAUAGUAUGCAAGGGAUGACGAAAACAAUUCCCGAGCUCUUCAUGAUGCGGAAAUCGACGAAGGUAGAACUCAAGAAAGAGCAUCAAGUGUUGAUGAUUGACAAGACCACUAGUUUCAAGAAAAGGGCAAAGGGAAGAAGGAGAACUUCAAAAAGAAUGGCAAUCAAGUUGUCACUCCCGUGAAGAAGCCCAAAGCUGGACCUAAACCUGAAACUAAGUGCUUCUACUGCAAAGUAAAUGGUCACUGGAAGCGGAAGUACCCCAAAUAUUUGGCGAAUAAGAGGGAUGGCAAAGUGAACAAAGGUAUAUUUGAUAUACAGUUUAUUGAUGUGUACCUUACUAGUGUUCAUAGUAGCCCCUGGGUAUUUGAUAUUUGUUCGGUUGCUAAGAUUAGUAACUCAAAACAAGAGUUACGGAAUAAAUAGAGACUAGUUGAGGGUGAAGUGACGAUGUGUGUUGGAAGUGGUUCCAAGAUUGAUAUGAUCAUCAUCGCACACUCCCUAUACUUUCGAGAUUACUGUUGAACCUAAAUAAAUGUUAUUUGGUGUUUGCAUUGAGCAUAAAUAUGAUUAGAUCAUGUUUAUUGCGAUACGAUUAUUCAUCUAAGACAGAGAAUAAUUGUUAUUCUGUUUACAUGAAUAAACCUUCUAUGGUCAUACACCCAAUGUUGAUGGUUUAUUGAAUCUUGAUCGUAGUGAUACACAUAUUCAUAAUAUUGAUGCCAAAAGAUGCAAAGUUGAUAAUGAUAGUGCAACAUAUUUGUGGCACUACUGUUUAGGUCAUAUUGGUGUAAAGCGCAUGAAGAAACUCCAUGAUGAUGGGCUUUUGGAAUCACUUAAUUAUGAAUCAUUUGAUACUUGCAAACCGUGCUUUAUGGGCAAGAUGACUAAAACUCUGUUCUACGGAACAAAGGAACAAGCUAAUAACUUAUUGGAAAUAAUACAUACCGAUGUAUAUGGUCCAAUGAGUGUUGAGGCUCGUGGCAGGUAUCGUUAUUUUCUGACCUUCACAGUUGAUUUGAGCAGAUAUGGGUAUAUCUACUUAAUGAAACACAAGUCUGAAACAUUUAAAAAGUUCAAAGAAUUUCAGAGUGAAGUGGAGAAUCAUCGUAACAAGAAAAUAAAAGUUUCUACGAUCUAAUCGUGAGGAGAAUAUUUGAGUUACGAGUUAUGCCUUCAUUUAAAACAAUGUGGAAUAGUUUCACAUCCCACGCCACCUCGAACACCACAGCGUACCGAACAUCGUAACCGCACUUUAUUGGAUAUGGUGCAAUCUAUGAUGUCUCUUACCGAUUUACCACUAUUGUUUUGGGGUUAUGCAUUAGAGAUACCUGCAUUCACUUUAAACAUGGCACCAUCAAAAUCCGUUGAGACGACUCCGAACUAUGGUUUAACAAGAACCUAAGUUGUCAUUUCUUAAAGUUUGGGGCUGCGAUGCUUAUGUGAAAAAGCUUCAACCUGAUAAGUUCGAACCCAAACCACAGAAAUGUAUCUUCAUAGGAUACCCAAAAGAAACUUUUGGGUACACCUUCUAUCACAGAUCUGAAGGCAAGUUAUUCAUUGCUAAGAAUGGAUCCUUUCUAGAGAAGGAGUUUUCUCUCGAAAGAAGUGAGUGGGAGGAAAAUAGAACUUGAUGAGGUAAUUCUACCUUCUUCCAAAUUGGAAAGUAGUUCAUCACAGAAAUCAGUUCCAGUGAUUCCUACACCAAUUAGUGAGGAAGCUAAUGAUGAUGAUCAUUAAACUUCUGAUCAAGUUACUACCAAACCUCGUAGGUCAACCAAAGUACGAUCCGCACCAGAGUGGUACAGUAAUCCUAUUCUGGAAGUCAUGUUACUAGACCAUGAUGAACCUACAAACUAUGAGGAAGCGAUGAUGAUCCUAGAUUCUGCGAAAUGGCUUGAGGCCAUGAAAUCUGAGAUGGGAUCCAUGUAUGAGGACAAAGUGUGGACUUUGGUGGACUUGCCCGAUGAUCGACAAGCCAUUAAGAAUAAAUGGAUCUUCAAGAGGAAGACGGACGGUGGUAGUAGUGUUACUAUCUACAAAGCUCAAUUUGUCGCAAAAGGUUUUCGACAAGUUCAAGGAGUUGAGUAUGAUGAGACUUUCUCAGUCAUAGUGAUGCUUAAGUCUGUCCGAAUCAUGUUAGAAAUUGCUGCAUUUUAUGAUUAUGAAAUUUGGCAAAUGGAUGUCAAAAAUGCAUUCUUGAAUGGAUUUCUGGAAGAAGAGUUGUAUAUGAUGCAACCAGAAGGUUUUGUCGAUCCAAAGGGUGCUAACAAAGUGUGCAAGCUCCGGCGAUCCAUUUAUGGACUCGUGCAAGCCUCUCGGAGUUGGAAUAAAUGCUUUGAUAGUGUGAUCAAAGCAUAUGGUUUUAUACAGAUUUUUCGAGAAGCCUGUAUUUACAAGAAAGUGAGUGGGAGCUCUGUAGCAUUUCUAAUAUUAUAUGUGGAUGACAUAUUGUUGAUUGGAAAUGAUAAAGAAUUUCUGGCUAGCAUAAAGGGAUGCUUUAUAAGAGUUUUUCAAUGAAAGACCUCGGUGAAGUUGCUUACAUAUUGGGCAUCAAGAUCUAUAGAGAUAUAUCAAGACGCUUGAUAAGAUUUUUCAAUGAGUAAAUACCUUGACAAGUUUUUGAAAGAGUUCAAAAUGGAUCAGUCAAAGAAGGAGUUCUUGUCUGUUUUACAAGGUGUAAAGUUGAGUAAGACUCAAAGCCCGACCAUGGCAGAAGAUUGAAAGAGAAUGAAAGUCAUUCCCUAUGCCACAGUCAUAGGUUCUAUAAAGUAUGUUCUGCUGUGUACCAGACCUAUUGUGCACCUUGUCAUGAGUUUGGCAAGGGGGUACAAUAGUGAUCUAAGAGUAGAUCACUGGACAGCGGUCAAAAUUAUCCUUAGUGAGGACUAAGGAAAUGUUUCUUGGUGAUGGGGGUGAUAAAGAGUUCGUCAUAAAGAGUUACGUCGAUGCAAGCUUUUUCAGCGAUCCAGAUGACUCUGAGUCUCAAUCUGGAUACAUAUUGAAAGUGGGAGCAAUUAGCUAGAGUAUCUCCAUGCAGAGCAUUGUAGACAUAGAAUAUUUGCAAAAUACAUACGGCUCGGAAUGUGUCAGAGCUAUUGACUAAACUUCUCUCACGAGCAAAACAUGAUCACACCUUAGUACUCUUUGGGUGUUAAUCACAUAGCGAUGUGAACUAUAUUAUUGACACUAGUAAACCCUUUGGGUGUUGGUCACAUGGCGAUGUGAACUAUGAGUGUUAAUCACAUACAGAUAUGAACUAUUUAUGUCAAAUCACAUGGCGAUGUGAACUAGAUUAUUGACUCUAGUGCAAGUGGGAGACUGAAGGAAAUAUGCCCUAAAGGCAAUAAUAAAGUUAUUAUUUAUUUCCUUAUUUCAUGAUAAAUGUUUAUUAUUCAUGCUAGAAUUGUAAACCAGAAACUUAGUACAUGUAUGAAUACAUAGACAAAACAUAGUGUCCCUAGUAUGCCUCUACUUGACUAGCUCAUUAAUCAAAGAUGGUUAUGUUUCCUAACCAUAGACAUGUGUUGUCAUUUGAUGAACAAGAUCACAUCAUUAGGAGAAUUAUGUGAUGGACAUGACCCAUCCGUUAGCUUAGCAUUAUAAUUGUAUCAGUUUCAUUGCUACUGCUUUCUUCAUGACUUAUACAUGUUCCUCAGACUAUGAAAUUAUGCAACUCCUGAAUACCGGAGAAACACUUUGUGUGCUAUAAAACAUCACAACGUAAAUGGGUGAUUAUAAAGAUGCUCUACAGGUGUCUCCAAAGGUGUUUAUUGGGUUGGCAUAGAUCGAAAUUAGGAUUUUUCACUCCGUGUUUCGGAGAGGUAUCUCUGGGCCCUCUCGGUAAUGCUUAUCACUAUAGGUCUUGCAAGCAAUAUGACUAAUGAGUUAGUUGCGGGAUGAAGUUUUACGGAACGAGUAAAGAGACUUGCUGUUAACGAGAUUGAACUAGGUAUGAUGAUACCGACGAUCUAAUCUCGGGCAAGUAACAUACCAGUGACAUAGGGAACAACGUAUGAUGUUAUGCGGUUUGCCGAUAAAGAUCUUCAAAGAAUAUGUGGGAACCAAUAUGAGCAUCCUGGUUCCGCUAUUGGUUAUUGACCGGAGAUGUGUCUCGGUCAUGUCUACAUAGUUCUCGAACCCGUAGGGUUCGCACGCUUAAUGUUCGAUGACGAUUUGUAUUAUGAGUUAUGUGAUUUGAUGAACCAAAGUUUGUUCGGAGUACCGGAUGAGAUCGCGGACAUGACGAGGAGUCUUGAAAUGGUCGAGACAUAAAAAUUGAUAUAUUGGAAGGCUAUAUUCGGACAUCGGAAUGGUUCCGGAGAAGUUCGGGUAUUUUCGGGAANNNNNNNNNNNNNNNNNNNNNNNNNNNNNNNNNNNNNNNNNNNNNNNNNNNNNNNNNNNNNNNNNNNNNNNNNNNNNNNNNNNNNNNNNNNNNNNNNNNNNNNNNNNNNNNNNNNNNNNNNNNNNNNNNNNNNNNNNNNNNNNNNNNNNNNNNNNNNNNNNNNNNNNNNNNNNNNNNNNNNNNNNNNNNNNNNNNNNNNNNNNNNNNNNNNNNNNNNNNNNNNNNNNNNNNNNNNNNNNNNNNNNNNNNNNNNNNNNNNNNNNNNNNNNNNNNNNNNNNNNNNNNNNNNNNNNNNNNNNNNNCACAAGGUGCUGAUGCGCCCCCCUUGGGCAGGAGGCUGAUUAGGACUAGGAGAAGGCCCACCCCUUUCCUUCUCCUUCUCCCUUCCCCCUUUCCUACUCCGUGUGGGAGGUGGAAUCCUACUAGGACUAGGGAGUCCUAGUAGGACUCCACACCUUGGCACGCCCUCCCUAGGUCCAGCUUACUCUCCCUCUCCCUCCUUUAUAUACGGGGGCAGGGGGCACCCUAGAACACACAAAUUGAUCUUUUAGCCGUGUGCGGUGCCCCCCUCCACAGUUACACACCUCAGUCAUAUCGUCGUAGUGCUUAGGCGAAGCCCUGCACUGGUAACUUCAUCAUCACCAUCGCCACGCCGUCGUGCUGACAAAACUCUCCCUCGGCCUCAACUGGAUCAAGAGUGUGAGGGACGUCGUCGAGAUGAACGUGUGCUGAACACGGAGGUGUCGUACGUCCGGUACUUGGAUCGGUUUGAUCGCGAAGACGUUCGACUACAUCAACCGUGUUAACUAGCGCUUCCGCUUUCGGUCUACGAGGGUACAUGGACACACUCUCCCCUCUCGUUGCUAUGCAUCAUAUAGAUAGAUCUUGCGUGAUCGUAGGAAAUUUUUGAAAUUACCGCGUUCCCCAACAGAAAGUCAAUAGUUCUGCAAUGAAAUUACAUCCUACUUAUGGUGCAUUAUUCGUUGUUACUUAUGCUUAAUGCUUGGGUAUGAGAUUUUUUGUUUCUUGGUUGGGCGCCUCUCAAUCUUUUUGCUAGCCUUCAUUUUGCACUAAGUAUGAUCACUACUUGUGCAUCCAAAACCAUUUAAACAAGUUUUGCCAUAUGAGUCCACUAUAUCUACCUAUAUGUGGUAUUUCCGUGCCGUUCUAAGCAAAUUUGCAUGUGCCAUCUCAAAUUUUCAAAAUAAAUUUCUCUUUUGUGUGCUCGUACCGCUCGCGAGGCGGUGAGGGGUGGCCGAUAUUUUCAAAUGUGUUAUUCUCACGAUGAGUGUUUAUUCACUUGCCAUUGCACGAGAGUACGACAAAGGUAUUAGGGAUGCCCAGUCCCGAAAUGAAAAAAAUGAAUUUACUUUAUGUUGUCAAAUAAUAAAUUCCUUGAAAAGUGUUGGUAUGGAGGGCACCCGUGGAUACUGACAAGCCUUGGAAAGUGAAAGUAUGGUGGAAAAAGUAAUAAACUUUAUUUUCUGUUUGGGAACCACCUAUGAUGUAUCUAGCAUGGAAAGUGUUGGGAGCUCUAAGUCGUUUUGUGGCACCAUUACCUGAAAGGGAUGACAACCCCUUUAACACGUCGGGUUGCGAGUAUUUGUUAUUUGUGUGCAGGGGUUGUUUGCGUUGUGUUUCUUGGUUCUCCUACUGGUUCGAUAACCUUGGUCUCAUCACUGAGGGAAAUACCUACCGUCGUUGUGCUGCAUCAUCCCUUCCUCUUUGGGUAAAUACCGACGUAGUUCAAGUAGACAUCAGUUGGUAUGCAUUUUCAUAUUCCUUUCUCCGAUAGAAAUCUUGGGAUACUUUUGAAGUUCUUUGUGUUGGAUUGAAUAUUAUGAAUCUGAAGUUGUUUGAUGCAUAUCGUAUAAUUGACACACGAAUACUAUUGGUUAUAUUGGAGUAUCUAGGUGACAUUAGGGUUGAUUGAUGUGUGUCAUAUGGUGUUAUUUUAGUACGAACUCUAGGGUUGUUUGUGACACUUAUAGGAAUAGCCCAAUAGAUCGAUCAGAAAGAAUAACUUUGAGGUGGUUUCGUACCCUACAAGCAAUUUCAUCUUAUGUUCUGCGCGAUAGGAACUUUGGAGUGAUUCUUCGUUGCACGUUGAGGAAUUGACAUAUGAUCUAAUUAUGUUAUCAUUGUUGAGAGAACUUGCACUAGUCAAAGUAUGAACCCUAGUCCUUGUUUCCAAGAAUUGCAAUACCAUUUUUGCUCACUUUUAUUACUAGUUACCUUGCUGUUUUUAUAUUUUCAGAUUACAAAAACCUAUAUCUACCAUCCAUAUUGCACUUGUAUCACCAUCUCUUCGUCGAACUAGUGGACCUAUGCAAUUUACCAUUAUAUUGGGUGUGUUGGGGACACGAGAGACUCUUUGUUAUUUGGUUGGAGGGUUGUUUGAGAGAGACCAUCUUCAUCCUACGCCUCCCACAGAUUGAUAAACCUUAGGUCAUCCACUUGAGAGAAAUUUUCUACUGUCCUACAGAACUCUGCACUUGGAGGCCCAACACGAGUCUACAAGAAGAAGGUUGCGUAGUAGACAUCAGCCACCGGCCCCUCCUCCUUCGCCCCUUCCCUCGCCGCCGCCGGUAGUCCCUACUGGACGAAGCCCUGACGUGUGUUGGCAGCGACGAGGACGCCCCACUCCUCCUUCCCCUUCCUCGCUCCCCGUGCCGCUCCUCCCGAACCCCAGCGCCUCAGAUGCACCGUCAUCGGUUAUCCUUGCUCUCCGUCAUCCAGCUUGGGUGGCCGGCCUGGAGUUCGCUGUCAGCGGCGAGGUAGGCCCACAUCUAGCCAUGCCCGUGGUGCGGGGCUACCAUCCCUCGAGCUCGUCUCUACCCAUAUCCAACUGGAGGUCGGUUCGUUGAUCCAAAGAGGCUACGACUAGGGGGUUGGCCGGUACUGCCCGUCCAGGGGGGAUGGGCCUGGUUUUCGGGGGGAUCUCAUGUCUCCUAAGAUAAAUCGGCCACGUGGUGGCCCUCGUGCUCUUCGCGUGAAGUCCCUGUUCUACAUGUGAUCAAUGCUCUUUGAUCUGGCCAUCAGUGAGUUCCGAACAUCUCCUUCGAAGGAAAACAAGGACUAGUAUAUAUGACGCUUUUUUGGACACCUUGAUUGCAUAAGGGCACAUCGUGACAUGUUUUUUUCUCUCUUAUUAUUUUAUUUUUUGGCCGUGCGCAUCCUGGAUGUUCUUACGAGUCUUGUUGGUGCAUAGGCUGAGCGUAAUUGGUAUCUACUUGAUAUUAAUAUAUUCCCCAUUAAAAAAAUCUUUAUCCAUUAGGCUUAAUAAGCUAUAAUAACAUAUACAAGCAAAAUUAGUAACAACUAGGCACUAGUUGGGAGAUUAGCACAUCUGGAAUUGUACAACUAGGAAGAAAUAGGCAAAGUGCCACAAUAUGGAAGUAAUGCAAAUGUUACUUUAAUUCGUGCUUAUGUUUAAGAAAACAUACAUGUCCUUUCGGUGCAUGUUACAGGGCAAAAAUAGGAACAAAAAUACGAUUUCUUGCACCUGCCAUCUAAACACUUACAUCCAAUACAAGAUCCUCAACUUUAAUUAAUUGGUCUCCUUGAUAAUAGUAUGUGUAGAGCCUUAGCUUCUUCACAAGGAUUAGUGUUAUUACUCGUUUGUUUAUCUCCUGAAAUAAAUGCACCAGUCUCUGUUUGACCCGCACACUUUGUAUUUUGAACAACAAAAACUAGUUGUUCAUCAUUGUAGCUUGGCCGCACGUACUCUAAUAUAUAUGCAGCAUAUUUUCGGACAACACCAACUUUAGGCGAAACAUCGACGAUCCCGGUAUUUAUAUUACAUGGGGUCAUAUCACAAUGAGAAGGCCAUGCCACUCUAGAAAAGUAUAAAUGACUCCUUUAACUUGAUGACUGCCAUCCUCAUGUGAAGUCAAUUAAAAAGAUUCCUUCCAUUUUUUCAGCCCAUAUGUAUUUUAUGUAAAUAAUAAUUCCAUGUAGAAUCAAACUUAUUUAAUUCUGGAUGGGCAAACUAUUUUCAAUAGCACUGCCAAUGAAUUAACAUAUCUGAAUAGUCUGAUCUAUCUUAGUUAACUGCUCAAAAUUCCGUGCAUACCCUGACCAAACUGCAUGCAAGGGUGAACUGAUUGUUAUCUUUAGCGGAGCAUCCAGCAUCUUCACAAAUGCAAUGGAGAAACAAAAACAACAUAAGAGAUAAUUACUCCCUCCGUUCCUAAAUAAUUGUCUUUCUAGUGAUUUCAACAAGUGACUACAUACAAAGCAAAAUAAAUAAAUCUACACUCUAAGACAUGUCUACAUACAUCCGUAUGUUGUAGUCCAUUUGAGAUGGCUAGAAAGACAAUUAUUCGGGAACGGAGGGAGUAAUUAACAAUCCGACAACUAACUAGCAAUACUUUUGUUGAAUAGCCGUUGCGCGUGAGUAAACAUGGCACAAGAGAUAGAAACACCUCGUUAUUUGUGGUUUGUACCAAUCAAAUAUUGAAGAAACUGUCGUGUCAGGAAAGACUUGCAAGCCGAGCGCAACUAAUCAAUUCGUUGAGAGAGCAAGGUAGUGGCAAAUUAUAUAUUUAAAGUUCAGGAUAUUUAAUGAGUGAUUACAAAAGAUCCACAUUUGCCACAACCAGAAUCACCAUCAGGAUUCAAGAGGACGCGGCAUCAGGAAUUGACCAAGACUUAAUCAAACCUUCGCAAUUGCUCACCUACUUUGAUCGUUGCCUCAUCUUUUGGCACUUCCUCUUGAGCCUCGUCAUUCUCUUGUUCUUCCACUGCACAUUAUUUCAAACGCAAUGUACAAUAUAAUUUGCAUGUAAAUAGUGCAAGGCAGGACACCAAAUGCAAUGUACUUUAUUUGUUGGAAACAAGAGUAUUGGGUGUUCGGAUUUAAUUCUCAUUGUGUGUGGUCAGUUUUGUUAAAUGAACAAACAAAAAGCAAUAAUAAAGAAAAAUAAUAAGGACAUGUCCUGCAAUCUAGUAUUUGGCAAAUGACAAGAUUGUAACAAUGUGAUGAAUCUUUGCAACAAAAGGGAGUACUUAUAUAUGCAUUUGACAUUCAAGAACAUGAGUUAUUAAACCAAAAAUGGAAUAGUAAAGUUAAAAGACUAAGGGCUAGUUCUUUUGGAGCUUAUGGCUGGCUGUGGAAAUAAGUUGCCCCUCCUUACUUAUAGCAGGCUUAUAAAAUGAAAUUUUAGGUUGAGCUUCUAGGGGCAGCUUAUUUCCACACCCAGCCAUAGGCCAAAAAAAAAACUAGACCUAAGCAUGUUCCCUGAGAAAUGCUUCAAUCGUCCACAUGGUGUAAUAGAAUGGAUUAAAUCAGACUCAUCGUCUGUGAAAUAGCAGUAAAUACAGAGAAGCUGAAAGUGACAAUAAGUGGUAGAACGAAUACAUUGUUGCCAUCAGUUCUUGGAGCCAUGAUGUUCAUCAGUUGGUAUUUUAUUCAAACUGACCACCAUUGUUAAUCUCAACCAAUUCAUUCCCAUGUCUAAGAUCAAAUUACCGCAUGGUGCUUAAGCAAUAAAUCAAGUUCAGUUGUUCAACUGAGGCUCCAAUUCACUGGCAGCUACCAAUGCUGGAAGUGUCACUGGUUCAACUUUUGUUUCCCUUGUGAGGUAAAAAGAAAAUUAAUGAACCUGCAAAUAUCUGCAAUGUUCCUGGUAUUUGUUCAUCUCGGAGCAAAGAAAAGGACCUGUCACACCGCAAAAAGAUAAAAUAACUGACACAACAAAUGCAGGGCCAAAAGGCACAUUUCAGAGUACCUCAAGGAUAAUAGGUGCAUAAAAUUCAGUCACAAACACAUAUAAUCCUCACAUUACAUAAAACUCAGUACUGGAACAUAGCCAGACUAGUAUUAAACAACUAAAUUUGACCAAACACAGGUAAAAGCAACUUCCACAGCCAAAACAACAGAACAAAUCAAGAAUCACUAGACAAUGCCAUCACCCCUCAGAGUUCCGCUGCCUGGAUGCAAGAUGAUGCUUACGGCCUACUUGGAUCGCUGCCUCAUCUUUCGGCGCUUCCUCUUGAGCCUCCUCAUCCUCUUCUUCUUCCACUGCAAAUUACAGCAACAAUGCCUAGCAUCAGCAUAAAUUGCAUGGGUGCUAUAGAAGAUGCUUAGGAACAUAACAAGUUUUCCAGAUGAAAAGGAACAGAAAGUACAACUUGUUUUGGAAUCAGAAGAUUGAGUGUUUCAUUGGAUAUCAUCACGUGAUUUUCAGAAACACGGACCAAUUGUUCUUCAUCAUUUCCCAGACUAAAGUCGAUUUCAAAGGCAAAUAGGAAUCAAUUAUGCUAAGAUAUCCAAAGAACUAGCUAAGCAAAGUAUAGAUCUGCAGUCGGUUUGACAUUCAGAAUGAGUAGGAGGAUUUUAUCAUCAAAUAGAUCGGACAACAAUUGUCUUCCUCAUCAUGCCAACGACGCAAUUAUACCCAAAAAAACAGUGGAAAAAUGAGCUAAACAAUCAGAGUUCUCUCAGACAAAUGCCUCGAUUGUCCACAUGGUGUAAUAGAAUGGAUUACAUCAGACUCGUAAUCUGUUUUAAUCAUCACAGAGACUAUGGACAAACUAAAACAGCCAAAAAAACACAUAAAUCUGGCUAACAUAACUAGAGGCAGUAAUUAGAUCUAAUAGAGGGAGCAAAUCUGGUCGAAAUAGCAGCGGUUCCCUCAGACAAAUGCCUCAUUUUUGUCCCCACGGUUGGAUGGCAUGGAUUGGAUCUGACAUCUAAUCAGUGUUGAUCAUCACAGAAAACCACUAAUCACGCAAGCAACAGCGAGAACGAACACUCUAUAAACACUAGCACAUGUCCAGAUCUAACGCGGUCGCGAAGCAGCUAACAGGAGAGAAAGGUAGACGAAGGGCAGUAAGAACCUUGGCCCUCAUCGCGGCGGCGGUGUCGGCCUCGCUCUCCGGUUCGCGGCGGUGGUGGCGGCGGGAGUGUGUGGACGAACCCGAUCUCCGUAGAUUGUUGGCGGCGGGGCUCUCGCCUCGUACUUAUACGGGCUGGGUGCUGAAGAGGGGAAAACCCUAGCGGGAUCGGACGCGUGGACGGCUCGGAUCAGCCAGUGAACGGCGUUCUGAUCCGAUUAGUUCCUCUGGUUUCUGGGCCUGUUGGGCCUCCAAACAACGCAUAGGCCCACGCUAACAUUUGACUGGACUUGAUUUCCUGAAUGGGGAAAAAAGAAACUUGACCAGUCUUUACUUUUAUUCUCUUUUUUUUUACUUAAAAAAAAGAGUAGCGUUCCUUUUUCUGCCAGACGGAGUGAUUCGUCCAACAUUUUUUUAUAACCAUUCCUUGGGAACCGCCUUAAUCAUCUCAUCUUUUUGGUUCAAAAAUAUCGUCUCAUCUUUUAUUGACUUAUCAAAUAAAUUAUAUUUUCUUUCAUAAGUCAAAAUAAGUGAUUACAAAAUAAAAUCAUGAGCAAGAUUUGUUAAGUAUUUAUUUACACAAUCACGUAACAUAAAGUUGUAAAUUAUGGGAUAAUGAUGGCGCUGGUGCGCAACUGUUGGUGCAGCACAUUCACCAUUAAUUAUACUAUUUUUAACACAGUAUAAACGUAAGCGCUCGUAUAUAUAUGCGCAUAUAUUCAUCCAUAUGAACACACACACGCACACCCUAUCCCUAUGAGCAUCUCUGAAAGACUGAGUCAGCAUAUUAUCUAAAUUUUACAAAGUCAUCAUAGGCGUUUAUCCAGAAUAAAUGCAAGCACCAGGACUUGAAUACUAAUAGGCUGAGAAUACUAUUGUCCUUCUAACCAUUCAACCACAUAUUGUUUCGCCAGGACUAAUCAUACUGAUGUAGCCAAGUCUUGUUUAAAAACUAGGGACCAAACUUCGUCCCAUAUAGUUGAACAACCCGUUGCUGCGGUCUGAUGUAGUUGCUACUCGUUUGCUUCUAAAGUAACUUGUAAUCAACUACUUCUGAUGAGAACAAAUCGAUAAAGUACCUUGUAACAAACUACUGAGAUAAUUUGUACCUUCUCUCCGUACCCAUGUAUUAUCAAGUAGCCUCUUAAUGUACUUUCCCUUUUUUCUUCUUUGAAGCAAGUUUAUGAAAAAAAUGAUGUAUUCCGAUCUCCAUGAAGCAACCAAUUAGCUCGUCCUCUCUAUAACCAAAUCAAUUCUUGUUGAUACAGAAGAUUCUCAAUAUCUAGCCUAACAAAAAGAAGAUUCUCAAUAUUUGAAGAUCUUUUUUAUCCCUAAUCUCCCCGUCAGAUCACUUUGUCUCCAUUUCUGAAGGUAUUUACUUAGCUUCGAUAUCCUCUUAUUUGGGCCUUUCAGAACCUCCAGAUCCCUCUUGUGUAGAUCUUUAUGAUCAGGCAAGGGUGGCCUAGCUUGCUCGCUCCCAAGCCAAUUGGACUACCGCAUUAACGGUUUCUUCACACAACCAACGGGCUUCAAACUUUUUUCGGGCCUUCGGUUGUUGAGACAAAACAUAUUUUUUUAAAAUAUGAAGGAGAAUAGAUCAAUGGUCUGAAUGGACAUGGUGCUCAUGAACCAACCCAACGCAUAUGGCAAUUUAUCCGCACACGCCUCAUUACUUAGUGAUGCCUUGGCUCUAGGUAAACUGAUCACCAAUAACCGUGGUCUAUUGAAGUCCACACAACCUGUGAAAUUAUGCAUCAACUGUUGAGGUCGAACAUCACCACCCUCCUUCUCACUUUCCACCAAUCUCUCAUUAAAAUCACAAAAACUAACCAUGGACCAGCCGCAUUACGUUGCACGAGUAUGUCCAGGACAGGUGCUUCCUAUCCCAAGUAGGUUGUCCGUAAUAUCCCGUCAAGCACCAUGAAGCAUUAUUUUCACCAUAACAAUUCCACCAAUAAAGUUUGGAGAAGAAUAAUUCAACACCACUUCAUUAGACUGGUUAUAAAAAAGGACAAGGCUCCCCGAGCGACCAUCACUCUCAACAAUAUGACUAAAUCAACCCUAGCUUAACUCUCAACUCAAUUGCACUCGCUUUGUUCAUAUAAGAAAAUCACAUCUCCUCUCACACUCCCUUGGAGGUCCAAGGGCUCACUGUCGUGGAUGAAAGCAUCCCACGUCAGUUCCAAUCUAAGAUUUCCAUUGUGCCCGGCUGUCCUUCUCGUCUGAGGCCACCAAUCCAUCAUUAGCAUUGCAGUCAAUUUCCGUCCAUCACUUCCCUUUAGUUUAAUUUGCUUUGCAUUUUUCCGAGGCCCACAAACCUUUUGUCUAGUAUGUUUGAACCAAAAAGGAGUUAAUAUACAUGGUUUGGUCCACACUACGAGAAAGUGGCCCAACCAAAAUAAGCUACCUAAUUUUGAAAUUUCUCCAAGUGCUUUAGGGUGACUUUUGUGUCCUUACAACACCAUCCUUCGUGCCGUCUUGUCCAUGUAUCUUGCUUCCAUGAUGUACAUAUCCUCUUCUCCAAUCUCCACAACCUUCAGUUCUGUGGAUUUAAUUGUUGAUUGAUCCUUGUGGGAUUACGGUUGUAUGUGUAGCAGGGGCUGUAAUGGUAGAAGAGGUGCCCCCAUCACUUGAUUUUGGGGCAGGUGCUGGUGCUUUUUUUAACACAGUACACAUGCAUGCGCUCAUAUAUAUGUGCAUACAUUCAUCCCUAUAAUAAACACAUACACGCAUACUCACUAGUAGAAAACCGGGUUUCAGUCCAGCCACAUAAGCCCAUUAAUCCCGGGUCAGUCACGAACCGGGACCCAUGGGGGCAUAGGUCUCGGUUCGUGAGGCCAGGAGGCCGGCCGAGCCUCGUGGGGCAUUGGUCCCGGUUCGUCUCGCCCCUUUGGUACCGGUUCCAAACACGAACCAGGAUCAAAGGGCCUCGUUCCUGGCCCACAACCUUUAGUCCCGGUUUGUGGCUGGAAUCGGGAUUAAAGGACCACCUUUUGUCCUGGUUCCAGCCACGAACCGAGACCAAUAAGAUGCCUAUAUAUACCUCCUUGCCCGCGAGCAGAGCAAUGGAGUGCUCUGGUUUUUUUGGCCGGUCGUGGGAGAGAGCUUUGUGGUGCUCUAGCUCACCUCCUAUGCACACGAGGUGUUCGAUAAAAUGUUGAGCCGCACUUAAGCUUUCUCCUCUCGAAGUACUUGUCCAAAGUCCAUUUUCCUCUAGAUUUGUUUAGGUUUAGCGGUAUGUCAUGUCACGUCCCCAUCCUCCCAGCCGUCGAUUGCCCGCGCCGAUCUCGUCGCCGGCACCAUCAUGGUGAGCCUCUUGAUCUUAUCUUCUUUCUCAAAGAAAAAAGUUCUUACUUGUAUGAUUUAGAUAGAUACUUGUGUAAUUUUCUUACUUUUAUUAUUGUUUGUUAUUAUAUAGUGCGAUGGUUUUGGUAUCCGUCUCCAUCGGCCCUCGUCCUGUUUAUGAUUCGGAUGUGGUAUAUAUUAUCUUUUAUAACUAUUUGGUCCAUUUAGUGUUUAUGACAAUUAUGCCGACCAACGUGACAUAGAUUUUUUUAUCUAGGAGGUAUGUGAACCGGAAAUCCCAACCGACCCUAUUGUCGAGAGGUUAAAUUUAGUUGAAGAAGAAAACAAUUACUUGAAGGAAAAAAUGGAAAAAAUUGAGGAGGAGAAGAUGAUAUUGGAGUUGCAUGUUGCAGAUGUCGUCGAUGAUCACAAGAUCAAGAUGGAUGCAAUGCGCUUGAAGAUUAGAAAGAUUAGAAAAUAUGUCAUUCAUACUGAGGCUUAAUAUCAUUAUGCCGUUGGAUCAAUUGUUAUCUUAGUUGCGAUUAUGAUCGCAUUUGUUGUUGCAUUGAAAUGUUUUACAUAGUUUCAAUGUAUGUUUAAUUAGAUGCUGUGGAGAGCUAUAUGUUGUUCAAUGAGAACUAUUUAUGUACUUUGGCUUUAAUGUGAUGAUGAACUUCUAUUAAUUUGGUCACUUAUUUAUUCAUGAUGCAUGCAGAUGAACCGGCAAUGGAUGUACGGUAACAGACGCACCUCCGAGUACAUUAAGGGCGUGAAUAAUUUUCUCGUAGUGGCUGAGGCAAACAAGCAGAAUAGUUUUAUGUGUUGUCCAUGCCCUAUAUGUGGGAAUAUGAGGUCUUACUCUGACUCGAAAACCCUUCACACCCACCUGCUUUAUAAGGGUUUCAUGCCACACUAUAAUGUUUGGACCAAGCACGAGAAAGAGGGGUUAUGAUGGAAGACAACGAAGAAGAAGAGGAUGAUGACAACUAUGUGCCCCCUGAAUACGGUGAUGCUGCAACGGGGAAGCUGAAGAUCAAGAGGAACCAGACGAUGUGCCCGAUGAUAAUCUUCGUCGGGUCAUUGUUGAUGCAAAGAGACAGUGCAAAAGUGUAAAGGAGAAGCUGAAGUUCGACCGCAUGUUAGAGGAUCACAAAAAAGGAUCAUGCCCAAUUGCGAAGAUGGGAACACAAAGCUCGGUACCACACUGGAAUUGCUGCAGUGGAAGGCAGAGAAUGGUGUACCUGACAAAUAAUUUGAGAAGCUACUGAAAAUAUUGAAGAAGAAGCUUCCAAAGGAUAACGAAUUGUCCGACAGUACGUAUGCAGCAAAUAAGGUUGUAUGCCCUCUAGGAUUGGAGGUGCAGAAGAUACAUGCAUGCCCUAAUGACUGCAUCCUCUACUGCGGUGCGUAUGAGGAUUUGAACGCACGCCCGGUAUGCGGUGCAUUGCAGUAUAAGAUCAGACGAGAUGCCCCUGGUGAUGUUGACGGCGUGCACCCCAGGAAGAGGGUUCCUGCCAAGGUGUGUGGUAUGCUCCUAUAAUACCACAGUUGAAAUGUCUAUUCAGAAACAAAGAGCACGCCAAGUUGAUGCGAUGGCACAGAGAGGACUAUAAGAAAGACGGGAAGUUGAGAGCACCCGCUGAUGGGUCGCAGUGGAGAAAAAUCGAGAGAAAGUACUGGGAGGGCUUUGCAGGUGACGCAAGGAACGUAUGGUUUGAUUUAAGCGCAGAUGGAAUUAAUCCUUUUGGGGAGCAGAGCAGCAAUCACAACGCCUGGCCUGUGUAUCUAUGUAUCUAUAACCUUCCUCCUUAGUUGUGCAUGAAGCGGAAGUUCAUUAUGAUGCCAGUUCUCAUACAAGGCCCUAAGCAACCCGGCAACGACAUUGAUGUGUACCUAAGGCCAUUAGUUGAAGAACUUUUACAGCUGUGGAAUGGAAAUGAUGUACGUGUGUGGGAUGAGCACAAACAACAGGAAUUUGACCUACAUGCGUUGCUGUUUGUAACCAUCAAUAAUUGGCCUGCUCUCAGUAACCUUUCAGGACAGACAAACAAGGGAUACCACGCACACACGCAUUGUUUAGAUGACACCAAAAGUAUAUACCUAGACAAAUGCAGGAAGAAUGUGUACCUAGGGCAUCGUCGAUUUCUUCCAACCAACCAUCAAUGUCAAAAGAAAGGCAAGGCAGAUCACCAGAAGAAGCCCGUCGUCCGUACUGUGAUCACAUACUUGCUAUGGUCAAUGCUUUACAAGUAAUCUUUGGAAAGGGUCCCGGUGGACUAUCUGUUCCGAAUGACGCUGAGGGACAUGCACCCAUGUGGAAGAAAAAAACUAUAUUUUGGGACCUACCCUACUAGAAAGACCUAGAGGUUAGCUCUUCAAUCAACGCGAUGCACGUGAUGAAGAAUCUUUGUGUGAACCUACUAGGCUUCUUGGGCGUGUAUGGGAAAACAAAAGAUACACUGAAGGCACGGGAGGACCAGCAACGUGUGCACGAAAAAGACGGCAUGCCUCCAAAGCAGUAUGAAGGUCCUGCCAGCUACGCUCUUACCAAAGAAGAGAAGGAAAUCUUCUUUGAAUGCGUGCUCAGUAUGAAGGUCCCAUCUGGCUUCUCGUCGAAUAUAAAGGGAAUAAUAAAUAUGUCAGAGAAAAAGUUCCAGAACCUAAAGUCUCAUGACUGCCUUGUGAUUAUGAUGCAACUGCUUCCGGUUGCAUUGAGGGGGCUUCUAGCGGAAAAUGUUCGAUUAGCCAUUGUGAAGCUAUGUUCAUUCCUCAAUGCAAUCUCCCGGAAGGUGAUUGUCGGGGAAGCUGAUCCACGAACACCUAUGGGACCGGCGGACCGAGCCCCUUUCGGUUCGGCGGGGGGCGGAGAUCGCACGAAGAGCGGAUCGAGGCGAAGCACACGAGCAGUUUACCAAGCUUCGGAGCUCUCCGGAGAGAUAACACUCCUACUGUUGCAUGUCUGAGUGUAUUGAGUUCUUGCUCGGGAGCGCUGAGUGCUACAGUACACCCUAGCUACUAACGAGACCGAGCGUGAGUGUUUUUCUGCCUUCCCACCCCCCUCUACGUUGCGCAUGGGCCUCCUUUUAUAUGCUAAAGGGGUCUCCGACAGGUGGCAACGUAGACAAGGGUAAAAAUGGAAAAGGAAUCGCGGUUGGUACAACAACCUGUACAGUGUAUCAUACCUAACCCUGACAGCAGGGGACAAAGGCAUUAAAUGCCCGUCUACGUCGCCCAAAUAGUGCAAAAAGGGACCGUCAGGGAUGCCACCGCUCGCCACGAUGGCAAUCUUGUCAGCGCCGCUUGCCAUCGCGCACCGCUGGCUGCACAGCCUCUUGCCACGCGCGCCUGGAAAGGCCCCAGGGCGACACGUUGGUGGAUGUGCUGGAGCGCGGGUACAGAUUGGUAGCUUGCCGCGGCAAGCGCUUUGCCGCGGUCGUUGUCUUGUCGCGUCCGGAAGCUUGUCGCUCACUGGGCCUCGCCGGGACGCGUGGCACGUCGCGGCAAGUUCCUUGAGAUGCCUUGGUUGGCCUUCCCGGCAAGCUCCUCUUGUCGGGGCCUUGUCUCCUUGGCUUGAAUACUUUGUUCUUGAAUGGCUCCAAAGGAACCAUGGAGGAUCUUGGCGGUCACCCGGCAAGCCUUGCCGCGGGGUGCUGCGACUGCCCGUGCACAAGUUCGGGAUACUAGGGUACCCCUACUCUAGUACACCGACAGGAGCCCCCAGGCCUGGGCCACACACGGUGCCGAGCGCUGUUGGGCCAGACCCAAAACAGGGCACGGGCACGCGCGGCCUGGGUUACGCCGUAUCUCACUCUGUAUCCACCGCGCCCUCCUCGAACGGCACGCGUCGAAUGCGGCGUCGUGGGAGAGAUCGUGGGUGGUUUCUUUAUUCGGAAAGACGGAACGUCUGCCCCCUCCCUCCUUGUUGUACUUGUAGUUCUUCAAUUCUUGCUGUUUUGUCUUGUAUCUGAUUUGCUUUACUCUGAACCCAUUCCUUUUCAGGACUCUGGCCCAGAGAGCGGCGAAGAGAGCCAAGGCCCCGGUGAUUGUCAUCGAGGACGAACCCACCGCGACAGCAGGGUGUGUGUCCGAGACCACCUUGCCGGACCCGACAACUAUUCCCCAAAGCAACCCCCAGCGCAGCCCCCAGCGUAAGUAUAUGGUUUACUUCCUGCUGUUAGGCGCGCAUGGGUGCUCUUUCUUUGCUGACAUCUGAUUCUUGGUUUGCGUAGGAGCAGAGCAGUCUCACCAGGAGUGCCCGGAAGCCGCUCCCGACAUGCCCUCUGCUUCGACUACACCGCCAAGGGAGGAUUCCCCGGCAAGAGAGCGUUCUCCGGCAAGGGACAAUUUUCUGGUAAGGGAGAAGUCUCUGGCAAGGGGCAGUUCUCUGGCAAGGGACAGCACCAGCGACCCCUCGGUGGCGGAGACCACGGCUGUAGAUCCUAGUACAGGUAAUCCUCUUGCUUGAAAACUUCCCCUGGGUUCUUCUUCUUCUGAUUUUCUUUUUGAAUAUUUGCUUGACUUUUCUCCCUUUUCCGGUCGUCGGGUCCAUCUGCCACGGAGCCGAUGGAAACCGAGGUCGCCGGCGAUGAGAACGUGCGCGGCAAUGCCAACGACACUGCUGCCACCGAAGAAGAGGCCGGCACCGAUGAUCCCGCCGGCGGAGAGGCCGUCAAAGCUGCCGCCGCAGGAGCUGGCGAGGGGUCCGGCGAUUGCACUGACGGGCCCGAGGCCGCAGGAGCGUCAGGCGCUACGCCGACCGCCGAUCCCUCCGCCGCUGCUGCAGCGUCAGGCUCCGGAGAGCCCCAGCCCGGCGCCUAUUUGAAGGCCGGCGAUGGCAUCUUCAUCAAGCUCCCCUGGGCUUGUUGCUGCUGGUCAUGUUAUGAGAACAAUCUGUUAGAGCUGCGACAAGCUAUCUUAUAAUACGACUCUAUUUUGGGUAGCGAUUGCUAUGUUAUUUCCUUUACUUGAUUCCUUCCUUUGUAUGUUUUGGCCCUACGCUUUUAGGGAACUUGUCGGCGCAGGCACCUUAGCCGCGAGCGCUGAGUGCGGGACGUCAGCAGCCUGCUGGCGGUGCCGCUACCGACAAGAAACCUUGUCGCAACUAGUCGCAGCUCACUUAAGUUGUUGAGCGGACUCGAAACAAAGUAAGGGCACAACUAGCUACGAGUUGGUUCCUCCGCGCACAGGUUUUCCAUACAAAGCACGGUCGUUCGAGGAAGAUAACUUAAAAAUUUUAAAACUGAUUGCUCAAACUUUAGCAACUUAGCUUUUCUAUCGUUUGCUUCUCGGUAAGGCGAAACUUCCUCGAACGACGCUUGGUCCACACCAUUAUCUUCUCCUUUCCUCCCGGCAAACUUGUGGGCGAGGGAACCUUCCUUUCUUUGAGAAAGAGAAAGAAGAGAAAAUAAAGAUAUGGGGCCUUACGGCUCGUUAUUGCUUACCGGGGGUAGGCGCUGCACAAAGUGUCAGAUAAUGCGUGCAAAGAAAAGUAGAAAGCAUGAAAUUGACAAGAUGUACAGAGCACAUGAGCUUUACUUACGCACGGGGUCUGCGCCCGGCUUCGUAUAGAGGAUUACAUGCAACAUCGGCAAGACUUGUACGAAAGGUGGUUGCCGGAACAGGUUCCGGCAACCGCGCCUUAUGGGUAAAACUUACGAAGAUGCUCAAUGUUCCAGGAGUUGCUCACCGGAAUGCCAUCUUCGGUCUCAAGGCGGACAGCGCCAGGCCUAGUGACUCGUUUCACCCGGUAAGGGCCUUCCCACUUCGGCGUCAACUUGUUGGAAUUCUUGGCGGACUGAACGCGCCGAAGAACAAGGUCGCCUUCCUCGAGACUUAUGGCAUUAACUUUGCGGCUAUGGUAGCGGCGCAAAGCUUGCUGGUAUCGAGCAGCUCGUACAGCGGCCUGAAGACGGUCCUCCUCAAGGAGCAGCGCGUCGUCUUGUCGCGACUGCUCUUGCUCAAGCUCAUCAUAAGCGAGCACUCGAGGUGACCCGUAUACGAGUUCCAUGGGGAGAACUGCCUCUGCUCCAUAGACUAGAGCGAAAGGUGUUUGUCCAGUGGCUCGAUUUGGCGUCGUCCUGACCGACCAAAGAACCACCGGCAGCUCCUCAAUCCAGUUCUUUCCGCACUUGCGCAGCCUACCAAAAGUCCUAGUCUUGAGCCCGCGUAGCACUUCAGCAUUCGCCCUCUCCGCUUGACCGUUACUUCUCGGAUGAGCAACAGAAGCGAAGCAGACCUUGGCGCCAAGAUCUUGGACGUACUGCAUGAAGGUGCGGCUCGUGAAUUGCGUGCCGUUGUCGGUGAUGAUCCUGUUAGGGAUCCCGAAGCGGCAAACAAUCGACCUGAAGAACUUGACUGCUGACUGUGCUGUCACCUUCCUCACUACUUCCACUUCUGGCCACUUUGUGAACUUGUCGAUUGCAACAUACAAGUACUCAAAGCCCCCGACAGCUCGGGGAAAGGGGCCGAGGAUGUCGAGCCCCCAGACCGAAAAUGGCCAGGAUAAAGGGAUCGUCUGGAGAGCUUGAGCUGGCUGGUGUAUCUGUUUGGAAUGGAACUGGCACGCUUCACACUUGGUUACUUGUGCAGUUGCAUCCUGGAGGGCUGUCGGCCAAAAGAAACCUUGCCGGAACGCUUUGCCGGCAAGUGCUCUUGCGCCAAUGUGGUGACCACAUAUGCCUCCAUGUAUCUCUGCCAACAGCUUUUGUCCGUCUUCCCGGUGAAUACACUUCAAUUUCACGUCGUUGAGUCUUCUUCUGUACAGUGUGUUGUCGACAAACUGGUACAUACUUGACUGCCGGGCUACUCUUUCCGCUUCUUCUUGCUCUUCGGGAAGUUCUCCUGUCUGAAGGAAACAGACAAUCUGCUGUGCCCAUGCUGGAGCUUGCGGCUCGACAACAAGGACUAAAGGCACAUCUACUGCUGCGGGAACAUCCGCUUCUACAGCGAGAACCUGCGGCUCAGCCAGAGCUUGACGUUCCCCGGCAAGCUUGCCAGAGCAAAACUUGUUGGGAGCGUCUGCUUCAACGGAACAAACCCUAGGGCUUGCCGGAGCAGACUGCUCCUCAGCACACUGGCUUGAAAUUCUUCGUGCUGGGCCACUGGACUUGCCGUAGCUCACGAGUGAACGGAGGGCAACCUACCGCGUACGGAAAGUCGCAUGGUUCCCCUGGUGCAUGCAUGUCGAUAGAGGGCCCAGCGCGCUGGUCCGAUCGACGCCGCGUUUCUCUUCGGCGCUCGAUGCAAGUUCGAGCGUCUUCUUGCUGUCGUUCAUGAAGAACUUGGCACUGAUCGCGACGAGCUCGUGGAUCCGAUGAUGCGGUGGAGUCGCUGUCGAGGUGGAUCCGGCGAGUCGGCGAUCUUGGCCUUCGGGGUGGAGAGUGCAUGGUGGUUGCACCCCCACCGGUUUCGUCGCCAUCGGCUCGUGCCCGGCAGUCAUGCCGCGGCAGCGAUGUACUCGGCUGUCGCGGAGUGUCGCCGUUGGCGAAGCCGAUGAGACUCUGAAUGGUUGGCCUCCAUUCAUCGAUCUUGUCUGCCGUUGGAGGGUAAUCCAGGAGCAGUUGAGCUCGCGCCAAAGCUUCUGUUGGAGUGGUGGGCGGCAGUGGCGAACGGUGCGAGGAGAGGGAUAUGCUCGGACUUCUAACUAUGUUAGAAGGAGCAGUAUCCCGUCCAGGCGACCGUGUCUCGCUCAUGCCAGCAUGUUGGCGUGCAUGCUGGUCUUGAGCACCCCGAGAUCCACCAGCUCGAUCUUGGUCCAACGAACGUAUGGCCCUGCGAAUACCAUGACGCUGUCGGUCCUGCGCCUCCUGAGAUGGGCGCGGUGCAUGUACGGGCGCCGAGGUCUGCACAGCCUUGUCCUUGGACCUGGCAGCACCGUGAGCUCCCUCGUCGAUGCCCGUUCUUCCGCCGGCGUCUACCCCACCACCCGUUUGCUCCGGUGGUGGUGGGAUCGACGUGGACGAAACAGCUGCCGCCGAAGCCUUCUUCUUCGGUGGCAUGUCGAUGAAGAAGAUGAAGAUCUAGCUCGUGUGAACACCGGAUCAGGUUCACACAACCUCAACGCCCCCUACCUGGCGCGCCAAAGAUGUCGGGGAAGCUGAUCCACGAACACCUAUGGGACCGGCGGACCAAGCCCCUUUCGGUUCGGCGGGGGGCAGAGGUCGCACGAAGAGCGGAUCGAGGCGAAGCACACGAGCAGUUUACCCAGCUUCGGAGCUCUCCGGAGAGAUAACACUCCUACUACUGCAUGUCUGAGUGUAUUGAGUUCUUGCUCGGGAGCGCUGAGUGCUACAGUACACCCUAGCUGCUAACGAGACCGAGCGUGAGUGUUUUUCUGCCUUCGCACCCCCCUCUACGUUGCGCAUGGGCCUCCUUUUAUAUGCUAAAGGGGUCUCCGACAGGUGGCAACGUAGACAAGGGUAAAAAUGGAAAAGGAAUUGCGGUUGGUACAACAACCUGUACAGUGUAUCAUACCUAACCCUGACGGCAGGGGACAAAGGCAUUAAAUGCCUGUCUACGUCGCCCAAAUAGUGCAAAAAGGGACCGUCAGGGACGCCACUGCUCGCCACGAUGGCAAUCUUGUCAGCGCCGCUUGCCACCGCGCAUCGCUGGCUGCACAGCCUCUUGCCACGCGCGCCUGGAAAGGCCCCAGGGCGACACGUUGGUGGAUGUGCUGGAGCACGGGUACAGAGUGGUAGCUUGCCGCGGCAAGCGCUUUGCCGCGGUCGUUGUCUUGUCGCGUCCGGAAGCUUGUCGCUCACCGGGCCUCGCCGGGACGCGUGGCGCGUCGCAGCAAGUUCCUUGAGAUGCCUUGGUUGGCCUUCCCGGCAAGCUCCUCUUGCCGGGUCCUUGUCUCCUUGACUUGAAUACUUUGUUCUUGAAUGGCUCCAAAGGAACCAUGGAGGAUCUUGGCGGUCACCCGGCAAGCCUUGCCGCGGGGUGCUGCGACUGCCCGUGCACAAGUUCGGGAUACUAGGGUACCCCUACUCUAGUACACCGACAGUGAUCGAUCCAGAAAUCCUACCAAGGUUAAGGAGUGAUGUGGCACGAUGUCUUGUUAGUUUCGAGAUGGUGUUCCCAUCAUCCUUCUUCAAUAUCAUGACGCACAUCCUAGUUCAUCUAGUCGAUGAGAUUGUCAUUCUGGGCCCUGUAUUUCUACACAAUAUGUUCCCCUUUGAAAGGUUCAUGGGAGUCCUAAAGAAAUAUGUCUGUAAUCGCGCUAGGCCAGAAGGAAGCAUCUCCAUGGGCCAUCAAACAGAGGAUGUCAUUGGGCUUUGUGUUGACUUCAUUCCUGACCUUGAGAAGAUUGGUCUCCCUCAAUCGCGAUAUGAGGGGAGACUGUGUUGAAAAGGCACGCUAGGAGGGGACUCAAUAAUAUGUAGGGACGGGCAUUCUUGGUCUCAAGCACACUACACAGUUCUAUAGAAUUCUACCUUGGUGACCUCGUAUGUCGAUGAACACAAGAACAUUCUGCGCUCCAAACACCCGAAGCAGUGUGACGACUGGAUUACAUGUGAACACAUCAGGACUUUCGUCAGUUGGUUGCAAACACGUCUCAGGGGUGACAACACUAUUUUUGAUGAGCUAUACUCGUUGGCCAAGGGACCAUCUUCGGCUGUAUUAACUUACAAAGGGUACGAGAUAAAUGGGAAUACAUUUUACAUGGUCUCCCAAGAUCAAAAGAGCACCAACCAAAACAACGGUGUCCGCUUUGAUGCAGCAACCAAGAGGGUAAAGGACACAUAUUAUGGUUACAUAGUGGACAUAUGGGAACUUGACUAUGGACAUGAUUUUAAGGUCCCUUUGUUUCAGUGCAAAUGGGUCAAUCUGUCAGGAGGUGGGGUACAGGUAGACCCAUAGUACGGAAUGACAACAAUGGAUCUGAACAAUCUUGGGUACACAGACGAACCAUUUGUCCUAGCCAAUGAUGUGGCGCAAGUUUUCUAUGUGAAGGACAUGUCUACCAAACCGAGAAAAAAAUAAGAUAAGGAAGCGAAUACAUCAUACGAUGAACCAAAGCGCCACAUAGUUCUUUCAGAAAAAGAGACAUCAUGGGAUUGGAGGGCAAGACAGACAUGUCUGAAUAUUAUGAAAAGUUUCAUGAAAUUCCUCCCUUUAAAGUCAAGGCUAACCCAAGCACCCUAUUAAAUGAUGAAGAUUAUCCAUGGUUACGGCGCAAUAAGCAAAGGACACAAGCGAAGAAAAAGUGAAGACUUUAUCUCCACAACUAUUAUGAUGAUGCCUUUGAUCUAGGAUAUCACUGCAGUUACAUGUGAAGAAAUGAAAUACCUUUUGUAAUAGAUGAGUUUCCGUCCGAAACCCUGAUACUUCGAAAGAGAUUGUCUGUUUUGUACAUGAAGUGCAUCUAGUUUUUACCGUAACCCUCUCAAGUUUUUAGCACAUGCUAUGUGGGUGAAAUUAGGAUACCAUGCCAACUUUCAACCUUUUCAAAGUUCAUGUGUACUUCUUUUCAAUUUCAGGGUUAUUUAGCUCAAAAAAAUCAGUAAAUGCAUGAAAGAUAGCAAAUGAAGUCAGAAAGGGUUGAAAAUUGUUGAUGUGGCUUUGAAUGGUGCAUUUUCAACACACAAAAAGUCUGGAGUUCAAAUAAAUUCAAAAAAAAAUGAAAUCCCUUUGUAAUAGAUGAGUUUUCGUCCGAAACCCUGAUACUUCGAAAGAGAUUGUUGUUAGGGCAUAUUUUUCCCUGGUUUGUUUGGUGAUUGAUGACAAUACUUUUGCGGACUAAUCGUGUGCAUUAAUAUUUUCAGGUUAUCUAAUAUAAGGGCACUAUGCGAUUGUUACUCCUUGAGGACUUCACUUUAUACGGAUUAUUUUCCUUCGUUUCUUUUCGGUGGAGUCGUAGGGAUAACCGUACUAUCAAGAGGGGAUCCGUUUCGGAAGAGCAUGGGUGGAAUCAUCACGUUCACUCUCUCCUUGCACCCUCGCCUUCUUCCUGCUUCUUUGGAGUAUCUUUGUUGUGCAAAACAAGGGGUGUUGGGUGCUAAGCGGUAGUACCGCUUGUUAGCGCCGCCGAUACUACUGCCCCUGCCGUGGUCUCGAUUUUUCGUGUCGGGUUUCCUAAAGGACCACGCAGGGGAGCGGUAUUAGGGACGGCAGUAGGGCGCGAUAGUACCGCUUUUUAGCAGUAGUAUCACUCCUACGUCCGCUCCAACUGCCGCUCAGCUCACUGCCCUACUCUAUUUUCCAGCGGCUAUAGGGAGCGGCGGUACGGCUUAUCGGCGGUAGUACCGCCCUCAGGGCGGUAGUACCGCCCUAGUGCGUGUACUUCUUCUCCCUCAGCCCUGGUUACCCUAUGCCUGCUUGCCACAUCGGUAGUACUGAUGUGGCAGCGGUACUACCGCUCCGGCAACGGUAGUACCGCCCAGAUGCGGCCUGUAGGCUGCAUAACGGUUGGAUGUGUCCCCCCACUAUAUAAAGGGUUCUUAUUCUCCAAGAAGACUUACCUCUUCCUUCCCCAAGCUCCAUUGUUGCUCCAAGCUCCAUUUUCGCCCGAUCUCUCUCCCUAGCCAAUCAAACUUGUUGGUUUUCUAGGGAUUGGUUGAGAAGGCCCCGAUCUACACUUCCACCAAGAGAAAUUUGAUUCCCCCCACUAAUCCCUUGCGGAUCUUGUUACCCUUGGGUGUUUGAGCACCCUAGAUGGUUGAGGUCAUUGCGGAGCCAUAUUCCAUUGUGGUGAAGCUUCGUGGUGUUGUUGGGAGCCUCCAAUUAAGUUGUGGAGAUUGCCACAGCCUUGUUUGUAAAGGUUCGGUCGCCGCCUCCAAGGGCACCAAUAGUGGAAUCACGACAUCUCGCAUUAUGUGAGGGCGUGAGGAGAAUACGGUGGCCCUAGUGGAUUCUUGGGGAGCAUUGCGCCUCCACACCGCUCCAACGGAGACGUACUUCCCCUCAAAGGGAAGGAACUUCGGUAACACAUCCUCAUCUUCACUGGCUCCACUCUUGGUUAUCUCGUACCUUUACUUGUGCAAGCUUAUUGUGUUACAUAUCUUGCUUGCUUGUGUGCUUGUUGUUGUUGCAUCAUAUGGGUUGCUCACCUAGUUGCAUAUCUAGACAACCUACUUUGAUGCAAAGCUUAAAUUGGUAAGGAAAAGCUAAAAAAAAUUAGUUGCCUAUUCACCCCCCUCUAGUCAACUAUAUCGAUCCUUUCAAUUGGUAUCAGAGCCUCAUCUCUUUAUUAAGGACUUUCCGUUCGAAGAGUAUGGUUGACACCGUAGAUGGUGAGGAGGAGCACCCCCAUGUGUUUCCGUCCUCGUCUACGGCCAAGGAGGGAACCUCGGUCUCACGUGAGGAAUUCAAUGUGGCUUUGGACACAUUGAAAACCUCCAUGACGUUCGAGGUCAAAGGCAUGCUUAAAAACUUUCUUGAUGGUCUCAAAUUAUCCAACACACCAUUGGAAGUGGUCGAUCCCACUAACAAGGUGGCGGAUGCCAACUCCGACAAGGGGGAAGCUUCUAGUGAUAAAGUUCCUUUAUCUAGUGGUAGAAAUGGAAAUGGCAUGUAUGCUCAUGUUGAACCACUUCGUACUUACGAAGGACCGGUUCCCUCCACUCAUUUAAAUCAUGUCGGCUCUCCCCCUAAGAUUGUGAAAAAUGAAGAUUUUGAUGCUUGGGUCUAUCGCUUUAAGCAUCGUUUAAAACAUGUUAACACUAAUCUCUAGAGAAUCAUUGAAGAAGGUUUCUACCCGCAUGACCCAAGCAACUUCACCCCUAGAGAAGCCGCGGAUAAUCAAUUCAAUGAGAAUGCUCUCUUCAUCCUCCAAGAUGCUAUUCCACUCGAAGACAUUGCACAUCUCCGACCAUUUACCGUGGCAAAGGAAGCAUGGCACCAUGUUGUUUCCCUCUACAAGGGAAGCGCUAGCAUUUAACGCUCCAACUAUCAAGUGGUGCAAGAUGAAGCCGAUGAAUUUGCAAUGAUUGAAGAUGAAGAACCUCGGGUGCUUUACCGGAGAUUAACCACUCUCACAGUCUCGCUCCAAGAUCAUGGAAGCAAGGAUAUGGAUGACAAUUGGAUCAAGCGCAAGUUCCUCAAGGCCAUGAUGCCCUACCAUAAGGCCGUGUCCUCCGUCAUCCGUCAAAGGCCGGACUUCCACACCUUGUCCUCAAAUGAAGUGUUGGAUGAGUUUGUGGCAAUGAGGAUCUUGGACAAGACCGCCGACAAUGCGGUGUUGCAUUCUCAAAGAGCAAAGAAGCCCAACCUUGCCUUGAAGGCCAAGUUUAGUAUGGAAGAAUAAGAGGAAGAGGAAGAUGAGGAGAGCAACCCCGAAGAUAUGAAAUAUGAUUAUCAUGAGCACAUGGCUCUUGCUUCAAGGCAAUUUUGGAGCAAGAAGAACACAAGGCCCAACUUCAACAAGAACAACUCAAGUGGCUUCAAGGGAAAGAAACGUGUGAGAACAUGUUACAAUUGUGGCAAUGUGAGCCACUUUGUUGCGGAUUGCCCUUACGAGAAGCGGGAAGACAAUGGUGGCAAGCUCGUCCAAAAAGACAAAGCCAAGUCCUUCCCCAAGAAGAACAACUUCACCAAGAAGACUCCAACCAAAGGGUUGGUGGCACAAGAAGAAUACAAUGAGGAUGAUGAUGAUGAAGAUAGUGAAGUCGUGGCCAUGGCCUCCGUUGCCAUUGCCACCACUCCACGGGUGUCUCUCUUCGAUUCACCCAAGGAGAACAUCACCGCCAAGUGCCUCAUGGCCAAAGCCACCAACAAGGUAACCCCCAACAUCAAAACUACCAUCAUUACUAAUCCCUCCUUGACGGAUUGCAUUGAUGAAAAUGAGGGGUCUAAUGAAGAGAUAAAUGAAUUUGAGUCUUUCAUGAGUAAGCUCAAGGGCAAAUCCAAGAAGCACUUUGUUGCUCUCUUGGAACAAUUUGGUUAAGCUAAUGACAUGAUCGAGGCUCAUGAAUAAACCAUAUCUAAGAUGGAAGGUCAUAGUCGUGACUAUGCCGAUGAGAUAUCGGACCUCUCUAAUGCACUUGAGGAAGAGCAUGUUCAUCGUUUGGCUCUUGAGGAGUCACACAAUGAUGGUCAUGCUAAAUUAAAGAAAGAUCUUGAUCAUGCUCUUGUUAUUUCUCGUGUGCUAAACUCCGAGAAGGCUAAACUUGGGGUUGAUCUUGCUAGACUAAAAGAGGAGUUUGAUUUACUUGACAAGGCUCACAAGGCCUUGAAGGGUGCUCAUGCAAGCCUCAAGGAGUCUCGUGAUCAACUCCAAGUGAAGCUAACCAAGGAGAAAGCCACCUUUCCUCAUAUGGUCUUAAUUGAUAACGCAAAUGCUACUAACCCGUGUUGUGAGCAUGUGCAUCUUGUGGAGGAGAAUGCCAAGUUGAAGGAGCAACUUAAGAAAGGCCUUGUGUCGUGUAUACAAGGUGAGAAGAAUCUCAAUGACCUUUUGAGCAAUCAGAAGGAAGUUGUAGCCAAGGAGGGAGUUGGGUUCGCACCCAAGUCCAAUAACAAGAAGAAGAAUGGCAAGACCAAAUGACCUCCCCCUAUCAAGCAAACCUUUGUGAAGGAGGGAGAGAGUGCUUCAAGGGAGAAGAAGAACAACGUAAAGGGUGGCAACGUCAAAAAGGGCAAUGCCACCUCUUCCAACAAAGCCGGUGACUUUAACCCUUCUUAUGUGUUGUGUCGUGCUAGUGAUGGGCAUCUUUAUGCUAAAUUUGUUGGUUCUCCUUAUGACUACAUUGAAUGGUCUAGUUCAUUCCUAAGACCCUUGUUACUAACAUCAAAGGACUCAUUACAAAAUGGGUACCUAAAACCAAGCAUUUAUCUCUUGUAGGUGUUUGCUUCGGAUGGGGGAUCAUGGUUGCUCGAUAGUGGAGCCACAAAUCAUAUGACCGGAAGCAAGGACUUGGUGGUGGACGUGCAAAAGAUUCCAUCUAUGCCCACCAAUGUCGAGUGGGGUGAUGCCUUGUCCUCCAAGGUAUUGGGUCUUGGCAAGGUUGUCAUUUCUCAUGAUCUCACGAUCGAGAAAGUCAUGCUUGUUGAGUCCCUUGCAUACAAUUUACUUUCCGUUCGUCAACUUGCACUCAUGGGUUUUGCCACAUUCUUUGAUAUUGAUAUCGUGGCCCUCUUGUGGAGCAAGACUCUUAAAGUAGCCUUUGUUGGGCAUGUCAAAAAUGGUUUUUAUGUGAUUAACUUUUCGGAGCGACCCACUAAGACUGCGACAUGCCUAAUGGCUAAAGUUGAUGUGGGAUGGCUUUGGCAUUGCUAUUUAGCCCAUGUAAAUAUGAGAUCUUUGCAAAGUCUUCUCAAGGGGGACCAUGUCCGUGGACUAACCGAUGUUUGUUUUACCAAAGAUCGUGCUUGCAGUGCUUGUAUCGAAGGAAAGUUACAUGAAAAGGCUCACCCUCCCACGACUAUCAUCUACUUGAAGAGACCCUUGGAGCUCCUUCACAUGGAUCUCUUUGGGACUCCAUCCUUUGAUAGUCUUGGGGGUAGAAAGUAUUGUUUGGUGAUAGUCGAUGAUUACUCAAGGUACACUUGGGUAUAUUUCUUCAAGAGGAAGAGUGAAACUCAACAAACUGUCAUCAACUUUGCAAAUGAAGCUCAACGUCAACAUGAUGCAAAGAUCUUGACAAUAAGAAGUGACAACGGCACCGAGUUCAAGAACUACACCUUGGAUGAGUUCCUUAGUGAUGAGGGGAUCAAGCAUCAAUAUUCAGCACCAUACACCUCUCAACAAAAUGGUGAAGCGGAGAGGAAGAACCGGACGUUAAUGGAUGCGGCAAGGACCAUGAUGACGGAGUUCAAGUCUCCUUAUAACUUUUGGGUCAAAGCCAUCAACACCACGUGUCAUGCAUCCAAUCGGCUCUAUCUCCGCAAAGGCUUGAACAAGACUCCAUAUGAAAUACUCACCGGUAACAAGCCCAACCUCAAGUACUUCCAGGUAUUUGGUUGUAAGUGUUUCAUUCUCAAGAAAGGUGUUCGUUUGUCUAAAUUUGAGGCUAGAGCUCAUGAGGGCAUAUUUGUUGGUUAUGCUACAAACUCUCAUGCUUACCGUAUCCUCAACAAGUCCACGUGACUCAUUGAGGAGACGUGUAACAUGGAGUUUGACGAGAAUAAUGGCUCCCAAGUGGAGCAAAGUGGUACUUGUGAUGUAGGUGACGAAAUUCCUCCCCAAGCCAUAAGAAGAAUGGGUGUUGGUCAUAUCCUACCCGUUGAGGAACCCCUUAUGACCGAAGGAGAAGGACAAUGCUCCACUCAAGUGGAGCCAUCACCGACCCAAGACCCACAUGCUUCCGAAGAACAUAGUGAAGGCCCUCAAACUCAUGAACAAGAUCAAAGGCAAGAUCAACAUCAAGAUGGUGGUGAGCCACCAAGUGAUGCUCAAGGUCAAGUUCUCCCUUCCGAGCAAGUUCAUGAUCAAGAGCAAGCUCAAGAUCAAGAUCAAGCUCAAGACGACGCUCAAGAUGAUCAAGUUUCCGCUCCUCUUUCAACUCCUGAGGAGGAAUUAGAGCGUCAUGCCGCUAAGAUUGCUUCCAAGCUCAUAACCAAAGGUCAUAUCAUGGAGAAUGUGGUUGGAAGCCUAAGAAAGGGGUUAAGCACUCAUAUACAAUUAGCAAACUAUUGUGAACAUCAUGUGUUUGUUUCUUAUGUCGAACCCCAAAAGGUCUAUGAGGCGCUCGAGGAUCCGGAUUGGCUCAACACCAUGCAUGAAGAACUCAACAACUUCGAGCACAACCAAGUGUGGAAAUUAGUGCCAAGGCCAACCGGGAAUCAUAAUGUCAUUGGAACCAAGUGGAUAUUCAAGAACAAGCAAGAUGCUCAUGGAAUCAUUGUUCGCAACAAGGCUCGUUUGGUGGCACAAGGCUACUCCCAAGUCGAGGGUAUCGACUACGGUGAAACCUUUGCUCCCGUUGCUUGCCUUGAAUAUAUUCGUUUGUUGAUUGCUUAUGCUUCUCAUCAUAAUUUCAAGUUGCAACAAAUGGAUGUGAAAAGUGCUUUUCUUAAUGGUCCCAUUAAUGAGUUGGUGUAUGUCAAACAACCCCCAGGGUUCAAGGAUCCCUAUUUCCCCGAUCAUGUGUACCAACUCAACAAGGCACUCUAUGGCCUUAAACAAGCCCCACGUGUGUGGUAUGAGCACCUUAUUGAGUUGUUGCAAGAUGGUGGGUUUGAAAUUGGGAAAAUCGACCCCACUCUUUUUACUAAGAAGGUCAAAGGGGAGUUGUUUGUAUGCUAACUAUAUGUUGAUGAUAUUAUUUUUGGUUCCCCUAACAAAGCUUUCAAUGAGGAAUUUGCCGCUCUCAUGACCUCAAAGUUCAAGAUGUCUAUGAUGGGAGAGUUGAAGUUCUUUCUCGGGUUCGAAAUCAAGCAAAGAAGAGAAGGAACCUUCAUCAACCAAGUCAAAUACACUUAAGACAUGCUCAAUAGAUUCAAGCUAAGUGAUGUCAAGGCGGUUUCCACUCCAAUGCCAACCAAAUGCCAACUUGACAUUGAUCCCAAUGGUAAAGCGGUGGAUUAAAAGGUAUAUCACUCCAUGAUUGGAUCCUUGCUUUACCUUUGUGCAUCUAGACCAGAUAUCAUGUUGAGUGUGGGAAUUUGUGCAUGGUUUCAAGCCACACCUAAGGAAAGCCACUUUGUGGUGGUCAAGCGAAUAUUUCGAUAUUUGGCUCAUACCCCAAACUUUGGCUUAUGGUACCCAAGAGGAGCCAACUUUGUUCUUGAGAGCUAUUCAGACUCAGAUUGGGCGGGAGACAAAGUGGAUAGGAAGUCCACCUCCAGAGGAUGCCAAUUUCUUGGUUGCUCUUUGGUGAGUUGGUCUUCGAAGAAGCAGAGUUGUGUGUCUCUCUCGUCCACUAAGGUGGAGCAUGUGGCUGUCGGUAGUUGUUGUGCUCAACUUCUUUGGAUGAGGCAAACUUUGAAGGAUUAUGGUGUCACUUGUGACGAUGCGCCUCUUUGGUGUGACAAUGAAAGUGCCAUCAAGAUCUCUCUCAACCCGAUGCAACACUUCAAGACGAAGCAUAUUGAGAUUCGAUAUCACUUCAUCUGGGAUCACAUUAGGCGAGGGGAGAUCAAGCUCAAGUAUGUCAACACUCAUGAUAACCUUGCAGAUAUUUUCAUGAAGCCCUUGGAUGAAGCAAGAUUUCGCGAGUUAAGGCAUGAGCUAAAUAUCAUUGAUUCGAGCAAUGUGGCUUGAAGUCUUGCACACCCCACCACACUCUUCAUGAUGUCUUGUUUAGGUGUAGGCAUGGACAUAGGGGAGUGUUGUUCUCUCAAUGAACUCUCCCUCCCCCCAUUAUGCAUAAAUUGAUUGAGUCUUUCGCAUUAGCCAUUUUUUGAUGGUACUUGUGCUUCAAAGACGAGUUUUGGUCAUGGGCCCAAGGAUAAUUCUUCGCGGUGCCAUACCAUUUGCUCAAACAUAGGUGGUCUCGACAACCGCCCUCUCUUCUCAAGAGUUUGGCUGUGUGUUGUUUCCUGUUGCUUGUGCUUCUCUCUUUUGAGUGGUCGUUUUCGGGUUUGUCUUGGCUUGUCUUGUGUGUUCUUUCUUUUCUUUCGCUAGUCGUGCGUAAGCCAUCUAUAGGAUCGAAAGUAUGUAUAGAGGGGGGGGGGUGAUUAGACUACUUGACCAAAUAAAAAUCUAGCCUUUUCCCAAUUUUAGUUCUUGGUAGAUUUUAACAACUUAGCACAAGUCAAGCAAUCUUAACACAAUUCAAGCAAGCAUGCAAUGAGUAUAUAAGCAGCAGAAAGUAAAGCAUGCAAUUUGCAAGAAUGUAAAGGGCGGGGUUUGGAGAGUGCAAACGCAAUAGGAGACACGAAUGUUUUUGUCGUGGUUCCAAUAGGUGGUGCUAUCGUACAUCCACGUUGAUGGAGACUUCAACCCACGAAGGGUAAUGGCUGUGCUAGUCCAUGGAGGGCUCCACCCACGAAGGGUCCACGAAGAAGCAACCUUGUCUAUCCCACCAUGGCCGUCGCCCACGAAGGACUUGCCUCACUAGGGUAGAUCUUCACGAAGUAGGCGAUCUCCUUGCCCUUACAAACUCCUUGGUUCAACUCCACAAUCUUGACGGAGGCUCCCAAGUGACAUCUAACCAAUCUAGGAGACACCACUCUCCAAAAGGUAAUAGAUGGUGUGUUGAUAAUGAACUCCUUGCUCUUGUGCUUCAAAUGAUAGUCUCCCCAACACUCAACUCUCUCUCACGGGAUAUGGAUUUGGUUGAAAGAAGAUUUGAGUGGAAAGAAACUUGGGGAAGGCUAGAGAUCAAGAUUUAUGUGGUAGGAAUGGAAUAUCUUGACCUCAACACAAUUGUAGGUGGUUCUCUCUCAGAAAAUGUAUGUUGGAAGUGUAGGCAUGUUCUGAUGGCUCUCUCCACGAAUGGAGAGUGGGUGGAGGGGUAUAUAUAGCCUCCACACAAAAUCUAACCGUUACACAUAACUUACCAAACUCGGUGGGACCGAAUCGUGAAACUCGGUCAGACCGAUUUAGUUCAUAAUGUGACCGUUAGGUAUUUUGGUGGGACCGACAUGUCAACUCGGUGGGACCGAUAUUGUUAGGGUUAGGGCAUAACGUAAUCUCGGUGAGACCGAUUACACAAACUCGGUGAGACCAGUUUUGGUAAUAAGCUAACCAGAGAGUUGGUGAGGCAAACUCGGUGGGACCGAUUCGCUCAUCUCGGUUGGACCGAAACAUUACAAAAGGGAAACAGAGAGUUUGCAUUGCAAUCUUGGUGGGACCGAUCGCUCAUCUCGGUUUGACCAAAACAUUACGAAGGAAAAUAGAGAGAUUACAAUCCCAUCUUGGUGAGACCGAGAUCCCUAUCAGUGAGACCAAAAAGACUAGGGUUUCUGGGAGUGGCUAUGUCAAUUGAACUCGGUGGCGCCGGAUAGAAAGUUUCGGUGGGGCCAAGUUUGACUUUUGGUUUGGGACAUAUGUGGAUGUGAGAAAGUAGUUGAGGGUUUUUUGGAGCAUAUCACUAAGCACUUUGAGCAAGAAACUCAUUAAGCAACACCUCACCCCCUCUUAAUAGUAUUGGCUUUCCUAUGGACUCAAUGUGAUCUUGGAUCACUAAAAGCAAAAUGUAGAGUCUUGUGAUUUGAGCUUGAGCCAAUCCUUUUGUCCUUAGCAUUUUGAGGGGUCCACAUUUCUCAUCCAUGCCAUGCCAAACAUUGAGCUUUCCUAAAAUAUUUAUCUUGAAAUAGCAUUAGCUCAACGAGAUAUAUGUUGUAAGGAAUUACCAAAACCACCCAUGAAUAGUUGCACUUUCACCAUCUUUUCCCCCUUGUUCCUGCUUUGGGGCGCCUGAGCGGUACUACCGCAGCAGCAGAGCGGUACUACCGCUUAUAAGCGGUACUACCGCCCUGCCGACACGGUACUACCGUGGAGAGGUACAACUGGGUGCGUUAUGCUUCAGAUCUACACCAAAGCGGUACUACCGUGCCUUGCGCGGUACUAUCGCUUAGGGCUGGGUGUGUGGGAUAUGUAUCAGGCAGGGGGAGUUUCCACUCCCCCAUACCCGUUCAGUUUGCCCCAUCUCCUUGUCCUCUCCUCUCUCAGGUGACUCCCCAAGCACCGGAGGUCCGCCGCCGGGCCGCCGGAUCUAGGCCGUCUCCCUCAGUUCCAUCCGGUGGGAUCAUUCUUGAAUCUAGGUUUUGGGCUAUAUUCGUUGCAUUCCUCGAUUUUUUUUGUUGAAUCGAGGCUUAGGAAGGACUUGGGAGACUGCUAGACUAGGUAGUUUGAUGAUUAGGUAUAGAAAUAUGGACUUUUGCAUCUCCAGUAGUAUCAGAUCUUGCCGCGGUAGGUGUCAGCCCGCUGACAACCGCUCCGGUGGUACUACUGCUACACCCUAGUGAUACUACCGCUUAUAAGCGGUACUACCGCCCUGAGAUGCCAAUGCCAAUUUGUCCCUACCUAAUUUUCAUCUUUGGUGUUUGUCUUUCCUUGGUUUAUGCUCUCUUGCUCUUGUGGUUCUUGUGUGUGUGUGUUUUCAGGUGGUAGUAGCUCUGGGCAUGAGGCUCGCCGCAAGAAUCCAGACCGUGCAAUAGGUUCCAAGUGUUAUCGCUCUUCGGAUGCACCAGAGUCUGCUGCUACUGUUGCUGCGGGUGGCUCGGCUGAGACGCCAAAAGGCAAGGCCAAGGUCCCAAUGUCGAAGACCUCCGCUGGGUGCAAGCGUGCUAAUCAGAUGUCUGCAAUGGAGUUCUGUACCAAGAGGAAGCACAAUCCCUACCAUGUGGACCAGGAGCCUGCUCUUUAGAGGUGUCCAUUCUGGAACAUGUUUCAGCAGUCCAUCUAUCACGAUGUCUUGAAGCAAAAGAAUAACUUGCUUGUGAAGGUCAAGUCUGUCGAUCUAUCGCACAUGGAGAAGGACUUGCCAUACUUUGGGAAUGCUCUGCAGAGGUGUGAGGAGUUGGACAUCAAGAGUAUCAUUUCCUUCAACAAGGACUUUGAUGCCGAGCUCAUGGCCCAGUUCUUUGCCACCAUUCACUUUGGGCAUGAUCCGGCCCGUACUCUGUCUUGGAUGACCAAUGGUCGUCUUCUGUCUGCACCAUGGAAGGACUUCAUGGUCAGCUUAUCAUACAAUGAUGAGGGUGCCCAGACCCCACUUGGGUUUCGCCCUCAUAAGGAGAUUACCGCUACUCAUAAGGAAAAGCUUUGGCCCUAUUCUACCAGGAAGGUGUCUGAGACCGGGAAGGUUUCUUAUGAGAUCUGGCCCUUCCUAGACAUCAUGCAUCGGAUAUUCCGGAACACCCUGUUUCCUCGGGUUGGCAACUUGGAUCAGGUGCACUCUUACCUUGUUGACUUGCUUCUAUUCUGUCAAGAAGAGUAGUGCUCUCAGCAGGUCCUGGAUGUGUCACAUGUGAUGUGGUCUGAACUUCACUCUGCUGUCAUGGAGCGCAAGUGCAUCAUUUAUGGAUCCUAUCUUAUGCACCUUAUCGAGGACACUUGGAUAGCCAAGUUUCCAGAUGAGGAGCUUGUCACAGACAACAUGGUUUCUCAUGAUACUAUCGAGCUGCGUUAGAAGGAGAAGUGGAGUACGUCUACUCCGGCACCUCCAGUGCAGGAGACUAUCUUAUCUGAUGUAGAUGAUGAGGAUGAUGAUGGGAAGGAGUAUGUGCCCCCAUCUGAGGAGCCUUCUUGGGCGAAGAAACUCAAGGAGAAGAUGAAGCGUCUGUUCUGCUUUCAGGCCAAGGGCCAGUACAAGGCUCACAAGGAGGCCAAGAUGUCUCAUCGUUGUGACAAGGCCAUUAUGAGACAGGUUGGCAUUGAGGUUGCAGAUGGCUCUAAGGAGCGGAUCAUUGAUGAGGAGUCUUGCAUCAGACUGCACUGCCCGUGGUCUGACACUGAGGAGGACAACAGAGUUCACGCUUCUCCCCGUGUUGCAGAGGACUCUGAGGAGGAGGAGGAGCAUGACUGGUGAUGCCAUGGAGAUCUACUACCAUCGUGUCUCGUGUUGUCCCUUUCCCUUUGGUGUCUUGCUGCCAAAGGGGGAGAGUUAGGGAUUUGCUUCGGUUUUGUGUUUGCGUGUUUGUGUUCGUUUGUGUUCGUUCGCUUUCUUUCGGCUGUGAGUGAGACCAUAUGGUGUAAGACAUAUGUGAACUACCCUAUCUUAUCUUCUUUAGUCUCAAGUACUCUGUUAUCAUGUGAGAUGCAUCAUUACCAACACUUAUAUUAUUGCUCUCAUGCUUGUCCUUGCUUAGCUGUACUUGUUAUUAUUCUUAUAUACAAGGAUGUUGCCUGUCUACAAAAUAUAGGGGGAGUUUGAUCCUAAAGAUGUGCACAUAGCCUUUCAUGCUAAUUUCCUUGGUGCACACCUCUAGGGGGAGCCCGUCUAUUUUUUUUUUGGGAGCUGGUUUGCUUAAUUCCCAGUUACUAUAUUUUGUGCAAAUCCCGUGUUGUCAUCAGUCCACCAAAAAGGGGGAGAUUGUUAGGGCAUCCUUUUCCCUGGUUUGUUUUGGUGAUUGAUGACAAUACUUUUGCGGACUAAUCGUGUGCAUUAAGCUUUUUAGGUUAUCUAAUAUAAGGGCACUAUGCGAUUGUUACCCCUCAAGGACUUCACUUUAGAUGGAUUAUUUUCCUCCGUUUCUUUUCGGUGGAAUUGAGUCGUAGGGAUAACCGUACUAUCAAGAGGGGAUCCGUUUCGGAAGAGUAUGGGCGGAAUCAUAACGUUCACACUCUCCUUGCACCCUCGCCUUCUUCCUACUUCUUUGGAGUAUCCGUGCUGUGCAAAACAAGGGAUGCUGGGUGCUAAGUGGUAGUACCGCGGCCAGGGUGGUAGUACCGCCUAUGACGGUAGUACCGCUUGUUAGUGCCGCUAAUACUACCGCCCCUGCUGUGGUCUCGAUUUUUCGUGUCGGGUUUCCAUAAAGGACCACGUAGGGGAGCGGUAGUAGGGACGACAUUAGGGCGCGGUAGUACCACUUUUUAGCGGUAGUACCGCUCCUACGUCCGCUCCAACUGCCGCUCAACUCGCUGCCCUCCUCUGUUUUCCAGCUGCUCUAGGGAGCGGCAGUACUGCUUAUCGGCAGUAGUACCACCCUAGUGCGUGUACUUCUUCUCCCUCAGUCCUAGUUGCCCUAUGCCUGCUUGCCACAGCGGUAGUACCGUUGUGGCAGCAGUACUACUGCUCCGGCAAUGGUAGUAUCGCCCAGAUGCGGCCUACAGGCUGCAUAACGGUUGGAUGUGUCCCCCCACUAUAUAAAGGGGUCUUAUUCUCCAAGAAGACUUACCUCUUCCUUCCCCAAGCUCCAUUGUUGCUCCAAGCUUCAUUUUCGCCCGAUCUCUCUCCCUAGCAAAUCAAACUUGUUGAUUUUCUAGGGAUUGGUUGAGAAGGCCCCGAUCUACACUUCCACCAAGAGAAAUUUGAUUCCCCCCACUAAUCCCUUGCGGAUCUUGUUACUCUUGGGUGUUUGAGCACCCUAGACGGUUGAGGUCACUGUGGAGCCAUAUUCCAUUGUGGUGAAGCUUCGUGGUGUUGUUGGGAGCCUCCAAUUAAGUUGUGGAGAUUGCCCCAACCUUGUUUCUAAAGGUUCGGUCGCCGCCUCCAAGGGCACCAAUAGUGGAAUCACGACAUCUUGCAUUGUGUGAGGGCGUGAGGAGAAUACGGUGGCCCUAGUGGCUUCUUGGGGAGCAUUGUGCCUCCACACUGCUCCAACGGAGACAUACUUCCCCUCAAAGGGAAGGAACUUCGGUAACACAUCCUCGUCUUCACCGGCUCCACUCUUGGUUAUCUCGUACCUUUACUUGUGCAAGCUUAUUGUGUUGCAUCUCUUGCUUGCUUGUGUGCUUGUUGUUGUUGCAUCAUAUAGGUUGCUCACCUAGUUGCAUAUCUAGACAACCUACUUUGAUGCAAAGCUUAAAUUGGUAAGGAAAAGCUAAAAAUUGUUAGUUGCCUAUUCACCCCCAUCUAGUCAACUAUAUUGAUCAUUUCAAUUGUCCAUUUUGUAUACGAAGUGCAUCCAGUUUUUGCCGUAACCCUCUUAACGUUUUAGCACAUGCUAUGUGGGUGAAAUGAUGAUACCAUUCCAAUUUCAACCUUUUUAGAGUUCAUUUGUAGUGCUUUUUAAUUUCAGGGUCAUUUAGCUCAAAAAAAUCAGGAAAUGCAUGAAAAAUACCAAAUGAAGUCAGGGAGGGUUGAAAGUUGAUGAUGUGGCUUUAAAUGGUGCAUUUGGAACACACAAAAAGUCUAGAGUUCAAAUAAGUUCAAAAAAAUGAAAUCCAUUUGUAACAGAUGAAUUUUUGUCUGAAACCCUGAUACUUCGAAAGAGAUUGUCCAUUUUGUACAUGAAGUGCAUCCAGUCUUUGGUAUAACCCUCUCAACCUUUUUGGCACAUGCUAUAUGGGUUAAAUGAUCAUACCACGCCAACUUUCAACCUUUUCAGAGUUCACUUGUAGUGCUUUUCAAUUUCAGGGUCAUUUAGCUCAAAUAAUGAACUAAUUGCAAAAAGAAUGAACUAAUAGAAAAAAUGAAUGAACUAAAAAUAAUCAAUUAAAAUAUUCUAUUAUGAUCAACUAAACAAAACUAUAAUAUUCUUCAAUAGCAAAAAGAAUCAAUUAAAAAGCUUUUAUAAAACUCUAAUAGCAAAAGGAAUCAACUAAACAGCUCUUACAAACCUCUAGUAUUUUUGAAAUUAAAAUUAUAUAAAAUUUAUGUAACUAAAAUUAUCAAAUUAUUUUCUGUUCAAAACAUUAAUAGCAUAGCAAACUAAAAUACAAAAUCUAUUUUUGAUUAAAACAAACAUUUAAAACAACCUAACCAAAUUGAAUAUAAUGAUAAAACACAAUAAUAUUAAAUAGCAUGAAAAAGAAUCACUCAAAAAUCUAUUUUUAUAUUAAAGUUAUUCACAAACUAGUGAUUCAAAUCUCAAAGAAUUCAAAUUUAAACUAUUCAAAUUUGAAAACUAAUGGCACUAACAAAAAGUAUAUAAUUUUUGUGACCUAACAACAAAAAGAAUUAAAAAAAUAAAGAAAAAAAAAGAAAAUAAAUAAUGCAAAAAGCUGCAAAAAUAAAAAAAAAUCGCCUACUGGGCCACCACGGCCUGAAUAUGACUAGAAACCCAACCCAGCCAGGUGGGCCAGGAUUCAGGCCCGCAGAAGGCCCAGUAGGCCCACAGUCAUAUCAGUGUGCGAUUAGGCCCGUAGGCUUGCAUUUCAGAGGAGUUCGAGAGAGAGAGGGCGGGCCAGAGCUUAUAAACAGCACAUGGCGCAUCUCAACUAGCGAGGUGGGACUAAACAUUCCACCGCACCGCGCCAGUUACAGCACAAGGCCAUUGGUCCCGGUUGAUGCCACGAACUGGGACCAAUGCAACCCUUUGGUCCCGGUUUGUGGCACCAACCGCGACCAAUGCCACCCUUUGGUCCAGGUUCGUGCCACCAACCGGAACCAAAGGGUUUUGCUUCCCGCCCUUCCGCCUGGCCAAAACAGACCUUUGGUACCGGUUGGUGGCAUGAACCGGGACCAAAGGGGGGCAUUGGUCCCGGUUGGUGCCACGAACCGGGAUCAAAGGGGUGGCUAUAUAAGAAAACACUUAGGAAAAUUUCCCCAAGUGCUCCCAUUCUCCCCCGAUGCCACCAGGCUGCUCCACGUCACCGUCGCCAUCGCCAUCGCCGAGCCCUGCCCCGUCACCGCCCGCUCCUUGUCGCCUUUCACCGUCGCCGACGCCGAGCUCAACGCCAGGCUGCCCCGUCGUCAUCGUCGCCCGUGCCCCAUCGUCCCCAUCACCNNNNNNNNNNNNNNNNNNNNNNNNNNNNNNNNNNNNNNNNNNNNNNNNNNNNNNNNNNNNNNNNNNNNNNNNNNNNNNNNNNNNNNNNNNNNNNNNNNNNNNNNNNNNNNNNNNNNNNNNNNNNNNNNNNNNNNNNNNNNNNNNNNNNNNNNNNNNNNNNNNNNNNNNNNNNNNNNNNNNNNNNNNNNNNNNNNNNNNNNNNNNNNNNNNNNNNNNNNNNNNNNNNNNNNNNNNNNNNNNNNNNNNNNNNNNNNNNNNNNNNNNNNNNNNNNNNNNNNNNNNNNNNNNNNNNNNCGCGCCCCUGCCCCUGCUGCCCCGCCCCCAAGCAUGCUCGACCACGCGUGCCCCUGCCCCGCGGACCGCCCCCACCAUCGCCAUCGCCGUGUGCCAUCGUCGCCCCCACCGUCGCCGUCGUUGUGUCAUCGCCGCCCCACCGUCACUGUCGUCGUGCCAUCGCCGCCUCCGCCUUGAGCUGCCGCCGCCCCAGCUAUGUGCAUUUUUAUAUAUGUUGAUUUUUUUAUAUGACGAAUUUUAUUGUUCAUAUAUAAUGUAUAUAUGUAUGCGGCUAUAUGUAUAACUUGAAUGGUCAUAUAUGUAUUAUUUUUUUGUUCAUAUAUGUAUUUUGUUGUUCAUAUGUAUGGAUGUUCAUAGCAAUUUAGGUUAGUAGAUUUUAGGUUAUAGUGGAGAGGAAAAAGGAAAAUAAGGAAAAAGAAGACAAGAUGAAGAAGGAAGAAGGAAGAAGAAUAAAAAGAAGGAGAGGAAAAAGGAAAAUAAGAAUAGGAAGGAUAAGAAGAGGAGAGGAAGAAGAGGAGAAAAAAAACUAAGAAGAGGAAAAAGAAGAAGAAAAAAGCGUAGAAGAAGAAUGAAUAGAGGAGAAGAAGAAAAAAAGAAAAUACUCUUUUUUUCUUCUCUUCUUCCUCUUCUUAUUAUUUAUCGGGAACGAGGGUGUCGAGGAUCACCGAGCGGUCGAGGGUCGGGAACUAGGGUAGAGGGUCGAGGGUCGAUGGUCGUUGAGGGUCGAGGGUCAUCGAGGGGUCGAGGAUNNNNNNNNNNNNNNNNNNNNNNNNNNNNNNNNNNNNNNNNNNNNNNNNNNNNNNNNNNNNNNNNNNNNNNNNNNNNNNNNNNNNNNNNNNNNNNNNNNNNNNNNNNNNNNNNNNNNNNNNNNNNNNNNNNNNNNNNNNNNNNNNNNNNNNNNNNNNNNNNNNNNNNNNNNNNNNNNNNNNNNNNNNNNNNNNNNNNNNNNNNNNNNNNNNNNNNNNNNNNNNNNNNNNNUCGAGGGUCGUUGAGGGUUCGAGGUUUGAGGAUCGCCGACGGGUUGAGGGUCGAGGAUCACCGAGGGGUCGAGGGUCGAGGGUCGUCGAGGGGUCAAGGGUCGAGAUUUAUCAAGAAUGCCCCCAUUCUGGAUGUGCACAAGUUGAUCCAUUUUUUUUUCUGAUCUCAUCUACGCAACGUUCUAUAUGUCAUGUUGUCUCGUGUCAAAGUAUUGAAGAAAUCCAUGGCUUCAUCAUUAGCCGGAAUUAAUAGGCGCAUGAUGGUACGAAGCUCUCCAAAGUUAUUUUGGAAUGGAGUCCCAGAUAGGAUAAUUUGCUUUGUGGUACGAAGUUCAGCAAAGGCCUUCCAAAUAGCAAUAUUCGGAAGGCUCUUGCUGAACUUUGUACCAAAAAGCAAAUUAUCCUAUCUAGGACUCCGUUCCAAAACAAUUUUGGAGAGCUUCGUAUCAUCAUGCGCCUGUUACUUCCGGCUAAUGAUAAAGCUAGUGUUUUCUUGAAUCCUUUGACACUAGACAACAUGACUUAUAGAAGGGUAGAUGAGAUCAGGAAAAAUAUGGACCAUUUUCUACACAUCCAGAAUGGCGCCAUUUUGUUAAAUCCCUUGUUUGACAUUCAUGAGAGAGGCGAUCUGGACGUCGGACAUUCAGGAGAGAACUCCAGUAACUCUUCAACAUGAGGGGGACGUCGAUCAACCCCCUCUCGCCCGACCAAACCCUAGAAGCGUCGAGGCCACCCCAAACCCUAGAAGCGUUCCCGAGGCCACCCCAAACCCUAGAAUUGUCGAUGCGACCCAAAUUUACCGAGUUAAAAGAGUGUUGUCAUCGAGGCAACCCCAAACCCUAGAAGCAUUAUCGAGGCCACCCCAAACCGUAGAAGCAUCCAGGCCACUAAUUAAUAUUCCUUGUUGUGAUUAGCUAGCUAGGUCUAUGUUUGCCACUAAUAUAUCCAUCUCUCGUGUUUGUACAUUAAUUGCCAUGUUGUAAUUGUUGGGGAAUGUUGCAUAAAAUAAAAAAUUUCCUACGUUCACCAAGAUCAAUCUAUGAGUUCAUCUAGCAACGAGAGAGAGGAGUGCAUCUACAUACCCUUGUAGAUCACGAGAGGAAGCGUUCAAGAGAACGGGGUUGAGGGAGUCGUACUCGUCGUGAUCCAAAUCACCGGAGAUCCUAGUGCCGAACGGAAGGAACCUCCGCGUUCAACACACGUACGGUCAGCGUGACGUCUCCUCCUUCUUGAUCCACCAAGGGGGGAGGAGAGGUUGAUGAAGAUCCAGCAGCACAACAACGUGGUGGUGGAUGCAGCAGGGUUCCGGCAGGGCUUCGCCAAGCGCUUGCGGGAGGGAGAGGUGUAGCAAGGGGGGAAGGGAGGCGCCAGGUGUCAGGGUGCGGCUGCCCUCCCACCCCCCUCUUUAUAUAGGGACCCCAGGGGGGCACCGACCCUAGGAGAUGGGAUCUCCUAGGGGGGUGGCGGCCAAGGGGGGAGACUUGCCCCCCAAGGCAAGUGGAGGCCCCCCCUCCCCUAGGGUUCCCAACCCUAGGCGCAGAGAGAGCCCCAGGGGGGGCGCACCUGCCCACCAGGGGCUGGUUCCCCUCCCACUUCAGCCCAUGGGGCCCUCCGGGAUGGGUGGCCCCACUCAGUGGACCCCCGGGAUCCUUCCGGUGGUCCCGGUACAAUACUGGUGAACCCCAAAACUUUCCCGAUGGCCGAAACUUGACUUCCCAUAUAUAAUUCUUUACCUCCGGACCAUUCCGGAACUCCUCGUGACGUUCGGGAUCUCAUCCGGGACUCCGAACAACUUUUGGUUUGCUGCAUACUAAUAUCUUUACAACCCUAGCGUCACCGAACCUUAAGUGUGUAGACCCUACGGGUUCGGGAGACACGCAGACAUGACCGAGACUGCUCUCCGGUCAAUAACCAACAGCGGGAUAUGGAUACCCAUGUUGGAUCCCACAAGCUCCUCGAUGAUCUCAUUGGAUGAACCAUGAUGUCGAGGAUUCAAGCAACCCCGUAUACAAUUCCUUUUGUCAAUCGGUAUGUUACUUGCCCGAGAUUCGAUCGUCAGUAUCCCAAUACCUCGUUUAAUCUCGUUACCGGCAAGUCACUUUACUUGUACCGUAAUGCAUGAUCCCGUGACCAGACACUUGGUCACUUUGAGCUCAUUAUGAUGAUGCAUUACCAAGUGGGCCCAGAGAUACCUCUCCGUCAUGCGGAGUGACAAAUCCCAGUCUUGAUCCGUGUCAACCCAACAGACACUUUCGGAUAUACCUGUAGUGCACCUUUAUAGUCACCCAGUUACGUUGCGACGUUUGGUACACCCAAAGAACUCCUACGGUAUCCGGGAGUUACACGAUCUCAUGGUCUAAGGAAAAGAUACUUGACAUUGAAAAAGCUCUAGCAAAACGAACUACACGAUCUUGUGCUAUGCUUAGUAUUGGGUCUUGUCCAUCACAUCAUUCUCCUAAUGAUGUGAUCCCGUUAUCAAUGACAUCCAAUGUCCAUAGUCAGGAAACCAUGACUAUCUGUUGAUCAACGAGCUAGUCAACUAGAGGCUCACUAGGGACAUGUUGUGGUCUAUGUAUUCACACGUGUAUUACGAUUUUCGGAUAAUACAAUUAUAGCAUGAAUAAAAGACAAUUAUCAUGAACAAGGAAAUAUAAUAAUAAUCCUCUUAUUAUUGCCUCUAGGGCAUAUUUCCAACAGUCUCCCACUUGCACUAGAGUCAACAAUCUAGUUACAUUGUGAUGAAUCGAACACCCAUAGAGUUCUGGUGUUGAUCAUGUUUUGCUCGCGGAAGAGGUUUAGUCAACGGAUCUGUGACAUUCAGAUCCGUAUGUACUUUACAAAUAUCUAUGUCUCCAUCUUGAACAUUUUCACGGAUGGAGUUGAAACGACGCUUGAUGUGCGUGGUCUUCUUGUGAAACCUGGGCUCCUUGGCAAGGGCAAUAGCUCCAGUGUUGUCAUAGAAGAGAGUGAUCGGCCCUGACGGAUUGGGUAUGACUCCUAGGUCGGUGAUGAACUCCUUCAUCCAUAUUGCUUCUUGUGCUGCCUCCGAGGCUGCCAUGUAUUCUGCUUCACAUGUAGAUCCCGCCACGACGCUCUGCUUGCAACUGCACCAGCUUACUGCUCCACGAUUCAACAUAUGCACAUAUCCGGUUUGUGACUUAGAGUCAUCCAGAUCUGUGUCGAAGCUAGCGUCGACGUAACCCUUUACGACGAGCUCUUCAUCACCUCCAUAAACGAGAAACAUGUCCUUUGUCCUUUUCAGGUACUUAAGGAUAUUCUUGACCGCUGUCCAGUGUUCCUUGCCGGGAUUACAGCAUGGCAUACAUAAUAGAUCCUAUGGCUGAGGCAUAGGGGAUGACACUCAUCUCUUCUUUAUCUUCUGCCGUGGUCGGGCAUUGAGCUGAGCUCAAUCUCACACCUUGUAACACAGGCAAGAACCCUUUCUUGGACUGAUCCAUAUUGAACUUCUUCAAUAUCUUAUCAAGGUAUGUGCUUUGUGAAAGACCUAUGAGGCGUCUCGAUCUAUCCCUAUAGAUCUUGAUGCCUAGUAUGUAAGCAGCUUCUCCAAGGUCCUUCAUUGAAAAACACUUAUUCAAGUAGGCCUUAAUGCUGUCCAAAAGUUUUAUAUCAUUUCCCAUCAAAAGUAUGUCAUCUACAUAUAAUAUGAGAAAUGCUACAGAGCUCCCACUCACUUUCUUGUAAACGCAGGCUUCUCCAUAAGUCUGCAUAAACCCAAACGCUUUGAUCAUCUCAUCAAAGCGAAUGUUCCAACUCCGAGAUGCUUGCACCAGCCCAUAAAUGGAUCGCUGGAGCUUGCAUACCUUGUUAGCAUUCUUAGGAUCGACAAAACCCUCCGGCUGCAUCAUAUACAGUUCUUCCUUAAGAUAGCCGUUAAGGAAUGCCGUUUUGACGUCCAUCUGCCAUAUCUCAUAAUCAUAGUAUGCGGCAAUUGCUAACAUGAUUCGGACGGACUUUAGCUUCGCUACGGGAGAGAAAGUCUCAUCAUAGUCAACCCCUUGAACUUGCCGAUAACCCUUAGCGACAAGUCGAGCUUCAUAGAUGGUAACAUUACCAUCCGCGUCCGUCUUCUUCUUAAAGAUCCAUUUGUUUUCUAUCGCUCACCGAUCAUCGGGCAAGUCUGUCAAAGUACAUACUUUGUUUUCAUACAUGGAUUCUAUCUCAGAUUGCAUGGCUUCAAGCCAUUUGUUGGAACCUGGGCCGGCCAUCGCUUCUUCAUAGUUCAAAGGUUCACCAUUGUCUAACAACAUGAUUUCCAGGAUAGGGUUGCCAUACCACUCUGGUGUGGAACGUGUCCUUGUGGACCUACGAAGUUCAGUAGCAACUUGAUCCAAAGUACCUUGAUCAUCAUCAUUAAUUUCCUCUCCAGUCGGUGUAGGCACCACAGGAACACUUUCCUGAGCUGCAUUACUUUCCGGUUCAAGAGGUAGUACUUCAUCGAGUUCUACUUUCCUCCCACUUACUCCUUUCGAGAGAAACUCUUUUUCCAGAAAGGAUCCGUUCUUGGCAACAAAGAUCUUGCCUUCGGAUCUAAGGUAGAAGGUAUACCUAAUGGUUUCCUUAGGGUAUCCUAUGAAGACACAUUUUUCCGACUUGGGUUCGAGCAUUUCAGGUUGAAGUUUCUUGACACAAGCAUCGCAUCCCCAAACUUUUAGAAACGACAGCUUAGGUUUCUUUCCAAACCAUAAUUCAUACGGUGUCGUCUCAACGGAUUUAGACGGAGCCCUAUUUAAAGUGAAUGUAGCUGUCUCUAGAGCGUAUCCCCAAAAUGAUAGCGGUAAAUCGGUAAGAGACAUCAUAGAUCGCACCAUAUCCAAUAGAGUGCGAUUACGACGUUCAGACACACCAUUACGCUGAGGUGUUCCAGGCGGCGUGAGUUGUGAAACGAUUCCACAUUUCCUUAAGUGCGUACCAAAUUCGUGACUUAAAUAUUCUCCUCCACGAUCUGAUCGUAAGAACUUUAUUUUUUGGUCACGUUGAUUCUCUACUUCAUUCUGAAUUCCUUGAACUUUUCAAAGGUCUCAGACUUGUGUUUCAUCAAGUAGACAUACCCAUAUCUACUUAAGUCAUCAGUGAGAGUGAGAACAUAACGAUAUCCUCCGCGAGCCUCAACGCUCAUUGGACCACACACAUCAGUAUGUAUGAUUUCCAAUAAGUUGGUUGCUCGCUCCAUUGUUCCGGAUAACGGAGUCUUGGUCAUUUUGCCCAUGAGGCAUGGUUCGCAUGUGUCAAAUGAUUCAUAAUUGAGAGACUCUAAAAGUCCAUCAGCAUGGAGCUUCUUCAUGCGCUUGACACCAAUGUGACCAAGGCGGCAGUGCCACAAGUAUGUGGGACUAUCGUUAUCAACUUUACAUCUUUUGGUAUUCACACUAUGAAUAUGUGUAACAUUACGUUCGAGAUUCAUUAAGAAUAAACCAUUGACCAUCGGGGCAUGACCAUAAAACAUAUCUCUCAUAUAAAUAGAACAACCAUUAUUCUCGGAUUUAAAUGAGUAGCCAUCUCGCAUUAAACGAGAUCCAGAUACAAUGUUCAUGCUCAAACUUGGCACUAAAUAACAAUUAUUGAGGUUUAAAACUAAUCCCAUGGGUAAAUGUAGAGGUAGCGUGCGACGACGAUCACAUCGACCUUGGAACCAUUCCCGGCGCGCAUCGUCACCUCGUCCUUCGCCAGUCUCCGCUUAUUCUGCAGCUCCUGCUGUGAGUUACAAAUAUGAGCAAUGGCACCAGUAUCAAAUACCCAGGAGUUACUACGAGUACUGGUAAGGUACACAUCAAUUACAUGUAUAUCAAAUAUACCUUUAGUGUUGCCGGCCUUCUUGUCCGCUAAGUAUUUGGGGCAGUUCCGCUUCCAGUGACCCUUCCCUUUGCAAUAAAAGCACUCAGUCUCAGGCUUGGGUCCAUUCUUUGACUUCUUCCCGGCAACUGGCUUACCGGGCGCGGCAACAUCCUUGCCGUCCUUCUUGAAGUUCUUCUUACCCUUGCCCUUCUUGAACUUGGUGGUUUUAUUGACCAUCAACACUUGAUGUUCUUUCUUGAUUUCUACCUCUGCCGACUUCAGCAUUGAAAAUACUUCAGGAAUAGUUUUCACCAUCCCUUGCAUAUUGUAGUUCAUCACAAAGCUUUUGUAGCUCGGUGGGAGCGACUGAAGGAUUCUGUUAAUGACUGCCUCAUCUGGGAGGUUAAUGUCCAGCUGGGACAGGCGGUUGUGCAACCCAGACAUUUUGAGUAUGUGCUCACUGACAGAACUAUUUUCCUCCAUCUUACAACUAUAGAACUUGUCGGAGACCUCAUAUCUCUCGACCCGGGCAUGAGCUUGGAAAACCAUUUUCAGCUCCACGAACAUCUCAUAUGCUCCGUGUUGCUCAAAACGCUUUUGGAGCCCCGAUUCUAAGCUGUAAAGCAUGCCGCACUGAACGAGGGAGUAAUCAUCAGCACGUGACUGCCAAGCAUUCAUAACAUCUUGGUUCUCUGGGAUGGGUGCUUCACCUAGCGGUCCUUCUAGGACAUAUGCUUUCUUGGCAGCUAUGAGGAUGAUCCUCAGGUUCCGGACCCAGUCCGUAUAGUUGCUGCCAUCAUCUUUCAGCUUGGUUUUCUCUAGGAACGCAUUGAAGUUCAUGUUGACAUGAGCGUUGGCCAUUUGAUCUACAAGACAUAUUUUGCAAAGAUUUUAGACUAAGUUCAUGAUAAUUAAGUUCAUCUAAUCAAAUUAUUUAAUGAACUCCCACUCAGAUUUGACAUCCCUCUAGUCAUCUAAGUGUUACAUGAUCCGAGUCGACUAGGCCGUGUCCGAUCAUCACGUGAGACGGACUAGUCAUCAUUGGUGAAGAUCUCCAUGUUGAUCGUAUCUUCCAUACGACUCAUGUUCGACCUUUCGGUCUCUGUGUUCCGAGGCCAUGUCUGUACAUGCUAGGCUCGUCAAGUUAACCUAAGUGUUUUUGCAUGUGUAAAAUUGUCUUACACCCGUUGUAUGUGAACGUAGGAAUCUAUCACACCCGAUCAUCACAUGGUGCUUCGAAACGACGAAUUUUAGCAACGACGCACAGUUAGGGGGAACACUUUCUUGAAAUUAUUAUGAGGGAUCAUCUUAUUUACUACCGUCGUUCUAAGUAAACAAGAUGCAUAAAUAUAAUAAACAUCACAUGCAAUUAAAUAGUAGUGACAUGAUAUGGCCAAUAUCAUAUAGCUCCUUUGAUCUCCAUCUUUGGGGCUCCAUGAUCAUCUUCGUCACCGACAUGACACCAUGAUCUCCAUCAUCGUGUCUCCAUGAAGUUGCUCGCCAACUAUUACUUCUACUACUAUGGCUAACGGUUUAGCAAUAAAGUAAAGUAAUUACAUGGCAUUAAAUCAUUGACACGCAUGUCAUACAAUAAUUAAGACAACUCCUAUGGCUCCUGCCGGUUGUCAUACUCAUCGACAUGCAAGUCGUGAUUCCUAUUACAAGAACAUGAUCUCAUACAUUACAAUAUAUCAUUCAUCAUUCAUCACAACUUUUGGCCAUAUCACAUCACAAAGCAAUUGCUGCAAAAACAAGUUAGACGUCCUCUAAUUGUUGUUGCAUCUUUUACGUGGCUGCAAUAGGGUUCUAGCAAGAACGUUUUCUUACCUACGAAUAACCACAACGUGAUUUUUCAACUUCUAUUUACCCUUCAUAAGGACCCUUUUCAUUGAAUCCGCUCCAACUAAAGUGGGAGAGACAGACACCCGCUAGCCACCUUAUGCAACUAGUGCAUGUCAGUCGGUGGAACCUGUCUCACGUAAGCGUACGUGUAAGGUCGGUCCGGGCUGCUUCAUCGCCGAAGCAAAAUAAUACUAGUAGUGGCAAGAAAGUUGACAACAUCUAGGCCCACAACAGAUUUGUGUUCUACUCGUGCAAUAGAGAACUACGCAUAGACCUAGCUCAUGAUGCCACUGUUGGGGAACGUUGCAUAAAAUAAAAAAUUUCCUACGUUCACCAAGAUCUAUCUAUGAGUUCAUCUAGCAAUGACAGAGAGGAGUGCAUCUACAUACCCUUGUAGAUCACGAGCGGAAGCGUUCAAGAGAACGGGGUUGAGGGAGUCGUACUCGUCGUGAUCCAAAUCACCAGAGAUCCUAGUGCCGAACGGACGGCACCUCCGCGUUCAACACACGUACGGUCAGCGUGACGUAUCCUCCUUCUUGAUCCAGCAAGGGGGGAGGAGAGGUUGAUGAAGAUCCAGCAGCACGACGGCGUGGUGGUGGAUGCAGCAGAGUUCCGGCAGGGCUUCGCCAAGCGCUUGCGGGAGGGAGAGGUGUAGCAAGGGGGGAAGGGAGGCGUCAGGUGUCAGGGUGCGGCUGCCCUCCCACCCCCCUCUUUAUAUAGNNNNNNNNNNNNNNNNNNNNNNNNNNNNNNNNNNNNNNNNNNNNNNNNNNNNNNNNNNNNNNNNNNNNNNNNNNNNNNNNNNNNNNNNNNNNNNNNNNNNNNNNNNNNNNNNNNNNNNNNNNNNNNNNNNNNNNNNNNNNNNNNNNNNNNNNNNNNNNNNNNNNNNNNNNNNNNNNNNNNNNNNNNNNNNNNNNNNNNNNNNNNNNNNNNNNNNNNNNNNNNNNNNNNNNNNNNNNNNNNNNNNNNNNNNNNNNNNNNNNNNNNNNNNNNNNNNNNNNNNNNNNNNNNNNNNNNNNNNNNNNNNNNNNNNNNNNNNNNNNNNNNNNNNNNNNNNNNNGAUGGGAUCUCCUAGGGGGGGCGGCGGCCAAGGGGGGAGACUUGCCCCCGAAGGCAAGUGGAGGCCCCCCCUCCCCUAGGGUUCCCAACCCUAGGCGCAGAGGGGGGCCAGGGGUGGAGCACCAGCCCACCAGGGGCUGGUUACCCUCCCACUUCAGCCCAUGGGGCCCUCCAGGAUGGGUGGCCCCACCCGGUGGACCCCCGGGACCCUUCCGGUGGUCCCGGUACAAUACCGGUGAACCCCGAAACUUUCCCAAUGGCCGAAACUCGACUUGCCAUAUAUAAUUCUUUACCUCCGGACCAUUCCGGAACUCCUCAUGACGUCCGGGAUCUCAUCUGGGACUCCUAACAACUUUCAGUUUGCUGCAUACUAAUAUCUUUACAACCCUAGCGUUACCGAACCUUAAGUGUGUAGACCCUACGGGUUCGGGAGACACGCAGACAUGACUGAGACUGCUGUCCGGUCAAUAACCAACAGCGGGAUCUGGAUACCCAUGUUGGCUCCCACAUGCUCCUCGAUGAUCUCAUCGGAUGAACCACGAUGUCGAGGAUUCAAGCAACCCCGUAUACAAUUCCCUUUGUCAAUCGGUAUGUUACUUGCCCAAGAUUCGAUCAUCGGUAUCCCAAUACCUCGUUCAAUCUCGUUACCGUCAAGUCACUUUACUCGUACUGUAAUGCAUGAUCCCAUGACCAGACACUUGGUCACUUUGAGCUCAUUAUGAUGAUGCAUUACCGAGUGGGCCUAGAGAUACCUCUCCGUCAUGCGGAGUGACAAAUCCCAGUCUUGAUCCGUGUCAACCCAACAGACACUUUCGGAGAUACCUGUAGUGCACCUUUAUAGUCACCCAGUUACGUUGCGACGUUUGGUACACCCAAAGCACUCCUACGGUAUCCGGGAGUUACACGAUCUCAUGGUCUAAGGAAAAGAUACUUGACAUUGAAAAAGCUCUAGCAAAAUGAACUAUAUGAUCUUGUGCUAUGCUUAGGAUUGGGUCUUGUCCAUCUUAUCAUUCUCCUAAUGAUGUGAUCCCGUUAUCAAUGACAUCCAAUGUCCAUAGUCAGGAAACCAUGACUAUUUGUUGAUCAACGAGCUAGUCAACUAGAGGUCACUAGGGACAUGUUGUGGUCUAUGUAUUCACACGUGUAUUACGAUUUCCGGAUAAUACAAUUAUAGCAUGAAUAAAAGACAAUUAUCAUGAACAAGGAAAUAUAAUAAUAAUCCUUUUAUUAUUGCCUCUAGGGCAUAUUUCCAACAGUAAUAUUUGCAGAAACUAUGGAUCAACAAAGAGACUUGGAAAAAGAACAGUUGUUGGGGGAUAUAAUCUUCGGCGGAGGUGAUGUCUUGUCAUUUCUCAAUGACACCGAUGGUCUGGAAGGAGAGGAUGAAGCAGGCUCCGGUGAUCGAACAAUGGAGGCGGAAAGUCAUGAUCAUGAUGGCUUCGGCAACCGAAUAUUGGUGGAAGGAGACCGUGAUGACGGCUUCGAUGACCGAACGGAGUCGGGAUCAGUUGUUGCAAAGUACGAAAUCAUGAUCAUGAUGGCUCCGGCGACCGAAUACCUGUGGAAGGAGACCGUGAUGAUGGCUCCGAUGACCGAACAGAGUCGGGAUCAGCUGUUGCAAAGUCCGGCGAGGUAUAUAUAUUAAUUAAGCCUGUUCUGACUAGCUAAUUGAUGCAUUAAUUAUUUUGGUAUGUACAUAUAUUAACUCUUCUUUCUUAUUUUAUAGCCCUCCGGAUCGAGCCAAACUUCGGUAACGAGACAAGGCCCGAAGAAAAGGUUGCGCCCAGAUGAAUGGUUCACGAUCACAACAAUCGCGGACGAUGGCCAACCGAUUGAACCCAGGGGGACCAAGGAUGCAUUUCUUGCUCAGUGUGGAUAUUGUUAGGGACAAUAUCUCGAUCAACAUCCAGCUAUGGAAUAAGCCUAAGAAAGAAGACCCUCAAAUUUCUUAUGUCACCGAUAGAGAGAAAGAUGAUAUUUGGACCUCGCUGAAGGCAAUUUCACCCUACCACCAGAGGAGGAUCCGAAUAAGCCAGUUAUAGAGCCACUGGUCAAGGCAUGGGCUCUUAAGAAGAUGGCAGAUCUAUUCCGGAGGUGGAAGAAAGAGUUGAAAUCAAUGUCUGUCGACAAAGUGAAGACUCCAGAAUUCACCGGCCGAUUUGAGAAGAUAAGAGAUCACUAGCCCACAUUUGUGGCCUACAAGACAUCGGACAAGAGUAAGAAAAUGUCAGACAUAAACAAGAUAAAUGCCGGAAAGAAGUUGUAUCACCAUCGCACGGGGUCAGGCAACUACCUCAAAGCCCGGCUGUUGUGGGACAAAGAUGAGACUGACCUGAUUGCUAAAGGGGUCGAACGAGAGACAUUGAACUGGCCAGAGCGCUCAAGAACUUGGUUUUUCGGGGUUGGGAAAACUUUGGACCCUGAAACAGGGAAGUGUCGUUGGAUGGACGAGAAACUUGCAAUGCCCAUCACGAAGCUUCAGGAAUCAAUCAAGGCAGCAUAGGAAGGGAUGUUCAUUCCCGACAGAGAGAAUCAUGAGUUGACUAAGGCCCUCGGUAAUCCUGAGCACCCUGGACGAACACGAGGCAUGCCAGGCUCUGCUGCGUGGAAGAUUGGGUUUCCCGGCGCAGGCGGUUACAAAACCCGAGAGAGGAAGAGGAAAUGGGAGCUGAGCGAUAUACAGAAGCUCAACGCAAGAGUACGAAAGCUAGAGGAACAAGUUGAGAGUCAGCGAGCUGCCGACCAACCAUCUCAGCGGCACGAAGCUACCCCACCAUCUCAGCGGAGAAGCAACAUGGCUUCCAUGGAGCUCGUUCAGCAUCCUGACUUCACGGCUCCUAGCUACCCCAUGGAUGCUAUCUCGAAGGCUCAACAUUGCCAGCUUAUGACGAAAUGGCAAAACAUCACCUUGAAGGCGGCUGUCGGCACUAGUCCACCUCCUCAACCCGACGGAAAUUUUCACUGCCAUCCGAUUCCACAGGGCUAUGCUGUUGUGAUGGCGGAUGAGGUAAUGGAGGGAUUUGAGGAGCUCGAGCUUGACCACCCUACGGGUGAAGUGUAGAUUCAGCUGGGUCUUGCUCUAAAGACUCCAUGUCUAUGGCAGAACGAGUACAUCAAGCUUCCAAACUGGACGCCUCCGCCUCCUCCUCCUCCUCCGGCGAGUCAGGGCACUCCGCCUCCUCCUCCGGCCAGUGAUCAGGGCACUCUGCCUCCUCCGGCACGUGAUGGCACUCUAGAUUGUUCUUUGCCUCCUCCGGCAAGCUCUCCGCCUCCUCCGGUGCGUGAGGGCACUAUGGCUGCUCCUCUGCCUCCUCUGUCACGUCGGAGCACUCCGCCUCCUCUAGCGCGUGGAAGCACUCCGCCUCCUCCGGCGUGUCAGUGGACCACACCGCGUCAGCAACGUCGGAAGAGAGAGUCCGUCGCUUCGGUGGCUAGUAGUACAAGCAGAGGAGGGAAGCAGUUCAAGUACGGUCCAUCUCUCAAGGCUCCGGAAAAUUUACCAUAUGAGAGGACCGACAAGGAAAACAAGGACAUCAGUCGUGCCCAAGUGAGGGAAUUUUUUGCAUGGAAACCUCCACCUCCAAAGGAAAAGAUAGAUCCGGUGAAAGUGAAGCACACUAUCGAUGCCCUGAAGCGACCACCACCGCCUCCAACGGAUUCCAACUAUGUGUGCACUAUUAAAAAGGCAUAUAAGGAAGCGAAGCGGUCGGGAAGUACUUGCAGUGAUGCAAGGUUAGCAGAACGAAGAAGUUGGAAAAAAUUCCCCAGCUCAGCGAAUAGGUGAAGCAAACGUGCCCCCCUCUUAAGGUGUCUAGCGAUACCAUCGUUAAUCAUCCGGGGAUGGUGCCCGGUACCAAUCCUGCUGAUUACCUGAUCGAUGAUAUAGAGUUUGAAACAAUGGAGGUGGACGAAUUCAGAUUCCAGUAUGGGCAGACUCUCGUUAAACCUGAUCCUCCUCCUCCUCUGACAACGAUGAUGCGAAGACUCCAUGAAUGGUACAUUGAAAGAUGCCGCUAGUCUAGGAAGCAUACUUUGACGAUGAUAAUUAAAGAGGAGCACAACCUUGUUGGAAUGGAUAUUUUGAAUAUUGAAUUUGACAAGUUAUUCUAGUUAUACAAUCAAAAGCCCCUUGACAAAACACUCGUGAGUUGCUACUGUCUGUAAGUACUACUUCUAUAAUAAUUAAGUCUCUAUAUAUAGCUCAGCUCUUUCAUUUGCAUGUAUAUAUAAUUAUCCUCACUAUAUUAUGCAGGUUGAAGAUCAUCGAAUGCAGAAAAGCAGAUAUCUAUGAUAUUGGGUUCAUUAACCCAAAUGUCAUACAUGAAUGGACGGCUAAACACAAUGUCUCUGGAACCGAGAACAACUUGCUACAAUCGUUGCUUAAAAAUCAGAACAAAGAUAAAAUACUCUUUCCUUAAAACUUCAAGUGAGUGUUACUGUCUUGUGCACAUUCGGUUUCCCUUACUCAAGGUUAAUUAUAGUAAUGUAAUUGAUGAGUUAUGCAUGCGUGCGCAUAUUCCACUUUAUUCUGCUAGAGCUUGAAGCUAGAAUAGUAACUGUCUUAGACUCGAGAAGAAAAGAUCCCCAGGAGUAUGCGGACAUGACUGAUAUGCUCUAGAAGUAAGUUCAAUCGAUCAUUAUUGCACCAUAUUGGCAACUUUGUUCAUUUCCUGGAUAUCAAGUAAUUAUUCUGUUUGUCUGGCAGGGUUUGGAAAGAGUUCACCGUAAUUACGCUGGGACUGCCGACGGAGCUGCAAUUUAAACACCCGAAAGUAAGUACUACUAGCUAGUUCCGCACAUCUCCCAUUGAUUGUAGCUAGUUUCAUCAAUACCAUUUAGCAUGCUUGAUUAUCAUUUUGAUUGAACUCUAUUUCUCGUAAAGUGCUUGCGGCAGGAAGCCGGGAAUGAUUUUUGUGGAUACUAUGUUUGCGAGUUCAUCUACAACUUGACAGCCUCUAAGCGGGGCUACUCUGAAAAACAAUAUGAGGUACAUAAACAAAAUAAUUCACAAUUUUAUUUUUUUACCACUUCUUUAAAUUAGAUGUGGCAGAUGCGGGAUGAACUCCUACGACAUGAUCGCAGACGGGCUAUUCAAGAGGAAUUAGCGGGAUUCUUUCUUGACCACGUCAUACAUAAAGCCGGAGAAUACCAUGUGGAAGUUGAAAUAGACCUUAGAUGUUAGGGUUUGUAAGAGGUCUUAUAUUGUAUAUAUGUAGCUAGUAGCGUCGGAUAGAUAUACCGAAACUUGUUGUUCAACCAAUCUCUGGGAGAAAGAGAGGUCACUUCUCUCUGUAUAUGUUCAUGACGAUCUUGUGUACUUAACGGUUCCUUCAUUUGCUUACUAGCUAGCGUGUCGAGUUCUAUCUAUACGUAUAGUAGCUAGCUGAUGACCCACAAGUAUAUGGGGUCAAUUGUAGCCUUUUCGAUAAGUAAGAGUGUCGAACCCAAUGAGGAGCAGAAGGAAAUGAUAAGUCGUUUUCAGCAAGGUAAUGUCUGCAAGUGCUAAAAUUGUAAGUAGCGAAGUAGUUUGAUAGCAAGAUAAUUUGUAACGAGCAAGUAACGAUAGUAGUAACAAAAGUGCAGCAAGGUAGCCCAAUCCUUUUGAGGCAAAGGACAGACCAAAACGGUCUCUUAUGAUAAGCAAAGUGUUCUUGAGGGUACACGGUAAUUUCAUCUAGUCACUUUCAUCAUGUUGGCUUAAUUCGUGUUCGCUACUUUGAUAAUUUGAUAUGUGGGUGGACCGGUGCUUAGGUGCUAUUCUUACUUGAACAAACCUCCUACUUAUGAUUAACCCUCUCGCAAGCAUCCGCAACUACGAGAAAAGUAUUAAGAAUAAAUUCUUUUUUUAGAAUAGCAUUAAACUUUUGGAUCCAAUCGGUCCCUUACGGAAUAGCGCAUAAACCGGGGUUUAAGCUUCUGUCACUCUCGCAACCCCUCAUGUAAUAACUACUCCACAAUACAUUCCCUUAGGCCCAAAUAUGGUGAAGUGUCAUGUAGUCAACGUUCACAUGACACCACUAAGGGAAUCACAACAUAUAUACAUAUCAUCAAAAUAUCGAACACAUAUCAAGUUCACAUAAUUACUUGCAACAUGAUAUCUCCCGUGACCUCAAGAACAAAAGUAACUACUCACAAAUGAUAAUCAUGCUCAAGAUCAGAGGGAUAUUAAAUAUCAUAAUGGAUCUGAACAUAUAAUAUUCCACCAAAUAAACCAUAUAGUAAUCAACUACAAGAUGUAAUCAACACUACUAGUCACCCACAAGCACCAAUCUAUAGUUCCGGUACAAAGAUUGAACACAAGAGAUGAACUAGGGUUUGAGAGGAGUUGGUGUUCUUGAAGAUGUUGAUGAAGAUAGCCCUCCCCAAGAUGGGAGAGUUGUUGGUGAUGAUGAUGACAAUGAUUUCCCCCUUUGGGAGGGAAGUUCCCUCGGCGGAAUCGCUCCGCCGUAGGGAAAAAGUGCUCCUGCCCAAGUUCCACCUCGAGACGGUGGCGCUUCAUCCCGAAAGUCCUCUCCUUAAUUAUUUUAGGUCAAAAUGACUUAUAUACUAGAAGGGCACCGGAGGUGGGCCGAGGGGGGCAGCACCCACCAGGGCGUGCCUGGGCCUCCUGGCGCGCCCAAGUGGGUUGUGCCCACCUGGUGGCCCCCCUUUGGUAGUUAUUUGCUCCAAUAUUUAUUAAAUAUUGUUGGGGAACGCGGUAAUUUCAAAAAAUUUCCAACGAUCACGCAAGAUCUAUCUAGGUGAUGCAUAGCAAUGAGAGGGGAGAGUGUGUCCACGUACCCUCGUAGACCGAAAGCGGAAGCGUUUAGCAAUGUGGUAGAUGUAGUUGAACUUCUUCGCGAUCCAACCGAGCAAGUACCGAACGUAGGACACCUCCGCGUUUAGCACAUGUUCAGCUCAAUGACGUCCCUCGUUCUCAUGAUUCAGUUGAGGCUGAGGAUGAGUUCCGUCAGCACGACGGCGUGGCGACGGUGAUGAUGAUGCUACCGGCGCAGGGCUUCGCCUAAGCACUACGAUGGUAUGAUCGAGGUGUGUAACUGUGGAGGGGGGCACCGCACACGGCUAAAAGAUCAACUUGUGUGUCUAUGGGGUGCCCCUUGGCCAUGUAUAUAAAGGAGGGGGAGGAGGAGGCCGGCCAAGAGGGGAGGCGCACCAUGGGGGGAGUCCUACUAGGACCCCAAACCUAGUAGGAUUCGGCCCCCCUUUCCUAUUACAACUUGGAGAAGGGGGGAAGGAGGAGGAGAGAAGGAAGGAGGGGGGCACUGCCCCUACCCUUAUACAAUUCGGAUUGGGGCAAGGGGGGCGCACGCCAUCUCCUCACCGGCCCUAUCUCUUCUCCACUCAGGCCCAUGAGGCCCAAUAACUUCCCGGAGGGGGUUUCGGUAGCCCCCGGUACUCCGAAACUAAUCCGAAAUGACCCGAACCCUUCCGGUGUCCGAAUGUAGCCUUCCAAUAUAUCAAUCUUUAUGUCUCAACCAUUUCGAGACUCCUCGUUAUGUCCGUGAUCUCAUUCGGGACUCCGAACAAACUUCGGUCAUCAAAACACAUAACUCAUAAUACAAAUCGUCAUCGAACAUUAAGCGUGCGGACCCUACGGGUUCGAGAACUAUGUAGACAUGACAGAGACACAUCUCCGGUCAGUAACCAAUAGCGGAACCUGGAUGCUCAUAUUGGCUCCUACAUAUUCUAUGAAGAUCUUUAUCGGUCAAACCGCAUAACAAUAUACGUUGUUCCCUUUGUCAUUGGUAUGUUACUUGCCCGAGAUUCGAUCGUCGGUAUCAUCAUACCUAGUUCAAUCUCAUUACGAGCAAGUCUAUUUACUCGUUCCGUAAUACUUCAUCCUACAACUAACUCAUUAGAUACAAUGCUUGCAAGGCUUAUAGUCACGAGCAUUACCGAGAGGGCCCAGAGACACCUCUCCGAAACACGGAGUGACAAAUCCAAAUCUUGAUCUAUGCCUACCCAACAAACACCUUGGGAGACAUGUUGGGGAAUGUAGCAAUAAUUCAAAAUUUUCUACGCAACACCAAGAUCAAUCUAUGGAGAUUCUAGCAACAAGAUAGGGAGAGGAUGAGCAUCUUCAUACCUUUGAAGAUCGCUAAGCGGAAGCGUCACUAGAACGCGGAUGAGGGAGUCGUACUCGCGGCGAUUCAAAUCGCGGAAGAUCCGAUCUAACGCCGAACUGACGGCGCCUCCGUGUUCAACACACGUACAGCUCGGGGACGUAUCCUCCUUCUUGAUCCAGCAAGGGAAGAGGAGAAGUUGAGGGAGCACUCCGGCAGCACGACGGCGUGGUGGAGGAGCUUGUAGUUCUCCGGCAGGGCUUCGCCAAGCACUACGGAGGAGGAGGUGGAGUUGGAGAGGGGGAGGGCUGCGCCAGGGGAAGGCUGAAGCUCCCAUGCACCUCCCCACUAUAUAUAGGGGUGGAGGGGGAUUGUUUAUCGCCCCCCAAGUCCAUUGGGGCAUUGGCACAGGUGGGAGGAAAGAAAUCCCAUCAUUUCCCUUCCCCACCAAUCGUUAUCCCUCCUUUUUAGGGAUCUUGAUCUUAUCCCUUCGGGAUAUGAUCUUAUUCCUUCUAAGGGGGGAUCUUGGUGCGCCUUGACCAGGGGUGUGGGGACUUUCCCCCACUACCCACGUUCAUGUGCCCCCCCAUGCAGGUGGGCCCCACUCUGGAACCUUCUAUAACCUUCCCGAUACAAUACCGAAAAAUCCUGAACAUUUUCCGGUGGCCAAAAUAGGACUUCCCAUAUAUAAAUAUUUACCUCCGGACCAUUCCGGAACUCUUUGUGAUGUCUGGGAUCUCAUACGGGACUCCGAACAACAUUCGGUAACUGGACACUAAUUCCCAUAACAACUCUAGCGUCACCGAACCUUAAGUGUGUAGACCCUACGGGUUCGGGAAUCAUGCAUACAUGACCGAGACAGCUCUCUGGCCAAUAACUAACAGCGGGAUCUGGAUACCCAUGUUGUCUCCCACAUGUUCCAUGAUGAUCUCAUCGGAUGAACCACGAUAUCGGGGAUUCAAUCAAUCCCGUAUACAAUUCCCUUUGUCAAAUGGUAUGUUACUUGCCAGAGAUUUGAUCGUCGGUAUCCCAAUACCUCGUUCAAUCUCGUUACCGGCAAGUCAUUUUACUCAUUCCAUAACGCAUGAUCCCUCGACUAACUACUUGGUCACAUUGAUCUCAUUAUGAUGAUGCAUUACCGAGUGGCCCCAGAGAUACCUCUUCGUCAUAUGGAGUGACAAAUCCCAGUCUCGAUUCGUGCCAACCCAACAAACACUUUCGAAGAUACCUGUAGUGUACCUUUAUAGCCACCCAAUUACGUUGGGACAUUUGGUACACCCAAAGCAUUCCUACGGUAUCCGGGAGUUGCACAAUCUCAUGGUCUAAGGAAAUGAUACUUGACAUUAGAAAAGCUUUUAGCAAACGAACUACACGAUCUUGUGCUAUGCUUAGGAUUGGGUCUUGUCCAUCACAUCAUUCUCCUAAUGAUGUGAUCCUGUUAUCAAUGACAUCCAAUGUCCAUGGUCAGGAAACCAUAACCAUCUAUUGAUCAACGAGCUAGUCAACUAGGGACAUGUUGUGGUCUAUGUAUUCACACAUGUAUUACGGUUUCCAGUUAAUACAAUUAUAGCAUGAACAAUAGACAAUUAUCAUGAACAAGGAAAUAUAAUAAUAACCAUUUUAUUAUUGCCUCUAGGGCAUAUUUCCGACAGUCUCCCACUUGCACUAGAGUCAAUAAUCUAGUUCACAUCACUAUGUGAUUGUAAUGAAUCCAACACCCAUGGGGUUUGAUCAUAUCUUGCUUGUGAGAGAGGUUAUUAGUCAACGGGUCUGAACCCUUCAGAUCCGUGUGUGCUUUGCAAAUCUCUACGUCGUCUUGUGGAUGCAGCUACCACGCGCUAUUUGGAACUAUUCCAAAUAACAGUUCUACUAUAUGAAUCUGGUUUACUCCUUAGGUCAUCCAGAUUAGUGUCAAAGUUUGCAUCGACGUAACCCUUACGACGAACUCUUUUACCACUGCCAUGAUCGAGAAAAAUUCCUUAGUCCACUAAGGAUAACUUUGACUGUUGUCUAGUGAUCCAUUCCUGGAUCACUCUUGUACCCCUUGACUGACUCAUGGCAAGGCACACUUCAGGUGCGGUACACAUCAUAGCAUACUGUAGAGCACAGGGGACGACCUUCGUCCUUUCUCUCUCCUCUGCCAUGGUCAGGUCUUGAGUCUUACUCAAUACUCACACCUUAUAACACAGCCAAGAACUCCUUCUUUGUUGAUCUAUUUUGAAAUCCUUCAAAAUCUUGUCACGAUAUAUAUUCAUUUGAAAGUACUAUUAAGCGUUUUUGAUCUAUCCUUAUAGAUCUUGAUGCUCAAUGUUCAAGUAGCUCAAUCUAGGUUUUUUUAUUGAAAAACACCUUUCAAACAACCCUAUAUGCUUUCCAGAAAUUCUACAUCAUUUCCGAUCAACAAUAUGUCAACAACAUAUGCUCAUCAGAAAUUCUAUAGUGCUCCCACUCACUUCUUUGGAAAUACAAGUUUCUCAUAAACUUUGUAUAAACCCAAAAUGUUUGAUCAUCUCAUCACAACGUAUAUUCCAACUCCGAGAUGCUUACUCCAGUCCUUAGAAUGAUUGCUGGAGCUUUGCAUACUUGUUAGCAUCUUUUAGGAUUGACAAAACCUUCUAGUUGUAUCACAUACAACCUUUCCUCAAGAAAAACAUCGAGGAAACAAUGUUUUGACAUCCUAUCUGCAAGAUUUCAUAAAUAAUGCAGUAACUGCUAAUAUAAUUUCAACAAACUCUUAGCAUCACUAUGAGCGACAAAAUCUCAUCAUAGUCAACUCCUUGAACUUGUCAGAAAACAUCUUAGUGACAAGUCAAGCUUUCUUAAUGGUGACACUUACCAUCAUUGUCCGUUUUACUUUUAGAAUCCAUCUGUACCCAACAGCCUUACAACCAUUAAGUAGUUCUUCCAAAGUCUACACUUUGUUUUCAUACAUGGAUCCUCUCUCGGAUUUUAUGGCCUUGAGUCAUUGGUCGGAAUCCGGGCCCACCAUCGCUUCUACAUAGCUCGUAGGUUCAUUAUUGUCUAGCAACAUGACCUCCAAGAUAGGAUUACGUACCACUCUAAAGUAGUACACAUCCUUGUUGACCUACGAGGUUUGGUAGUGACUUGAUCCGAAGUUUCAUGAUCACUAUCAUCAGCUUCCACUUCAAUUGGUGUAGGCGCUACAGGAACAACUUCCUGUGCCCUGCUACACACUGGUUGAAGUGACAGUUCAAUAACCUCAUCAAGUCUCCACCAUCCUCCCACUCAAUUCUUUCGAGAGAAACUUUUCCUCGAGAAAGGACCCGUUUCCAAAAACAAUCACUUUUGCUUCCGGAUCUGAAAUAGGAGGUAUACCCAACUGUUUUGGGUGUCCUAUGAAGAUGCACUUAUCCGCUUUGGGUUCGAUCUUAUCAGGCUAAAACUUUUCACAUAACGGUCGCAGCCCCAAACUUUUAAGAAACGACAGCUUAGGUUUCUCUAAACCAUAGUUCAUACGCUGUCAUCUCAACGGAAUUACGUGGUGCCCUAUUUGAAGUGAAUGCGGUUGUCUCUAAUGCCUAACCCAUAAACGAUAAUGCACUACAAAAAAAGACACAUCCGUGACAUUUUGGGCCGAACGAUUUUUUUAUGUCAUACAUAUGACACUUCUAUGAUGAUAAUUGUGACAAAACGCGGUAUCAUCAUAGAUAUGGUGGGCUCCUACUUCUAUGAUAAAAAAUCAUGACAGAAAAUGGGCUUUUCGUCCUGGGCGAGCCGGAGACGCAGCUGCAUGACAUUCUUUGGGCCGUCCAUGACGGAAAAAACCGUGGUAGAAGAGAGGGCGAGGAAAAUUUCGGUGAGUUCCCGGUUACGGUGGGUGGUCGGGGGCCGAGCGAUGCGCGUUUCUCUUGUACACAUACGCGUGUGUGUGUGAGGCGUUGGCUCUAACUGAACCCGAACGAGGCAUUGGGCUCUAACUGAACUUGAGCGAUUGCACCGCAGGCUACGCAUUACUGAACCUGAGCGAUCGAUCGAUGGCUGUUAACUGAACCCGAGCGAUCGAUUCCUUCNNNNNNNNNNNNNNNNNNNNNNNNNNNNNNNNNNNNNNNNNNNNNNNNNNNNNNNNNNNNNNNNNNNNNNNNNNNNNNNNNNNNNNNNNNNNNNNNNNNNNNNNNNNNNNNNNNNNNNNNNNNNNNNNNNNNNNNNNNNNNNNNNNNNNNNNNNNNNNNNNNNNNNNNNNNNNNNNNNNNNNNNNNNNNNNNNNNNNNNNNNNNNNNNNNNNNNNNNNNNNNNNNNNNNNNNNNNNNNNNNNNNNNNNNNNNNNNNNNNNNNNNNNNNNNNNNNNNNNNNNNNNNNNNNNNNNNNNNNNNNNNNNNNNNNNNNNNNNNNNNNNNNNNNNNNNNNNNNNNNNNNNNNNNNNNNNNNNNNNNNNNNNNNNNNNNNNNNNNNNNNNNNNNNNNNNNNNNNNNNUAGAUGGUGGGGGGGGGUGGAUGAACAAUAGCCCGUGGAGGGGUGGUUGAACAGGGAGCCCAUGGAGAGGGGUGGUUGAACAGUAGCCGCUGGAGUAGCGCGGUGUGGAGGCUAGAUGAACAGGAGCCCGUGGAUGAACAGUCGCAGGUGGAGGCUGGAGGAGGUCCACGGUGGAUGAACAGUAGCCCGUGGAGGCUGGAGGAGGUCGACGGUGGAGAUGAACAGUAUCCCGUGGAGUCCUGUUUUGCGGUACGCCACACCCCUCCCGAUGAACAGGACCCCCGUUUCGACCGUAGCGCUCCAACACAAGUCCGUUUCGUCCAUUUUGCGGUACGCCACACCCCUCCCGAUCAACAGGACCCCCGUUUCGACCGUAGGAGGUCCGUUUCCUCCAUUUUGUGGUACACCAGACCCCUCCUGAUGAACAGGAUCCCAUUUCGAAUGUGGCCGGUCGAACACAAGGUCGUUUCCUCUGUUCCGCGGUACGCCAAGCCUCGUUUCCAUCGCCUGUUCCGUCCAAGCCCUCCCGAUGAACACGAUCACGCAUUCCAUUCUGACCCAGCCGGUUGGCUCCCACGCGUUCCGUUGCCUCCCGAUGAACAUGACGCAUUCGGUUGCCUCCCCAUGAACACGACGCAUUCCGUUGCCUCCCCAUGAACACGACGACGAUGCUGUUUCUCCGUUCCGACCCAACCAUGUACACGAGUCGUGGUCGUCCGUAUAUAUGCGCGAGUAGGCGUUCGAGACCCCGCCCAUAUGUACACAUACGUGGCCUUAUUUUCUUUCUUACGCACUGGCCGCUGUACGUACGUGUACAUGCUACAUGCACGCCUCUACUACGACAAGAGCGCGCCUCUACUACGACACGAGCGCGCCUCUACUACGACACGUGCGCGCCUCUACAUCCACCAGCAUGUAUGUACACGUUCGCGACCAGAAUGACAACGCUACAUACGCUUCGACCAGGUGGGUCCCGACUGUCAGGCACUUCUUUGCGUGUGAAGAUGUAGCUGGUGGGUCCCAGCAGUCAGGGGGGCGAAUCGUUUUUUUGCCCGGACGCACUUCCUUGCGUCUGAAGGUGUAGCUGGUGGGUCCCAGUAGUCAGGGGGGAAAUGUUUUUUUUCGCGAAAUACUGUGGCCCAUCCGGUGGGUCCCCGCUAUCAGGUGGAGGAAUAAUUAUUUUGCGCGUAAUAAGGAGGCACUUCCUUGUGGCUAUCGUGGACGGAGCUGUCAGCCUCUCCACGUACAGUCCACGUCCGAUGGAAGCCGUUCCUUGACCAUGUUGACCAUGUCGCGCCGAGAGCACCAGGGCGGUGGACGACGGCAAGGCCUAGGAAUGGGACGACGCGGAGCGGGGGAAGACGCGGCAAUGGAUGCCCACACGUAGAGGAGUACGAGGGUUCACUGGUUCUCUGCAGUGUGAGGUUGCCGUCGCCGUAGAAUAACAGUUAACAGGGGGUGUGGGUGAGUAGAGGGAUGGCCUGGCCAGCGGUGGGAGUAGUAGGGGGCGGUGAGGCCUCUACCGCAUCGCAGCCAGCCACGGGAGGCAGGAGCAUGAGGCAUGACCGAUGCUGGUUUGGGCGGCUGGAGCAAGAAGACCAGAGGUUGAAGAAGCACUACGGCCGUUGGAUGGACAUUGUACGGUCACUGGAGCUAGAAUCGUGCAUAUUGACUAAGUUGACAAAGCCCUCCGUCCCCGUCAACUUAGUAGGCCCACAAGUCAGCCUGCCACUAUACUGGGUCCCAGCUAACAGGGGAGUAUUCAUUUUUGUGUGUGUAAUAAGGAGGCACUUCCUUGCGUGCGAAGAUAUAGCUGGUGGGUCCGAGCUGUCAGCGGCGGUAACGUUUUUUUCGCGAAAUACAGAGGCCCUUUCGGUGGGUCCCUGAUGUCAGGUGGAGGAAUCAUUAUUUUGCGCGUAAUAAGGAGGCAUGUCCUUGCGUGCGGCCGUGGACCCAGCUGUCGGCCUCUCCACGUACAGUCAACUUCAGAUGCAUGUCGGUCGUUGACCAUGUUGACCAGGUCGCGCCGAGAGCACCAGGGCGGUGGACGACGGCGAGGCCUAGGAAGGGAACGACACGGAGGCAGGGAAGACUCGGCAGUUGUUUCCCAUGCGGAGGGGAGUAUGACUGUACGAGGCUUUACUGGUUCGUCUGCCGUCGCCGGAGAAUAACGGCAGGUGUGGGUGAGUAGAGGGAUGGCUAGGCCAGUGAUGAUAGUACGGUGGGGGUGGUGAGGCCUGCGCGGCAGCACAGCUGGCCGCAGGAAGGAGGGAGCAGGCAGUCCCGCCGGUGCUUGUUUGAGCGCCUGGAGCAGGAAGAGCAGAGAUUGAAGAAGCACGACGGCCGUUGGAUGGACAUCCAACAGUCACUGCUUGUGCGUCAACCUUCUUUUUAGGAAAGCCUCAAAUUUGUGGAAAACAACAUACAACCCAUCUGCCAUUAUUUCUGAUAAUUUAUAGCCCAUUUGCUAAUUCUUAAGUUUUUUUUGGAGCCCUUAUUCUUUUUGUUAGCAUUACAACCCAUAUUGUGGCCACGGUUAAAAAAUUAUACGAAAUUUUGCAUAUUUCGGUGCGGUCCGAACCGUUUUUAAUCCCGAAAUUUCGACUCACAUUCAAACUGAUUUAAAAAAUAAAUGUAUAUCAAUAUAAAAUCCAACAAAUUCUCCAUGCAUAAAAAUUAAUGUAAUUUAAAAUCUCGAAAUAAAAAAAGAUAUUUGAAACUAAUUGCCGGUUUGAUGUGUUUUAAAAAUGUACAUUCCAUUUCUCAUUACUGAUGGGCCAUUUUCUCGGCCAGCCAAAUGAAAGCUCUCCUCGUCUUGAAAGAUUUGCAGCCCAACAGGCCUGACAAAGCGACUUACUUGGCAAAUCACAAAAAAACUGGGAUAUGGCCGUGGACCCAGCUAUCAGCCUCUCCACGUACAGUACUCUUCCGAUGGAAUGUCGUUGACCACAUUGACCACGUCGUGCCGAGAGCACCAAGGCGGUGGACGGCGACGAGGCCUAGGAAGGGGACGACGCGGAGCCGGGGAAGACGCGGCGGUGGAUGCCCACGCGGAGAGGAGUACGAGGGUUCACUGGUUCGGCUGCGGUGUGAGGCUGCCGUCGCUGCAGGGCCUGGCUAGCGGUGGGAGUAGUAGGGGGCGAUGAGGACUCAACGGCAGCACAACUGGCCACUGGAGGCAGGAGCAGGCGGUCUCCCCGGCGCUAGUUUGGGCGGCUGGUGCAAGAAGAGCAGCGAUUGAAGAAGCAGCAGGAUCGUUCGAUUCAAAUCCAACGGUUACUGCUGCUAGAAUCGUUUGUUGACUAAGUUGACAAGCCCUGCGUACGCGUCAACUUAGUAGGCCCACAGGUCAGCCUCCCAACCGGUGCGCCCCAGAUGUGAGUGGGAGGAAUCAUUUUUUUCGCGUAAUAAGGAGGCAGUUGAUUGCAUGCGGCCAGGCCAGCGGAGGGAGUAGGGUGGGCCGGGGAAGCCUGCGCGGCAUCACAGUGGGCCACAAGAGGAGGGAGCAGGCAGUCCCGCCGGCGCUAGUUUAGGCGGCUGGAGCAGGAAGAUCAGAGAUUGAAGAAGCACGUCGGCCGUUGGAUGGACAUCCAACAGUCAUUGCUGCUAGAAUCGUGUGUUCACUGACAAAGCCUUGCGUAAACAAGUCAGCCUCGAAAUUUGUGGCGUGUACAACCCAUUUGCUAUUACUUUUAUAAUUUUUACUCAUUUUCUAAUUCAUAUGGAAUUUAUUGCAGCCCGUUUUCCAUUUUUAGAAUUGCUGACCAUUUUCUGGUCAGUACCAGGGUCAAAAAAUUAACUAAAUAUGUGGGAAAUUUUGAAAAUUCACAAAUUUUUGCUGGGGAACGAAAUAUUCUUAAUCCAAAAAUUAAUAGCCAUACUAAAACUAAUUUAAAAAUAAAUUAGUACUAUGUUAUGUUAAAUCCAAUGAAAUACCUAUAAGAUAUCAGUGAAGAACAAAAACAAAAAAAGAAACUAAUAUCCCAUUUGCUAUAAUUUUUUUGGAAUUUUCAACCCCUUCUGAUAUUACUUUUAACAGACAUUGACCAUACUCUUCAGCCAGGCCGGAAUGCAUCCCUCCUCGUCUUGAAAGAUUUGCAGCCCAGUAAUUCGGAGAAAACAAAUAGGCCUAGCUUGGGUAUUCUUCAAAAAUAAAUACCGGGCUACCUAUUUUCCCAAAGAACUGGUGCAUGAGCAUUUAGCUUUAUUUAUUUAUUUACUUAUUUAUGUUUAGGGGACCAUGAGCAUGUACCUGGGCCGGAUUCAUGUGAGAGCCUCCCUACCAGUUAAUUAUGGGCUUCUCUAUUGGGCCUUCAUUAGUGAGCUGCAUGUUAUCAACAAGUGGAAAAUGUGUUCCAUACAAAAAAUAGUAUGAGCUACGUACGGUACGGGGCACUAAAGGAUCGAACUAUGCAACGACUUCCAAAACAUUGUGAUUGUCAUUCUAACAACACAUUUAUUCAACCAACAGACGAAAUAUACUACUGAUUGUACAUUGAAAACAGCAGCAGCAGCAACCAGGGCUGGGGGUGCAACAGAAGCAGUAAGCAGGCCAGAAGAGUGAAGACGCAUCUGUCUCUUCCAAACCAAACAUCAACCAUCAUUACAAAAGGGCUACCAAAAAAGAACAAGUGUAUGCAUCAAACUAAAUAAAGAUCCUACUACACCAAGUGUACGCAUCUAACUAACUGGCUCAGUUAGACGUUACUAUUUAUUAAGCUGUGGAGAUUGGCUGACGGCUUGAACCAGAUGGGUGCCUGAUGGGGGAAACUCCAGCCAGCAGGUCAAAGUCUGAUACUUGCGACCCUCUCUCCUACUUUGGGCUGUAGAGCGUGGCAUCACAUAUCAGGGUAUGGUGCAUGCAGAGACGCAUGGUACGCUGUGUACACACAGUUUUUCCUGAGGAACGAACUGCGCUGCCAUCAUGAUCCUUGCCGUCGGUUAUCUCCUGGUUAAUCGGAUAAUUUAGUCUGACAAACAGAGAGCGUGUACCAAGGCUACUUACCAGCCUCCAGUCAAAAAUUCCUGAAGGCCCAGAGAAGCUGGGAUCCUGCUCAAAGACCUUGCAGUGAAUGUGAUUGUAUUCCGCGAGACAACACGUCUGGUACGUGCGAACGAUCAUCAAUCUUUCGUCGUUGUCUGAUCGAGCCAGGAACCACCUGCAACUGCCAUGCCGCUUUUCUUUGAAAGGUUCUGGGAUUAGGAAGGGUAGGGACACCAGGCAGCCUACAACAUCAUAUCAAGUUGGAGUCAAAUAAAAAAGGGCUCUUGAUUUAGUCAAUCUUAAGAACAACAUGUUAUGAGCAUGAAUAUUUUUUCAGUAAAUGUUGACAGUAAUAUAAGCAAGCCAUCAUGAUAUCAAAGUAACAUACUGCUGUAAGAGCCAUUUGUAGCGAUGACUGGAGUAGGCCAGCAAUACGUCCAGCCAUAGAAGGAGUCGACAGCGUAAAUGAAGCCCUUGUGUUCAGUGGCAUCAGAGAACCAUGGGGGAUGUAUGAUCCUGCGAUGGACGUGCAGAUUUAUCCACUUACCGCAGUGACCUGUCAGAUAGGCGAGACCGCGGUUGAAGAAUGCAAUUAGCCUGAAGUCUUUAUAAUUCGCAGAUCUUGUGGGCACUUGGCAGAUUACAACCUUGAGCAAAUCAAACUUGGUAUCAUGUUGGCUACUGUAAGAUUCCGAGUACUCUGGGCCGCGGUGCCAAAGCAGUGCAGUGUUAAUCGAAGGAAGGGGGAUCAAUCACUGGGUGUAGACCUCCGCGAGCAUCCAGCUGUCGCGACCGUCGACAAGCACCAUCCAAGACGUGUUCAUGCCGACCCAGUACAUACCGUUAAUGUAGCUGAGGCUGACAAGGAUCAGAUCGUAGUCAAGGGGGUUGAUGCUCGCCACCCUAUGAUCGUUAUGCUGUGUGACAUGCCGUUUCUGAAGAUCAGGCGGCAUCGGCAAGCAAGGAGCUGGCUUAAAAAGCUCCGGCCUGAGGGCUUUGAGUAAACAGCCCCGACGAGCACGCGGCGAGCGGCAUGGUACUGAGAUUGUCCACAUUUGAAACAAUGAGCUUGAUUACCUCUGUGGGGAGCGAAUUCCGGCCACUCUUUCGGCGGACGCUGCUCGGUUCUGCCAUUGUUAGUGCUUGGGUUUCGGACGAGGGGGGAGGCACCUUAGCGGGGAUGGAAGAUUGGACGAGAUUAUGUGCGGACAAAGAUGGAGAAGCAAAUAUGUGCUGCGGGAAGUGGACAGGUGAUGAUGACUACAGCACGCCGCUUGACUUACGAGACACAUACCAGCAGCGUAGGGUCAUAUCGAUGACAGACAACUUGCUUGAGUAGAGUAGUAGAGUAGGACUCUGCUCUACUACUAGCACCGGAGUAGUAUAUUCUAAUCUAAAAUAGUUACAAACUUUAAUGCCCGAGCAUGGAACGACUACGAACCAUGCUCAAAGACUGUGUCUACAUGGUGUCAUAGUUGGCUUUCUAUCCGUCAGAUAUAGAUCGGAUGGUCUAUAUUACAAGAUGGCACGCAUACCAUCAUCACCAACUCUGCUUUUUAUAAGAGUAAAUAUGGUGUGCUUGCCAUCCUGCAAUAUAAGCCGUCCGAUUUAUAUCUGACGGAUAGGAAGGAAAAAUGGAAAUUUUGCAAAAAGAUACCCACGGCCACUCAACAUUUGCAAAUAAGGCCUUCCCUCGUUCAUCCUUUUCUCCCACAAGAUAAACUACUCAUACAGAUGCAUCUUGAUGUUCCGUGCAACGCACGGGAAUCUUGCUAGUAGAUAGAUAGAGACUAGGGAGUACUAGUAAGGACAGCAUCUACUGCUUCGUGUGCUACUCCUGCGCACCAUUCGGCGGCUGCAACGUCCCCUACAGCCACUCCCUCCCGCGCUCCAUUCAGAGGGCGCUGUUGACAUUUGGGGAGCGCACUCUCGCGACUGCUGGCAGCCACGACUUCACUGAUGACGACUUCUUCCCCGACCUCGGCAACCUCUUCCUCAACGACAUGGGUGACAACCUCAACGCCAACGGUGCUACUCCCCUUGCACCAUAUGUGUUUCUCCUUCCCGUUCGAAAUCGUGGUAGAAUUCAUGUUUCUACUCUGUAUCCUACUACUAUGCUAGUCCACAUGAUUAGUUUCAUCUUUGUUAUAGCCAUCAUGAUUUAUUUUGUGCUUAUUCGGAUUAAAUCUCGUAGUAACUUGCUCAUAUAUUCAACUGGCGCAACGUCCCCUACAGCCACUCCCUUUUCAUGGACGGCCUGGUCAAUGCCUCCAAGGAGCCCUUCGUCUACUGCUAUGAGUGCCCGAUGCUGUUUUGGGGCUCGCCGGCGGACAUGGUGCAUCACCUCACGGAUGCGUGCAGCGGUCACUACUGGCCCUUGGCGGAGAACAUCAAGUACGAGACGUGCUACCCGUUCACCAUGCCGGAGUUGCUGGAGGAUCACCGCCGCCUGCUAGUCUCGGAGGAGGACGACAGCGUCUUCCUCUUGAUCGUCGGCACCAGCGAGGCCCGUGCAGGCCGCCGCCCAGUCUCUGUACACUACUAGGGAAAAGCCUAUACACAGAAUCUUAUCAGCAGCGCGCUGUAAAAUAAGGCGCUGCUGCUAAUUAGCAGUAGCGUGCUUGGGGGUAACUCGCUGCUGAAAACAAUAUAGCAGUAGCGCGCCCGCUCAAAGAAGCGCUACUGCUAUAAUUCCCACGAGGCCGCCACGUGGCUAGUUAUAGCAGCAACGCGUUAUAACGACGGGCGCUACUGCUACGUAGCAUAGUAGCAGCGCAUUGCUGCAAUAAGCGCUACUGCUAAAUUUACUACAAAAGUUUUGCCCCAUCUCCUCUAUCCGAUCCACACUCACACAGUCACACACUAGCUCACUGGAUCCCCUCUCAAUCCCCCGCGCCGGUCCACCCCUGUCGCCCCUCCUCCGUCUGCGCCGCUGUCAUCUUCUCCUCCUUGCUGGACUCGGUACCGGCCUCCUCCUCCAUCCUCCCUCUCCACUUGCCGCUGGCCGGCCCCUCCUCACUCCGCCUUCCUCCUCCGUCCUCCCUCCACUGGUCACGCCGGUCGACCCCUCCUCGCUCCGCCUUCCUCCUCCAUCCUACUCUCUUCUCCCUCCUCGAGUCGCCCCUCCUUCUCCCUCCUGCCCACUACAUUUUGAUUUAGUAGCUAGGCUAGUUCAUAUGCAACAUUUUGAUUUAGUUGAUAUGAUUUAGUUGAUUUAAUUAGUAGGCUAGUUGAUUUAGUUGACUUAGAACAGUUUGAUUUAGCUGAUUUAAUAGGCUAGUUCAUUUAGUUGAUUUAGUUGACUUAGAACAUUUUGAUUUAGUUGAUUUAAUAGGCUAGUUCAUUUAGUUGAUUUAGUUGACUUAGAAAAUUUUGAUUUAGUUGAUUUAGUAGGGUAGCUCAUUUAAUUAGUUGAUUUAGAACAUUUUGAUUUAGUUGAUUUAGUAGCUAGGCUAGUUGAUUUAGUUGAUUUAGAACAUUUUGAUUUAGUUGAUUUAGUAGGCCAGUUGAUUUAGUUGACUUAGAACAUUUUGAUUUAGUUCAUCAUUAAUCCUUUGCUCAUAUUGCUUUAGGAAAAAUGGUGCCACCACCACCACCACUAUGUCGACUGUGCAAGUCAAGAUGCGCCAGCAGCCUUGCAACUGGCAAGCUGUUCGGCAUCUACUUCCAGCCAAGUUUUCGUCAUGCGGCAGUAAGAAAUUAGAUGAAAUGUAAUAACUAUUUUGUUUUUAGUGUUGGCAUUACUGCAUUGUGUCAUUUUGCUUAUUUUACACAGAUCGUCCCAUGCAAUGUGAGGUUGAAAUUCAACAAGCUGGCAGGAGACACCAUGACAUUUGAGGCUCCUGGGGGGCCAUACACUAUGGAGGUCGAGAAAGGACGCAAUAUGUCGUAGAUUGGAGGAGAUGGAUGGGCCCGUUUCGUCGCUCGCAUGCGUCUUACUGGUGGUGAGUUGAUCAGCUUCUCCUUCCGAGCAGAAAGACCCAAGCUAGUUGUCAUUUAUCUCAACCUGGUGGAAGAUGAUGAAGAUGACGAAGAUGAUGAAGAUGAUGAAGAUAAUGAGGACCCACUCGAUGAAGAUGAUGAGGACCCACUUCAUGAAUCCAUCGUAGCUCAAAGAACAAGGCUGAGUGAGGAGGAGGUGUCCAACCUGUGGGACAUAAUUCCGCCACAUGCUGACUUUGUCGGGGUGCCAUUCGUGACUCGCUUGACAAAUACCAUGGUUGAUCGACAUGAUAUGGUAUGUUAUACUUACAAAUGCAAAUUAUCCGAUGAAUUACUUAGUGUACAGUCCAAUGAUAUGGUAUGUUGUGUGGAAUCUAGUCAAUUAUAUGUUUUAGUGUAGAGUUUGAUCACAUGCUUAUUAGUGUAGAAUCUAACGAAACUAUUAAUAGUGUAGAUAAUCCAUAUGUACUUAUUUGCGAGGCUAUUUAUUAAUUGAUAUGUUUUUCUUAUUAAAAAAUUGGCAAAGAGCAUAUCUGUGAGUUAUGGUAUCGAGCCUGAUGAAGAAGGCUCGGCUGGACUACGCCUUACUGCAAGGGGCUCUGUCACAACCUGUACUUACCGCGUGGACACGGACGGCCGCACACACUUAAACUCGGUUGGGUGGAAGAAAUUCCUCGAUGGCAAGAAUCUUCGUGUUGGACAGGCCAUCCUAAUUACUAUCAGGAACACCAACCGCCCAGGCUUAAGGAUGAUGAUUGUCUUCGAUAUCAUCUAGAACUACAUAUGUGUGUGUGGCUAUAUCAUCUAGAACUACAUAUGUGUGUGUGGCUAUAUCAUCUAGAACUACAUAUGAUGAUCGUCGUCAAUAUCAUCUAGAACUACAUAUGAUGAUGGUUGUUGAUAUGACCUUGUACUGCUUGAGGAUGCAUGUUGACUAUGCAUGAAAUUGUUAUCUAGUACUCCCUUUGUUCCAAAUUACUCGUCGUGGUUUGAACUAAAACCACGACGAGUAAUUUGGAACGAAGGGAGUACUACCUAGUAAUGGAUUAUGAAUUUGAUAUCUACUAGCAGUACCUAGUAUCUAGUAUCUGAAAGGGAAACUGAAAGGAAAAGGGGUAGUGGGAAAAUGAUGAAAGAUAUAGCAGUAGCGAGGGAUGGCGAAAUCGCUACAGCUAGGUAAUAGUAGCGCGUUCUAAAAAAGCGCUGCUGAUAUCGUAAACAGUAGUAGCGCUGGUAAGGGCCGCGCUACUACUAUGAGUUAGCUGUAGUGCCUUAUUAGUAGCGUGUCCACCCGCGCUGCUGCUAGCCUCAAAACCCACGCUACUACUAGGGUUUUCCCUAGUAGUGGUAGUGUGUGUCAGGGGCGACACCGCUGACACUGACACUGACACAAGGCCGAUGUACGGGUGCGUGGUCAGUGUUACUACCCCUCCGGGUCACGUGGGCGGCGACACCGGCCUCAUCAAAUGGACUUGGACUCUGGGGAGCUGGGACUAUCCCGCCAAUGUGGACUUGGAAAACCCAUGGCAUCCUUUACCCGCCGAUGCGGUGCACGGGGACUCCAAGGAGGUUCACCUGGACAUAUGCAUUAUCAAGUUAAAUGUUGAUCAUUAGUCUUUGCUCAAUGUAAUCCGCUGUCUAAGCAUGUGGAGACUUCCAUGCAGGAUCUUGCUCUAUUGGAGUAUCGCGCAUGAAUAAAAGUGUAUCCGUUUAUGGUUUAGUCUAGAAUCUUCCAUGUAUGAAUUUUUACUACAAUACUGGUGAAAAACUUACGAUGAACCAUUUCUUACAUCUCCUUUGCCCCCUUGCAAGUCAUCCUGAUUUAAUCCCUCCGUCUAGGUGUAUAAGGGCAUGGUUAAUAUUACUUAAUAGUAUAGCCAACUGUUGACUAUAAGAAAGUGCCAUGUCAUCUGUAGCCAACAUGUAUAACAAUCGAUACUCAAAAACUAAUUCUCAAAGAUCAUUUCUUGCAAAGCACAAUAAGUGUUAUUUCUUCACAAGUUUUGGAUGUAGGUUGAAUAGUUGAACGAUUUUGUUUGCAAAAGAUACCUUUUUAUCUAUUUCACCCGGAUGUUUGUGAGCUCUAGAGAUGAAAUAAUAUCUGAAGAAACCUAUCGAUACCCGUUACACAUGAGAUGACCCCUACAUCCUUUGUCAAAAUAAACAAAUCCCCAAUCAAUGCAUUUCACUCUUCGGUGCAACGCACGGGCACCUUACUACUAUAGAUUAGUACGACCAAAAAUUGAACUAACAUUAUAUAUAGUACGAUAAAUGCUGAUGCAUGUCACCUAAAAUUAUAUCAUUCAAAACUAUGUUCAAAUACGAAUCCAACGAUAUAGUUUUUGUUAACAUGCACUAACAUUUUGUCAGUUAAAUCUUCAGUCAAAUUUAAUGGGGGACUAAUAAACCAUGACCGAUGUAGUACAAGUGUAGAGGGCGGCGCUGCACGGGAGUCUCACCUCUCACCCCGCUCGUGGCGCAGCAGUAAAGCCGUCAUAUCACAAAACCCAACCACUCCCAGUAAUAAGUGGCCUGGCAAAAUAAACGGACAAGCAACCAUCACAUCCCUCCGUCUUUUUUGCAUUUCAUCUCUCUGCAUUUACUUUCUCCGGUUCAUCUCGCACACACGAUCCCUAGCUACUACUCCUAGGGCCAGUUCUUUUGGCGGCUUCCCCAGCUUUUCCCAUAAGACUACUCACAGUGGAGAGUAACAAUAAGGCGCCUCGCUCAUUUAUUUGGGCUUCUAAACUACUACUCCGUCCUGGUUUAUUCCUCAGCAUUGUAAUUUGUGCUAAAUUUUGACCAAAGAUUUAACUGAUAAAAUGUUACUCCCUCCGUCUAGGUGUGUAAGUCAUCCUACGAAAACCAAAUAAUCCCAAAACACUUAGGCGCGGUGCAUUAACUUCUACCUCGUUUCUUGUUUCUUGACAUAUCAACCAAUAAGAGAUAAAGAGUGUGCAUACUUUUAAUGACUUGAGAUAUCAAACACGACAUGCAGUGGUUAGUUCAUUGCAUGCAAUACUAUUAAUUAGCAAAUAAACAUAGUAGUGCAUGUGACAUGCACUAACAUUUCAUUAGUUAAAUUUAUGAUCAAAAUUUGACACAGAUUACAAUGGGGACCAAUAAACCAGGAUGGAGGUAGUAGUUAUGGGAUUACUAAUCUAGAAGCCUAAAAGAACUGGCCCCUGGUACUCCUACUAGUAGUAGUACUCAAGUUGGAAUUCCAAUUGCACGACACAACUUGUUAGGCAAAAAAAUUGAUACAGGGUGUAGGAAGUGGUUUGGGAAUUUGCAUGCCUUUCCAACCAGUGAGAUACUCCGUACAAAGUACGCAGAGAAAUAACCAUAGAGAAGGAAGCUAAAAGUAAACAAUCAAAUGAGCAUUUUUGCAUUUGUUUUGCAAUGAAUUGUUUCACAAGCUUGACUAGUGCUGUUUUUCUACUUUUACAAAAAAAAUGCACCGUAAUGUUAAAAUGUGCAUUUGCACGUACAUAAGUAAUAGUAGUACUCCCUCCGUCUAGGUGUAUAAGUCUUCCCUCCUUCUUGGUCACAGUGCACAACCAAAGAUGACUUAUUGACCUGGACGGAGGGAGUAGCACAGUUUGCAAGCAUAUCUCGAGAGAGACGUGUAGAGCAACAAUAUAUAGUAAAGUUUGUGCUAUAUGCACGUACUUGCAAAAUGCGUACGAAUACACAAGGUUUCCAAACUUUCCCUUUUACAUACUUAAUUAAGGACGCUAAAAAUUCCUGAACGUUCGGGAUUUAUCAUUUGCGUCCCAAAACUAAUGAGAUCGCCUUACGAAACAAAAAUUAUACUCCUCCUAAAAGCCACGGCGCUCGCAGGAGCGCUUGCGGCACGCCACGAGUGCCCUGGUGCGCGGCCGUUUCCCAGCGCGCCGACACAACGCCUCUUCCUCAGCCUCGCAACUCGCGAGGUGCUGAUUGGCGGCUUGCAGGCGGGCGAGCGCGAUCUCACCGGUGUGGUGAUCCGGCACCAACAGGUACUCCUCCUCGCUGGAAGCGUGCACCCAGUCCACGUACCGCCAAGCGUAGAUGAGGCGCUUGGGCACGACUGCAUUCAGGGCGUCGGCACGGGCGUCCUCCGCCACCCUCACGGCCCUCGCACGAGCCUUCUGCCAAAGAGCCAAUUGCCUAACUCUCUCGGACGCGACAUAUGCCUCCCAAGCAGCUUGUUCCAUGGUGCGCUUCUCUUCCUCGGCCUUCUUCUCCGCCUCUAUUUUGGCGCGCUCUGCUGGAGGCAAAGCCUCCCACAAGGCGACAUCAAUUUCUUUCCAAAUCCCCUCAAGGCUGGGGGGCUCGGCGGGCGGCGCGGCAUUCUCCACGUAGCGGGGAGCCAACGCAUCCUCCGACGCGCGUGCUGGCAAGAUUGGGAACACCGAUGCGUCCACCUCGACGCGUCGCGGCGAGGAGCGGAACACCGACGCAUCCUCCUCGACUAGUGGCGGUGAGGAACGGAAGGGCGACGCGUCGCGUCACAGCGAGGGGCGGAACGCCGACGCGUCCUCCUCGACUAGUGGCGGCGAGGAACGGAAGGGCGACGCGUCGCGUAGCAGCGAGGAGCGGAACGCCGACGCGUCCUCCUCGACUAGUGGCGGCGAGGAACAGAACGACGACGGGUGACCGUCUGCGCGGUGUAGCGAGGGGCUCCUAGGGCUUGGGAGGGGCGAUGCCAUGGUGGUCGACGUGAGAGGGAGGGGGAGGAGAUAGCGAUGAACGUGAACAUGAGGGGGAGGAUAUAGCGAUGUCGUGGGAGGCAUAGUAUUUAUAGCGAGCAAUGGCACACCUACGUAAGAUAUGGACUGAGCUGCACUGACUUAACUGUAGGUCCAGUUGCAUCACUGACAUGUGGGCCGGAUCCCUGUUGGGCCCAUAUGUUAGUGACCCAAUGCACCUGUAGUUAAGUAACAUCUACGUGGGCAUAUUUGUUGGAGUAAAUUAUGGGGGAGGGAAGGGGUGGAAAUAUUGCUGGUCACAACGGAUUGGACGAGCGUGGGGGGAGGAGAGUCAUGCAUGCAGAUUUUUUCACAUGGGGUGGAGUGGUGGGACCGCUGGAGGGAGAAGGAGAGUUUGGCAGGCAUAUUGUUUCCACACAUGGAGAGGAAAAUAUUUGGAGACGAACGGGCUUCCUACAGGUAUGGGGAACGGUGCAUAAUAAGUCAUCUUGCAUGCCGGGCUAGGUAUAGUCUCAAGUCAUUAAAAACAUACACGCCCCACACAAGUUCAUAUUUCAAGGUGCACUAAAUUAUUGCAUGCGAUGAUUAAGGCUGGCCAUAAUGGUGGUAUCUUAGCUGGUAUCAUGCACACGGGAAUAGAAAACAUGCUGAUGUGGCAAAUAAUUAAAGAAGAGAGGGGGGUUAGAGUAACUAGUGUUCAUGCAUGCACUGGUAAACACAUUUUUGUGAAUAACGACAACAUUAGUUGAGUACUUUUGCAGACUUCAAAAACUAUUCCGCCGCCUCUACUAUCUUGCUAAGAGUAGGUGAAAAUUUUGAAUCGAGCCCUUUAAACUAGAAGGGAGCUAGUGGUACUCUAAUAGCUAACCUUGUUGUGAUGACAAGAUAGGACAUGGCACGCACCUGGACGGAGGAACUAGUUUGCAUUGUGCAUUUAAGUUUUGUCUGAAGUCAAUGUACCUCAAAUUUCACCAGACUUAUAGAAAAAUGUACUAUCAACAUUCAUAAUGUCAAAUCAAUAUUUUUACACUCAUUAUAAAACGCAGUUCUUAUACUCAUUAUAAUAAGUAUUGUAGAUAUUGAUAUUUUUAGUAUAAAUUUGGUCGUCGGAUUUCAUUGAUGCAUGUCAAAGCAUGGAGGAAGCAGAGCUUAGGUCUUGCAUUGCCGGUCUCUACAUAGGUAUUUUCUCUUCAUAGUCCUGUAAUUUUAGAGACUGAUUAUGCUUUUGUGGUAGUGUCUCUUGCAUCGGGGGACUAUGACAGGUCUGCUAUGCGUGACCUGAAGAUGAAAGCGUUGAGCAUCUCGAAGUUGAUCAACAAUCUUCAAUUGUCAAAGAUUAGCCGUUCGGCCAAUAAGGUGGCACACUUAAUUGCUAAGUAUAGCUUUGACAAUAGAUUAGAUGGUAUUCUUGUAAAUAACGUACCGCCCUGUGUGGUGAAUCAUGCAUGCGGAGUAGGCAAAAAAAUUGCUCAUUUAUAGCCGGUCGAAGUCUCAAAGGGCGCGACCACGCAAGGGAGGCGAAGGUCGUGGGAGGCGCGACAGUUGACGGAAUUAAGUGAAGUUACAUCCUUGCGCAGACAUGGCGUGCAAACAGGCAGAAGCUAUACCGUCAGGCCUACGAUAUGGGUCUAGUAGACAUGACAUCUAGUGGGUCCUGCAUAGUUCUCGAGAACUCUUUGGGGGCUUGCAGCCGUUUAUCCAUCGGGCAAGCCAGCAACCCCACGCCGUUCGCACGCCCUACUCGUCCCCGUCUUCUACCUUACACUAGUUCGCUCCCAGUCGUCCCGUCCUUUCACAUUAGUUCGCUCCCAGUUUUUUUGCGGGGUACAACAGUUCAACUUCUCUUAACCCUCCUCCAAAAUCCUUGGCCUCCCAAAUCUCCAUGGUUGCCGCUGAGUACCAGGUUAGAGCCAUCACCAGCGAUGAGUUCAUCAUCAUCUACACACGUGGAUCUGUGACGAUGAAAGCAUGCCUUGCUCGUUUCCUACGCAUGUUCAACAGUUCAACGGAUGAGUGGGUCGCUGGGCUAGAUGUUGAGUACACCAUAGUCCUGGGAUGAGAGAAGGAUCUAAAGGACGAAGAGAGGAAGAAGCCCGCCAUGAUCCAGGUUUGCAUACAUAACGUUUGCUUGGUCUACCACAUAUGCCAUGCCGACAUUGAGUGCCAAGAUUUUAAGAACUUCCUCAAGGACAACAGAGUGAAAUUCGUUACUGUAGGCUUUAAGAACGACAGGGAUGUCCUGCGUCGCAUAGGUAUCGUUGUAGGCCAGCCCUUCGAUCUCUAGAAGGCAAGCCUGGUGUCCUCCUCUCAACCUUCAAUGCUGACCCUGGCAGCAGCCAUGAUUGAUCCUUCAUAUGCUAAACUGAAGAAACCUCAUCACGAGUUUCAUCAUGCAUGGGAGUCGAAGACAUUAGAUGAAGAUCAUAUCAUGUACGCAUCAAUGGAUGCCUACCUUUGUUUAAAUAUCUACAAGGGUUGGAUGAAGAAGCAGAGCCCAGUGUCCGGUUCAAGCAAAGAAGCAUCAGCGAAGAGGAAGAGGAAGUGGGACGAGGACGAAGUCGAGGACGUGGACUCGGACUCCGAGUAGGUGGCAGUGCCGUCGCUCAUACUGGUUCUACUGCAGUGUCAAGAAGACUAGUAGCUUAGUUUAUUUUCUAGUGUGUGAAGACAUUAGAUGAAGAUCACAUCAUGUACGCAUCAAUGGAUGCCUACCUUUGUUUAAAUAUCUACAAGGGUUGGAUGAAGAAGCAGAGCCUAGUGUCCGGUUCAAGCAAAGAAGCGUCAGCGAAGAGGAAGAGGAAGAGGGACGAGGACGAAGUCGAGGACGUGGACUCGGACUCCAAGUAGGUGGCAGUGCCGUCGCUCAUGCUGGUUCUACUGCAGUGUCAAGAAGACUAGUUGCUUAGUUUAUUUUCUAGGGUGUGUUGUGCUGAGGCCCCAGUAGAACUAUGUUUAUGUUCUUUCUCGUUAUUUGAACUCUUUAGUACAUACAGUAGUACUAGUACUAUGUCUUACUACUGUUCUUCUUGCAGUUGGUACUACUGCUCGUAUCUUCAUUUUCCUACUGUACUUAAUACAUUCGUACUAGUAGUAUAAUUUGGGUCAGUCGAUUUGUGAAAGAAGUUCGACGGAGCGAAGGAAGAAGAUGGCAGAAGAGGUGGAAGAAGCCCUUCUAGCCAUCCAUGUUGCAUCAAAUGGCUCACAAGAGUCGACUGGCCCAAAUUGCUCCUUCAGAUUGCAGGAUCCACGUGGCAUUCAAGGUCUCGAAGGUAGAUUCCGUGUCCGCACCCGGUUUGCGGUCUCGACGCGCGCGUGACCGGCUUCCGCUGCGACAGCCACCAUGCGCGCCUCCUCCGCGCGGGCGGAGACGACAAUGACAUGCUAGUUCCUCCUCGUUGGCGUGCUGGAGCACACGCUCAUCCUCCUCUUUGUAUGCUGCGUGCAUAGACGCGACUCCACUAGUUGCUCGCGUACUUGGCAGCGUGGCGGCAUUGCAAGGAGGGACUGCAGACGACGUGAGCGGGCGAGCCUUCGGCUUCAUGGCACAUGGAUGGCAGCGACACGGUGGUGUUGGGCGAGAAAUUGUUGGCCGGAGCAGGCGGGUGCCGGCAUGCGCAACGGCCGCGGCGGCAUAUUGAUGAGUGCGCGUGUGGGAGCUUACUUUAGUUUUAUAUAAGGUUGGUCAAACUUAAAAGAAAACCAUACUAGUACACGUAAACAUUAGACUUAGGCACCGCUCCUUUUAUUAGUUAGUACCACAACCACGAUAUGGGAUCCUGUGCAGGCGCGUGAACCGCGGUCGAUCGAACGGUGCUUCACCGUGUCGUGCUCGAAGGACAUCCACCGAACCUUUUUUGUGUGUGAAAACAAUCCUCAAAUAUUACUCAACUUUUUUUUCCUGGGAAAGUUCUUGACGCUGCAACAUUUCCAUAUAUUUGAAUUUAGCUUCAGUUCGUGUUUAUUUGGAUUUGGACGUUUUAGGUGCGCCCUAGUUUUUUAUAAUACUGAUUUUGUGUGUGUGUGACUGAGAUAGAACGUGUGUAUGUGUCCAUAUGUGUGUUGUGGCGGAAGGGCAAUGUGGAGACAGUGUGUGUGUGAUACAGACAUAGAGAGGUGUGAAUGUGCAAAUGAUCAUGCAUGAGUGAGACAUAGACAGAUGCCGAUACAUUGUGUAUACAUGAGAGAAUGGUCUUCUAGUUUACUUGUGUGUGUGUGUGUGUGUGUGAGAGAGAGAGAGAGAGAGGAGCAUCCGUAACACAACAACCAUCUCUCUCGAUUCGUCCAUUCCUCGCACGAUCGCAUGCAACACAUGCAUCAACGCGCACAUUUUGACAGCCUCUCCCGGCCCCUGCCCACCUCAAGGCCCACACAAUCUCUUUGUGAAUAUCCAUUUCUCUCCUUAGGUUUGUUUUCUCUCAAUAUCUGACACACACACACACACACAGACAAACACACGCAACACAACACACACACACACCCUCCCACGAGCACACAAUUCAUCCCCAUCCAAGGUUAUACGGCGACCACUCUCGCUUGUGCUUCUUUGCACCCCAACAUGCACAACACCUCAAUCUUCAAAGAGGGCAUCGAGCAGAUCGAAGAUGGCGACCACACCGCGCUAGAGAAUGCAGGGUCAUUUGGAAGCAGGGUGAUGUGACGACGGCUGACUGACUCCUCCCCCCACCCUCUCUCUCUCUUGCACAAAAUUACCAAUCCCUCGCUCCCCCGCACAAAAUUGUCAAUCCCUCAACCCACGAGAUCCUUCCCCUCUCGUCCAUGUUUUUCCAGCUCUCUCAUAAAACAUGUUGUCUCUUCUCCUUCCACGUAUACAGAUUCCGGAUGCACACGCAUCUCACGUAUAUUACAUGUCUCCAUCUUUCUCACAGACCUAACUUCUUACUCUCUCUUUCUCUCUCUCUCUCUCUCUCUCUGUCUCGUUAGGUUUGUCUCCUACUCUCUCAUCCACAUACAUACAAUAUUUCCCGCCAUAUAUGCUCCAUCUUCAAAAGCUCUCUCUGCACGUUUCAUUCACACAUUGGGAUAUGUCAAAAUGUUGCUUCUAUAAUGGCGGAUGUAGAGUUAUGGUUGUUUUUGUUGCAUCCUACAAAGUAAUAACUAUGAAAUGCAUUUAGAUUCUCAUUUGACUAGGAUUAUGUGAGUUUGAGCAUGUUGUGAAGUACUAUAGACCUUGUAUACAUCUUGGGAUUCAACAAUGAUUGUAACUAUUGAAUUGUAUAGACCAUUACAUUCAUAGUCAAUAGCCUAAUAUAUUUAUUUCACAAUUUCAACAAAUGAUUAUUUCACUACAACUAAGAAAACAAAUGUGUAAUCCCUCCGUUUUUAUUUAAGUCCGCGUAUUAGCAUUGGUCAAAGUCAAGUUUUGUAAACUCUCAGAAAGCUUAUAACAAAAAAUAUUAACAUAUACAAUAACAAAUAAAUACCAUUAGAUUCAUUAUUGAAUGUACUUUCACAUCAUACAUAUUUGUUAUGGUAAAUGUUUAGAUUUUUCUAUAAACUUGGUCAAACUUUAGGAAGUUCGACUUCGGUCAAACCUAAUAUGCAGAGUUUACUACUACUACUCGCUAGUUGCUUAGCCGAAUCACUCAACGCGCCACACGGGGAGUCCAGUGUCACAAAAUUUUGAGGUCGGCGGGAAAAUCUCCUGCGACCCUGAAUAGAGCAGUGGGAAGUUACCAUCAUAGCCUUCGGAACAGGCCUACGGAUGACGCUUGGUAGGGGGCUGUUUUCGUAACUUCAGGUUCACCCUACCCAGCCAACCCCACCCUGGCACCCAGAGUAGUACACCUGAAUACUCCCCAUUUUCUAUCCCCACCGCAAAAUAGACUUCUCCAUGGCACCGCAGCCUUCGUGCUCCUCCCCCCUUACAUCGGCGCACUCGUCCACCGCAGCGCAUCUGCCUCUUCGACGAACUCGUACGCCGCACUGGAGCCGGUCCACCGUCGUCGUCGUACACGGAGCCUCUUCCCCGGCAUCGUCUUCCACGGUCUCGGAUCUGCUUCCCGGAAGCCGACGCCAAGCGCAGAAGUACCACCAUCGUGGACAAUGAACUGACUCCCGUUGCCGACCAUGACUCACAGAGGCCAUCGCGACCAUCAUUCUCCUCCUCGAUUGGUAAUGUGUCUAUUGAAUCACUUAGUAGUACAUGUGCAGUUCCAAUUUUGUUCAUACCUACCCUUCAAAUUUCCUGGGUGCUAUUGUUCCUAUAAAAGUAAUUGGUUAUAGCCUCCAUUGUCCAACAGAAUAUCAACUUGUAAUUGUGCGUCGCUCCUGUAUCACGCUGUGCUUGGGUAGGUUUUUCAUCUGCAACCAGUAGUGUGGCAAAUGAUGGAAAUGUUUUUAGAACUAGCAAGAUGCCCAUGCGUUGCAUGCAUCAAGAUGCAUUUGUAUGAGUAGUUUAUAUUGUGGGAGAAAAGGAUGAACGAGGGAAGGCCUUAUUUGCAAAUCUGGAGAGGGGUAUGGGUAUCUUUUUGCAAAAUUCCAAUUUGUUUCCUUCCUAUCUGUCAGAUAUAAAUCGGACGACCUAUAUUGCAAGAAAAAAAGUAUAGAGAAAAAAAGUAGACAGUAGAGAAGUAGAGAUAAAUAUUAAAUAUUAAGUAUAAAAUAAAUAUAACGGUAGAGAAGAGAGUAGAGAUAACAGAGAAGUCAGGAAAGGAUCACGCACGCGGGGGAAAAGCGGCCGGGCAUGCUAGUUUUGGCGCGCGGCAUCCGGCGCGCUUUAUAAAAUCCAACGCCCUCCCACCGCUCUGUGCCUUGUCACCGCUCUCUCCCCGCUCUGUGCCUCGCCACCGCUCUCUCCCCGCUCUUUUUCGCCUCGCCGCCGCCGCGCCACCAUGCCGCCGCAUCACCGGGAAACUUGGGGAUACCGCGACGUCCGCGUGCACCCCUCCGGUGGCUUCUCCGCCAAGAUCCGGUUCCGCGGGAUGCGCCUCGGCCUCGGCAAUUUCAACACCGCUAACGAGGCCGCCCGCGUGUAUGACGCGGCGGUGUGGCGCCUCCGGUAGCCUCAUAGAACAUUGAACUUCCCCAACGUGCCGACGCGGGAGUGGGCGCAGGAGCUCGCGCCUCUGCCGCGGCUUAUCACCGACGAGGAUCGUCGCGACAACCGGAGGCGGGAGCACCGUCUCGGCAUUGCCGAGAUGGACGAGGAAGCCAUGGUGCUGUGGCGCCAACACUUCCCGCAGGACAUCAUCAACGAGCGCGAGUUCUACGCGCAAAGGAGGGCGGAGAGGGAUAAGAGGAGGGUGGUGCGAGCCGCCUAUCGCGAGGACAAUCGUAGGCGAAAAGCGGACACUCAAUUCAACAUGAGGUUAGGAGCAGCGUCGUCCUGGGAAUCCGACGACGAUCGGUAUCUUCACGCAUACAGUCAGACGUUGGAGGAGGACAUCACCGAGGAGGAGUCGGACGACGAGGCGUAGUUGAGUUAUCAUUUUUUAUCUAUCUAUGCUGAGAACUAUCCUCUUCUCUCUAGUCUCUACUUCUCGAUCUCAGCACUGUAAAUGCUUUUUUAAAGUACCACGCAUAGCGAUACUGUUGGAGAUGCUCUAACAUGGCAGACGAGUGCUUUAAUGUUGCCCACAAGAUGUGCGAGUAUUACUAGUAGUAUAUUUUUCUUGCCAUGUUGAGAUUUUAAAACCACGAGUGCGAACAUGCAGAGGAGCAAUGAAGACCAAACACGGGAUAUUCGGGACAUCUUCAAGGAGCAUGGCAAGUUAAAGAGGAGCUGCACCGAAUCUAUAAAACAAGCUUUGGUAAGUAACACCCUUUCAAUUACUUUCGUUUAGCCUUGUGUUCUUCAAUGUGUAUAUGUUGUAGUUUCUGUUUCUCUUAAGCGUGGUGUUCUUCGAUGUGUAAUAAGAAGAGUCUUAAUCGUCCUAAUACUUUCGUUUUUAGCUUGAUUUAGGAAGUGGGUGUUCUCACCUUGUAGUCUGUUUUUAUAUUUUUUUUACUUUUGAAUUCACUUCUCCGAGUUAUGUUUAUCUGGAUUCUACUAAAUGGAUCUAGGUUGCUCUGAGUAUUGAUCUAAAAAAGAAGUAACUUCAUGUCAGGAUGCAGUUCCUACGAGGAGGGAAGUAUGGUCAACCUCGAGAUCAUGUUUCCAGAAUGAGGCUGGAUUACACACAAGGUGCCACUUCCCUAAUGAUGCUGGAUUAGACACAAGGUGCAAAUUCCCAGAUGAUGCUGGAUUACACACAAGCCAGGUGGAGUCGUCGGCUGUUCAUGUCCUCGUGGCAUUAGUAAAGGCUGAAAGAAAGCAUGCAACAGCCCUUGAGAAUGUAGAUGAGUUCUUGAAGAAGCAAAAAGAGCAAUCAGAUGCUCUCUUCACCCAAGCCAAAGAAGAGAUGGAAGAAGCCAGAAAUAAGCUAGCAGAGCAGAGCAGGCUAGGUGUCUCCUGCUAUCUAAAACUUUUGUCAAUACAAAAUUCCCUUCAUCAUAGCUAGGUUCAAAUGUUUAUCCAGUCAGCAUGCCUAUUGUGAUGUCCGUGCAUCUACUGAUGUGGCACAAAAUGUUUUUUUCCGGGUCAUGUAAUAACAACAAUUACUUUCCAAACAAUAACAGACGAAGCAUUGGACAUGGUAUAGUUCACGCGCAAGCCCGACAUUCCAAGUUCAACUUCCACAUCAAACUCAAGUUCACAGAUAUCUGCACAUUCAUACAUAAUGUCCACAACCAUGAUUCACUUCAAAGCAAAAAAAUGUGAGGAGAAUUAUAAAUAAAGAAAAACCUCUACUAGUUCCUGCAACCAGUGCGAGCACAACAAGUCAAGACCAUGCGUAAAUUAAUUAUAUUUUAGUCAUUUUUGUGUUCUAAAAUGCCUACCGGCUCGCGGAAGGACGUGUUGUCGGCACACGCGCGGAUUCAAUGAAGGCAGGCGGGGCAGUCUUAAGCUGGUUGCACGCGGCGAGGAGGUGUGCUCAGCCGGGACUGCAGCGAGUGCGGCCCUCUUGGCCGGCGCGCCGGUUCAAUGCCUGCGCUAUGAGAGGUCACGUUCGUGUCAGAGCAAUCACUCCCUCCAGUUCUUUUUGUUUGGGUAUAACAAAAUCUCGUUUUCCAUUCACAUUUUACAAGUAAAAUUCGUGGAUAAACUUUGACCCAAAGUAUGAUGGGGACUAGUAAACCAGAAUGGAGGUAGUAGUUUUUCUAAUCAAAGAAGAGUUUCUCCUUCCGAUUUUCAUUACUGAAAACCAACAUCUAAAUCUAAACCAUAGUAUUUUCCCUAGAACUACCAGGUUCAACAUCUCGCAACAUAAACCCAUACAACCAUACGCCAAGGAGGUACAUAGUACUAUGAAUUCCAUUUUCGCUCCAUACCAAUCGUUCUAAAAACUAGUUACUACUUAUAACGCACCAUUGAAAAUCAGAACUCUUAACCCCACUAAAAAAGAUAUUUUAAAUGUGGCUACUCGAUCUGUGGCAAUUGGCGAGCCACCGCGCUCCAAGUCGUUCACCUGUGGUCCCGACCAUCAACUCCUACGGAUCAAAUUAUCACGCGAGCUGACUAUUCCUACAAAGGUGCCCCACCACGUACCCGGUACCCUCGAAUGCAGCAAUCGUGCACCUAGGGUUUUAGGGUUUAUUUGUUAACAUCGCCUUUACGUAACACUCAUGUGUGCGAGACAGCGAGAGGUCGACUGCGUGCGUGCACCUCUUCUCUUCGUAUAUGUACUCCACCGUUUGUCUAGUGUCUACAGGAGAGAGAGAGAGAGUAAUUUUAGUGGUAUGGGUCAUAUCUAGAGACAUAUAGGGUGUGUGAGAGAAUCCCAUAGAGAGAAAGACAAAGUGAAAGACGAGUGGAGACUGUGUGUGUGGCGGUGAAAAAGAAAGCUUAGGUACCGAGUGAUACCAGAGAAUAGUAGAGACGUGAGAGAUAAUGAAAACCGUGUAAUGUAUAAUGAUAGGGAGGAGUGUGACACUUCUCAAGGGAGACGUCGAGAGACCAUGUUUGCGAGGAUAGGAGAAACAUGAAGUGAGUGUGCGGGUGAGCUGGAGAAAAGAGAGUGAUAGCUACCUGAAGGAGCAUGCAUGCGAGAGAGUUGGGCAUGAAAGGAGUGAACAUAAAAGGGAUUCAAAUAUUUGAAUUUGAGAUGAUGAUACAUGUAACCCAUACUCGAACCAAAAUUGAUCUAUCAAACAUUCAUACUCAUAUGAAUUCACGCACAUCUAUGUUAUUUAAUAUCUAGAUAUUACUGAUCCAUACAUUUUAGUAGAACAUAAUUUGGUUAAUUUUUUCGAAUUCAACCUUAAGAUUUUGAGAUAGUUGUAUUUGUAAAUCAUAUUAUACAUAUAAAGGAGCAGAAUUCUUUGUUGUGCUUUUGAAAGUAUAUAUAAAAAAUGAUGUAUAUAGAAUGCAAUUCCAAUUGAAAAUGGAUCCGGCCCAAAAAAAUAGAAUACAAACGGGAUUCGAAUUGAGUUGGCACGAGCGUAAACGUGCACUCUGCAAAAUUUGAACGAAGUGGGGAAAGUCGCAGUAACCGCCCAAAACCAAAAUCUGCGAGAUGGAAAUUACUACUGCCUAUCCCUGCCACGCAAAGCCUAUCUGCUGGAUUUCUAUAGGUUUCGAUAGGGGUAGGUUUGUAAUUUCACCCAAAUGUGACGUAACCGCCUCUCACCCGGAUUCAUACACGGUGGGCGCCAAAACACAGUGUGUCCUCGGCCGAAAUUGACUCCCUCCCCGAUUCAUAUUCAUAUACACGGUGGGCGCCAAAAACAAACUCUCUUCGGCAAAUAUUUGGUGUAUGCGAGAUUACCGUCCUAUCCCCAACUGACUAAUGUUGCUGUGAUGUAGUAGAAAUUUGAAACGGGGGCUAAGUUUGUAAAUUUCCUCGCAUUUGAGACAAGCGCACCCUGAAUACAUGGUUCCCCCCUUCCUCUCUACCUCCCUUUUCCCCAUUCAUACUCCGUGGGUGCCAAAACACCCUCUCCACCCCACCCUCCUCCGUCCGCCGCCGCCCGCCACCCCAUCCACCGCCGUCCUCCUCCACCAUGCCGGAGCUGAUACGCCGACGCCGCCGUCCAUUACAAGAGAUCAACCUCUCUCAUCCAUGGCUUCGGACCGGGAUCCUUGCAUCCCGUCCUCUCACUUCAUCCCCGCCGUCGUCCACCUUGCCGGCGCCGCUCCUACGACCGUCUCGUCCACCGCGCCCCGCCGCCACCGUCUACCCUCCUAGAUCUGGUUCCACGCUGCCGACAGCCAUUGCUACCGCAACACCAUCAAAUUCUUAGCAGAUACGUACACGGCGCCGCACUAGAGGCGGUACUCUUUCGUAUCUGCUCAACUUAUUUAUCGCAGCAAGAAAAUAGAUCGCCACUGCUUUACUCUGAUUUCUUGUCUUGGUUGCGAAGUUGCCUUUGUCCGGUUUGCACCUUCAGAUCCACCAUGGCACGCUCAACACUAUACUCCCAAUGCUUAUGGUUUUCCCCUUUUAUAUUCCACACUAGUUAAAUCAUAGACUAAAUUUUUCAGAGCUCGCCGGAGUUUGCCGGUGCGAAUGAAGGGGCUCGGGUGGUUGUGGGGCCUCGCCAAACAAAGAAAACUCGACGCGGGUGGGGAUUGGGGCGGGGGUGGGAGUGGGGGUGGGGGUGGCGGAGGAACACGGGUGGUGGGGGCCGGUGGUCCGGCCGACGGCCCGUGCAGUGUUCUGUAUGGGAAGAAUCAGAGACGAGGAAGAAUAUGGGUUAGGAGACGUAGGAUCUUCAUCCAACCGCCUGAAAUGGUCGAGAGACAGCUGGGAGUUGCAUUCUUAAUGCGCUCUGGUUCAUCAUGUGUGGGCACUGCGCAACCAACAUUUUAUUAUCCAAAAUCUGCUUGCUCUUCUUUACCAUGUUCCUCUUCCGUUCUUUAAUAUGUACUCUCUCCGUUCCUAAAUACAAGUCUUUGUAUAGAUUCCACCAUGGACUACAUAUGGAGCAAAAUGAGUGAAUCUACACUCUAAAAUGUAUCUGGAUACAUCUAUAUGUGAUCCAUAGUGGAAAUCUCUACCAAGACUUAUAUUUUGGAACAGAGGGGGUUUGAUUGUAGUACAGUAUGUUCCUUGUACUGAAGAUGAGCAGGGACAUUUGUAGUGUAGAGGUCUAUACGGUCGGUUGUGAUGGACACUUUGAGCCUCUUUGAUUCGUAGGAUCUUGUAAACAUAGGAAUAGGAUUUGUAGUGGCCUACCCACUUGAAUCCUAUAAGAAUAGCAAGGAAAUGUGGAGAGCUUUGUCGCCUUUGAGAGUUACACUGAUAUUAACAAUACCGCACCUUCACUUGAAGAGAGGUGGUAUCCGAAGCCUUUCUAGCCGUACCGGCAAACUAGCACAUAUAUUCCAGCAAGUUCCACUUUGCUGAUUUUACUCUGAUGCUUAAGGUUUUCCCGUUAUAUCUACACUAUGAUCUGUGUAGCUGCUUUGUGUCGCACUAGCAGCAGUCCACUCUUGAAGCUAAACACUGCAAUGACUCACAAAAUUGGCACCAAGGCAUUGUGUGCCAUUCUAGAUGCAAUGAAACUCAUACACUCCCCACCUUUUGACUCUUGUUCAGAAUAUGAUCCUAAUGACUCUUUUUCAAAAUUGCCAUAUAUAGAGAGAUAGCAUGGAAUUGCAUUUCUUUGGGCGCUAUGAUUCAUCAUGAGUGGGCAACCAACAUUGUACGCAAUGAAGUGGAACAUCAAGAAUAUGCUUCCUCUUCUGUUCUUUAACAUGUUCCUCUUUGUUUAUUCUGUAUUUAGUACGUACAGUAUGUUCCUUGUCAGGAAGGGGCGCAGGGACAUCUGCAGUCAACAGCUGAUAGAGCUGGCCUGUACGUGAUCGAUAGGCUUUCAAUUACUAGCGGCAAUACAACACCGUAUUUUCAAGUCAGUUCCACAUUCCCGAUUUAUAUAUCGUGGUUAUGGUGUACCCCUGUUAUGUACACUAUGCUCUGCCUAGUUGCUGUGUGCUCUUGUUAUCAUGGUUUGACAAUAAACUCUCUAUACAGUAUAUUAUGAACCUGUCAUCUGCCAGCUAUCCUUACUUCUGGAGCCUAUUUUUUGUGUACUUGUGCCAUAUUAUAUAAAUGCACGCACUAUAUUACAGCACACAUGAGCUAUCUCAUCAGAAUCCAGUGAUAUCACACAAGUGUUUAUAGGGGCGCCCCUAUAUUAGAAUAUCAUCUGCAUUACAAAGAUAAUCUCACAACUAUUUGUGUUUUCAUGGUUCUCAGAUAUUAUACGGAAUUACAGUGAAUAUCAGAAUCCGCGCAUCAGAAGAAUAUUGUGGAACACUGCAAUGACUUACAAAAUUGGCACCAAGGCAUUGAGUGCCAUUCUGGAAGCAAUGAAACUCAUACGCUCCCCACCUGUUGAUUCUUGUUCGGAAUAUCAUCCUAAUAACUAUUCUAACCUCGAGGAGUCAAAGGCAGAUGGCCUGUCCUGUUCACCCAUCAAGGUGCCUGUUCUAAUUUGGCAAGGUUUAUUGAUUGCGCGUAUCUUGCAUAUGUUGUCUUGCAUUUCUUCUACUUUGUUGCACCGCCAUCCACUUAGUUUACUCAUCAUAUACGUCGAGAUGCCAUGCCCAUCCAUUAUCAAUAAAUAUUCCAUCUGUCAUCAUACCAUGUUUUUUCACUCAAAUGUUGUUCUUGUGCAUCAGAUAUCAAAAAGGAAGAGGGUGAUUGCCGAACCCGAAGGAGCACCAGCAUGGUCCUUGAAGACCGUGGUGGUGCCGGAGAAAUCAGACAAUGCCCCACUUAUAUUGGCUGUACAACCAGUGACACAAAACGUAGGACCGACUCCAGCAGACUGUACCCAUACUUCACUGGCCACACCACUAGCCCCACCACACAGGACCUGCACUCCAGCAAAAGGCAUAUCGAUUUCAUUUGCCAUAGCACCAGCCGUACCACAGAAAAAUCCCACUCCAGCAAAAAGUACAGCAAGUCCACCGGCUGAAGACCUAUCCCAACUGCAGAGACGGCCAAUUCCUACAGAUUGGAACCCCAUUCCAUUUGUUCCCAGUUUAAAAUACAAUGCUUUCAAUGUUGUUAGGGACUAUGUGCAUAUAUUCCCAUCAUGGGAAGAUUAUAGUGAAGACAAACACCAUUUUCACAUAUUCUUGUCCAACUUACGUGUAAGUGCUAUUAUUCAUGGUUAUUAUUUUCCUGUUUUCUGCUGAUUGAACACAUCAAUGAUUUACAUUACGUUGUUGUAACUAGGCGAGGGUCAAUCUGGAUAGUCAUGACGAGCAAGGCUUGCUUGUGCUUUUGAAGGAAGCAUUGCAGCAGUAUCGGUGUUACCUGAGGAAAUCACACUUUGAUGGCAAGUCUAUAAACGAAUUUCCGGUGAAGUCUCUUGUGCUAAAUUUAGAAGACAUUGAAUGGAAAAACCUUGUUAUGCACCGGUCUCGUUCCCAGGAUGAGGUACUGUCUAUGAAAUCACAUGUCAAUUUGAACUUCUACUUUUCCGCAUGUGCCUUACGGAUCUUUUUUGCAGGAAAUCUGCUCGAAGAAGAAUUCUGGUUUGAAAAGAACGAAAGGAUAUCGCAAAUAUGCUGCCCGUUGCUUUGCUCUUGUUAGUACCUAUUGUCCUGUAUCACUGUACUUGCAUAUGUACCUGGUUCAUUAUGUGACAGCAGUAUGCAUGAUAGCUUUCUUAUCAAUUGUUCGCUCCAAAUUAUCUGAUCUAUAUGAAUGGUUACAUUAGUGUAGAAUAUAUCCAAUGCCAAUGAAUUUUUUUAGCUCUACAUUGUUCUUGUAAGUACAUGUUGUCCUUUAUCAGUGUACUUAUAUUGACAGGUAGUUGUUCAUGUACCUUCACUCUGCAGCUUAUUUUCCUUUGCCCUCCAUUUUCUACACAUCAGAUCUAUAUUUACUCUUACCAUAAGGUUGGUACUGAAGAAGUUUAGCUGUGCAUUGCUCUUGGUUGUGCCUUUUUCCUGUAUCGCUGCACAUACAUUUAUAGCUACUUGGUUAUGUAGCAUCACUCUUAAUCUUAUCUUAAAUAUUCUCCAUUUUUCGUAUAUUAUCACAUCUAUAUAUACUCUUAACAAAAUGUAGAAUAAAGGCAAUGCUUAUGAAGAAGAUUUUGUGGUAAACUUCUUGAAUUGCCCCCCAUCAGCAUGGACAAGGGCUUUAUAGAGCCUGUCUUCACCAGUAAUGUAAGUUUGUCCUUCUCAAGCCUUCAAACUUUGUUGUGUAUAUUUGGUUAGGCAUGAGUGCAACAGCUGUUUAUUUUUGGUGUUUGCAUCAAAUUGCAUGUUUAAAGUUUAUUAUGUAGUUCAUAAACAAAAGUUUGUCCUUCUCAAUUUAAGUUUUUAGUUGUACAACCAAGUUCCUUCUUCAUGCCAUGUAAAUUAAACUAUACAGAGCAAGUGAUCUUCUUUUGCACUGCAUGUAUGCUUCUGUUCUUCAUCCGUAAUCUAGUGGUGUGGUGAAUCUACCCACUACAGCACAAUGUCAUAUUCCAAUGUCUUAACUAUGAACAAUGUCAUAUCAUUCUACUAUUAUUUAAACCGUCUCUUUAUUUGCCAAUCUGAAAUGGGAUAAAUUGACAGCACACUAACCAUUGAUACUUAUGAGUUCUUGAUAUGUAAUACAGUGGUGUCGUGAAGCUGCCAUCUCCUUCACAAUGUCAUUUCCUGCCAUGUCUUGACCUGAACAAUACCAUAUUGUGUUAAUGCAUUUUUUAACUGUGUCACUUUAUUCGUCAGUAAGAAAUGUGAUGAAUUGUCAGCACUGAUACUUUUAUGUGCAAAACCUGUCAUCUGUCUGCUUGUUUAUCUUUUAGAGUGAGGAAGAUAUAAGUGUUGAACAAGCGUAGUCUCAUCAUCUUGCUCAGGUGCUUGCGCUGCAGCUCGCCAGCAGGGCUAACCUUUCUUGAACUCUAUUGAAGUGCUGUCGGUUUUGUAUAUUAUUUUGUUGGCGUGUUUAUUUGCACUGGUGGCGAUAUUUGAUGCCCAGUGUAUGUAAUCUGCUGUCUGCUUGUGCUUUAUUACCAUAGUGGCGAAUUUUGAUGCCCAGUGGAUGUAAUAUGCCGUAAUUUCUUUAUUGUAUAGUCUAGGUUUUUUCUUAUUCACGAUGCUAUAGUUAUUUUCCUGUAUAUAUAUCCUGUCUUCGCAGUAAAGCGGCCAAACCGUAAAAUUACGGUACAUAAUCGGGCCGUCAUGCAAUCACGAUGUAUGAUCCGCAUCAUGGGCCCCGUCAAACUGGCCCACUAGUAGAUUCGGGCCUUUAAUAGGCCGAGUAACCCCCGGUCCUCUUUUCGCAAGAGAACUCAAUGGGCUUUUAGGAGGCUGAGAAGUAGGUUGGGCCUGAAACAUGCCGAACAGCUCACGGCCCAGAAGCAGCCCGAAUUGGACCCCGACUCAUGAUUGUGCGAAUCAAAUCACGGGCUUUUAACAGGCCAAAAUUGUCUCGGUCCUUGUUUGUCCCAAUAAGAUAUCGGCUGCGAGCAGGCCGGACGCAAACCGGGUCGUAGUUAGGCCCAACUAUAUGACGGGCUUUUAACAUGACGAAAUUAAUAUAGGGCAAAAAUGUUAAACGGGCCCUUAACCGGCCGAAACUAAUAUCAGGCCGAAUUACUAAAUGGGCCUUUAGCAAGUGGGCCCAAAAGCAUAGCGUCAAGUUAACGGGCCGAAUCUGAUAUGGGCCAUAAUUGAGGCCGAAGCCUCUUAAAGGGCUGGACCUGAUCUGGGUUGUGAUUUGUCCCAGAACGUGGGAGGCUUUUAACGGGCCGGAUCUCAUAUGGGCCAUUAUUAGGCCCAGAACGUGGCAGGCCAUUAAUGGACUGGAUCAAAUAUGGGCCGGCAUUUGGCCCAAAACAUGACAGCCAGUUAAUGGGUCGGCCUACUAGGGUCCUCAAAAUCUUGUGGGCCUACAGUUGGGCCGGCCCAUUAGUGUCGGCGAAAUCUCGUGGGCCUUUAGCUGGGCCGGCCCAUUAUGAUCCGCAAGAAUUUUGUGGGCCUUUACCUGGGCCGGCCCAUUAUGGCACACAAAAAUCUUGUGGGCCUUUACCUGGGCCGGCCCAUUAUGGGCCACGAAAUCUUGUGGGCCUUUAGCUGGGCCGACCCAUUAUGGUCCGCAAAAUCUCGUGGGCAUUUAGCUCGGCCGGCCCAUUAUGGUCCACAAAAUCUUAUGGGCGUUUAGUUGGGCCGGCCCAUUUAAACUUGAUGGGCCGUCCCAGGUGUCGACGUAUCAUAGGCACCUUCUGUCCAAUGAGUGGAUGACAUCUGUCCCAACAAUGAGCCGACACGUGUUUCCUCCAGCCAAUGAUGAUUUUACACGUGGAAAAUCCCCAUUGGUCGGGGCUGUUAACGGGUUAUCGGAUCCAAAACCCGACCCGAUAGCUUAACGGCGUUCCGUUACGGUGGAUGCCACACGUCGGUCACCCUUGACGAAAGCACUUCUGUGACACACGAUUUAUCGUCAUGGAGGUGGACACUUCCGUGAUGAUAAUUUUGGUAAUGUCAUGGAACACUUCUACGACAGCACAUGUAUGACUAUCUUGAUUCUGUCAUAAAUUUGUCAUGGAUGUACAUGCAUGACAGAAAACGCGACCUACUAUCACAAACAAGUAUAAUCACAGAAGUGUAUUUUUUUGUAGUGUUGGUAAUUUGAUAAGAGACAUCAUGGUAUGCACCACAUCCAAUAGGGUGCAGCUAUGAUGUUCGGACACACCAUCACACUAUGGUGUUCCAGGCGGUAUUAGUUGUGAAACAAUUACCACAAUGUCUUAAUUGUGUACCAAACACGUAACUUAGAUAUUCAUCUCUAUGAUCAUAUCAUAGACAUUUUAUCCUCUUGUCACGGUGAUCUUCAACUUCACUCUGAAAUUACUUGAACCUUUCAAUAAUUCAGACUUGUGUUUCAUCAAGUAAAUAUACUUAGCAUCUACUCAAAUCAUCUGUGAAGUAGGAACAUAACGAUAUCCACUACGUGCCUCAGCACUCAUUGGACUGCACACAUCAAAAUGUAUUACUUGCAACAAGUUGCUUUCUAGUUCCAUCUUACUAAAAACGAGGCUUUUCAGUCAUCUUGCCCAUGUGGUAUGAUUUGCAUGUCUCAAGUGAUUCAAAAUCAAGUGAGUCCAAACGAUCCAUCUGCAUGGAGUUUCUUCAUGUGUAUACACCAAUAGACAUGGUUCGCGUGUCUCAAUCUUUUCAAAAACGAGUCAGUCCAAAGAUCCAUCAACAUGGAGCUUCUUCAUGCGUUUUAUACCAAUAUGACUCAAAUGGCAGUGCCACAAGUAUGUGGUACUAUCAUCACUAUCUUAUAUCUUUUGGCAUGAACAUGUGUAUCACUACGAUCGAGAUUCAAUAAACCAUUCAUUUUAGGUGCAAGACCAUUGAAGGUAUUAUUCAAAUAAACAGAGUAACCAUUAUUCUCCUUAAAUGAACAAUCGUAUUGCGAUAAACAUAAUCCAAUCAUGUCUAUGCUCAAUGCAAACACCAAAUAACAAUUAUUUAGGUUUAACACCAAUCCCGAUGGUAGAGGGAGCAUGCGAUGUUUGAUCACAUCAACCUUGGAAACACUUCCAACACAUAUCGUCAUCUCACCUUUAGCUAGUCUCCGUUUAUUCCGUAGCUUUUAUUUCGAGUUACUAACACUUAGCAACUGAACCGGUAUCUAAUACCCUGGUGCUGCUAGGAGUACUAGUAAAGUACACAUUAAUAUAAUGUAUAACCAAUAUACUUCUGUAGACCUUGCCAUCCUUCUCAUCUACCAAGUAUCUAGGGUAGUUCUGCUUCAGUGACCGUUCCCCUCAUUACAGAAGCACUUAGUCUCGGGUUUGGGUUCAACCUUGGGUUUCUUCACUAGAGCAGCAACUGAUUUGCUGUUUCAUGAAGUAUCCCUUCUUUCCCUUGCCCUUCUUGAAACUAGUGGUUACUAACCAUCAACAAUUGAUGCUCCUAUUUGAUUUCUACUUUCGCGUGUCCCGAAUAGCUCAAGGAUCAUCAUAUCUAUCCCUGAUAUGUUAUAGUUCAUCACGAAGCUCUAGUAGCUUGGUGGCAGUGACUUUGGAGAACCAUCACUAUCUCAUCUGGAAGAUUAACUCCCACUUGAUUCAAGCGAUUGUAGUACUCAGACAAUCUGAGCACAUGCUCAACGAUUGAGCUUUUCUCCCUUAGUUUGCAGGCUUAAGAAACUUGUCAGAGGUCUCAUACCUCUUGAUGUAGGCACUAGCCUGAAAUCCCAAUUUCAGUCCUUGGAACAUCUCAUAUGUUCUAUGACGUUUCAAAACGUCUUUGGCGCCUCAAUUCUAAACCGUUUAUCAUUACGCACUGAACUAUCAUGUAGUCAUAAAAACAUGUAUGUCAGAUGUUCGCAACGUCCACAAACGACGCUCGAGGUUCAGCACACUGAGCGGUGAAUUAAGGACAUAAUCCUUCUGCAUAGCAAUGAGGAUAAUCCUCAGUUUACGGACCUAGUCCGCAAAAUUGCUACUGUCAACUCUCAACUAAAUUUUCUCUAGGAACAUACCUAAAACAGUAGAACUAAAGCGUGAGCUACGACAUAAUUUGCAAAGACCUUUUGACUAUGUUCAUGAUAAUUAAGUUCAUCUAAUCAAAUUAUUUAAUGAAUUCCCACUCAGAUAGACAUCCCUCUAGUCAUCUAAGUGAUACAUGAUCCGAGUCAACUAGGUCAUGUCCGAUCAUCACGUGUGUCACGCCCAAUAUGUGACCCUAUCCAAAAGGAACUCGAAGGUCCCACCAAGGAUAGACUCGCAUAUUGAAACGCUUUUGCAAGGUGGAUAUCAUUACAUCAACAUUACAUAAUAGAUGGGGAUACAUACAUAAGGCAUACAAUGCCACACGAAUAUAACAUCACAAUACAUAAGAGCAUCAUCCGACUAUGGAUGAAACACAAACAGAAACUCAAACGACAUCCACCCUGCUAGCCCAGGCUGCCGACCUGGAACCUAUCCCCUGAUCGAGGAAGCAGAAGAAGAACUCAACGCAAGCAAGCAUCGCUCUCGCGUCAUGAUCAUCGCAUAAACCUGUACCUGCAACUGUUGUUGUAGUAAUCUGUGAGCCAGGAGGACUCAGCAAUCCCAUUACCAUGGGUAUCAAGACUAGCAAAGCUUAAAGGGAAAGGAAGGGGUAAAGUGGUGAGGCUGCAGCAGCGACUAAGCAUAUAUGGUGGCUAACAUACGCAAAGAAGAGCGAGAAGAGAGCAAAAGGAACGGUCGUCAACUAGUAAUGAUCAAGAAGUGAUCCUGAACUCCUACUUACGUCAAACAUAACCCAGAAACCGUGUUCACUUCCCGAACUCCGCCGAGAAGAGACCAUCACGGCUACACACAUGGUUGAUGCGUUUUAAUUCGGAUCUGGUGUCAAGUUAUCUACAACCGGACAUUAACAAAUUCCCAUCUGCCUAUAACCGCAGGCACGGCUUUCGAAAGAUUAUACCCUGUAGGGGUGUCCCAACUUAGCCCAUGAUAAGCUCUCGCGAUCAAUGAAGGAUAUACCUUCUCCCAGGAAGACCCGAUCGGACUCGGAAUCCCGGUUUACAAGACAUUUCGACAAUGGUAAAACAAGACCAGCAAAGCCGCCCGAUGCGCCGACAAUCCCGAUAGGAGCUGCACAUAUCUCGUUCUUAGGGCAACACUGGAUAAGCGAAGCAUACAGGAACCGAUGUAACCCAAGUUGCCAAGGGAUGGCCCCGCACGGUGCUCUAGUUUGGACCAACACUUAGACAAGCACUGGCCCGGGGGGGCUAUAAUAAAGAUGACCCUCGGGAUGUGCGACUCCCAAGGGAAAAAGGGGUAGGUGAGGCAAAUGGUAAAACCAAGGUUGGGCCUUGCUGGAGGAGUUUUAUUCAAAGCGAACUGUCAAGGGGGUCACAUAAAUCACCCGACCGCGUAAGGAACGCAAAAUCCGGGAACAUAACACCGGUAUGACGGAAACUAGGGCGGCAAGAGUGGAACAAAACACCAGGCAUAAGGCCGAUCCUUCCACCCUUUACCAAAUAUAUAGAUGCAUUAAUAAUAAUAUAAGAGAUAUUGUGAUAUCCCAACCAAAAUCCUGUCCACCAUGGAGAAAUCUUCAACUUCACCUGCAGCUAGCAAUGCUAUAAGAGGGGCUGAGCAAAGCGGUAACAUAGCCAAGCAACGGUUUGCAAUAAGAAAGGUGUCAAAGGUGAGAGGUUCAUGGCAAUAUGGGAGGCUGGACGAGCAAAAGAUAGGUAGCGCAGCAAAGCGAUAGAACGAAGCAACUAGCAUAGCAAUGAUAGUAGUGAGAUCCAAGGUAGCGGUCAUCUUGCCUGAAAUCCCGCAAGGAAGAAGAACGAGUCCAUGAAGAAGAUGAACGGAAGAAGCCGAACCAAGCGUAGACGAACGAAUCCUCGCGAUCGCAAUGAAACAGGAACUAUCAAAAAGAAGCACACACCAUAGUAAACACACCACACAUGAACAUGACAUGAUGCACAAACAAGCAUGAUGCAUGACCAAGCUACAUGAAGCUACUCAUGGCAAGAGAGGAUGCAAACAAAAGCAACACAUCAAGACAAGUUUAAAUGAGGCCGGGAACUACAUAUAACAAUUCCGGUAAGUCCUCAUGUGCAAAUUUCAAAGUUGGUCCAGAUCUGAAUAAACCUUAUGUUCAAGUUGUUAAACAGCAAGUUAAGAUGCACCAAGAUGAUCUACACGAGAUUCUAGUCAAGUUACAUAUAAAGUUCAUUUAGUUCGGAGCUACGGCCUAGGAGAUAUGAGCAAAACAAGUUAAACAAGGCAUUGAUGCAAAAUGCAUUCAAGCAUCAAGAAAACACCUCAAAACAAGGAUGCAACAUGAUAAUAUGAAACUACAUGCAAUUCUAAGCAAGUUUCAUAUAGAGAACACUCAAAAUGGAGCAACGGUUCAACACACACACACUAUACAAGUUAUAGCAACAAUCUGUCUAAAACAGCAACUAGGCAUAUUGCAAGCAUCAAAACAACAUGCUACAACACCACAAUAUGAAAACAAAAGGCAUGGACAUGAUGUACAGGUAAAGCAUAACAAAACAUGAACACUGAGCUAUCUCCAGAAAUCACUAGAACAUACUCAAACACACAUGGCAAGAUUGCAAAUAAUAACAGUUCAGACUUUGCAGAAAAUAACAUCAGCUUGCAAUGUUUAGAGCUAUCAAACAACAUGUUACAUGAACUUAUAAUAGCAAAACAAAACAUGGCAUGGUUCUACUCAAAGCAUAGAUCAAAAGUCCCUUACUGACCAUAAGCCAAAAUGAUCAGAAAAUAUGAUGGCACCCAUGUAAACAUGGCAAGUUAUAUUACAGAUUCAAACAUGGCAGAAACAGAAUUAUGAAGGCAUGUAGAUGAGCUUGUACCACUCACCACUGAGCAAAACAUGGCAUGGAAAGGGAACCAACAGUAAGAAGGCAUGUUUGAGAAGCUAGGCAUGGCAAGAGCAAGGUCAUAGGGUACAUGGAACACUAGCAAAACACAUGGCAACAACUGAACUUAAUGUUAACAGGCUGACAGCAACAUUAUCAAGCAACUUUGGAGCAAGAUAUGAACAAGCUACAGCAAGCUAUAAAUGCAACCAAGGCCAUGGAUGGAUAAAGCAUAACAUGUAGAACAAAACACAUUUAGUGAUCAUCUCCAGAUUAUGCAUAGAAUGAUUUGUAGCAGCAUGUUUAUAUACCAUAACGAAAUAACAGAUUCAGCCUAGCAAAACAGCAACAGCGAGUACACUACUUAACAAGCUUGAUUCACUCACCACAAGUCAUUGCAUGACAAGAUAAGCAUAGAAUCAUCAAGAAGACAUGUUUAUGUAACAAACCAUGGCAAGAAUAAGUUCAUAGCAUUCAAGGAUCAACUACAACAACCUUGGCAAAAUUGAAUAACAUGUAAACAAUCUGCCAGGAAACAUUUUGAAGCAAAAGUAGAGCAUGAAACUGACAUGCUAGACUACUCCAUAAAUGCAAACAGAGGCAUGAAUGGAUAGACAAUAACCAUAUGUUCAAAACAUCCUUACUGAAGUAUAUCAAAAUAUGUAUGGAUCUCUCUGUAGCAUCAAGUUUACAUGGCAUGAAAAUAACAGCAGAACAGGGACUAAAAUCAGCAACAUCACGAUGCCUAGUUUGCAUGCUUGUGCUAGUCACCACAUUGAUCACAAAAAUAUAUGGCAUACACCUAUGUAAAGAAGACAUGGCAUAGUUCAAAACACAUGUAGACAUCAACCUCGUAGGAUGCACACAUCAAUCAUGGCAAAAAUGACAAAAGAGCUCGUUCUGUUAACAGACAGCAGAAAACAUCAUGAAGCACUCUUGUAACGAUUAUUUAGGCAUCAAGAUGAACUCAAAUGAACAUGAUGCAAUAGAAUGAAAUAAAGUACUCGUUGAGACGAACAAUUCUACAUAUUACACGUACAAAACGGAGCUACGGAUGCAGAGAUACGAUGCGAUGAACAUGGCAUGAAAAUGUUUGAAAACAGGGACUUAGACGAAAAUAUAACCUCCAAAAAGUCAACUCGGGAUGGAGAUAUCCGGGACGCGGGGAUCCCGUUUGCUUCAUCUCCUGGUGGAUCUGAUCCAUCUUCUCUCCGGCGAGGCGGGGCGGUUCCUGCGAGGAUCUCCGGCGAGGAGGAGGUUGGAGGAGGCACGGGAGAUGGCCGGGGAGGCCGGCCGGAGGUCGGGCGUGGCACGGCGACGCGGUGGCCGGCGGCGAGGAGGCCAGCUGGAGGCAAGGCGGCGCUCGGCGAGGACCGGACCGGUAGCGGCCGGCAGGGCUGAGGCGGCGGCGGGGCGGGACGCCNNNNNNNNNNNNNNNNNNNNNNNNNNNNNNNNNNNNNNNNNNNNNNNNNNNNNNNNNNNNNNNNNNNNNNNNNNNNNNNNNNNNNNNNNNNNNNNNNNNNNNNNNNNNNNNNNNNNNNNNNNNNNNNNNNNNNNNNNNNNNNNNNNNNNNNNNNNNNNNNNNNNNNNNNNNNNNNNNNNNNNNNNNNNNNNNNNNNNNNNNNNNNNNNNNNNNNNNNNNNNNNNNNNNNNNNNNNNNNNNNNNNNNNNNNNNNNNNNNNNNNNNNNNNNNNNNNNNNNNNNNNNNNNNNNNNNNNNNNNNNNNNNNNNNNNNNNNNNNNNNNNNNNNNNNNNNNNNNNNNNNNNNNNNNNNNNNNNNNNNNNNNNNNNNNNNNNNNNNNNNNNNNNNNNNNNNNNNNNNNNNNNNNNNNNNNNNNNNNNNNNNNNNNNNNNNNNNNNNNNNNNNNNNNNNNNNNNNNNNNNNNNNNNNNGAGAGAGAGAGGGCCGGCGGGGACAGGUGGCGCUGGCUGGUUGGCUGAGGCGGCGGAGGAGGUGACGUGGCGCAUGGGGAUUGGUCGGGGUGAGGUGGAGGCUGGACGUGUCCGGCGCGGCGCGGAGGGGAAAACUAGGGUUUCGGGGGGAAAUUGAUCCGCGAAUUUCGGGGGAGGGGGCUAUUUAUAGAUUCUGGGAGCUAGGAGACUCCAAAUGAGGAGUGGUUUUCGGCCACGCGAUCGUGAUCGAACGACCGAGAGCAUGGAGGGGAGUUAGAUGGGUUUUGGGCCACUUUGGAAGGGUGUUGGGCUGCAAAGAGAAAGGGGGGUUUCGGGCUACGCGGUUAACCGUUGGAGUACCAAACGACCUCCAAAUGGCACGAAACUUGACAGGCGGUCUACCGGUGGUGUACCAAGGACACUUGGCAAGCCUCGGGCCAUUCCGAGAAAGUUUAACACCCACUCACGAAAAGAGAGAAGAGGGAGACGCCGGAGGGCAUAGGAGUGCCGGAUCGCAAAACGGACAACGGGGAAAAGGCUCGGAUGCAUGAGACGAACACGUAUGCAAUGCAAUACACAUGAUGACAUGAUAAAAUACAACACGCAAGCAAAAGACAUGGCAACAAUGGCGAAUAACUGAAAGACACUUGGCGCAUCGAAUCAGGGGCGUUACAACGUGAGACGGACUAGUCAUCAUCGGUGAACAUAUUCAUGUUGAUCGUAUCUACUAUACGACUCAUGUUCGAACUUUCGGUCUCUUGUGUUCCGAGGCUAUGUCUGUACAUGCUAGGCUCGUCUAGUCAACCUAAGUGUUUUGCAUGUGUAAAUCUGGCUUACACCCAUUGUAUGUGAACAUUAGAAUCUAUCACAUCCGAUCAUGACGUGGUGCUUGAAAGCAACGAACUUUCGCAACGGUGCACAGUUAGGGGGAAACACUUUCUUGAAAUUUUAAUGAGGGAUCAUAUUAUUUAUGCUACCUCCGUUCUAAGCAAAUAAGAUGUAAACAUGACAAACAUCACAUGCAAAUCAUAAAGUGACAUGAUAUGGCCAAUAUCAUCUUGCGCCUUUGAUCUCCAUCUUUGAGGCACGGCAUGAUCACCUUCGUCACCGGCAUGACACCAUGGUCUCCAUCAUCAUGAUCUCCAUCAUCGUGUCUUCAUGAAGUUGUCUCGCCAACUAUUACUUCUACUACUAUGGCUAACGGUUAGCAAUAAAGUAAAGUAAUUACAUGGCGUUCUCAUUGACACAAAGGUCAUAGAAUAAAUUAAGACAACUCCUAUGGCUCCUGCCGGUUGUCAUACUCAUCGACAUGCAAGUCGUGAUUCCUAUUACAAGACAAUGAUCAAUAUCAUACAUCACAUAUAUCAUUCAUCACAUCCUUUUGGCCAUAUCACAUCACAUAGCAUACCCUGCAAAAACAAGUUAGACGUCCUCUAAUUGUUGUUGCAUGUUUUACGUGGCUGCUAUGGGUUUCUAGCAAGAACAUUUCUUACCUACGCAAAAGCCACAACGGUGAUAUGCCAAUUGCUAUUUACCCUUCAUAAGGACCCUUUUCAUCGAAUCCGAUCCGACUAAAGUGGGAGAGACAGAAACCCGCUAGCCACCUUAUGCAACAAGUGCAUGUCAGUCGGUGGAACCUGUCUCACGUAAGCAUACGUGUAAGGUCGGUCCGGGCCGCUUCAUCCCACAAUGCCGCCAAAUCAAGAUAAGACUAGUAACGAUAAGCAUAUUGAACAAACCAACACCCACAACUACUUGUGUUCUACUCGUGCAUAGAAUCUACACAUAGACCUAGGUCAUGAUGCCACUUUUGGGGAACAUAGCAAUAAUUCAAAAUUUUCUACGCAACACCAAGAUCAAUCUAUGGAGAUUCUAGCAACAAGAGAGGGAGAGGAUGAGCAUCUUCAUACCUUUGAAGAUCACUAAGCGGAAGCGUCACUAGAAGGCGGAUGAGGGAGUCGUACUCGCGGCGAUUCAAAUCGUGGAAGAUCCGAUCUAACGCCGAACGGACGGCGCCUCCGCGUUCAACACACGUACAGACCGGGGACGUCUCCUCCUUCUUGAUCCAGCAAGGGAAGAGGAGAAGUUGAGGGAGCACUCUGGCAGCACGACGGUGUGUGCUACGUCUUGAGCUUGCGUUGGUUUUCCUUGAAGAGGAAAGGGUGAUGCAGCACAGUAGCAUAAGUAUUUCUCUCAGUUUUUGAGAACCAAGGUAUCAAUCUAGUAGGAGGCUCCUCACAAGUCCCACGAACCUACACAAACAAACAAAGAACUCGCAACCAAUGCGAUAAAGGGGUUGUCAAUCCCUUCACGGCCACUUGCGAAAGUGAGAUCUGAUAGAGAUAAUAUGAUAAGAUAAAUAUAUUUUUGGUAUUUUAUAAUAUAUAUGCAGAAAAUAAAGAUGCAAAUAAAAGUAGAUUGGAAACUUAUAUGAUAAAAAAUAGACCCGGGGGCCAUAGGUUUCACUAGAGGCUUCUCUCAAGAUAGCAUAAGUAUUACGGUGGGUGAACAAAUUACUGUCGAGCAAUUGAUAGAAAAGAGAAUAAUUAUGAGAUUAUCUAGGCAUGAUCAUGUAUAUAGGCAUCACGUCCGUGACAAGUAGGCCGACUCCUGCCUGCAUCUACUACUAUUACUCCACACAUCGACCGCUAUCCAGCAUGCAUCUAGAGUAUUAAGUUCAUAAGAACAGAGUAACGCAUUAAUAAAGAUGACAUGAUGUAGAGGGAUAAACUCAAGCAAUAUGAUAUAAACCCCAUCUUUUUAUCCUUGAUGGCAACAAUACAAUACGUUUCUUGCAACCCUUUCUGUCACUGGGUAAGAACACCGCAAGAUUGAACCGAAAGCUAAGCACUUCUCCCAUGGCAAGAAAGAUCAAUCUAUUAGGCCAAACCAAAUCGAUAGUUCGAAGAGACUUGCAAAGAUAACUCAAUCAUACAUAAAAGAAUUCAGAGAAGAUUCAAAUAUUAUUCAUAGAUAAACUUGAUCUUAAACCCACAAUUCAUCGGAUCUCAACAAACACACCGCAAAGAGAGAUUACAUUAAAUAGAUCUCCACAAGAGAGGGGGAGAACAUUGUAUUGAGAUCCAAAAAGAGAGAAGAAGCCAUCUAGCUAAUAACUAUGGACCCAAAGGUCUGUGGUAAACUACUCACAACUCAUCGGAAGGGCUAUGGUGUUGAUGUAGAGGCCCUCCAUGGUGGAAUCCCCCUCCGGCAGUACGCCGAUGACGGCACCAAGAUGGGAUCUCGCGGAUACAGAAGGUUACGGUGGUGGAAAUAUUUCUUCGGUGGCUCCCUGGAUGUUUUUGGGGUAUGUAGGCUUAUCUAGGAGGAAGAAGUACGUCAGUGGCCGCCCGAGGGGCCCACAAGACAGGGGGCACGCCCAGGAGCGGUGGGCGUGCCCUCCUAUCUCGUGGAGGCCUCGGCUGCUUCUUUGCUUGCACUCCAAGUUCUCCGGAUCAUGUUCGUUCCAAAAAUCACGCUCCCAAAGGUUUCAUUCCGUUUGGACUCCGUUUGAUAUUCCUUUUCUUCGAAAUACUGAAAUAGGCAAAAAAACAGCAAUACGGUUUGGGCCUCCAGUUAGUAGGUUAGUCCCAAAAAUGAUAUAAAUAUGUAAAAUAAUGCCCAUGGACAUCCAAAACAGGUUAUAUAAUAGCAUAGAACAAUCAAAAAUUAUAGAUACGUUGGAGACGUAUCAGCAUGGUGGAGGAGAUUGCAGUUCUCCGGCAGGGCUUCGCCAAGCACUAUGGAGGAGGAAGUGGAGUUGGAGAGGGGGAGGGCUGUGCCAGGGGAAGAAGCUCACAUGCGCCUCCCCACUAUAUAUAGGGGUGGAGGGGGCUGGUUUAUUGCCCCCCAAGUCCAUUGGGGCGUUGGCAAAGGUGGGAGGAAAGAAAUCUCAUCAUUUCCAUUCCCCACCGAUUGUUAUCCCCCCUUUUUAGGGAUCUUGAUCUUAUCCCUUCGGGAUAUGAUCUUAUUCCUUAUAAGGGGGGAUCUUAGUGCGCCUUGACCAGGGGUGUGUGGCCUUGCCCCCACUACCCACGUUCAUGUGGGCCCCCCAUGCAGGUGGGCCCCACUCCGGAACCUUCUAGAACCUUCCUGGCACAUACCGAAAAAUCCCAAACAUUUUUCGGUGGCCAAAAUAGGACUUCCCAUAUAUAAAUCUUUACCUCCGGACCAUUUCGGAACUCCUCGUGAUGUCCAGGAUCUCAUCCGGGACUCCGAACUGUUGGGGAACGUAGUAAUUUCAAAAAAAUUCCUACGCACACGCAAGAUCAUGGUGAUGGCAUAGCAACGAGAGGGGAGAGUGUUGUCCACGUACCCUCGUAGACCGUAAGCCGAAGCGUUAGCACAAUGCGGUUGAUGUAGUCGUACGUCUUCACGAUCCGACCGAUCCAAGUACCGAACGUACGGCACCUCCGAGUUCAGCACACGUUCAGCUCGAUGACGAUCCCCGGGCUCCGAUCCAGCAAAGCUUCGGGGAUGAGUUCCGUCAGCACGACGGCGUGGUGACGAUGAUGAUGUUCUACCGGCGCAGGGCCUCGCCUAAACUCCGUGAUGAUAUGACCGAGGUGGAAUAUGGUGAAGGGGGGCACCGCACACGGCUAAGGAACGAUCCAUAGAUCAACUUGUGUCAAGGGGUGCCCCCCUGCCCCCGUAUAUAAAGGAGCAAGGGGGGGGGGUGGCCAGCCCUAGGAGGGGGCGCGCCAAGUGUGGAGUCCUAAUAGGACUCCCUAGUCCUAGUAGGAUUCCACCUCCCUUGUUGGAGUAGGAGAAGGGGGAAAGGAGGAAGGAAAGGGGGGCCGCACCCCUUGUCCAAUUCGGACCAGAGGGGGGAUGCGCGCCUCCUUCCUUUCGGCCUCUCUCCUCUAUUCUUGUAUGGCCCAAUAAGGCCCAUAUACUCCCCGGCGAAUUCCCGUAACUCUCCGGUACUCCGAAAAAUACCCGAAUCACUCGGAACCUUUCCGAACUCCGAAUAUAGUCGUCCAAUAUAUCGAUCUUUACGUCUCGACCAUUUCGAGACUCCUCGUCAUGUCCCCGAUCUCAUACGGGACUCCGAACUCCUUCGGUACAUCAAAACUCAUAAACUCAUAAUAUAACUGUCAUCGAAACCUUAAGCGUGCGGACCCUACGGGUUCGAGAACUAUGUAGACAUGACCUAGAACUAUUCUUGGUCAAUAACUAAUAGCGGAACCUGGAUGCCCAUAUUGGCUCCUACAUAUUCUACGAAGAUCUUUAUCGGUCAAACCGCAUAACAACAUACUUUGUUCCCUUUGUCAUCGGUAUGUUACUUGCCCGAGAUUCGAUCGUCGGUAUCCAAUACCUAGUUCAAUCUCGUUACCGGCAAGUCUCUUUACUCGUUACAUAAUGCAUCAUCUCGCAACUAACUCAUUAGUCACAUUGCUUGCAAGGCUUAUAGUGAUGUGCAUUACCGAGAGGGCCCAGAGAUACCUCUCCGACAAUCGGAGUGACAAAACCUAAUCUCGAAAUACGCCAACCCAACAUGUACCUUUGGAGACACCUGUAGUACUCCUUUAUAAUCACCCAGUUACGUUGUGACGUUUGGUAGCACCCAAAGUGUUCCUCCGGUAAAUGGGAGUUGCAUAAUCUCAUAGUUGUAGGAACAUGUAUAAGUCAUGAAGAAAGCAACAGCAACAUACUAAACGAUCAAGUGCUAGGCUAACAGAAUGGGUCAUGUCAAUCACAUCAUUCUCCUAAUGAUGCAAUCCCAUUAAUCAAAUGACAACACAUGUCUAUGGUUAGGAAACAUAACCAUCUUUGAUUAAUGAGCUAGUCAAGUAGAGGCAUACUAGUGACUAUAUGUUUGUCUAUGUAUUCACACAUGUAUCAUGUUUCCGGUUAAUACAAUUCUAGCAUGAAUAAUAAACAUUUAUCAUGAUAUAAGGAAAUAAAUAAUAACUUUAUUAUUGCCUCUAGGGCAUAUUUCCUUCAGUCUCCCACUUGCACUAGAGUCAAUAAUCUAGUUCACAUCGCCAUGUGAUUUAACACCAAUAUUCAUAUCUGUAUAUGAUUAACACCCAUAGUUCACAUCGCCAUGUGACCAACACCCAAAAGGGUUUACUAGAGUCAAUAAUCUAGUUCACAUCGCUAUGUGAUAAACACCCAAAGCGUACUAAGGUGUGAUCAUGUUUUGCUCGUGAGAGAAGCUUAGUCGACGGGUCUGUCAUAUUCAGAGACGUAUGUAUUUUGCAAAUAUUCUAUGUCUACAAUGCUCUGCACGGAGCUACUCUAGCUAAUUGCUCCCACUUUCAAUAUGCAUCCAGAUUGAGACUUAGAGUCAUCUGGAUCGGUGUAAAAGCUUGCACCGAUGUAACUCUUUACGACGUGCUCUUUUAUCACUUCCAUAAUCGAGAAAUAUUUCCUUAGUCCUCACUAAGGAUAUUCUUGACCAAUGUCCAGUGAUCUACUCCUAGAUCACUAUUGUACUCCCUUGCCAAAUUUAGAGCAAGGUAUACAAUAGGUCUGGUACAUUGCAUAGCAUACUUUAUAGAACCUAUUACUGAGGCAUAGGGAAUGACUUUUCAUUCUCUUUCUAUUUUCUGCCAUGGUCGGGUCUUGAGUCUUACUCAAAUUCACACCUUGCAUCAUAGGCAAGAACUCCUUCUUUGACUGUUCCAUUUUGAACUAUUUCAAAAAAUUUAUCAAGGUAUGUACUCAUUGAAAAAUCUCAUCAAGCGUCUUGAUCUAUCUAUAUAGAUAUUGAUGCUCAAUGUGUAAGCAGUUUCACCGAGGUCUUGCUUUGAAAAACUCUUAUUCAAUUAUCCUUUCAUGCUAUCCAGAAUUUCUAUAUCAUUUCCAAUCAAUAAUAUGUCAUCCACAUAUAAUAUUAGAAAUGCUACAGAGCUUCCACUCACUUUCUUGUAAAUACAGGCUUCUCAAAAAGUCUGUAUAAAACCAUAUGCUUUGAUCAACUCAUCAAAGCGUAUAUUCCAACUCUGAGAUGCUUGCACCAGUCCAUUGAUGGAUCGUUGGAGCUUGCACAUUUUUGUUAACACCUUUAGGAUUGACAAAACCUUCUGGCUGCAUCAUAUACAACUCUUUUUUAAUAAAUCCAUUAAGGAUUGCAGUUUUGUUAUCCAUUUGCCAAAUUUCAUAAAAUGUGGCAAUUGCUAACAUGAUUCGGACAGACUUUAAGCAUCGAUACGAGUGAGAAAAUCUCAUCGUAGUCAACACCUUGAACUUUGUCAAAAACCUUUUUCGACAAGUCUAGCUUUGUAGAUAGUAAAACUACUAUCAGCGUCUGUCUUCCUCUUGAAGAUCCAUUUAUUCUCAAUUGCUUGCCGAUCAUCGGGCAAGUCAACCAAAGUCCAUACUUUGUUCUCAUACAUGGAUCAUAUCUCAGAUUUUAUGGCCUCAAGCCAUUUCGUGGAAUCUGGGCUCAUCAUCGCUUCCUCAUAGUUCGUAGGUUCAUCAUGGUCUAGUAACAUGACUUCCAGAACAUGAUUACCGUACCACUCUGGUGCGGAUCUUAAUCUGGAAGACCUACGAGGUUUGGUAGAAACUUGAUCUGAAGUUUCAUGAUCAUCAUCAUUAACUUCCUCACUAAUUGGUGUAGGAAUCACUGGAACUGAUUUCUGUGAUGAACUACUUUCCAAUAAGGGAGCAGGUACAGUUACCUCAUCAAGUUCUACUUUCCUCCCACUCACUUCUUCCGAGAGAAACUCCUUCUCUAGAAAGGAUCCAUCUUAGCAACGAAUCUUGCUUUCGGAUCUGUGAUAGAAGGUGUGCCCAAUAGUUACCUCUGGGUAUUCUAUGAAGACGCACUUCUCUGAUUUGGGUUUGAGCUUAUCAGGUUGAAACUUUUUCACAUAAGCAUCACAGCCCCAAACUUUAAAAAACGACAACUUUGGUUUCUUGCCAAACCACAGUUCAUAAGGCGUUGUCUCAACGGAUUUCGAUGGUGCCCUAUUUAAAGUGAAUGCAACUGUCUCUAAUGCAUAAUCCCAAAACGAUAGUGGUAAACCGAUCAUAGAUUGCACUAUAUCCAAUAAAGUACGGUCAUGAUGUUCGGACACACCGUUACGCUGUGGUGUUCCAGGUGGCAUGAGUUUGUGAAACUAUUCCACAUUGUUUUAAUUGAAGACCAAACUCGUAACUCAAAUAUUUGUCUCCGCGAUCAAAUUGCAGAAACUUUAUUUUCUUGUUACGAUCAUUCUCCACUUCACUCUGAAAUUCUUUGAACUUUUCAAAUGUUUCAAACUUGUGCUUCAUUAAGUAGAUAUACCCAUAUCUGCUCAAAUCAUCUUGUGAAGGUCAGAAAAUAACGAUACUUGCCACGAGCAUCAACACUCAUUGGAUCGCAUACAUCGGUAUGUAUUAUUUCCAAUAAGUCAGUAGCUCGUUCCAUUGUUCCGGAGAACGGAGUUUUAGUCAUCUUGCCCAAAAGGCACGGUUCGCAAGCACCAAAUGAUUCAUAACCAAGUGAUUCCGAAAAUCCAUCUUUAUGGAGUUUCUUCAUGCGCUUUACACCGAUAUGACCCAAACGGCAGUGCCACAAAUAAGUUGCACUAUCAUUAUUAACUUUGCAUCUUUUGGCAUCAAUAUUAUGAUUAUGUGUAUCAAUACUAUCGAGAUCCAAUAAACUAUUUUCAUUGGAUGUAUGACCAUCGAAGGUUUUAUUCAUGUAAAUAGAAUAACAAUUAUUCUCGGCUUUAAAUGAAUAACCGUAUCACAAUGAAUAUGAUCAAAUCAUAUUCAUGCUCAACGCAAACGCCAAAUAACAUUUAUUUAGGUUCAACACUAAUCUCGAAAGUGUAGGGAGAGUGUGAUGAUGAUCAUAUCAAUCUUGGAAUCACUUCCAAUACACAUCGUCACUUCACCCUCAACUAGUCUCUGUUUAUUCUGUAACUCCUGCUUCGAGUUACUAAUCUUAGCAACCGAACAAGUAUCAAAUACUCAGAAGCUACUAUAAACACUAGUAAGGUACACAUCAAUAACCUGUAUAUCAAAUAUACCCUUCUUCACUUGGCCAUCCUUCUUAUCCACCAAAUAUUCAGGGCAUUUCCGCUUCCAGUGACCAUCUCUUUUGCAGUAGAAGCACUUAGUGCUAGGCUAACGGAAUGGGUCAUGUCAAUCACAUCAUUCUCCUAAUGAUGUGAUCCCAUUAAUCAAAUGACAACACAUGUCUAUGGUUAGGAAACAUAACCAUCUUUGAUUAAUGAGCUAGUCAAGUAGAGGCAUACUAGUGACUAUAUGUUUGUCUAUGUAUUCACACAUGUAUCAUGUUUCCGGUUAAUACAAUUCUAGCAUGAAUAAUAAACAUUUAUCAUGAUAUAAGGAAAUAAAUAAUAACUUUAUUAUUGCCUCUAGGGCAUAUUUCCUUCACGAACAACAUUCGGUAACUGCACACUAAUUCUCAUAACAACUCUAGCGUCACCGAACCUUAAGUGUGUAGACCCUACGGGUUCGGGAAUCAUGCAGACAUGACCGAGAUAGCUCUCUGACCAAUAACCAACAGCAGGAUCUGGAUACCCAUGUUGGCUCCCACAUGUUCCAGGAUGAUCUCAUCGGAUGAACCACGAUGUCCGGGAUUCAAUCAAUCCCGUAUACAAUUCCCUUUGUCAAACGGUACGUUACUUGCCUGAGAUUCGAUCAUCGGUAUCCCAAUAUCUCGUUAAAUCUCGUUACCGGCAAGUCACUUUACUAGUUUCGUAAUGCAUGAUCCCGCGACUAACUACUUAGUCACAUUGAGCUCAUUAUGAUGAUGCAUUACCGAGUGGGCCCAGAGAUACCUAUCUGUCAUACGGAGUGACAAAUCCCAGUCUCGAUUCAUGCAAACCCAAUAGACACUUUCGGAGAUACUUGUAGUGUACCUUUAUAGCCACCCAGUUAUGUUGCGACGUUUGGUACACCCAAAGCAUUCCUACGGUAUCCAGGAGUUGCACAAUCUCAUGGUCUAAGGAAAUGACACUUGACAUUAGAAAAGCUUUUAGCAAACGAACUACACAAUCUUGUGCUAUGCUUAGGAUUGGGUCUUGUCCAUUAGAUCGUUCUCCUAAUGAUGUGAUCCCGUUAUCAAUGACAUCCAAUGUCCAUGGUCAGGAAACCAUGACCAUCUGUUGAUCAACGAGCUAGUCAACUAGAGGCUCACUAGGGAAAUGUUGUGGUCUAUGUAUUCACACAUGUAUUACGGUUUCCGGUCAAUACAAUUAUAGCAUGAACAAUAGACAAUUAUCAUGAACAAGGAAAUAUAAUAAUAACCACUUUAUUAUUGCCUCUAGGGCAUAUUUCCAACAAGACACAUGUAGAGCACCUUUAUAAUCACCCAUUUAUGUUGUGACGUUUGGUAGCACACAAAGUGUUCCUCCAGUAUUCGGGAGUUGCAUAAUCUCAUAGUCUGAGGAACAUGUAUAAGUCAUGAAGAAAGUAGUAGCAAUGAAACUAUCACGAUCAUAAUGCUAAGUUAACAGAUGGGUCAUGUCCAUCACAUCAGUCUCCUAAUGAUGUGAUCCCGUUCAUCAAAUGACAACACAUGUCUAUGGUUAGAAACAUAGCCAUCUUUGAUUAACGAGCUAGUCAAGUAGAGGCAUACUAGGGACAAUAUGUUUUGUCUAUGUAUUCACACAUGUACUAAGUUUCCGGUUAAUACAAUUCUAGCAUGAAUAAUAAACUUUUAUCAUGAAAUAAGGAAAUAAAUAAUAACUUUAUUAUUGCCUCUAGGGCAUAUUUCCUUCAGUCUCUCAUUUGCACUAGAGUCAAUAAUCUAGAUUACAUAGUAAUGAUUCUAACACCCAUGGAGCUUUGGUGCUGAUCAUGUUUUGCUCGUGGAAGAGGUUUAGUCAACGGGUCUGCAACAUUCAGAUCCGUAUGUAUCUUGAAAAUCUCUAUGUCCCCCUCCGACACUUGAUGAUGGAUGGAAUUGAAGUGUCUCUUGAUGUGCUUGGUUCUCUUGUGAAAUCUGGAUUCCUUUGCCAAGGCAAUUGCACCAAUAUUGUCACAAAAGAUUUUCAUUGGACCCGAUGCACUAGGUAUGACACCUAGAUCGGAUAUGAACUCCUUCAUCCAAAAUCCUUCAUUUUCUGCUUCCGAAGCAGCAACGUACUCCGCUUCACACGUAGAUCCCACCACGACGCUCUGCUUGGAACUGCACCAACUGACAGCUCCUCCAUUCAAUAAAAAUACGUAUUCGGUUUGCGACUUUGAGUCAUCCAGAUCAGUGUCAAAGCUUGCAUCGACGUAACCAUUUAUGACGAGCUCUUUUUUCACCUCCGUAAACGAGAAACAUAUCCUUAGUCCUUUUCAGGUAUUUCAGGAUGUUUUUCACCGCUGUCCAGUGCUCCACUCCAGGAUUACUUUGGUACCUCCCUGCUAUCCUUAUAGCAAGGCACACAUCAGGUCUGGUACACAUCAUUGCAUACAUGAUAGAACCUAUGGCUGAAGCAUAGGGAAUGAAUAUCAUUUUCUCUCAAUCUUCUGCAGUGGUCGGGCUUUGAGUCUGACUCAACUUCACACCUUGUAACACAGGCAAGAACCCUUUCUUUGACUGAUUGAUACGUCUCCAAAGUAUCUACUUUUCCAAACAAUUUUGCCCUUGUUUUGGACUCUAACUUGCAUGAUUUGAAUGGAACUAACCCAGACUAACACUGUUUUCAGCGGAAUUGCCAUGGUGUUAUUUUUGUGCAGAACUAAAAGUUCUCGGAAUGACUUGAAAAUCCACGGAGACAUGUUUUGUAAUUAAUAAAAAUAUUGGUGAAAGAAUCAACGUCAGGGGGCCCACACCCUAUCCAUGAGAGUGCAGGGCGCGCCCCUGCCUCGUGGGCCCCCUGGGACUCCACCGACCUCAACCCCAACUCCAUAUAUUCACUUUCAGGGAGAAAAAAUCAGAGAGAAGGAUUCAUCGCGUUUCACGAUAGCCGUCGCCAAGCCCUAAUCUUCUUCGGGAGGGCUGAUCUGGAGUUCGUUCGGGGCUCCGGAGAGGGGAAUCCGUCGCCAUCGUCAUCAUCAACCAUCCUCCAUCACCAAUUCCAUGAUGCUCACCACCGUGCGUGAGUAAUUCCAUCAUAGGCUUGCUGGACGGUGAUGGGUUGGAUGAGAUUUACCAUGUAAUCGAGUUAGUUUUGUUAGGGUUUGACCCCUAGUAUCCAUUAUGUUCUAAGAUUGAUGUUGCUAUGACUUUGCCAUGCUUAAUGCUUAUCACUAGGGCCCGAGUGCCAUGUUUUCAGAUCUGAAGCUAUUAUGUUUUCAUGAAUAUAUGUGAGUUCUUGAUCCUAUCUUGCGAGUUAAUAGUCACUUACUAUGUGUUAUGAUCCAGCAACCCCGAAGUGACAAUAAUCGGGACCACUCCCGGUGAUGACCGUAGUUUGAGGAGUUCAUGUAUUCACUCAGUGUUAAUGCUUUGAUUCGGUACUCUAUUAAAAGGAAGCCUUAAUAUCCCUUAGUUUCCAAUAGGACCCCGUUGCCACGGGAGGGUAGGACAAAAGAUGUCAUGCAAGUUCUUUUCCAUAAGCACGUAUGACUAUAUUCGGAAUACAUGGCUACAUUACAUUGAUGAACUUGAGCUAGUUCUGUGUCACCCUAUGUUAUAACUGUUGCAUGAGGAAUCGCAUCCGACAUAAUUAUCCAUCAUUGAUCCAUUGCCUACGAGCUUUUCACAUAUUGAUCUUUGCUUAGUUACUUCUCCGUUACCACUGUUACAAUUACUAUAAAACUACUAUUGUUACUUUUGCCACCGUUACCGUUACUUCCGUACUACUUUGCUACUAAAUAUUUUGCUGCAGAUAUUAAGUAUUUCAGGUGUGGUUGAAUUGACAACUCAGCUGCUAAUACUUGAUAAUAUUCUUUCGAUCCCCUUGUGUCGAAUCAAUAAAUUUGGGUUGAAUACUCUACCCUCGAAAACUAUUAUGGUACCCUAUACUUGUGUGUUAUCAAGACUAUUUUCUGGCGCCGUUGUCGGGGAGCAUAGCUCUAUUCUUUGAGUCACUUGGGAUUUAUAUCUGUUGAUCACUAUGAAGAAUUUGAAAGAUCAAAGAACCAAGAUUUUUCCCUCAACUACGAGGGGAGGUAAGGAACUGCCAUCUAGCGCUGCACUUGAUUCACCUUCUAUUAUGAGUAAAUUUGCGACACCUACACCUGCUAUUGAUCUUGAUAUGUCGCAUGUUAUUAAUGACGCCACUUCUGCUAUGCAUGAUGCUUAUGAUGAUACUACUUGUCUGCUUAAUAAUACUAUGCCAUUAGGUGAAUUUCUGGAUGAACAACUUGCUAGGGAUUAGAGAGAAUGAAAUUAUUGAAACUGAUGAUAUUGAUGAAAGUGAUGAUGAAGAUUCUCCACCUGAAUAUGAAUUGCCUGUUGUACCUGAGGGUUAUGUUAUGGAUGAAGAAACUGCUAGAGAUUUUCUUGCUUGCAAUGAUAGAUAUGAUCUUAAGAAACUGUUAGCUAAGCUGAAAGAAAAGUCUUUGAAUGCUAGAAUGAAAUAUGACCCUGCUUUUGCUACUUCACCUAUCUGUGUUACUGAUAAGGAUUAUGAUUUCUCUGUCGAUCCUGAGUUAAUUACUUUGGUUGAAUCUGAUCCUUUUUAUGGCUAUGAAUCUGAAACUAUUGUGGCACAUCUUAUUAAAUUAAAUGAUAUAGCAACCCUAUUUAUGCAUGAGGAAAUUUUUUGUUAUUACUAUAUCCUUAAGUUAUUUCCGUUCUGAUUAAAGGGUGAUGCUAAAACAUGGUUUAAUUCUCUUACUCCUAGUUGUGUGCGUAGUCCCCAGGAUAUGAUUUAUUACUUCCCUGCUAAAUAUUUCCCCGCUCAUAGGAAACAAGUUGCCUUAAGGGAAAUAUAUAAUUUUGUGCAAAUUGAAGAAGAGAGUAUCCCACAAGCUUGGGGGAGGCUUCUCCGAUUACUUAAUGCUUUGCCUGGUCACCUCUCAAGAAAAUGAAAUACUUGAUAUCUUUUAUAAUGGACUAACUGAUGCUUCCAGAGACCACCUGGAUAGUUGUGUUGUUUGUCUUUUCAGGGAAAGAACUAUUAAGCAAGCGGAGUUGCUAUUAAAUAAUAUAUUGAGCAAUUAUAAUGAUAGAACACUUCCUAAACCAACUCCGAAGCCAACUCCGAAGAAAAGGGGUAUUCUAUUUCUCAGUCCCGAAGAUAUGCAAGAGGCAAAGAAAUAUAUGAAAGAAAAAGGUAUUAAAGCUGAAGAUGUUAAGAAUUUACCACCUAUUGAAGAAAUACAUGGUCUCGAUAAUCCGAUACAGGUAGUAAAGGUAAAUUCUCUCUAUAGAUUUGAUGAAGGUGAUAUCCCUCGCUAUAAGUCUGCUAGCCAAUGCUUGGAUGAGUUCGAUAAUUUUAGGGACAUUUACAUUUGUGCCCUAACUCGAACCCACUACUCAGAUUUGCCCUGAUUUUGAAGCAUGCUCAAAUUUGCCCCUCCGCGGUUAAGUCACUACUCAGAAAUGCCCUUCCGUACAGUACUGUAGCACUUUCUGUCCAAUACUGUAGCACUUUCCGUCUGCUAUAGUACACAUGGGCCUUUGACGGUCAAAGGCCUUUGACUGGACGGAAGGGCAUUUCUGAGUAGUGACUUAACAACAGAGGGGGAAAUUUGAGCAUGCUUUGAAAUUAGGGGCAAAUCUGAGUAGGUUGUUCGAGUUAGGGGCAGAGAUGCAAAUGGCCCAUAAUUUUAUUGUUAAACAAGAAAACUUCAAUGCUUAUGUUGGUAGACAAUUGAGAUGUAGUGCUUAUAUGAUUGAACACUUGAGUGAUUAUAUGUCUAGAGUUAAAGGUGACCUUAAGCUUAUUAGCAAACAUGCUUCCAUGGUUACCACUCAGGUAGAACAAGUGCUUAAGGCACAAGAUGAUUUGCUCACUGAGUUAAAUAAUAAGAAUAAUGGUAAUGUUGUUAGAGUUAUGACUAGAGGUGGUAGAAUGACUCAGGAACCAUUGUACCUGAGGGCCAUCCUAAGAGAGCUGAGCAAGAUUCUCAGAGAACUAAUAUUGAUGCACCUAGUCCUUCUAAGAAAAACAAAAAGAAAAAUGAUAGGGCUUUGCAUGCCUCUAGUGAACCUGUUAUAGACACACCUGAGAAUCCCAGUGAUAUUUCUAUUUCUGAUGCUGAAUCACAAUCUGGUAAUGAACAUGAACCUAGUGAUAGUGUUAAUGAUGAUGUUCAAGUUGAUGCUCAACCUAGUAAUAAUGAAGAUUUAGAGAUUGAACCUGAUGUUGAUCUUGAUAACCCACAAUCAAAGAAUCAAUGUUAUGAUAACAGAGACUUCGUUGGUAGAAAGCACGGUAAAGAAAGAGAACCAUGGGUUCAGAAACCCAUGCCUUUUCCUCCUAAGCCAUCCAAGAAAAAGGAUGAUGAGGAUUUUGAGCGCUUUGCUGAAAUGAUUAAACCUAUCAUUUUGCGUAUGCGUUUGACCGAUAUGCUUAAAAUGAAUCCUUAUGCUAAGUAUAUGAAAGAUAUUGUUACAAAUAAAAGAAAGAUACCAGAAGCUGAAAUUUCCACCAUGCUUGCUAAUUAUACUUUUAAGGGUGGAAUACCAAAGAAACUAGGAGACUCAGGAGUACCAACUAUACCAUUCUCCAUUAAAAGAAACUAUGUUAAAACUGAUUUAUGUGAUCUUGGAGCCGGUGUUAGUGUUAUGCCUCUAUCUUUAUAUCAUAGACUUGAUUUGAAUAACUUGACACCUACCAAAAUCUCUUUACAAAUGGCCGAUAAAUCAACUGCUACGCCUGUCGGUAUUUGUGAGUAUGUGCCUGUUGUGGUUGCAAACGUUACUAUUUUAACGUACUUUGUUAUUCUUGAUAUUCCCGAGGACAAUAGUAUGUCGAUUAUCCUUGGUAGACCCUUUUUGAAUACUGCAGGGGCUGUUAUUGAUUGCAACAAAGGCAAUGUCACUUUUCAUGUUAAUGGUAAUGAGCAUACGGUACACUUUCCGAGGAAACAACCUCAAGUUCAUAGUAUCAAUUCUAUUGGAAAAAUUUCGACAAUUAUUAUUGGAGGUUUUGAAUUCCCUCUUCCUACUGUCAAAAAGAAAUAUGAUAUUCUUAUUGUUGGCGACAUGCAUAUCCCCGUUGAGGUAACCUAGUGUUAUUCGAAAAUUCUCUGGUUUCAUGUUAUUCGGAAGAAGUUUGUUAACAAGACUUGAUAAACCUUGUUAGUGGAUUCCUUUUGAUGAGCAUGAGAUGGAUGAAGUUAGAAAGCACAACUCUCUGUACCCACUUUUUACUUUCUGUUAUUUAGAUAAAUAAAGCAAAAAUAGUAUUUUUCUGUUUAUUUCCUAAGUUAUCCUUGCAAUAAAAAUACCCUGAAAAUAAAAGUUCUCCAAAUGCCAUGAAAAUGAAGUAUGAUUUUUUGUAGAAUAUUUAAGAAUUUCAGGUACUGAGAACAUACCAGAGGGGGCCACCAUUUGGCCACGAGGGCACAGGGCGCACCCCCCUGCCUCGUGGGCCCCACGUGGACCCCCUCCACUUAUUCCAGCACCCACUCAGUUUGUCUUCCUCAACAAAAAAAUCCUCCCAUAGCUCAAACCCGUGUUCUAUCUCAUCUUGCUGCCAUUUUCAAUCUCCUUGCUCAAAGCUCCAUUCACAAAACUAUUUUGGUGGAUUGUUCUUUGGUAUGUGACUCCUCCAAUGGUCCAAUUAGUUUUUGUUCUAGUGCUUUAUUGAUUGCAAAUUUUUGCUACUGAGGUGACCCUGUUCUUGAGCUUACAUGUCAAAUUUAUAUGGUCCAAAGUAGUUUUAAUGCAUGAUAUAGCCUCUAGGCACUCGUGGGAGUAGUUGCUAUCAAUCUUGUUGAGUUUGGUUCACUUUUAUUUUGAGUCACUAAAAAUUUCAGAAAUUUUCAGGAAAAGAAAAAUGUUUAGGAAAAUGUACCAAGGUGGUUUUUCAAGGAAGCAGGAAUCAAGGCUCGCGAUACGUGAGACGGACGAUGAACUACCGAGGGAAGCUCAAGUACGGCCUUGUGAAUGGCCGUUAGAAGAGUUUAUGGUCCAAGUAGGCUUCAAGGAUAAAUUUGACGCGUAUGUGCGUAAUGCUGAUCUUGAGGACUUUGUGUCAGAUAAGUGCCUACAAUACUACUACAUCACUAGCUUAUUCCUUUGUGAGGAGGUUUAAAUUUUCAUCGACACAUAAUUCUCACACUGUUUUAUUUGAUCUUUAUGAUAAAUCAUACACCAUGGACCUAGAAGAUUUUAAUACUGCUUGUAAACUCCCCCAGUGGGGCAAUGUUAGUGAACCACGCAAAUCUGAAUACAAAGACUUUCUUGCUAGUAUCACUGUGGGAGAAACUAGAGAUAUCGCACAAGCAACCAUAGGGAGCAUUCAUUUCCCUGCCAUAUAGUAUUUUGCUCUCUUUAUAGGUAGAUGAGGUUUGUCACAUGUGCGUUCCAGAUCUUAGUGUCCUCAAGAGUGCGGUAUUAGGUGAUAAACAAUAUAACUUCGGGGCCAUUGUUGCACGGAGGUUACAUCUCAAUGGUAAAAAUGGAGAUUUGUUUGGUGGAAUUUAUGCAACUCGUGUAGCUAAUUAUCUUGGUGUACCCAUACAUGGAAAUGAUAUGGAGUUGCCUCCUGCCAAUCUAGAUUAUAGCGCUAUGGUUCGCCAUCAGUUUCUUGAGAAGAAUGAACAGUCCCUCCAGUACCGACUAAUCUUUGACAGGCGGUGUACUGUCCAUGUUACUCUCCCUGCUACUACUUUCUUUAACUUCCAGGCAAAAAGGAGAUAUUUUAUAACCAGUGAGGAGGCAAAUGAAUAUGAGAGGAGGACGGAGGUAGCUCACCUCCAAGUUGCAGCUCUCCAGGCAGUAGCUGCUGCAUCUCAGUACAACCCCGACUACAACUUUGGAUAUCCGCCAGGCCAGCAAUGGCCAUAGACCAACUUAGGCCAAAAGCUUAAGCUUGGGGGAGUACGUAUUUCCCACCGACAUUACAUUCAUGUUCACACACUCAUGCUAGUUUUCGGUGCUCAUACCUUUUCAUUGUACUAUCCAUGCUAGUUUUCUUUUCUUGCUUUCUUCUUGUGUGUUUCGAAAACCUUAAGAAAAACCAAAAAAAUUAGUUGUAGCCUUUAGCUAGUUUACUUUCCAUGCUGAUAGUAGUAACAUUAAAAGAAAACCCAAAAAGAUUUCUUGUUCUUCUUUUGCUUGUUGGGAGCUUUCCCGUGUAAAUAGUUUUAUUUCUUUUCUUUUUUGGGGGGGUUGAGAGGAGAAGACCACGAUGAAAAUGUUGAGUGGCUCUCAUAUGCAUUAUUGUUGAUCUAACCAAAGAGCCCAUAUUACCUUGUCUUCUCCUUUGUAUUAAAUGCUUGCAGAUUCCAGCUUAGUCCAAUGCACGUGCACUAUUAUUAUUAUCCACACCAUUCAGUUGUGCGAGUGAAAGGCAAUAAUGACGAUAUACGAUGAAAUGAUUGAGAUGAGAGAAGCUGGUAUGAACUCGACCUAUCUUGUUUUUGUAAAUAUGAUUAGUUCAUCAUUCCUGAUUCAGCCUAUUAUGAAUGAAACAUGUUUGCAAUGACAAUUAGAGAUUAUAGUUGCUCAUGCCAUGCUUAAUUAACUAGGGUUUAUAAUGGUUUACCUUGCGUGCCAACAUGCUAUUAAAAUGGUUGUGAUGUGGUAUGAUAGGGUGGUAUCCUCCUUUGAAUGAUUCGAGUGGCUUGACUUGGCACAUGUUCACGCAUGUAGUUGAAACAAAAUCAACAUAGCCUUCACAAUAUUUAUGUUCAUGGUGAUUUAUAUCCUACUCAUGCUUGCACUCAUUGUUGGUUAAUCUUAAUGCAUGUUCAUGACUGUUGUCGCUCUCUAGUUGGUCGCUUCCCAGUCUCUUUCUAGCCUUCACUUGUACUAAGCGGGAAUACUGCUUGUGCAUCCACUUCCAUAAACCACAAAGUUGUUCCAUAUGAGUCCACCAUACCUUCCUAUAUGCGGUAUUUACCUGUCAUUCCAAGUAAAUUUGUAUGUGCCAAACUCUAAACCUUCAAAUGAAAUUCUGUUUUGUAUGCUCGAAUAGCUUAUGUAUCAACUAGGGCUAUCUAUAUCUUCCAUGCUAGGUGGGUUAUUCUGACGAUGAGUGGACUCCGCUCAUCAUUCACGAGAAAAUGGCUGGUAACCGGGAUGCCCAGUCCCAUGCUCAAAUCAAAUCAAAUAAAUGCAAACAAAACUCCCCUAGGAUUGUUGUUAGUUGGACGACACCCAUUGUUUCGGACAAGCCAUGCAUUGAUGUUUUUUGGUGGUGGGGGAGUAUAAACUUUACCAUUAUGCUUGGGAACCGCCUAUAAUGUAUGUAGCAUGGAAGAUAUCGAGAUUUCUCAGUUAUUAUGUUGACAAUGAAAGUAUGCCGCUCAAAAUUUUAUUUAUCUCUCUUUAAAAACUCAAGCUCUGGCACCUCUGCAAAUCCCUGCUUCCCUCUGUGAAGGGCCUAUCUAUUUAGUUUUAUGUUGAGUCAUCAUCCUUUUAUUAAAAACCACCAGUUGGAGAGCACCACUGUCAUUUGCAUGCAUUGCUAUUAAUUUACAUUGAGUAUGAUUGUGACUGAAUCUUUUUUACCAUGAAUUACAAUUUCCAGUCAGUCCUUGAUCUUCAGGGGUGCUCUGCAUUUAUGUUUGUUAUCUCGGAAAGGGCUAGCGAGAUACCAUCUUGUUAUAUCAUAUUAUGAUUGUUUUGAGAAAGUGUUGUCAUCUGAGAUUUAUUAUCAUUGCUCGCUAGUUGGUUAUGCCAUUGAUAUGAGUAAAUGUGAGGCCUAAAUGUUAUUGGAAUAUGGUUAGUUCAUAAUCUUUGCUGAAAACUUGAAUGUUGGCUUUACAUAUUUGCAACAACAAGAUCAAACAGAUUUUGUAAAAGUUUUUCUUUAUCACUUUCAGUUUGCCAACUGAAUUGCUUGAGGACAAGCAAAGGUUUAAGCUUGGGGGAGUUGAUACGUCUCCAACUUAUCUACUUUUCCAAACACUUUUGCCCUUGUUUUGGACCCUACCUUGCAUGAUUUGAAUGGAACUAACCCGGACUGACGUUGUUUUCAGCAGGAUUGCCAUGGUGUUAUUUUUGUGCAGAAAUAAAAGUUCUCGGAAUGACCUGAAAAUCCACGGAGACACAUUUUGGAAUUAAUAAAAAAUAUUGGCAAAAGAAUCAACGUCAGGGGGCCCACACCCUGUACAUGAUGGUGCAGGGCGUGCCCACCACCCUAGGGCGCGCCCCCUUCCUCGUGAGCCCCUUGGGACUCCACCGACCUCAACCCCAACUCCAUAUAUUCACUUUCGAGAGAAAAAACAGAGAGAAGGAUUCAUCACGUUUUACGAUACGUAGGCGCCGCCAAGCCCUAAUCUUCUUCGGGAGGGAUGAUGUGGAGUCCAUUCGGGGCACCGAAGAGGGCAAUCCGUCACCAUCAUCAUCAUCAACCAUCAUCAUCAACCAUCCUCCAUCACUAAUUUCAUGAUGCUCACCGCCGUGCGUGAGUAAUUCCAUCGUAGGCUUGCUGGACGGUGAUGGGUUGGAUGAGAUUUACCAUGUAAUCGAGUUAGUUUUGUUAGAUUUGAUCCCUAGUAUCCAUUAUGUUCUAAGAUUGAUGUUGCUAUGAUUUUGCCAUGCUUAAUGCUUGUCACUAGGGCCUGAGUGCCAUGAUUUCAUAUCUGAACCUAUUAUGUUUUCAUGAAUAUAUGUGAGUUCUUGAUCCUAUCUUGCAAGUCAUUAGUCACCUACUAUGUGUUAUGAUCCGGCAACCCCGAAGUGACAAUAAUCGGGACCACUCUCGGUGAUGAAUGUAGUUUGAGGAGUUCAUGUAUUCACUAAGUGUUAAUGCUUUGGUCCGGUACUCUAUUAAAAGGAAGCCUUAAUAUCCCUUAGUUUCCAAUAGGACGCCGUUGCCACAGGAGGGUAGGACAAAAGAUGUCAUGCAAGUUCUUUUCCAUAAGCACGUAUGACUAUAUUCGGAAUACAUGGCUGCAUUACAUUGAUGAACUUGAGCUAGUUCUGUGUCACCCUAUGUUAUAACUGUUGCAUGAGGAAUCGCAUCCGACAUAAUUAUCCAUCAUUGAUCCAUUGCCUACAAGCUUUUCACAUAUUGAUCUUUGCUUAGUUACUUCCCCGUUACCACUGUUACGAUUACUACAAAACUACUAUUGUUACUUUUGCCAUCGUUACCAUUACUUCCAUACUACUUUGCUACUAAAUAUUUUGCUGCAGAUAUUAAGUCUUUCAGGUGUGGUUGAAUUGACAACUCAGUUGCUAAUACUUGAGAAUAUUCUUUCGCUCCCCUUGUGUCGAAUCAAUAAAUUUGGGUUGAAUACUCUACCCUCGAAAACUGUUGCAAUCCCCUAUACUUGUGGGUUAUCACUGAUCCAUUUUGAACUUCUUCCAAACUUUAUCAAGGUAUGUGCUUUGUGAAAGUCCAAUUAAGCGUCGUGAUCUAUCUCUAUAGAUCUUGAUGCCCAAUAUGUCAGCAGCUUAACCGGGGUCUUUCAUGGAAAAACUCUUAUUCAGGUAUCCCUUUAUGCUAUCCAGAAAUUUUAUAUCAUUUCCAAUCAACAAUAUGUCAUCCACAUAUAAUAUUAGAAAUGCUAUAGAGCUCCCAAUCACUUUCUUGUAAAUACAGGCUUCUCAAAAAGUCUGUAUAAAACCAUAUGCUUUGAUCACACUAUCAAAACGUUUAUUCCAACUCCGAGAGGCGUGCACCAGUCCAUAAAUGGAUCGCUGGAGCUUGCAUACUUUGUUAGCACCCUUUGGAUCGGCAAAACCUUCAGGUUUCAUCAUAUACAACUCUUCUUCUAGAAAUCUGUUCAGGAAUGUAGUUUUGACAUCCAUCUGCCAAAUUUCAUAAUCUUAAAAUGCGGCAAUUGCUAACAUGAUGCGGACAUACUUAAGCAUCGCUACGGGUGAGAAAGUCUCAUUGUAGUCAACUCCUUGAACUUGUCGAAAACCUUUCACAACAAGUCGAGUUUUGUAGGUAGUAACAUUACCGUCAGCGUCGGUCUUCUUCUUGAAGAUCCAUUUAUUUUCUAUGGCUUUCCGAUCAUCGGGCAAGUCCACCAAAGUCCACACUUUGUUCUCAUACAUGGAUCCCAUCUCAGAUUUCAUGGCCUCUAGCCAUUUCACAGAAUCUGGGCUCAUCAUGGCUUCCUCAUAGUUUGUAGGUUCACCAUGGUCUAGUAACAGGACUUCCAGAAUAGGAUUAAUGUACCACUCUGGUGUGGAUCUCACUCUGGAAGACCUACGAGGUUCAGUAGUAACUUGAUCUGAAGUUUCAUGAUCAUCAUCAUUAACUUCCUCACUGAUUGGUGUAGGAACCACUGGAAUUGAUUUCUGUGAUGAACUACUUUCCAAUAAGGGAGAAGGUACAAUUACCUCAUCAAGUUCUAUUUUCCUCCCACUCACUUCUUUCGAGAGAAACUCCUUCUCUAGAAAGGAUCCAUUUUUAGCAACAAAAAUCUUGCCUUCGGAUAUGUGAUAGAAGGUGUACCCAACAGUUUCCUUUGGGUAUCCUAUGAAGACGAACUUCUCUGAUUUGGGUUCGAGCUUAUCAGGUUGAAGCUUUUUCACAUAAGCAUCUUAUCCCCAAACUUUAAGAAACGACAACUUCGGUUUCUUGCCAAACCACAGUUCAUAAGGCGUCGUCUCAAUGGAUUUUGAUGGUGCCUUAUUUAAAGGGAAUGCAUCCGCCUCUAAAGCAUAACCCCAAAACGAUAGCGGUAAAUCAAUAAGAGACAUCAUAGAUCGCACCAUAUCCAAUAAAGUACGAUUACAACGUUCGGACACACCAUUUCGCUGUGGUGUUCCAGGUGGCGUUAACUGUGAAACUAUCCCAUGUUGUUUCAAAUGAAGACCAAACUCGUAACUCAAAUAUUCUCCUGCACGAUCAGAUCAUAGAAACUUUAUUUUCUUGUUAUGAUGAUUUUCCACUUCACUCUAAAAUUCUUUGAACUUUUCAAAUGUUUCAGACUUAUGCUUCAUUAAGUAGAUGUACCCAUAUCUGCUCAAAUCACUUGUGAGGGUAAGAAAAUAAUGAUACCCGCCACAAGCCUCAACACUCAUUGGACCUCAUACAUCGGUAUGUAUUAUUUCCAACAAGUCAGUAGCUCGUUUCAUUGUUCGGGGGAACAGAGUUUUAGUCAUCUUGCCCAUGAGGCACAGUUCGCAAGCACCAAGUGAUUCAUAAUCAAGUGAUUACAAAAGUCCAUUAGCAUGGAGUUUCUUCAUGCACUUUAUACUGAUAUGACCCAAACGGCAGUGCCACAAAUAAGUUGCACUAUAAUUAUCAACAUUGCAUCUUUUGGCUUCAAUAUUAUGAAUAUGGGUAUCAUCACCAUCGAGAUUCAACAAAAAUAGACCACUCAGCAAGGGUGCAUGACUAUAAAAGAUAUUACUCAUAUAAAUAGAACAAUCAUUAUUCUCUGAUUUAAAUGAAUAAUCGUCUCGCAUCAAACAAGAUCCAUAUAUAAUGUUCAUGCUCAACGCUGGCACCAAAUAACAAUUUCUGGUCUAAAACUAAUCCCGGUGGUAUAUGUAGAGGUAGCGUGCCGACGGCGAUCACAUCGACCUUGGAACCAUUUCCCACGCACAUCGUCACCUCCUCCUUAGCCAAUAUUCGUUUAAUCCGUAGCCCCUAUUUCGAGUUGCAAAUAUGAGCAACAGAACCAGUAUCAAAUACCAGGCGCUACUACGAGCAUUAGUAAGGUACACAUCAAUAACAUGUAUAUCAAAUAUAACUUUCACUUUGUCAUCCUUCUUAUCUGCCAAAUACUUGGGGCAGUUCCACUUCCAGUGACCAGUCCCUUUGUAGUAGAAGCACUUAGUUUCAGGCUUAGGUCCAGACUUGGGUUUCUUCUCUUGAGCAGCAACUUUCUUGCCAUUCUUCUUGAAGUUCCCCUUCUUCCCUUUGCCUUUUUUUCUUGAAACUAGUGGUCUUAUUGACCAUCAACACUUGAUGCUCCUUCUUGAUUUCUACCUCCACAGCCUUUAGCGUCGCAAAGAGCUCGAGAAUAGUCUUGUUCAUCCCUUGCAUAUUAUAGUUCAUCACGAAGCCUUUGUAGUUUGGUGGCAGUGAUUGAAGAACUCUGUCAAUGACACUAUAAUCAGGAAGAUUAACUCCUAGCUGAGUCAAGUGGUUAUGGUACCCAGACAUUCUGAGUAUGUGUUCACUGACAGAACUAUUCUCCUCCAUUUUGCAGCUAUAGAACUUGUUGGGGACUUCAUAUCUCUCAACUCGGGCAUUUGCUUUAAAUAUUAACUUCAACUCUUGGAACAUCUCAUAUGCUCCAUGACGUUCAAAACGUCUUUGAAGUCCCGAUUAUAAGCCGUAAAGCAUGGCACACUAAACUAUCGAGUAGUCAUCAGCUUUGCUCUGCCAGACGUUCUUAAUGUCAUCAGUAGCAUCUAUAGCAAGCCUGGCACCCAACGGUGCUUCCAGGACGUAAUUAAUUCUUAUGUGCAGCAAUGAGGAUAAUCCUCAAGUUACGGACCCAAUCUGGGUAGUUGUUGCCAUCAUCUUUCAACUUAGCUUUCUCUAGGAACUCAUUAAAAAUCAAAGGAACGGUAGCACGGGCCAUUGAUCUACAAUAACAUAGACAUGUAAAAUAACUAUCAGGACUAAGUUUAUGAUAAAUUAAAGUUCAAUUAAUCAUAUUACUUAAGAACUCCCACUUAGAUAGACAUCCCUCUAGUCAUCUAAAUGAUCACGUGAUCCAAAUCAACUAAACCAUGUCUGUAAGUGCAUCUAGUGCCCCUUAGUGAUUUUGGUGUAUUGAAGACUUAUAGGUUAAGGGACUGAUGUGUUUGUGAGUGUACACAGCUCUAUAAGUCUAUGAGGAGUUUCAUAUUUACACAGAAACUCGACCCUUAAAAAUGAAGUUCUUCGACUGAAGACUUUGGAUUUCUGAAGACUUUCUGAAGACUUCGAAAGUGAAGAAAUUGAUGUGACCUUGAAGACUUAGCAAUCAUUCGAGGAACAUGAAGCGUGAAGACUUUUGUUUUCGUAGUUUCAUUUUCUCUUUCUUGAGUCAUAGGAAGCAUCGUACUGUUAAAGGGGGUCGAGGAAAUACUAAGGAAAAAUUUCCAUGUGAUGCUCAACUCAAAAUCCUACACCUACCAAUCCCUUUGAGUGAAGCCAUUGGAAAUCUCAUACAGAUCAGUCAAUUUCUUCAGUAACGGAGACGAAGUUCUUCUGGUUGCUAAGGAAUUUGUUCUGAUUGAGGAGUUAGGAAUUCGCCAGUGCGGGUUGCCUACACAAUGAGGAACAUGAUAGCCCUGAGGAAUUUGAGAGUCAAAAUUCUGACUGUUGUUGUGCUACGCGCCAGCUGUCCCAAAAUAUCUACCCACCUAACGGUCAUAUCAUUGAAGGGCAUCUAUGUCUUAUCAUGUCGGGCUGCUCCCUAGGCUAUAAAUAGCCGCCCCCUACAAUCACUAGUUGGUUGGCUGCUCCGAGAGAACCUGACACUUGUCAUUUGAGAGCAUCCCAUCCUCCGAGGACUUUGAGUGAAAAUCAUCAAGUGAGGAAAACCCAAACUGAAACACCUUCAAACCCAAAGUGAUUGAGCAUCACUGAAGAGAUUGAUCCUGCGUGGAUCCGACGCUUGUUUCCUUUGAAGACUGUGCUUCUUCCAGAUGGUUAGGUGUCAAGGUCUAGAGCAUCCAAGAGGAAUUGUGGAUCACCGAGUGACCGAGUUUGUGAAGGUUCGGAAGUCACCUGAAGACUUACCAUGAGUGAUUGGGCGAGGUCUAUGUGACUUUAGCUCAAGGAGAAUACGGUGAGGACUGUGUGGCCGGGACUGUGUGUCCUUUAGUUUAAGUACCUAGCCGCUCCAACCAGAUGUACAACUGAGACAGCAGUUGGAACUGGUCUACCAAAUCAUUGUCUUCACCAAGCUUACUGGUUCUAUUUUCUCAACUCUUUCAAUUCCUCAUUUCACUUGUUGUGUGCUUGUUCAUAUCUGUUUGAAGACUUUCACUGAAGACUUUCUCAUUUUCCUCAGUUCAAUUUCUUCUGUCUAUCCGUCUUCAUCCUCUAUUAUCCUGUGGUAACGCUUUCUGUACUAUGUGCUUGUCUUCAUUUCAUCAUGAUGACUAUGCUUGUGUUCAGUUAUGUUUACUUCUGAGUACUUAUUCCACUACAAGUAGUUCUUCGCUAAGGAAUUUCCUCACCAGCAAAUUCCUUAGUGAAGAAUUCAUAAAACUCGCCUAUUCACCCCCCUAGUCGAUAUAAUGCACUUUCAAUUGGUAUCAGAGCAAGGUACUCCCUUGUUCUGUGUGAUUUUGGUUUAACCACCUAGAGUUUUAGUUAUGUCGACCGCAGGUAUGAUCAAGGUCUCUGCUGGGUGUCCUACCUUCGAUGGGAUGGACUACCCCUACUGGAAGAAUAAGAUGCGAAUGCAUCUUGAGGCAAUUGAUAACGAUCUCUGGUAUGUUCUAGAAAAUGGUGUUCCCUCAGUCACACCUUCUCUGAACGCUACUGAUGUGAACAGAUUCAAGCAACUCGAUUCUCAAGCGAAGAACAUCAUAUGUGGCCAUCUGAGCAAAGGACAGUAUGGAAGGGUGAGUGCUUUGGAAACUGCUAAGCUUAUCUGGGAUAGGCUGUCCAAAGUAAAUGAAGGAGUCUCAACUCAACAUGACUCUCCUGUUGACGUUCUUCGCAAACUCUUCAACCGCUUCAAAAGACUCGACAAUGAAAAUGUUCAACAAACCUUCGAUCGCCUCACUGACAUCUCAAAUGAGCUUCAAGCACUUGGUACCACUGACAUCACUGAUCAUGAGGUGGUGAAGAAAUUGAUGAGAUCGCUUGAUUCCUCAUUUGAUACUCUGGCACUGAUGAUUCAAGAGUGUGCUGAUUACAAGUCACUUCAUCCCGCUGAUAUCCUUGAGAGGCUAAACACUCAUGAGUUCUAGCUUGCUGAGAAGAGAGAUCUCUAUGGUUCAAGCUAUGGCAAACCACAUGCUCUGAAAGCCAAGGCAGUCUCUGAGUCAGAAGAUGAAGACUCUGGCAGUAGCCUUGGCGAUCCUGAUGAACUGAGCCAGGAACUAGCACUUCUCGUGAAGAAAUUCCAGAACUUCUCAAGACGUGGUCGCUUUGGCAAAUCCUCAAGGAGUAAUGAUUCCUCAUCCAGUGACUACAAGAAGAGGCUAUGCCAUAAAUGCAAGAAGCCUGGUCACUACAUUCAAGAUUGUCCUCGGUGGGAUAAGGAAUUAAAGAAGAAGAAGUACAAGGAUUACAGUUCUGAUGAUGCCAAGAAGAAGAAUAAGAAAUCUUCAAAGUCUUCAUCAUCAAAAUCAUCAAAAUCUUCAUCUCACAAGAAGAGCAGCUCCAAGAAGGCUCAGGCAUUCAUUGGCAAGGAAAUGGCCUCUGAGGCUGAAUCUGAGGAACAUGAGGAAGAGGAGGCAUCUGAGGAGUCCGAGUCUGGUGUGGCAAGCCUAGCUCUUGCUAUUGCAUUCGUCAGCAAGUCUAUCUUCAACUCUGAAGAAAAUGGUAUCACCAACAAGGAUGAUGAAGGCAAUGAUGACUAUGCUCCCACCUAUUGCUUCAUGGCAAAGGGUGCCAAGGUAACUAAAUACCCCUCCUCUGAAUCUAGUGAGGAUGAAUCUAAUGAAAACCUCAAGCCUAGCUACUCUAAACUUGCUAAGAUUGCUGUGAAACAACAAAAGGCUAUUGAAAAGGUUCAAAACAUGCUAGACAAGAGUGAUGAUAUGUUAAGUGAAGAAAUGGAUCGCUCUCAAACCUCGACUGAAAAUCUUUAGAGACUUCAGUCUAAGUUUGACAACCUUCAAGGUCAUCAUAGCACUCUCUUGUCUGAUCACGAGAAGCUUUCUUAUGAAUUUCUUCAAAGAAAGCAAGAUCUUGAGAAGCUAAGAGUGAGUUAUGAAGAUCUUUAGAAGGAGCGUGAUUCAUUGCUUGCUCAACAAAUCAGCGCUACUCAGGAAGAAUUUGUUCCUCCAUGUUUGAAGUGCAUUGAACGUGAAACUGCUAAUUCUUCACCUGAAUGUUCAAAUGUUUCUAAUGCUACAAAUUCUUCAUAUGUCUCUGCUAUCACUAAUUGCUCAUCUGAGGACAUUGCUAGUAUCACUGAUGAUGUAGGGCUGAAGGAAUUGUACAUGACAGGCAUGUACAAAAGCCUCAAAGGGCAUCAGAUUCUUUGUGAUGUGCUUAAAAAGCAGAUCCUCAACAGGAACCCUAGGAAAGAGGGUAUUGCCUUUGAGAGGAAACUCAAUGCUGAUGGAACAUAUUGAAAGCCUGAGCAGUACCCCAAAACCUCAUGGGUUGCUGCAAAGGGACCUCCAGUUGAUCCAACCAAUUUAUCUGGCUUUACAUGUGAAUCUCUUCAUUCUUCUGAUGAGUCAUUUGACUCCAACUAUAAACUGUUCAAAAAUCAGAAUGGUGAAGUAUUUGCCAGAUAUGUUGGCACUAACUGCAGGGACGGUUCUCCUAUGACGAAAAUCUGGGUUCCCAAAAGGUGCCUUGAAAGUCUUCAGGUGAAUGUCCUCAUGACACCACCUGUGAAGAAUUGGAACCCCAGAUCAAAUUCUUCAUAUGGACCGAAUUCUUCAUAUGGAUCCAAGUCCUCAAACAGAAAAAAAUUCCUCACGUGGAUCAAAUUCCUCAAAAGGAUCAAAGUCCUCAUAUGAUCAUCGUCGUGCUAACUCCUCUGUUUCGCAGGGAAGAGCUAAGGGCUAUGAAUAUGAGCAUUAUUCUUCUAACCAUUAUGUUCAUAAGUCCUCGAAGAAUUUCUCUGCUUAUUCAUUUGCUUAUCCUAAUGUAACGCCCUCGAUGCGGCUAUAUCUCCCACGUGUCGAAGCACGACUUAGAGGCAUAACCGCAUUGAAAGCAAUGUCGCAAGUGAGGUAAUCUUCACACAACCCAUGCAAUACAUAAGGGAAAGAGAUACAUAGUUGGCUUACAAUCGCCACUUCACACAAUUACAUGAAUAAAGCAUUACAUCAUCCAGAUACAAUCAAGGUCCGACUACGGAACCAAAAUAAAAGAAGAACCCCAAAUGCGACAAAGGUCCCCGAUCGACCCCAACUGGGCUCCACUACUGAUCAACUAGAACGAAACAACACAAAGGGCAAGAUAUUCAUCGAGCUCCUCCUUAAGCUUGGUUGCGUCAUCUGCACGGUAACAUAGGCACCUGCAAACUGGUUUUGGAAGUAUCUGUGAGCCACGGGGACUCAGCAAUCUCACACCCGCGAGAUCAAGACUAUUUAAGCUUAUAGGAAGGAUGGAGUAAUGAGGUGGAGCUGCAGCAAGCGACUAGCAUAUAUGGUGGCUACAAUCGCAAAAGAGAGCGAGAAGAGAGGGCAAAGCACGGUCGAUAAAAGUAUGAUCAAGAAGUGAUCCUAUAGCAACCUACGUCAAGCAUAACUCCAACACCGUGUUCACUUCCCGGACUCCGCCGAGAAGAGACCAUCACGGUUACACACACGGUUGAUGUAUUUUAAAUAAGGUCAACUUCGGGUUUUCUACAACCGGACGUUAACAAAUUCCCAUCUGCCCAUAACCGCGGGCACGGCUUUCGAAAGAUAAUACCCUGCAGGGGUGUCCCAACUUAGCCCAUCACAAGCUCUCACGGUCAACGAAGGAAUAGACCUCCACCCGAGACACUCCAAUCAGACUCGGUAUCCCGGUACAACAAGACAUUUCGACAGGGUAAAACUAAACCAGCAACACCGCCCGAAUGUGCCGACAAAUCCCGAUAGGAGCUGCACAUAUCUCUUUCUCAGGGCACACUCAGAUGAGCAAUCCGUACAACUAAAACCAANNNNNNNNNNUCCCAUUAUAGCCCAACCGUGUAAGGAACGCAAAAUCCGGGAACAUAACACCGAUAUGACGGAAACUAGGGCGGCAAGAGUGGAACAAAACACCAGGCAUAAGGCCGAGCCUUCCACCCUUUACCAAGUAUAUAGAUGCAUUAAUUAAAUAAGAUAUAUUGUGAUAUCCCAACAAGUAAACAUGUUCCAACAAGGAACAACAUCUCCAUGUUCCAACAAGGAACAAACUCCAAUCUUCACCUGCAACUAACAACGCUAUAAGAGGGGCUAAGCAAAGCGGUAACAUAGCCAAUCAACGGUUUGCUAGGACAUGGUGGGUUAGAGGUUUGACAUGGCAAUUUGGGAGGCUGACAAGCAAAUGGUAGGCAUCGUAGCAUUGGCAUAGCAAAAGAGCGAGCAAACUAGCAUAGCAAAGAUAGUGGUGAUUUCGAGGGUAUGAUCAUCUUGCCUGAAAUCCCGCAAGGAAGAAGAACGAGUCCAUGAAGAAGACAAACGGACGUAGACGAACGGAUCCUCACAACUCCGGAACGAAACCGAAGCUAACGAGAGAAGCAACCCGGAAAGAAACAAACAACAUGGUAAACAACCAGCACAUCAACAUGGCAUGAUGCACAAUCAAGUAUGAUGCAUGUCCGGUUUAAUGAGGCAUGGCAUGGAAAAAUGAAGCAAACAACACUACAAUUUAAGUGGAGCUCAAUAUGCACGAGUUGCAUAUUGACGGAACACCACAUCAAUUAUUUAGUUCUCUCUCGGUUAAGCUACCCAACAAUAUUAACUGUUGUUAAACAUGGCAAGAGGUGAAGCAUAAUAUAAACUAUACCAUCUAAACAAUUUAAAUGGGGCCGGAUAUAAAAACGACAAAUCCGGUAAAUCCCCAUAUGCAUUUAGCAAUUUAAUGCAACAACAAGUUUAAACAUUUUAAAUGUUGUUAUCAUGAUGCGGAUGACAUAUACAAGUUUUAUGCAAUUUUAUGAAAAUGUUGACAUGAGCAUGUUAUGAAGCAUUUGGUCACCAUGGCGGAACAAAAAGGGUGCCACGGCGGCGAAACAAAAAUGGUGCCACGGCAACAUUCCGGUCCCGGUAACUCAUGGAGAUACCGGUGCAAAAAGGAAAAGUGACGAGAGCGUGACAUGCGAUAGAAGGUGGGGUGAUCCCGGAUACCGGGUUCCCACGGGAUAGUGGCAUGGAAACGAGUGACAAACGGACACGAUGCAAAAACGGGCAUCUCAUACAACAAGCAUUCGGUCCAUGGACAUCGUCUCGGGGUUAUACCUUCGAAGCGUGCGUUUUCGGAGCGGUUCGAGUUCGGUACGAUGUAGAGGAAGUAGACGUUCUCGGGUCGUCGUGGGAAGUAGUUGUACAUGACGACGGUAGUGGUACAUAUCGUAGUGGAAGUAGUUGUUCAUGUCCCGUGGAUGUUCGGGGCCCACGGGGUCUUCGAGGGUCGACGGUAGUGGUUCACGGACAUCGUGGAAGUAGUCGUACAUGUCGGCGAUAGUGGAACUUGGCGGUCUCGACGGUCAUCGGGGUACUUGUUGGUCCGGUCUUGGCGUCCGCAAUCGUAGUGGUACUUAGCGGUUUCGUGUAGUCGAACUCGGCGCAUCCGAAGGGGUACUUGACGAAAUCCACCUCGGAUGUAGUCGUACACGGUGUUGGUAGAGGAACUUGGCGGUCCAUGUACUCAAACUUGGCGCGUCCAAAGGGGAUGACCGGCUGGGCUGCUACUUCGGUUGGCGUGGCAGCGAGGCAAAGGAGCUCGUGCUCCUUGGCAACGAGAGGCUCGGGGCAUGAGCAGGGUCGAAGAGGGCCGAGGCAGGAGGCGAGCCGCGUGGUUGGCUGAUGGUAGCCGCGGCCAUGGAGGUCAACAAGCAUGGCCAUGCAGUCAUCCUCCUGCUCGAGGCAGAGGAUGCAGGGGCGACGACCACGCCGGACUUGAGGGCGGGGACGGCGAGGGGAGGCGGAGGCAGAGAUGGUCCGGCACGGAGAAGUCGCAGGCGAGGUGCGGGCGAGCUCGUGCUCGAGUGCCUGAAGACGAUGACGCGGCGGCAGAGAAGCGGGCGGUGGCGCUGGAAGAAGGCAGCGGCGGCGGACUGGGCGCAGGAGAUGGCGCGACGGGCGACGAGGAGGUCGGGGCUCCGGCCUGGCUCUCUCCUCCGGCGAGGGCGGAGCGCGGGAGCAAGGGGAGGCAAUGGCGACGAGCUCGAGGAGCUGCUGCCCUUGAGCGCUCGGGCGACGGGGACGGCUGGCGCCGGUGGAGGGAGGAGGCGACGGGGUCGCGCGCGAGGGAGAAAGAAGGGCGAGGUGGAGGCGCACCGGAGGGGAAGGGGAAGAUCGAGGAGAGGGGGCGAGGGGAUCGGGCGCAGGGAGCUCGAUGGGGAACGAGGGAAAGGGGGUCGAGAGGAUGCAGUCUCUCCUGAGCGGCGGCGCGAGGGAACGAGAGGGAGCGAUCGAGAAGAGGGGGUCGGGCUAGGGUUAUGUAGCGGCGUGGCUGGGCCUUGGGCCUAGGGAGACUGGGCCGGCCUGGUGGGGAGGGGAAUGGCCAGAGGCCUGGCUGGGUCUCUCCCUCACUCUAAUGAAAAAUAAAAUAGAACAGAGAAAAGAAAGAAAAGAAAGAGAGGUUUAGGGAAAGGAUUUGCGCAUGGAGACAAUUUUCCCGGACUCACAAAAAUGAGCUUGUUCCAAGAAAAAUAGAAAGGCCAAGAUUGAAAGAUUUAAAUUCAAACUCAUUUGAAUUUAAUUCAAAUGGGUUUGAACGGAAGUGAGGGUUUGGGAAGGUCCAAAAAUGUUCGGAUUUUUGGUGGAGCUCCGAAAAAUGAUGAAAUAAUUAUUGGCAAGGUCGGAGACCAAACUUGAAGCAUAAAAGAAACGAAAUUAUUUUGCAAGUGUGUUUUGGUGAUUUCCGAAAUAAAGAAAUAUUUAAUAUAGCUCCCUAAUAUUGGAGGAUAUGUUAUAAAGAGAAGUCACCAUGUGAGUCCCUCGAUUUAAAUGGAUCAAAAAAAUCCAUACAAUUUAUUUAGUUGAGUUUUAAAAAAAAUGACAUGAUGGCAUGAUGCAAUGCAAACGAUGCAACAAACAAAACAAAUCACACGACGAAACUCGGAAUAGCUGGAAGUCUUCUGGAGCGUCGGUCUCGGGGCAUUACAACACUCCACCACUACAAGAGGAUCUCGUCCCGAGAUCUAGGAUGGCACCGGAGGGAAACGGAAGAGGAAGAUAAGCGGUAAAACUAAGUUGCUUCUUUGACAAACGAGUGAAUCCAAAGAACCUUGAAAGGUUAAUCCAUUUCGAGAAAAGAAUACAAAGGAGAUGAACGAGAUUGCAAACAAUCCGUUAGAAAGAGGAACAAGGAACAUUACGAGAACUUGAAGGUUGCAAAGACAUGAAUCAAGAGUUUAAUGGACAAGAUAGAAUUCGAAACCACUCCGGUUAAAACAAGAUGAGAGGGGAAGAAUUCGGGCAGUACUCCGGUUGAACAUGGAAGGAAUAGAACAUGAACUUGAGAAGAUGGGAUGUUACUUGAUGAAAUCAACAACACACUGCCUCCGGAACUAUUGAAAGAAUGGCACAAUGGGUAAGAAGGAUUUCAGACAGCUCUCUAGUUGAGGAAGGAGGGAAAACUUGAUAAGAUUAGAGAACUCGAAUGAAAACACGACACUCCGGUUAAAUGGAUAAGCAAGAAAAGAACACGAUCCUCACGAAUCGAGAUGGUGAGUGAAAAAGAGCAACGUCACAAUGCCUCCGAAAGAAAUAAUAGAAGAUAUAUCAUUGGAAUAACAGAAUGGAGAAGAAAAUGCCAACUUCUGCCACAAAUGAGUUUGGAAAGCAUCCUUGCAAAGAAGAAUUGAACAGAGUUGUUGGAAAAUCAACAACGAAAAGCACAAGCUUGUAGUGGGCUUAUGGAAAACAUCUCAAAAUUAUGAGGUGACAACCGGCCACUAACGGAAACAAUUGCUUGCUUGAGAUCAACGAAGAGAUGAAAACUUCUUCCACCAAGAUGAUAAAGAGAUAACUUGGAUCAUUGGCAAGCACCACAAAUAGCAACAUUCCCAAUGGAAGGCUUUUAGGUGAAAUAUGACACAAGAUAACUCCAACAACGAGGUUGAUGGAUUUAAAAAUAACCCAUUCUUAACAACAUGUGAAUCAUGGAACAUGAACUCAAAUUAUCAAGAAUGACAUAAUACCACCUCCAAAAUAUGGUAGAAAGAAUUGCACUCCAGAUUACCAUAUGAAGAAAGCUUGAGCUCCUUAGGAAAGAAUCUCGAUGAAAACUUUGAGAAGGGAAUUAAAUCCUUGAUGAACCAUCAUGUAGAACCUCCAUGAAGAACUCCGGUAAACAAAAGGAAUGAGAAGAAAGAGAAAUUGAAAACACAAGGUGAAUCCUUGCAAUGAUUUAGAUGGAUCUCCGUGAUAAUUAGCACUUGGAACUCCGGGAAAAAGAGAAGAUGAAACAAAUGAAACCAAGAAUUUUAAGGGCCUUCGGAAUAACGAAUUAAUCACUUGGAUGAACAAGAAUAAGAAUUAUGUUAUGCUUAUCCUUCACCAAUUAAAUUGACGACAAUCAACGGAUUUGGCAUACUACUUAUUCUCGUAGAAAGGAUUAAAAGAGAUAUAGCGUAAACUUGAGAAGGUCUUCAACGAACCACCGGUACGAUUGGAACAACAAAUGAAUUGAUAUGAUGAACAAGGAAGAGAGAUCUUGAAAGAACCACCGUAAGAAUUGAAAAUGAUCGAAGUAGGGGUGCAUCACCGGUAAGAAUUAGCAAAUGAAUGAAGGUGCUUGAGACAAACUAGAUACAUGAGAACAAAGAGAUCAAGAACUGAUUAGAGGAUAUUCGAUUAAUGCACCGGCAAGAUAGGAGAAUGAUAACUGACGGCUGAGAAUGAAUAAACCUGAAUUGAUGGACUCCGGAUGACAAACUGAGAAGACUCUUGAAUAUCUCCUGAUGGGUGAAAAAGAUUCUCACAAUCGAAAACAAUUAUGAGAGGAUGGCAACAAGCUAGCACCAUGAAUCUUGAAGAGAAUAGAGCAAGAUUAAAGAGAAACUCUUCUUCGGUCUUCAAAUGAUGAGAAUGACAACGAGAAACACCACCAAGAAUUAUUGAGGCACACCGGAAGAAUCAAAAGCGAAGAGGUUGAGCCAACUAUGAAAAGAAUUUGAAAGAUCUUGGAGAAAAAGCACUUGACUAAUGAUAACUCAUUCUUACGUCAAACUUGGAGAAGAAUUUAGGAUAGCUCUGGGAAAAUAGAAGAGUCAGGUAAGAUCCUGGGAAAAGACCUGUGGGUUAGGGCCCACUCAAAAGAAACACCGUUGAACAAUUUGAAGAGAGAUAAUGAACCGGUUGAAAUAAAAGACUUGAAUGAGAGAACAUCCUCGAAAGAUCUUGAACGAAUGCAAAGUGGAAACACGAAUCUUCGAGAUAUCUUGAGCACUCCGGAACAAUUUAAUAGCGAGAGAUGGAUGAUUAAGAGGUGCACCGGCAUAAGAAAAGCAUUGGAAAAAAAAGAAAAGGAGUAUGCUUAAUACCAAAGCUUGAAUUAAAUCCACCGGAGAAGAAAAGAACGAGGAAUGACGAACUUGAAGCUCCAUUAGAAUCUUCAUGAGAAUCACCGGAUAAGAACAUUGACGGAAAAGAAUGGAGAAACUUCCCAUCAAUAAAAUGGAUACUUGAAGAAGAAAUCUUAGUCCUUGAAGAAAAACAAAAGGGAGGGAGGGUGGGAAAAACAAAGGCAACUUGGAGACGNNNNNNNNNNAAAAAGAAAAGGAGUAUGCUUAAUACCAAAGCUUGAAUUAAAUCCACCGGAGAAGAAAAGAACGAGGAAUGACGAACUUGAAGCUCCAUUAGAAUCUUCAUGAGAAUCACCGGAUAAGAACAUUAACGGAAAAGAAUGGAGAAACUUCCCAUCAAUAAAAUGGAUACAUGAAUAAGAUAUAUGAGUCCUUGAACAAAAAGGGUGGGAGGGCGGGAAAAACAAAGGCAACUUGGGGCAGCUGGAAUGAACACCGUUGAGAAAACUUAGAAUUGAUCUUGCGGAUGGGGAGAAUGAUCAGAUCCACUUGAAGAGAGACACACUGGUUGAAAAGGAUUGGCAAGACAAUCUCGAUUGUCGAGAAGGAUUAGUAUUCACAUAGGAAUAUGAGAACACCAUUUGGAAAAGGUGUGGAAUCAACAUUUAACUUCGAAGCAACUCGAAUACCACAACUCAAAACAAAACAAAGGAUUGGCUUGCAAAAUAAGCCAGAACAAACAUAUGAUAGAGAUUUCGUCCGAAGUUUUCGUGGUGGGGCCUACACGGGCUCGAUCGUACAGCACCAUCAUGUACAAGGCAGUGCACAUGACAUACGAAGCGUCCCCGAGUCGGCAUAGCCAAGGACUCUUUAAGACACAACGAGACCACUGUAAAAUCGACCGUGAAUAGGCGGACCACUAGACGUCGAACCCCAAUUUCAUAUCAUACAUCUGUUGGAAAGAUAUCCUAAGAGCUACUUGAAUUCCCACCUAUGAAACUCCCGAAAUUUUCAGGUUAUGCAAUCAGGUGUUGGGGAUACAGGGGAAGCAUAAUAUCUCACCCAAAACUAGCAAAUCCUACAUCCAGCUGUAUCCAUCCUUCAACACAUAACCAAGAAAACUUCGGAAACCGUCUACCUCAACCUUCGAAAAGCAUCCGUUAUACGAGUCAUGGCAAUACUCCCGUACUCACCUCAGUACUGGGUUAUCGGGGUUAUCUCACCAACAACUGCAUAAAAGAGAUUUUCGAUGUCGGCGUACUAAACUCAGGUAUUCCAGAACUGCAACGAUAAAAUUAUGACGACAACACCUCAGAGCUCAACUCCCCGGGACACUUCCACUAAACCCCUGACAGGAGGCACCAAGACAAUGUUCUCAUCAUAAAACCAUCAGAACGAUUCCAAGAUACCCGCGUGAUCCUAAAAAUUUUUAGUGAAAUUUGAGAAGAGAAGAGUCAAAACUCUACGUCAGGAUGCCUUACCAGAGCGAUGAAGAGACUGGGGAGUAAAAAGAAUUCCUAACUCUCCGAUAUAUAAUUCCUAAAUGACUCAAAACAUUUUUCUAGACACAACUCGGCCGCUAAAAACGAUCAAGCAGUGGGGCUCCUAAGGUCGGGGAAGGCUCUGAUUACCAACUUGUAACGCCCUCGAUGCGGCUAUAUCUCCCACGUGUCGAAGCACGACUUAGAGGCAUAACCGCAUUGAAAGCAAUGUCGCAAGUGAGGUAAUCUUCACACAACCCAUGCAAUACAUAAGGGAAAGAGAUACAUAGUUGGCUUACAAUCGCCACUUCACACAAUUACAUGAAUAAAGCAUUACAUCAUCCAGAUACAAUCAAGGUCCGACUACGGAACCAAAAUAAAAGAAGAACCCCAAAUGCGACAAAGGUCCCCGAUCGACCCCAACUGGGCUCCACUACUGAUCAACUAGAACGAAACAACACAAAGGGCAAGAUAUUCAUCGAGCUCCUCCUUAAGCUUGGUUGCGUCAUCUGCACGGUAACAUAGGCACCUGCAAACUGGUUUUGGAAGUAUCUGUGAGCCACGGGGACUCAGCAAUCUCGCACCCGCGAGAUCAAGACUAUUUAAGCUUAUAGGAAGGAUGGAGUAAUGAGGUGGAGCUGCAGCAAGCGACUAGCAUAUAUGGUGGCUACAAUCGCAAAAGAGAGCGAGAAGAGAGGGCAAAGCACGGUCGAUAAAAGUAUGAUCAAGAAGUGAUCCUAUAGCAACCUACGUCAAGCAUAACUCCAACACCGUGUUCACUUCCCGGACUCCGCCGAGAAGAGACCAUCAUGGUUACACACACGGUUGAUGUAUUUUAAAUAAGGUCAACUUCGGGUUUUCUACAACCGGACGUUAACAAAUUCCCAUCUGCCCAUAACCGCGGGCACGGCUUUCGAAAGAUAAUACCCUGCAGGGGUGUCCCAACUUAGCCCAUCACAAGCUCUCACGGUCAACGAAGGAAUAGACCUCCACCCGAGACACUCCGAUCAGACUCGGUAUCCCGGUACAGCAAGACAUUUCGACAGGGUAAAACUAAACCAGCAACACCGCCCGAAUGUGCCGACAAAUCCCGAUAGGAGCUGCACAUAUCUCUUUCUCAGGGCACACUCAGAUGAGCAAUCCGUACAACUAAAACCAAACCUCGAGUUUCCCCGAGGGGGCGCUGCACAGGGCUCUAGUUCGGACCAACACUCAGAGGAGCACUGGCCCGGGGGGGUUAAAAAAANNNNNNNNNNNNNNNNNNNNNNNNNNNNNNNNNNNNNNNNNNNNNNNNNNNNNNNNNNNNNNNNNNNNNNNNNNNNNNNNNNNNNNNNNNNNNNNNNNNNNNNNNNNNNNNNNNNNNNNNNNNNNNNNNNNNNNNNNNNNNNNNNNNNNNNNNNNNNNNNNNNNNNNNNNNNNNNNNNNNNNNNNNNNNNNNNNNNNNNNNNNNNNNNNNNNNNNNNNNNNNNNNNNNNNNNNNNNNNNNNNNNNNNNNNNNNNNNNNNNNNNNNNNNNNNNNNNNNNNNNNNNNNNNNNNNNNNNNNNNNNNNNNNNNNNNNNNNNNNNNNNNNNNNNNNNNNNNNNNNNNNNNNNNNNNNNNNNNNNNNNNNNNNNNNNNNNNNNNNUCCCAUUAUAGCCCAACCGUGUAAGGAACGCAAAAUCCGGGAACAUAACACCGAUAUGACGGAAACUAGGGCGGCAAGAGUGGAACAAAACACCAGGCAUAAGGCCGAGCCUUCCACCCUUUACCAAGUAUAUAGAUGCAUUAAUUAAAUAAGAUAUAUUGUGAUAUCCCAACAAGUAAACAUGUUCCAACAAGGAACAACAUCUCCAUGUUCCAACAAGGAACAAACUCCAAUCUUCACCUGCAACUAACAACGCUAUAAGAGGGGCUAAGCAAAGCGGUAACAUAGCCAAUCAACGGUUUGCUAGGACAUGGUGGGUUAGAGGUUUGACAUGGCAAUUUGGGAGGCUGACAAGCAAAUGGUAGGCAUCGUAGCAUUGGCAUAGCAAAAGAGCGAGCAAACUAGCAUAGCAAAGAUAGUGGUGAUUUCGAGGGUAUGAUCAUCUUGCCUGAAAUCCCGCAAGGAAGAAGAACGAGUCCAUGAAGAAGACAAACGGACGUAGACGAACGGAUCCUCACAACUCCGGAACGAAACCGAAGCUAACGAGAGAAGCAACCCGGAAAGAAACAAACAACAUGGUAAACAACCAGCACAUCAACAUGGCAUGAUGCACAAUCAAGUAUGAUGCAUGUCCGGUUUAAUGAGGCAUGGCAUGGAAAAAUGAAGCAAACAACACUACAAUUUAAGUGGAGCUCAAUAUGCACGAGUUGCAUAUUGACGGAACACCACAUCAAUUAUUUAGUUCUCUCUCGGUUAAGCUACCCAACAAUAUUAACUGUUGUUAAACAUGGCAAGAGGUGAAGCAUAAUAUAAACUAUACCAUCUAAACAAUUUAAAUGGGGCCGGAUAUAAAAACAACAAAUCCGGUAAAUCCCCAUAUGCAUUUAGCAAUUUAAUGCAACAACAAGUUUAAACAUUUUAAAUGUUGUUAUCAUGAUGCGGAUGACAUAUACAAGUUUUAUGCAAUUUUAUGAAAAUGUUGACAUGAGCAUGUUAUGAAGCAUUUGGUCACCAUGGCGGAACAAAAAGGGUGCCACGGCGGCGAAACAAAAAUGGUGCCGCGGCAACAUUCCGGUCCCGGUAACUCAUGGAGAUACCGGUGCAAAAAGGAAAAGUGACGAGAGCGUGACAUGCGAUAGAAGGUGGGGUGAUCCGGGAUACCGGGUUCCCACGGGAUAGUGGCAUGGAAACGAGUGACAAACGGACACGAUGCAAAAACGGGCAUCUCAUACAACAAGCAUUCGGUCCACGGACAUCGUCUCGGGGUUAUACCUUCGAAGCGUGCGUUUUCGGAGCGGUUCGAGUUCGGUAGAUGUAGAGGAAGUAGACGUUCUCGGGUCGUCGUGGGAAGUAGUUGUACAUGACGACGGUAGUGGUACAUAUCGUAGUGGAAGUAGUUGUUCAUGUCCCAUGGAUGUUCGGGGCCCAUGGGGUCUUCGAGGGUCGACGGUAGUGGUUCACGGACAUCGUGGAAGUAGUCGUACAUGUCGGCGAUAGUGGAACUUGGCGGUCUCGACGGUCAUCGGGGUACUUGUUGGUCCGGUCUUGGCGUCCGCAAUCGUAGUGGUACUUAGCGGUUUCGUGUAGUCGAACUCGGCGCAUCCGAAGGGGUACUUGAUGAAAUCCACCUCGGAUGUAAUCGUACACGGCGUCGGUAGAGGAACUUGGCGGUCCAUGUACUCAAACUUGGCGCGUCCAAAGGGGAUGACCGGCUGGGCUGCUACUCCGGUUGGCGUGGCAGCGAGGCAAAGGAGCUCGUGCUCCUUGGCAACGAGAGGCUCGGGGCAUGAGCAGGGUCGAAGAGGGCCGAGGCAGGGGGCGAGCCGCGUGGUUCGCUGAUGGUAGCCGCGUCCAUGGAGGUCAACGAGCGUGGCCAUGCAGUCAUCCUCCUGCUCGAGGCAGAGGAUGCAGGGGCGACGACCACGCCGGACUUGAGGACGGGGACGGCGAGGGGAGGCGGAGGCAGAGAUGGUCCGGCAUGGAGAAGUCGCAGGCGAGGUGCGGGCGAGCUCGUGCUUGAGUGCCUGAAGACGAUGACGCGGCGGCAGAGAAGCGGGCGGUGGCGCUGGAAGAAGGCAGCGGCGGCGGACUGGGCGCAGGAGAUGGCACGACGGGCGACGAGGAGGUCGGGGCUCCGGCCUGGCUCUCUCCUCCGGCGAGGGCGGAGCGCGGGAGCAAGGGGAGGCAGUGGCGACGAGCUCGAGGAGCUGCUGCCCUUGAGCGCUCGGGCGACGGGGACGACUGGCGCCGGUGGAGGGAGGAGGCGACGGGGUCGCGCGCGAGGGAGAAAGAAGGGCGAGGUGGAGGCGCACCGGAGGGGAAGGGGAAGAUCGAGGAGAGGGGGCGAGGGGAUCGGGCGCAGGGAGCUCGAUGGGGAACGAGGGAAAGGGGGUCGAGAGGAUGGAGUCUCUCCUGAGCGGCGGCGCGAGGGAAUGAGAGGGAGCGAUCGAGAAGAGGGGGUCGGGCUAGGGUUAGGUAGCGGCGUGGCUGGGCCUUGGGCCUAGGGAGACUGGGCCGGCCUGGUGGGGAGGGGAAUGGCCAGAGGCCUGGCUGGGUCUCUCCCUCACUCUAAUGAAAAAUAAAAUAGAACAGAGAAAAGAAAGAAAAGAAAGAGAGGUUUAGGGAAAGGAUUUGCGCAUGGAGACAAUUUUCCCGGACUCACAAAAAUGAGCUUGUUCCAAGAAAAAUAGAAAGGCCAAGAUUGAAAGAUUUAAAUUCAAACUCAUUUGAAUUUAAUUCAAAUGGGUUUGAACGGAAGUGAGGGUUUGGGAAGGUCCAAAAAUGUUCGGAUUUUUGGUGGAGCUCCGGAAAAUGAUGAAAUAAUUAUUGGCAAGGUCGGAGACCAAACUUGAAGCAUAAAAGAAACGAAAUUAUUUUGCAAGUGUGUUUUGGUGAUUUCCGAAAUAAAGAAAUAUUUAAUAUAGCUCCCUAAUAUUGGAGGAUAUGUUAUAAAGAGAAGUCACCAUGUGAGUCCCUCGAUUUAAAUGGAUCAAAAAAAUCCAUACAAUUUAUUUAGUUGAGUUUUAAAAAAAAAUGACAUGAUGGCAUGAUGCAAUGCAAACGAUGCAACAAACAAAACAAAUCACACGACGAAACUCGGAAUAGCUGGAAGUCUUCUGGAGCGUCGGUCUCGGGGCGUUACACCUAACUCCUUUUAUGUGAAACGAAAUGGAUUGGCUUCUAUGCCACCUUUCUCAUAUGGAGCUCGCAGAGUGAUUAAUUCUUUGCCACCCCUUCAGAUGUGGAUGGUGAAGAAAAGGAACUAAUCUCGUAUGCAGGGUCAGGUCUCCAGAAGUACAUGAAACGUCUGAAGAAUUUGCUGGAGACCUGAAAGUUGCCUGAAAGGACGCAGGCUAAUCAUGAAGAAAUGAACUUUCAUUUCUCACGUCCUCAUACUAUUUUAUCUAUUCUACUACCUGGUGAUAUUGAUGUCAUAUUCUUCACUGAUGAAGUAUAUGAGUUCGUAAGUUGCACUAAUUCAUCUGCAGGAUAAUCAACCCAAAGCCAAUGAGUGGGUCCUCGAUAGUGGAUGUACGAAUCACAUGACUGGUGACAAGAAUCUAUUGAUGGAUGCUCCCUUGUCACCAUUGCAUCUGAAGCAUAUCAUCUUUGCUAACAAAGGCAAAAGUCAGGUAUUGAGUCUAGGUAAGGUUGCGAUCUCAAAGGAUCGACACAUGGACAAAGUCAUGCUUGUCGAGUCCUUGGGAUACAACCUCAUGUCUGUCUCGAUGCUUUGUGAUCUCGAUAUGGUUGUUGUCUUUGGCAAAUAUCGUUGUGUUGUGAUCAUAGAAGCUGACAAUUCCAAAGUCUUCGAAGGCUUUAGGAGAGGAGACUUGUACAUUGUUGAUUUCUCUACAGGACCACAACCGGCCGUAUGCCUACUUGCAAAAGCUUCAGAAGGCUGGCUAUGGCAUCGACGACUUGGUCAUGCUGGCAUGAGGAAUUUGCACACGCUUGCGAAGAAGAAGCAUGUCAUUGGCAUUGAGAAUGUCAAAUUCCUCAAGGAUCAUUUAUGUGGAGCCCGUGAAGCUGGAAAGAUGACCAAGGCCAAACAUCCAGCAAAGACUAUCAUGACUACCACUCGACCAUUUGAAUUGCUUCACAUGGAUCUCUUUGGUCCUAAUCAUUAUUCUGCAAUUUUAAAUGAUGCAUCUCAAUAUGGCUUUGUUAUUGUUAAUGAUUAUUCUCGUUACACAUGAGUGCACAUUAUCACUUACAAACAUGAGGUGCAGGAAGUCUUCAAACGAUUUUCCUCGAGGGCUUCAACCAACUUUGGUGUGAAGAUCAAGCACAUCAGAAGUGACAAUGGGACUGAGUUCAAGAAUUCUGGUCUUGAUGGCUAUCUUGAUGAACUUGGUAUUACUCAUGAGUUAUCUGCUCCUUAUACUCCUCAGCAGAAUGGCGUUGUGGAGCGCAAGAACAGAACUCUUGCUGAGAUGGCUCGCACUAUGCUUGAUGAAUACAAGACGCCUCAACGUUUUUGGAUUGAUGCAAUUGAUACUGCGUGCCACGUCAUCAACAGAGUAUAUCUUCACAAAUUCUUCAAGAAGACUGCUUAUGAACUCCUCACUGACAAAAAGCCCAAUGUCAGUUAUUUCAAAGUCUUCGGUGCUAAAUGUUGGAUUAGAGAUCCUCAUCACAGUUCUAAAUUUUUCACCGAAAGCACAUGAGGGUUUUAUGCUUGGUUACGGAAAGGACUCGCACACCUACAGAGUCUUCAACAUUGUUCUUCACAAAGUUGUUGAAACUGUAGAUGUGCGGUUCGAUGAAACUAAUGGCUCGCAAAGAGAGCACCUACCUUCUGUGAUAGAUGAACCAGCACCUGAGGAAUCUAUCAAGUUCAAGGCUACUGAGGAUAUCAUUCCUACCAAAGAAUCCGCUGAAGAAUUCAUUCCAGAACGUGACGAACAUCAAGCUGGAGCACCUGAAGAAAAUGGUGUUGAGGAAAAUGGUCCUGAAGAAAAUGCGGAUCAAAUUCCUCGAUGACAACCCACUCAUCCUCGCGUUGCAAACGAAGUGCAAAUUGAGAGAAUCAUCGAUGACAUUGAAGCACCAGGUCCUCUCACACACUCAAAAGCUUCACAUUUUUCUAACUUUUGUGGGCACUUUGCUUUUGUCUCUAUCACAGAGCCCAGUAAGGUAGAUGAAGCAUUUCUGGAGCCUGAGUGGAUUCAAGCUAUGCAAGAAGAUUUACAUCAGUUCGAGCUCAACAACGUCUGGGAACUGGUCAAUCGCCCAGAUCCUCGCAAGCACAACAUCAUUGGCACAAAGUGGAUCUACCGCAACAAGCAAGAUGAAAAUGGCCUUGUGGUGAGGAAUAAGGCACGUCUUGUAGCUCAAGGCUACACACAGGUUGAAGGAAUCGAUUUUGAUGAAACUUUUGCACCUGUUGCUAGACUUGAGGCUAUUCGCAUAUUACUUGCUUAUGCUAACCAUCAUAAUAUCACUUCAUAUCAAAUGGAUGUGAAAAGUGCAUUCCUCAAUGGUAAGCUUGAGGAAGAAGUAUAUGUUGCUCAACCCCCAGGUUUUGAAGAUCCAAAAAAUCUUGACAAAGUCUUCAGACUUAAUAAGGCCCUAUAUGGCCUCAAGCAGGCCCCUCGGGUGUGGUAUGAUACUUUGACGGAAUUCCUCAUGAAGAAAGGCUUCAAACCCGGUUCACUCGACCCAACUCUUUUCACUAAGUCUUAUGAUGAUGAAUUGUUUGUGUGCCAAAUAUAUGUUGAUGAUAUUAUCUUUGGCUGUACUGACCAACAUUAUAGUGAUGAAUUUGCCUAUAUGAUGAGUGAAGAAUAUCAAAUGUCUAUGAUGGUAGAAUUGAAAUUCUUUUUAGGUCUUCAAAUUCGUCAACAGCGCAAUGGCAUAUUCAUAUCUCAGGAGAAAUACCUCAAAGAUGUAUUGAGGAAAUUCGGCAUGCAAGAUUGCAAAGGGUUCAAAAUUCCAAUGCCCACAAGUGGCCAUCUAUGCACUGAUGAAAAUGGUAUCAACUUCGAUCAAAAGGUAUACCGCUCCAUGAUUGGCUCUUUAUUGUACGUAUGUGCAUCUAGGCCAGAUAUUAUGCUUAGUAUUUGCAUGUGUGCCCGAUUUCAAGCAACACCGAAGGAAUCACACCAUAAGGCUGUGAAGCAUAUUCUUCGAUAUCUAGCUCAGACACCAACACUUGGAUUAUGGUACCCCAAGGGCUCGGCUUUUGAUCUCAUUGGAUAUUUAGACUCUGACUAUGCUGGUGAUCGUGUGGACCGCAAGUCAACAUCUGGCACAUGCCAUUUCCUCGGACGAUCUUUGGUCUGUUGGUCCUCGAAGAAACAGAACUGCGUAUCACUAUCUACAGCUGAAGUUGAGUACAUUGUUGCUGGUUCUUGUUGUGCUCAAUUGUUGUGGAUGAAGCAAACUCUCAAGGACUACGGCAUCAACAUGAAGAAUGUGCCUCUCUACUGUGACAAUGAGAGUGCAAUCAAGAUUGCUCGCAACCCAGUUCAGCACUCGAAGACAAACCACAUCCAGAUUCGUCAUCAUUUUCUUCGUGAUCACGUGUGGAAGGGCGACAUCUCUAUUGAGCAUGUACAGACUGAAGAACAGCUAGCUGAUAUCUUCACUAAGCCCUUGGAUGAGAAGAGAUUUAGCAAGUUGAGGUGUGAGCUAAAUAUCCUAGAAUCUUCAAAUGUUCUUUGAAAAGUACACUCAUCCUAACACUUAUGCAAAAUUGAUGACUUUGAUGCGCUACACACAAAGUAAAGUUUUUCUUCAAUCAAUGAAGACUAACCCUCUAAGUGUGAAGAAAUUAACGAAGAAAUUGAUUCUCAGAGCCCUACGACAAUUGUACGUGGUGUCUGAAAUCAGCUUUUUUAUACGGUGGGUCACGCCCCCACCAAAAGUUGAAAAUCUGCAAUUUGAGUUGUUCCUCAGUUUGAAAUUCCUCAGUUUUUUCUAAAUUCUUCAACUUNNNNNNNNNNNNNNNNNNNNNNNNNNNNNNNNNNNNNNNNNNNNNNNNNNNNNNNNNNNNNNNNNNNNNNNNNNNNNNNNNNNNNNNNNNNNNNNNNNNNNNNNNNNNNNNNNNNNNNNNNNNNNNNNNNNNNNNNNNNNNNNNNNNNNNNNNNNNNNNNNNNNNNNNNNNNNNNNNNNNNNNNNNNNNNNNNNNNNNNNNNNNNNNNNNNNNNNNNNNNNNNNNNNNNNNNNNNNNNNNNNNNNNNNNNNNNNNNNNNNNNNNNNNNNNNNNNNNNNNNNNNNNNNNNNNNNNNNNNNNNNNNNNNNNNNNNNNNNNNNNNNNNNNNNNNNNNNNNNNNNNNNNNNNNNNNNNNNNNNNNNNNNNNNGUGUGUGUGUGUGUGUGUGUGUGUGUGUGUGUGUUUAUGUCCUCUACAUCAUUCACUUAUUGCUAUUUCUUCAAGUUGAUUCUCUCUGCUAAGUGAAUGUGAUCGGACCCUUCCCCCUCUAUGCUAAACUCAACCCAAUUAUUCACAAAUUCUUCAUGUGCGUUCUAUUUAAACUUGUUGAAAAUCUUCACUGUGUCCUUGUCAGCUGAAGAAUUUGUGAACGGAACUUUUAACUCAUCGUAUAUAAAUUGUCGGCUUUGCCGCUCAGUCUAUACCGCAUCCCACGAUAAUACUUAUCUAUUCACCCACGAUCAUCACACGAUCGCCACCUCUCAGUACGUGGGUGACACAUGUCAAGCGAAUGAGAAGGGUUAGGGGCACGUUCGUCCGAUUUCCUCGGGCGUACAGUUUUUCACUCCAACUCUAAAUACCCCCUCCCAUUCCUCACUUUGUUUUUACUCCACUCAUUCUCACUCCCACUCGAGCUUCUCAAACCCUAGCGCCGUUGCUACUUCAUCAUCGCCGGUGAGGAAGAGCUUCACUGCCUCGACCUCGUCGCCGCCGUACUCGCGUCGGCUGCGGAUUUCUUCACUCCGCCAAUGUCGUAGUUGUUUUCCUCUGCCGAGGUAGGGCGUGGAAGAUCUGAACUGACGAACUUCACAUCUACACUUCCCAGUUCGUCGUGUUCUUCAUCUAGGGUAAUUAAAAGUUACUUUUAUUGCCCUCUUUGAUUCAAAUGUUUUCUUAAAAAUCUUCAAAGGUGUUUAUUCUUCAAAUCUUCACACACUGAACACCUCACAUGUCAUCUGCUCUUGAUUCGUUUCUCUAAGCAAUAAUUUUUCUUCAAGAUUCCUCAAUUGUGUGCAUCUUCGAUCUAUACAACUCUGGAACCUAAGACAAAGAACGCUUAGUGAAAUUCUUCAAGACUCAUCUGGUCAAAUUCCUCAAACUUAUUCUUUUUGAAAAACCUUCUGAGAACGCAUAUGACCUCUCCAAAUUCCUCGCAACUAUACUUUGUUCACAGGUACUCAUGUCUGCUGCUGAAUCACUAGGUUCACAUCAACUUAACUCAUUUGCAGCGUUCCUCGAAGAAAAGUUGCAUACAUCUUCAGAAAAUUCCAUUGUUCAUAUUCCUCGUCCGAAGAAAAUGGCUGAUGGUAAGAAGCCACAGAAGGGUGGAAAGAGGCAUGAGGUCAAUACUGCUUUCGAGAUCCCUGAUGACAUUUACAAGGAUUAUUGCACUCCUGAUGAGGCCAAAUUUGGCAAGGAGGACAAAAAUCAGCGCAAGGUGCGCAUACAAAGGAUAGAGAGGAGAUGGGCACGGGAAUGGAGGGAGUACAGAUAUGUUACUCUCAAGUAUAUGAAGAAAUUUGCUCUCAACCCUCCAUGCCCAAGACCUCCGUUGGGUCCUGGCCAAUUGGCAGAUCCCACCAGCCUCAAGCGCGGUGAGGAUUAUCCUGAUGAAUGGGCAAAGCGCCAGGCCAAACUGGCCAAACAGGCAAAAGAAGUAGUGAGGAAAUUUAAUGAAGACUCUGCUGCUGCUUCCACUGCUGCUGAGGCCUCUGCAAGCAAGCCAAAGAAGGCCAUGCCUAAGAAGCCUGCUUACAAGAUCCUCAGCAAUGCCCUCACGGCCAAGCUCCUCAGCAAUGCCCUCACGGCCAGAUUCUUCAAAGCCCUCACGGCCAGCUCCUCAAACUGCUCCUCCUCCUUACAAGUCUUCAGCUCCUUUGACACAGUCUUCAGCUGCUCCAACUAAAUCCUCGGCACCUGUGCAUCUCGCCACGUGUCAAAGGACUACAGGCAUCUCAAUUGCCUCGGGAGCAUCUGCAAGUUCCUCAGCUGCACCAAAUUCUUCCAUUGGCCCCUCUCUGCUGAAGAAAAAGGCCACUGCUGGACGAGGCCCUCGACCAAGUCCUCACAAGAAGCAGGUCGCCUUUCAAGUGCCAUCUGAUGAUGAUGAGGCUGAUGAUGAAGAACUCGCCAAAAUCAUCAGAGACAGGCAGGUCAAUGCCGCUAGAGCCAAAGGCUGCAAUGUGCCAAUGUUACUCGAUCCAAAGUUGAUCCUAGACUUCAUUGAUCUAUGGCACAAGGAUCCAAACACGCCUUUGCGGAGAUGAACCUCACUCCUGGUCAAAGUCAUGUCUUGACUACUUUCAUUGGAGAAGAAAAAUGGAAGUAUGACCAAGCAAGGUCACUGAAGAAAGCGUAAUACAAUAAGCAGCGCUACCUAAAGGACAACGUCCUCAAUCUUUCACCUGAGCAGCUUAUUGCACUGCAAGCUGAAAUCAAGAAGCUCAACGAAGAAUUUGAAGCCUACAAGGCUAACUGGAAGGGCGCCAAGGUUCGAUUCGUCAACCUGACGAAGACAUUCACUUCAAGUGUUGCUACUCCUGUGCACAUUGAAGUCACUCCUACUGAAGCAUCUGUUCAACCUACUGAAGAACAUGCCAGUACCGCUGAUGACAAUCAGAGUGCUAAAGAAAAUGAAAGUACCAGGGUUGAUGACUAUAUUCCAGUCGCUGAUGAAAUUGCCAGGGCAUCCACUAGUGGUGCGCCUGAAGAAAAUGAGAAAGUCAGGGCAACUGCAUCAGUUGUGCCUGAAAAAAAUGAACCAACUCCCUCUGCUCCUCCUGCACCAACACCAACGCCAACUCCAAUCCUUCCAUUUGUAUCAGAUGUGAAAAGACCAAGGCUGUAGAGCAUGCAGCAAUGAAGAAAAGGAAGGCAUCAGCUUCAUCAGAUUCUUCAGCUCCGAAGAAAAUGAAGCCUUUGACAAGUUCAUUUAACAACCCAAUUGAUGACAUUCCUGUCUAAUCCAUGCCAUCAAAGGACCUUGUUCCUUUUGAUGAAGAGUAUGUGAUUCCAAGUGAAUCAGAUGAAGACAUUCCUUCUGGUGCUUCGUCCGAGCAGAUGGAUGAAGAAAUUGAAGUGGAUGCAAUCCCUUCAACACCAGUUAUCUCAUCGCCUAUGCCUCAAUUUACUGCUGAAGAGGCUGGCAUUGAAGAAAUGGUAGAUGAAGAUGUGGACAUUGGCUAUACCACUCCCGUGAUGAAUGAUGACUUUUGGGAAAGUCAGCACCCCAACUCUCCACUGUUCACUCCACUUAAACAAAUUCCUCAGUCCCCUGUUGCUACUGAAGUACAAAUGGGAUCUGAAGAACCUCAUGCAACCCCAUCUGUCCAUGAAGAAAUUCCAUCCAUUAGUGCUGAUGAAAAUGUAAAUGAAGAAUUGAUGACCUAGGCUGCAACUAAAGAAGAGCCUGAAAUUCCUCAUCCUGUGAAACCUGAGAUUAUGAUUCUUGAGGUGGUGAUGCAAUUGACCGAUACUCCUCACCCCAAGCCAAAGGAUCCCUUCUCAAAGAACCAAAAAUUCAAGGCUGAUGAUUUCUUCGGCGAGCAUGUUUUCUUCACUGAAUUCAACCCAUAUGACUCUGCUCGUCUUAGAAGGAAGCGCUUCUGGACUGCCAGCCAGGCCAACUUCUAUUCUUCACUGCUUUUCAACAAAGACAAAGUCUUCGACCACGCGCAUAUUCCUCACGUGGAUAUGGAAUCAAUGCCUUGGUUCUCUCCAGUCCUCAGAGUAAUUCACGAUGCAGGACUGCUCAACUUUUGCACUGACAUUGUUGAUUGGAAUGAAGAGCUUAUUCUUCAGUUCUACGCAACACUGCACAUCACAGGUGAUGCUGCUGAUAUCAACACAGAUGACCGAGAAUACUCACUAUAAGGCACCGGCCUCUAAAUUACUUCAUGCCCUGCCAAUCAGCCCUCCACCUGAAGUUGCUCGUUGUCUGUGCCAAGAACCUAAACUCACUGCUCAUUACAUGGAAGUGCUAAUGAAGCCUUUGAAGCCCGUUCAAGCCCCAAGGAUCGAAUUCCUCGUGAAGGACUUACAGUAUGUGCCAAGAACAGCCUAUCACAUUCUGACGAAGACUUUGAGUCCUAUCAAAGGCCACGACUCAUCUGAUGAGGACAUUGUUGGCAUCAUGAAGAAUCUGCUAUUCAACAUCAUGCAUGGCAUUCCUGUCAAUUAUCAUGAUUUCUUCAUGAGGACUCUGGCAAAUGUUGCACAAUCUCCGUUUGAGCUGAAGCCUUAUGCUCCUUGGAUUAUGAGAUUCAUCAGAACAAGGUCUUCACUCAACUACAAGGCUAAUACACUCAACCAUGGCAGCUACUUGCCCCCUAUUGAAGUCCUCAAGCGGACAUUUUCCUCAGCUGAUGAAAAGGGCAAGGCCACUGCUAUUGUUGAUGAAGGCAUUCGUCCAUUGGAUGGUCAGUUUCGCAUAGCUGCAUCUUAUUCCACCAAUGAUGACUCUGCCACUCAUGAUUCUGCUGCCAAUGCACCCAAGUCAAAUCCUCAAGCCACUGCUCCUUGUGUGAUGACUGACCGUGAACUUCUUCUUAGUCUUCACCAGAAGGUGGAUCGAAACCACAAAUGGGUUAAGCGUCAGUUUGGUUCUCUUCUUCACAACAUGACUUCUACACACAAUGCAGUGAAGAAAACCCAUUACUACCUCCAUGAAGUCUUCGAUCGCACCUGGGCUAUAUUGUCACAUCUGUAUGGUGAAGAAGAUCUGAACCAAAUGGGCUUCAAUGACGAUUUUGAUUGGUCUGCUCCUCCUCCGAAGAAAUACAAGAGGGUCAAGGUUCCUCCCUUGGUAGCCAGUUCAUAUUCUUCAUUGCGCGACACGGACGAGUAUGAAAACUUGGACGACACUGUGGCAGGCCCUACAACAACACACGACCCCAACAACGCUGGCGCUCCUCCAUCUUCAUGAUAUUCUUCAGGGGCGUUAGUCCUCAUUUUCAACCCUUUUGGUCAUUCGAUGACAAAGGGGGAGAAAUUUGAGUUAGUCUUCAAGCGGGUCUAUCUUAUAUGGGCGUUUUUUGCUAAGUUACAACUCUCGUUCUUCUGAUGACUUUGUUGGAUUGAGUUGUAAUCUUAAACUCUAUUGUGGUCUGAUACUUUUGCUGAGUUCUUCUGCAUGCUUAUUCCUCAUUAAUGUCAUUACACGCAUGCUGAAUUACAUCAGUCACCACAUUUCAUCAUGCAUUUCAAAUUCUUCAUACUGUAUGUCAAAUGCGUGUAUGAAUUACAAGAUAUAGGGGGAGAUCUCCAUGAUUUUACUCUUCAAGUGUGCAUCGCUUCAAAAGCAAAAUUCCUCACUAUGCACAUCUUCAGGGGGAGUUCUUCUAUAUCUUGCAAUCAAAUUCCUCAAUAUUAGUAUUUACACUUCAUAUGUUUAUCCCCGUUGAAAACUUAACCUAUAUUGUCAUCAAUCACAAAAAAGGGGGAGAUUGUAAGUGCAUCUAGUGCCCCUUAGUGAUUUUGGUGUAUUGAGACUUAUAGGUUAAGGGGCUGAUGUGUUUGUGAGUGUACAUAGGUCUAUAAGUCUAUGAGGAGUUUGAUAUUUACAGAGAAAGUCGACCCCUAAAAAUGAAGUUCUUCGACUGAAGACUUUGGAUUUCUGAAGACUUUCUAAAGACUUUGAAAGUGAAGAAAUUGGUGUGACCUUGAAGACUUAGCAAUCAUUCGAGGAACAUGAAGCGUGAAGACUUUUGUUUUCGUAGUUUCAUUUUCUCUUUCUUGAGUCAUAGGAAACACCGUACUAUUAAAGGGGGUCGAGGCAAUACUAAGAAAAAAUUUCCAUGUGAUGCUCAACUCAAAAUCCUACACCUACCAAUCCCUUCGAGUGAAGCCAUUGGAAAUCUCAUACAGAUCAGUCAAUUUCUUCAGUAACAGAGACGAAGUUCUUCUAGUUGCUGAGGGAUUUGUUCUGACUAAGGAGUUAGGAAUUCGCCAGUGCGGAUUGCCUACACAGUGAGGAACAUGAUAGCCCUGAGGAAAUUUGAGAGUCAAAAUUCCGACCAUUGCUAUGCUAUGGCCAGCUGUCCCAAAAUAUCUACCCACCUAACGGUCAUAUCAUUGAAGGGCAUUUAUGUCUUAUCAUGUCGGGCUGCUCCCUAGGCUAUAAAUAGCCGCCCCCUACAACCACUAGUUGGUUGGCUGCUCCGAGAGAAACUGACACUUGUCAUUUGAGAGAAUCCCAUCCUUCGAGGACUUUGAGCGAAAAUCAUCAAGUGAGGAAAACCCAAACCCAAACACCUUCAAACCCGAAGUGAUUGAGCAUCACUGAAGAGAUUGAUCCUGCGUGGAGCUGACGCUUGUUUCCUUUGAAGAUUGUGCUUCUUCCGGACGGUUAGGCGUCAAGGUCUAGAGCAUCCAAGAGGAAUUGUGGAUUGCCGAGUGACCGAGUUUGUGAAGGUUCGGAAGUCACCUGAAGACUUACCACGAGUGAUUGGGCGAGGUCUGUGUGACUUUAGCUCAAGGAGAAUACGGUGAGGACUAUGUGUCUGGGACUGUGUGUCCUUUGGUUUAAAUACCUAGCCGCGCCAACCAGAUGUACAACUGAGACAGCAGUUGGAACUGGUCUACCAAAUCAUUGUCUUCACCAAGCUUACUGGUUCUAUUUCCUCAACUAUUUCAAUUCCUAAUUUCACUUGUUGUGUGCUUGUUCAUAUCUGUUUGAAGACUUUGACUAAAGACUUUCUCAAUUUCCUCAGUUCAAUUUCUUCAGUCUGUCCGUCCCCAUCCUGUGUUAUCUUGUGCUUACGCUUUAUGUACUCUGUGCUUGUCUUCAUUUCAUCAUGAUGACUAUGCUUGUGUUCUGUUAUGUUUACUUCUGACUACUUAUUCCGCUGCAAGUAGUUCUUCACUAAGGAAUUUCCUCACCAGCAAAUUCCUCACUAAAGAAUUCAUAAAAAUCGCCUAUUCACCCCCCUCUAGUCGAUAUAACGCACUUUCAAUGUCCGAUCAUCACGUGAGAUGGAGUAGUUUUCAAUGGUGAACAUCACUAUGUUGAUCAUAUCUACUAUAUGAUUCACGUUCGACCUUUCGAUCUCAAUGUUCCGAGGCCAUAUCUACAUAUGCUAGGCUCGUCAAGUUUAACCCGAGUAUUCUGCGUGUGCAAAACUGGCUUGCACCCGUUGUAUGUGAACGUAGAUCUUAUCACACCCGAUCAUCACGUGGUGUCUUAGCACGACGAACUGUAGCAACGGUGCAUACUUAGGGAGAACACUUGUACCUUGAAAUUUAGUAAGGGGUCAUCUUAUAAUGUUACCGUUGUACUAAGCAAAAUAAGAUGCAUAAAAGAUAAACAUCACAUGCAAUCAAAAAUAUAUGACAUGAUAUGGCCAUCAUCAUCUUGUGCUCAUGAUCUCCAUCACCAAAGCAUCGUCAUGAUCUCCAUCGUUAUCAGCGCGACACGUUGAUCUCCAUCGUAGCAUCAUUGUCGUCUCGCCAACUAUUAUUACUACGACUAUCGAUAGUGCUUAGUGAUAAAGUAAAACAAUUACAUGGUGAUUGCAUUGCAUACAAUAAAGCGACAACCAUAUGGCUCCUGCCAGUUGCUGAUAACUUUGUUAUAAAACAUGAUCAUCUCAUACAACAAUUUAUAUCACAUCAUGCAUUGACCAUAUCACAUCACAGCAAGCCCUCCAAAAACAAGUUAGAUAUCCUCUACUUUGUUGUUGCAAGUUUUACGUGGCUGCUACGGGCUUCUAGCAAGAACCGUUCUUACCUACGCAUCAAAACCACAACGAUUUUUCAUCAAGUGUGAUGUUUUAACCUUCAAAAAGGACCGUCUGUAGUCAAACUCGAUUCAACUAAAGUUGGAGAAAUAGACACCAGUCCGCCACCUUUAUGCAAAAGCACGUCGGUAGAACCAGUCUCAUGAACGCGGUCAUGUAAUGUCGGUCCAGGCCACUUCAUCCAACAAUACCGCCGAAUCAAAGUAAAAUGUUGGUGGUAAGCAGUAUGGCUAUUAUCGCCCACAAAUCACUUGUGUUCUACUCGUGCAUAUAACAUCUACGCAUAGACCUGGCUCCGAUGCCACUGUUGGGGAACGUGGUAAUUUCAAAAAAAAAUCCUAGGAUCACGCAAGAUCUACCUGGGUGAUGCAUAGCAACGAGAGGGGAGAGUGUGUCCACGUACCCUCGUAGACCGAAAGUGGAAGCAUUUAUUAACAUGGUUGAUGUAGUCGAACUUCUUCGCGAUCCAACCGAUCAAGUAUCAAGCGUAUGUCACCUCCGCGUUCAGCACACGUUCAACUCGAUGACGUCACUCGUUCUCGUGAUCCAGCUGAGGCCGAGGGUGAGUUCCAUCAGCACGACGACGUGGAGAGGGUGAUGAUGAUGCUACCAACACAGGGCUUCGCCUAAGCAUUACGAUGGUAUGAUCGAGGUGUGUAACUGUGGAGGGGGCACCGCACCGAUCACGUAUAUAAAGGAGGGGGAGGAGGAGUCCGGUCAAGAGGGGAGGCGCGCCAUGGGGGGGUCCUACUAGGACCCCAAACCUAGUAGGAUUCGCCCCCCCCCCUUUCCUAUUCCAAGUUGGAGAAGGGGAAGGUGGAGGAGGAGAGAAGGAAGGAGGAGGGCGCUGCCCCCUCCCCUUAUCCAAUUCGGAUUGGGGCAAGGGGGCACGCGCCACCUCCUGGCCGGCCCUCUCUCUUCUCCACUAAGGCCCAUGAGGCCCAAUAACUUCCCAGAGGGGGUUCCGGUAGCCCCCGGUACUCCGAAACUUAUCCAAAACGACCUGAACCAUUCUGGUGUCCGAAUGUAGCCUUCCAAUAUAUCAAUAUUUAUGUCUUGACCAUUUUGAGACUCCUCGUUAUGUCCGUGAUCUCAUUCGGGACUCCGAACAAAGUUCGGUCAUCAAAAUACAUAACUCAUAAUACAAAUCGUCAUCGAACGUUAAGCGUGCGGACCCUAUGGGUUCGAGAACUAUGUAGACAUGACCGAGACACAUCUACGGUCAAUAACCAAUAGCGGAACCUGGAUGCUCAUAUUGGCUCCUACAUAUUCUAUGAAGAUCUUUAUCGGUCAAACCGCAUAACAAUAUACAUUGUUCCCUUUGUCAUCGGUAUGUUACUUGCCCAAGAUUCGAUCGUCGGUAUCAUCAUAUCUAGUUCAAUCUCGUUACCGACAAGUCUCUUUACUCGUUCCAUAAUACUUCAUCCCGCAACUAACUCAUUAGUUACAAUGCUUGCAAGGCUUAUAGUGAUGAGCAUUACCAAGAGGGCCCAGAGAUACCUCUCCGAAACACGGAGUGGCAAAUCCUAAUCUUGAUCUAUGCCAACCCAACAAACACCUUCGGAGACACCUGUAGAGCACCUUUAUAAUCACCCAUUUACGUUGUGAUGUUUGGUAGCACACAAAGUGUUCCUCCGGUAUUCGGGAGUUGCAUAAUCUCAUAGUCUGAGGAACAUGUAUAAGUCAUGAAGAAAGCAGUAGCAAUGAAACUGUCACGAUCAUAAUGCUGAGUUAACAGAUAGGUCAUGUCCAUCACAUCAUUCUCCUAAUGAUGUGAUCCCAUCAUCAAAUGACAACACAUGUCUAUGGUUAGGAAACAUAACCUUCUUUGAUUAACAAGCUAGUCAAGUAGAGGCAUACUAGGGAUAAUAUGUUUUGCCUAUGUAUUCACACAUGUACUAAGUUUUCGGUUAAUACAAUUCUAGCAUGAAUAAUAAACAUUUAUCAUGAUAUAAGGAAAUAAAUAAUAACUUUAUUAUUGCCUCUAGGGCAUAUUUCCUUCAAAUAUUACAUGAAAAAUCCUCGUGAAAUUUCAGCUCAUUUGGAGUUGUGCAAAAUAGGUAGCUUGACGUAGCUUUUUCAAGUCUAGAUUUCCAGCUGCCAGAAUUCUCCCCCUUUGGGUAUACCUUGCACAUUAUGAGAGAAAAGGCAUUACAAUUACUCCAAAGAGCAUUAUUAUACAAUAAAACAACAUAAAUAACAAUAGGAAAACAUGAUGCAAAAUGGACAUAUCACUGGCUAGCGUUGACCAAGCACAGAGAUAAGAGAGGUCACUUCUCUCUAUUAGCUAGCUAACACAAUAUAUGAAACCCUAAAUUAACCCUCGAAACCCCCAUAAACCCCCCCCCCUUCAAAAAAAACAAAAACCCCAGCUCCUGCCAUAUGCUGACACGUGGAUGCCUUUUGGUCCCGGUUGGUAACCGGGACUAAAGAUCCUCCUGCCUGGGCACCCCGCGGUGACCACGUGGAGCCCUUUCUGUCCCGGUUCGAAGGUUUUGGGCUUUAGUCCCGACCCUUUAGUCCCAGUUCCAGAACCAGGGCUAAUGGGCCUCUGGAACUGGGACAAAUGGCCCAUUUUCUACUAGUGACUUUACUCCUAUGAGCAUCUCAGAGAGACUGAGCCGGCAUAUCAUCUUGAGAUUGACGAAGUCAUCAAAGGCGCCUCGUAGUCGAUGGGAACGUCUCUUCCCACUGAAUAUGCAUCGUUGAAAAUCAUGAAAUAAAUUCAGGAAUAAAUGCGAGCACCAGGAUUUCAACCCUGGUGGCCUGGGGAUACUACUGUCCACCUAAUCAUCCAACCACAGGUUGGUGUUCCUAUGUACAAUUUGGGGUCAUGAUGUCUGGAUAGCAGAUUGUGGAGCCUGUAUUUUUUGUUUCUAUAAUAGCCGCAGGACCCCAAAGGUUUCUUUCCAUCCAGAGCAAUUGUCGUGUCAGUUAAUUGGGAGGGGGCAGGGGAGAGAGAUAAACUGGUCACAGGUCAAUGGUUUUAACUUUCUACCCCAUGUUAAAAUAGGCGAAAUGAUUUUCUUCACCCGGCCUAUCCAGCAUGUGGCAUCCUCCACCUCUAGCGUGCGGAUGCGUGUCCUCUGUGGACCCUCCACACCGCUCUGUCUUUUUUCUUAUCCCACCCAAUGGUCGACCUUUGUUGAGAAAAAAACUACAAUAAGACCUCUGUUGCAAAAGUUUAUGCUCGCGACCUCUAUUUUUGCAAAAAAAAAAAAUUGAUUCUCCAACAUGACCUAUGUUGCAAUGAUAGGCAAUAGAGAAAAAGGAAAAAAAAUAAACGAUGUUGCUGCAAAAGGCCAAGCACAACAAGGCUCCUGUUGCAUAGAUCAGAGGGGAAAAAAGAAUGGUCUAAGGCUUUUUGCAAUUAGUCCGUGGUUUGAGGCCUUUUGCAACAGGUCCUCUGUUGUAGAGAGACGGGUGCAACUACAUACUUGUUGCAACUUCGUUUGCUCACGUGAAGAUGUACUGACUUUCUUUGUCUUUGUCCGACGACUAGGGAGGUGGACAAUCUUUUCCAUUGCUUAAACCGGCCAACGCCUAGCGGGGCCCAUAAAAUAAUUCCCGGUGCCUUUCAAGCCUAUGCAACUCGUAUGGAACACACUUUCUACUCUCUUGAUGUAUGGAUUGUCUCAUUGUUUCUAGAGGAAAUGAAUUUGGAACUGAGAGGCAUGGAAGAGAUUGAUAUUUAUCGGUUGAGAAUUGAUGACAUGAAGGUGCCGCGCUACCCACCGCAUUGCAUGGUUUUGUGUGGGCCCAUAAUAUUUGAGCACCUAUAAAUGAGCUCAGUUUGGGCAUCAUGACAUUUAUGUGGGGCAAACCACAUAUUUGUCGCGUCAUAGGCUCUUACUGCUUCCACGCCUGCCAACUAUAACCAUUCACAAAGAAUUAAGCAUACAACCAGCCUAUUAUAUCAAGUUGUGCUGAGAGCAGAGCAUCUCCAAUAACUGCCCUCUAAUAGGGCACCAAAAUUUGCUUGAUGUAAAAUUUGGGAUACAAAAAGGUGUAUUUUAGGGCACGAGAAAGUGAGUGUUUCCAUAAGUUGCCCUAAAAUGGGGCACUAAAUAGGACACCAUUGCUCCAACAGCGGCCAUAAAAAUAGGGCAGCCGCACCACAUCUUUCUUCUCCACAUAUGGAUAGAAUUUAAACUUUGCAAGAUUUCCUUGAGUGUCUUCUCCACCAACAGCUGGUCACAAAAUUCAACUACUAAAUUUGAGUGUCAUCUCCACCAACGGCUGCUCACAAAAUCCCACUACUAAAACCAAAUCUAAAGGGAAGACCGAUAAAAUCAAAGUAGAUACUCCCUCCGUCUAGGUGUAUAAGUCAUCUUACGAAAACCAAAUAAUCCCAAAACACUUAGGCAUGGUACAUUAACUUCCUCCUUGUUUCUUGUUUCAUGACAUAUCAACCAAUAAGAGAUGUGGACCAUGAAUGCUUUCAAUGCCUUGAAAUUACUAAACAUGACAUGCAGUGGUUAAUUCAUUGCAUGUAAUGCUAUUAACUAGAAAAAAAACAUUAAGUUAUCUUGUUUUCCCCUUCGCCUUAGUCGCGAUGCAUAACCUAAGAUGACUUAUACACCUAGACGGAGGGAGUAAUAAAUAUGAGUGUCUUCUUUUAAUUUCGUUGUAUUGCACACAACUACACACCAAACUGACAUGGGAUACAAUCUCAAUGAAUAACAAACGAAAUUGACAAGUUCCAUUGUAACUUUCUUCAGAAAAAGGAACACUGGAAGUCUGUAGUUUCUGAAAACUAACACUGCAUCUUGGCCUCGUACACUUUCUUCAGAAAAAGGAACGCUGAAAAACCGAACUUUACUGAUGAAUUCAAUCGGUGAAAGCAGCGGCGCAAUCCAGCAGCACCUCCACGACCCGUACAAACUCCAGCAACCCAUUCUGCAGCACCACCACACAAACCACUAACUAGCCAUCAAUCUUCCAUUUAGCUUUGUAUCCCCUCUGUAAACUAAUACUCCCUCCGUCCUAAAAUGUAAGACAUUUUUUUACACUAUGAGUGUCGAAAAAGUUCUUACAUUUUAGGACAAAGGGAGAAUAAGAUCUUUUAGAUCACUAGAGGGAGCGUAUGAUAAAGGAGCUUGGAAGAGGGCUAACUUGUUUUAUUUGGAAAUGCAAAGGUGAACCUAUCAUUUUUUNNNNNNNNNNNNNNNNNNNNNNNNNNNNNNNNNNNNNNNNNNNNNNNNNNNNNNNNNNNNNNNNNNNNNNNNNNNNNNNNNNNNNNNNNNNNNNNNNNNNNNNNNNNNNNNNNNNNNNNNNNNNNNNNNNNNNNNNNNNNNNNNNNNNNNNNNNNNNNNNNNNNNNNNNNNNNNNNNNNNNNNNNNNNNNNNNNNNNNNNNNNNNNNNNNNNNNNNNNNNNNNNNNNNNNNNNNNNNNNNNNNNNNNNNNNNNNNNNNNNNNNNNNNNNNNNNNNNNNNNNNNNNNNNNNNNNNNNNNNNNNNNNNNNNNNNNNNNNNNNNNNNNNNNNNNNNNNNNNNNNNNNNNNNNNNNNNNNNNNNNNNNNNNNNNNNNNNNNNNNNNNNNNNNNNNNNNNNNNNNAAACAGGUUCCAUCUCUUUCCUCCUCUACAAGAAAAGUUCUUCCCCUCUCAGCCCCCCGCAGGCGGAAGGGACACCGUUCUCAUUCUUGUUAAAUUCAAUGUCUUGGUUGGGACUGUGUGGCAACAACGAUGUCCCUUAGUAGGAAUAAUGUCUCCCAUGUUCUAUCCCCGUUCGGAUGGUACGUCUAGCAUCAUUGGAGGGCGUGUGGAGGUUUAUCUCCGUUGGAUCACGCAGGAUUCGGUCGGUGCAGGUCUUUGGUGGAUCUGUUUGGAUCAUGUUUCCGUUCGUCUUCAUUUGGGUGUUUACAUGUUUGACUUUUCUGAUCUACGACUUUCUUCAUCAGCGAUGGUUGUUGCGCUGGUGCGCUAAUCCUAUGUGGCCUUAGCACGACGACUUCCCGACUGUCUACUAUUACAAAAUUUGUCUGGCUUCGGUGAUGGAGGGGCGAUGACGGCAGCGUGCCUUCGGCUCGCUCUAGUGCUUGUAGUCGUCACUAGGUGGUUCAUGGACAUGGUUGUAAUUUUUAUUACCUCUGUUGUUCUUGUGGCUCAUGGACAAUUGAGCUGAGUUGGUUGCGAGAUCUUAUGGGUUUCACCUCUAGCCUACCCCAAUUUGUUUGGGACUAAAGGCUUUGUUGUUGUUGUUGUUCUUUGUACUGCCAUGAUUGAAGAUGAAUAGAUUGGAAGUUUCUCAAGAAAAAAAAAACUUCCUUUUUUUGGCAAAACAAAAUAACUGCACUACUGUGCUGCAAUCAGCAACAUAAUUGGUCCCUACGCAGACAACUCAGCUCAAUUCACUAAAUUAAAAAAAUUCAGUCACAGCACAAGAAAUUUCCACUUUAAAGGAAUCGAAACAUCCCCACCACGCAACCCUAGAAAUGCAUUUCUACUCUAUGAAACAAUCCUGGAUGCUCAGCCCACAACAUCGGAAGCUCCGAUUCAGCGAAAGCCCUUGUCUGGAUGUGCUGGAGCAGCCCAAGUCUUAAAUCUGCAGAAAUACCUGUUUUAUAUUUUUGGGAACCUGAAAAAUUUGGAGCAAAUUUUACUAUUGGAGCCUCCUUUUUUGCCGCAAAUGCUCUGAGUUGAUGGUGAGUUUAGUGUUUACACAAAUCAUUGUUUCAAUACGGAUGCAAGUCUUACAACGCUAGUUUCAAGCCCUAAAUAAACAAGCACAAUUGAAAAAUCUGCAAGUCAUAACAUCGCUUACACAAUCGGAAGCAACUUGCUUGGCUUUAGACCGUUACCGAAUGAGAUAAUGGAAGUAUAGACUGUUCAUUUCAACCAUUCACAAGGCAUAACAGAUAUUAAUCAUCUAGUAAAAUUUUAGAAACAUCUAUGACAAAAAAAAAAUAGAGCAGCAUCGCAUCACAAAAAAGAUGAGACGCAGGUGAGAAUUACAUAUUUCAGAGUACUGCAAAAUUAAUAGCUGCAUAAAAUUCAGUCACAAACACAUAUAAUCCUCACAUUACAUAAAACUCAGUACUGGAACAUAGCCAGACUAGUAUUAAACAACUAAAUUUGACCAAACACAGGUAAAAGCAACUUCCACAGCCAAAACAACAGAACAAAUCAAGAAUCACUAGACAAUGCCAUCACCCCUCAGAGUUCCGCUGCCUGGAUGCAAGAUGAUGCUUACCGCCUACUUGGAUCGCUGCCUCAUCUUUCGGCGCUUCCUCUUGAGCCUCCUCAUCCUCUUCUUCUUCCACUGCAAAUUACAGUACCCAAGCUGACCAUGAGCAUAAAUUGCAUAGGUGCUCCAUAGGAGAUGCAAUCAUAACAAGACUUCCAGAUGCAAAGGAACAGAUAGUAACUUGUUUUGGAAUCAGAAGAUUGAGUGUUUCAUUGGAUAUCCUCACGUGAUUUUCAGAAACACGGACCAAUUGUUCUUCAUCAUUUCCCAAACUGAAGUCAAUUUCAAAGGCAAAUAGGAAAAACUAUGAUAGGGUAUCUAAAGAACUAGCUAAGCAUAGUAUAGAAUCGCAGUCGGUUUGACAUUCAGAAUGAGUAGGAGGAUUUUAUCAUCAAAUAGAUCAGACGCCAAUUGUCUUCCUCAUCAUGCCAACCGACGCAGUUGAACGAAAGAAAGAACAAAUCUAGGGAAAACACUGGCAAAGAAAAUCCAAUGUUCUCUCAGACAAAUGCCUCGAUUGUCCACAUGGUUUCAUAGAAUGGAUUACAUCGGACUCGUCAUCUGUUUUCAUCAUCACAGAGAACCACAAACGAACACGCGCAAAGAAAAUUGAUUCAGUGAACAGAAACUACAUCCUAGAAUCUCUAAGAACAAGCAACUCGAACUAUAAUAGCAGGUUCUCUCAGACAAAUGCCUCGUUUUUGUCCCCACGGUUGAAUGGAAUGGAUUGGAUCGGACAUCUAAUCAGUGUUGAUCAUCACAGAGAACCACUAACUACGCGAACGAGCGGCAGCAACAGCAGGAACGAACGCUCGAUAAACACUAGCACACGUCCAGAUCUACCGCGGUCGCGAAGCAGUUAACAGCACGCAAGGUAGACGAGGGGCGGCAGUUCUUUACCUUGGCCCUCAUCGCGGCGGCGGAGUCGGCCUCGCUCUCCUCUUCGCGGCGGCGGAGUCGGCGGCGGAAGUGUGUGGACGAACCCGAUCUCCGUAUAUUGUUUGGCGGGGGCUCUCGCCUCGUACUUUAUAGGGGUUGG